rnacentral:lncRNA from 1 species
UUUUUUUUUUUUUUUUUUUUUUUUUUUUUUUUUUUUUUAUCGCGUAUGCGACGCAUAGUCACCGCGGAGGCGAAGGACUGUCAUAAGAGAUAUUUUGAUGUUAGGAUUCGACCCGUUACGAAAUUUUGUGCCAACGCCGGCCAUAAUUUUCUCUGCGAAGCGGGCACUAGCUGACAGGUGAACUUUGAUUCAUCUCACAAUGUUCGCCGCCGCCUCCGGCCGCAAUCCGCAAGCAACCCAUGUGCCACCGCCGAGCUAGGCUGCCGUAGCCGCCGCCCGCCGAUCCGGCGCGGUGGGGACGCGCGCUCACAUGCGCUGCGCUGCGCGCGGGGCCACACCACACGCGCUCGAACGCGCGAUGGAUCACGGCCCUUGUCGUGCCCGUGUCGCCAUGCAUGAGUGCACGGGCACGAGCGCCCCCUCACUCACUCUCUCACUCUCAUGCCCAUGCCCCCAGCACCUGCGCUGUCGCCAUCGCUAGCGACUCACCACGUUCACGCUCACUCCCUUCGCUCUUCGGACGCCGCGAAUAAGUAGCCGCGCGCACCUCCAGAGUGAGCCGGUCAGUCAGUGUCAGUGCCAUGGCGAGACCACGAACAGAGCUCCUCCGCUUCCUCCUCCUCAUCGUCCUCGCCACCGGCGCCGCUACGGCCGCCGCCACCGCGGUGGACGCGCCGGCGCCCGCGGCAGCUGCAGGGUCGGCGGCCGCUGCAGCACCAUCAGCGUCGGGGUGCCGGCGCGGCGACGUGGUGGUGCGGCAGCGCGCGACGGGUCGGACGGUGGAGGGGAAGCCCGAGUACGCGGUGGAGGUGCGGAACGCGUGCCGGUGCGCGCAGUCCCGGGUGGUGCUCCGCUGCUACGGCCUCAGCAGCGUGGAGGCCGUGGACCCGCGCGCCAUCCGCGCAGUCGACGCCGAGCGCUGCCUGCUCCGCGGCGGCCGCGCCCUGGCGCCCCGCGGCGGCGCCGCCGUGCGCUUCACCUACGCCUGGAUGACUCCGCAGGACUUCCCGCUCGUCAGCGCCCAGCCGCACUGCUAGCGCUUACUGCUUAGUAGCUAGAGCUUGCUGGGCUCGGAGAGUGAGUUUGCUGCUGAUACGAUUCGUCGAGCAAGAGUAGCUGAUGGAUUGAGUUGCUAAGUGUAAUUAUUAAACGAGCUUUAUUAGGUUGGAGUUUUGUUUAGGCUCGGUGUCUUUGGUGUCGUGGCUGGGUUUAAUUUGUACUACUUGUUAACCUUGCGUUUUAUGAUGAUAAUUUUUUGCUCUAUCCCUAUAUGAUAAUUUUGUAAGAGAGGUGGAUUGCAGGCAAAUGAGCAAUUCCGACGCUGGCAGGGAGGCAGGCGACGGACACGCCGCGACACGCGCCACCUUUCAUCAUGUGGCCUGCCCACCACCGCCGUUCAUCAUGUAGCGACACACGUGAGACCUCCAGCUUUUGUCAACUCCAUUAUUUCUCUCUCGGACAGAGAGAGGUGCCGCCGUGGAGCUGCAUGGAGGUUACUUUGCUCGUGGGUCUUGUGGGGUCAAUCGGCCCGAGGAUCGAACGCCUAUGGGCUAUGGCCUAUGCGCGCUUGAGGCUACUGGCCGGCAAUGGCUUUCGGAAGCCCGAAGCUAUCCAGCGCACGAUCUUCUUCGUCUCCUCGGCACCGCUCGCUCCUGUGCGCCGCCGCUCGUCGCGCGCCGGUGAGGAGCUGGGGUCGGAGCGAGGAGGGAAGUUGGAUGGCGGGCUGGAUGGUGGGCGGCAACGACUGGCGGCGAGGUUCGCGGGCCGCUGGGGGUGGUUGAAGCCGGCUGAGUUGACGAUGGUGGUGGUUAAGCCGGCUGAGUUGACGAUAGUGUAGUAUUGGAAAAUUGAGCAUUCGUCGUGAGGUUCAGUAUCGGUUACAUUUUGAUCCGGUACUAAUAUAAGUAUUAGUACCGAGUCUAAUGGUUAGUUCUUGAUGAGGCUCUCGUGAAUCCCUUUAGUAACAUGUGAAAACUUCACCCGGUACUAAAGGUUGCACAUUAGUAUCGGUUGAAGGCUUCAACCGGUACUAAUGUGCCUGAGGGCUUUUAGUACCGGGUGGAGACUUCACCCGGUACUAAAGGUUGCACAUUAGUACCUAGUACUAAUUGGCAACCUUUAGUACCGGGUGAAGCCUCCACCCAGUACUAAUUGGUGGGUGGGGAUCCAAAACUUGAACUUCACUGGAUUGAAGUCCACCGCAUGCGUUCGCUCCUCACCGUCUUAUCCGCUCGUGACUCUCCCUCUCUCCCCUGAACGGCCCUCCUCUCUCCCUUCUCCCUCCACGGCGGCCAGUAGUGCCUGGUCGCUUCUCUUCCACCCAUUUUAGGCGCACCCCUCCCCUCCCCUCACAGCUGUCCCUCCCCUCUCCCCUCCGCGCGUCCCUCACUGCGACGCUGGUUAGGAGCGGCGGCGGGGCGAGGUCAGGCGACAGCACGGCGGUGAGGGAGCGCACAGGCGGAGUGGCGGGUGACGGCGUGGGGAGCUACAGCGGGCAACGGUGCAUGAAGCAGCAACGGGUGAUGGUGCGUGGAGCAGCGGGAUCUGCAGCGCGACGCGAAUCUGCAGGCCGACGUGGUAGGAGAACGUGGAGGCGUGGCGGGGGCAGCGGGAUCUAAGGGGUGGCGGUGCGGCAGGACGAUAGCUGUGGCCUCACCUCUCUCUUUCUCUCUCUUUGGGUGAGGGUGGCUGGCGGCGGGAGGGGGCCAGCGGAGUAUGUCGCGAGGGCGGCGGCGCUGUGGGGGUGGCCGGGUGGGGUCCCUAAAUUAGUACCGGUUGUUUAUACAACCGGUAUUAAAGCCCCCUUUAGUACCGGUUAUUUGACCGAAAUAGCAAUACCGGUUGCACAACUGGUACUAAAGGGAUUUUUGGACCCGGUACUGAGCAGUGGUGAUAGAGGUUAGGUUUAGGAUUUUGAGGUUCCCGGGGCUCUAAUGUCCACAGACGUUAGAAAAAGAAGGUUGCCGGCGGCUAUGGUUCGGCCGGAGGGGGAGGCGAGGCGGCGCACGAGCAUUGUUGAUUGGGCAGGGCUGGAUAACUGGUGGGUGGUGGCCGGCGGCGGGGUCGAGGAAUGCCACUAGGUUAGGAAGGGUGGGGUGUGAGGGUGGCAGCGGUUGGUGGGCGGACAGCGUAGCGGCGCGGCAGCCACCGGCCGGGGUGGUGGAGAGGUGGAGGCGUCUCUCGGGGAAGAAGCAGGGGUUAGUGGGCCGCUAGCAGGCCUAAGCCAUGAUCCUUAUUUGGCUUCUGGCGGUCAGAUAGGAACCCUGCUACUGGCUGCUGGUCCCGAAGGUCCACGCCAACUUCUCUCUUCCCUUCUCACAAGAGCGCGGGCCUUCAACUCCGGGAUCCUCUCCAGCUCCUAUGCUUCUUCCUUAGAGUAUACAACAAUAAUAACGCGGGCCGAAAGAGCAAAAUUGUUGCAACCACGACCACGGUAAGAGGACAAAAUCAGGCCAGGAGUUUGUUAAGCUUAAAUAAUACUCCAUUCUCAAAUUGGAGGCCCCAUUCUCAGAUAUACAAUGUUUACAACAAACCAACUGAACUAACCUAUUUUUGAACUAAUUAGAUUUUUCGUGGAGCCAUAUGUUUAAGAACAGAGAGAGUGUCUUUUUUUAGAAAGAGUGCCAUGACUAUACCCUCUUGAUUGCUUGUAUAAUAUUGGCCUGUAGGAUCAACCGACGAUCGUCAAUCUGCGAUGUAUCAAGAAAACAAGUUUUGGAUACAAUUGACCGAUGCUUCUCUCUUCAGUCCCUUUGACCAUAUGCAAAGACGGCCAUGAUGGCAUGAUAUGUCUUUCUCGGUUUUAUUUCCGAUUUUGAGAAAUAUGUUAGCUACUCCCUUCCGAGUAAUUCCUUGAUGAAUCGUUUGACACGCAUGAUGCACAUAACAUAGCGGUACAAAAGAAAUUUGAAAGAAGAGUUUUAUAUGAUCAUUUAAAAUAGGGAUGAUCACUACUACAAAAACGAUUUGUAGGGAUGCCCCGUUUUUUUCUAAGGGCGGACGAAAUUUCCACCUGCACCUAUGAAACGGGGAUGGUACUGUAGCAUGUGGCCUGCCUCUGAAGAAUCAUUUGCAGGGGCGGGUGAUGGCAUCACCCGCCUCUGGAAACGAUCUUUCCAGGGCUAUGGAAAUAGCCCCCAUUUGCAGGGGCGGGUGACGCUACCACCCGCCCCUGCAAAUGGUUCACCAGGGGUAGGCCACAGGACGUCACGCCCCUGAAAAUGGGUGACAAAACAGCCAGCUGGGCUUCUUCCUCCUCCUGACAGCACAAUCACUGCUCGGGGGAGGUGCUGCCCGAAAAUCGAAAAAAGCAAAAAAGGUGGGGGAAGGUUUUCAACUUUGUUUCCUUGGAGUUGGAGCUUAUAGGAGGUAAGUUGAUGCUAUUUCCUUGUUUUUUUUAAGCCUAUUGCAUAGGUUUUAGGCUCAAAUGGAGUUCCAUAUAGCUCGAGAUAGAUCUAGAUCUCCAUGGUGUUGAUUAGCCAUUUGAGCUCCAUUUACCUCAAACUUUUGAAUGAAGUUAGGUUAUUUAGGUAGGAGAACAAGAUUAUCUAAUCAUUUGUACUCAACUUUGAUGUUUUAGCCUCAUUCAUGAAUGAUCAAUUCCUAGAUAUCCAUGGAGGAGAGAGAAGAAGAUUUGGUUUUUUCUAUAUUGAUCCAUGCAUGAUAUAAUUUCCAUUUUUUCAAGAUUUUGUGGGACAAAACAAGUUGACAUGGAUGAUGAAUAUUUAUUUUUCAUUUUUCCAAGAUUUCUAUAUUUUUAUUUGUUUAUUAGGAAAUACUACAUGUGUGUAAGUGUGUGUGUGUGUAUGGUGUUUUUAUAUGGUGUAAUUUUUUUUGCUGUUUAGAGAGAUGGAUAGGACAUGGAUGUAUCAAGCAUGAGGAACGAACGUCUAUUUCCAUGGAGAACUUAACAAAUUUAUUAAAGGUGCGGAGAAUAAUGUAAUGGUUCAGAAGACAAAGAUGGUAGCUUGUUCGUGCAAAACCUGAAAGAACAUGAGAGUAUUCGGGGAGACAACUACAAUAAGAUCGCAUGUGAUGGUUCAAGGUUUUGUUGAAGACUACAUGAUCUAGACAUAUCAUGGUGAGAAAGAACCCCCUUAGAAUCCGCUCGACAAAAUCAUGGAAGAUGUCAAGUUUGAUAGAAUGUUUGAUGCUUAAGAUUGUUUUGAUGAGGGUGGCGGCGAUGAUGAUGGUGGUGGCUCCGAUGGAGAUGAUAGUGUUGACGAGGGUGGCGAUGGUGGUUGUGGUGACAAUAAUGGUUAUGAUAGUAGUGGCGACGACGAACUUGAUGACAAUGAUUUUCUGAGCCAGUUAUUGCAUCACACCAAAGUGGAACUAUUGGUUGGUAGUGCAAAAGGCAUUAGGAAACUUCAAGACGGUGAAGAAAUCAGUGGAGGAGAAUGUGUACGAACAUUCAAAGAGAUGUCCAAAAUAAUGGACCGUACUUCAUUUCAUACUUGAGUUGUUGAUUAUAAAGGCUAAGCAUGGUUGGUCCAAUGGUACUUUCAAUGAUCUGCUGCGUAUCUUGGCUUGGUUGCUUCCAAAGCAAAAUAGAGUGCUCGCCAACACAUAUCGAGCAAAGAAACUUGUCAGUCCAUUCACAAUGGGUGUGGAAAGAAUUCAUACAUGUCCAAAUCAUUGUAUCUUGUACUACGAGGAUACUUUCAAAGGUUUGGACAAAUGUCCUGUAUGUUCUGCAAGUCGGUACAAAAACAAUUCCAGUUAUUGUGAUGACGACAGGCAAGGUCCAACCGAUGGGAAUAAAAGGAAGAGGAAGGGUGCAAGGAAUAGUGUUGCCACUUUUGAGCUAGAAGACACUACUUUAGGCAUUUCUAAGAAGUAGAGUAGAAUUCCUACCUUGGUCAUGUGGUACCUCUCUGUUGUCGAUCGCCUCAGGCGUUUCUUCUCAAAUCCAAAGAACGCUGAACUGAUGCGAUGGUGGGAUUCAGAUAAGCACAGGAAAGGUGAUGGAAAGCUUCAACAUCUAUCCAAUGCCCGCUAGUGGAAGAAGUUCGAUGAGCGAUAUCCACAAUUUGGAAAUGAUCCAAGAAAUGUUCGAUUUGCACUAAGUACGGAUGUAAUGAAUCUGUUCGGUGAAAGGACCAUCACUCACAGCACAUGAUCAGUGAUCUUGAUGAUGUACAACCUGCCAACAUGGUUGUGCCAAAAGAGAAAGUACCUUUUGAUAUCCAUCCUUAUACAAGGACCAAAGCAUCCUGGCAUCGAUAUAGAUGUUUUUCUUGAGCCUUUGAUACAAGAGAUAAAAACUUUAUGGAAGAAUGAUAUCGACAUCAUUAAUGGUUUUACACUGCAGGAAUUUAAUCUAAGAGCCAUUAUCUUCGUCACCAUCAAUGAUUACCAAGCAUUAUUUGUCUUGUCAGGAUAGGUGAAAGGUAAGACAGGAUGCACGGGGUGCAUUAAUGACACCGUAUGGUCUUUCCUAGAAGGUUCUAGAAAGGUAGUUUACCUUGGGUAUAGACGUUUCUUGGUGGAAGGACACAUGUACCGAAGUAAGAAGGUCUAUAAUUUUUUUGGCGGCAAGCCCGACCUUGAAUCUGCUCCAGAAAAAUGAGAUGGGCACUAUGAUUUCAACAUGAUCAGGACCAUUCAGGUUCCUUAUGGGAAGAUGAUAAAAAAUGAGAAGAAGAGAGAUAGAGAUAAUCCACCUAUCGAUGGCGUGCCAUUCAAGAAGCUAUCGAUCUUCUACAAGUACUUGCUGUAUUGGCCGAACCUUAAAGUCUGCCAUGCCAUCGAUGGUAUGCACCUGAAGAAGAAUAUGUUUGGUAACACAAUUGGUCUCUUCCUAGAGACAUCAGCCAAGACAAAGGAUACCCUGAAGUCACGACAAGACUUAGUAGCCAUUAAGAUAAGACAAGACCUUCACCCCUAUCGAUAAAAGGAAUGGAAGAUAUGAACUACCCCGGCUAGCUACAACUUGACACUAGAUGAGAAGAAGGCAGUGUGCUAGUCGUUACGGGGGAUUAGAGUACCAAGUCGAUUCUCAUCCAACAUCAGAAAACUAGUCUCAAUGAAAGAUCUGUCGCUAUCUGACUACAACUAUCAUGAUUGUCAUGUGAUGCUGACGUUGUUCCUUUCAAUUGCAAUUAGAGCGAUCAAGCUUGUAUAUGUGAAGAUGGUUAUCACUUGAUUGUGUUACUUUUUCAACAAAAUUUCUCAAAAGGUUAUUGAUGAAGAUGAAUUGAAACACCUCAAAGAAUUUAUUGGGGAGACUAUGGUGCAAUUGGAAAUAUGCUUCCCUCCAAGAUUUUUCAAUAUUAUGGAACAUCUCAUGAUUCACAUGGUUGAUCAGAUACGGGCACCUCACAAUAAUGUCAUCUUUAGUCUGUCAACACUUGAGUGUGAUUCGUGCUCAAAUUAAGGGCCGCUCGGAAGAUUGGAUCAUGAGGGAGCACAAGUGUCGUUUGACCGCAUGGUUGAAGCACCUAAAUCUACCAGAUGGGAAAACCAUGGAAGAUCAAACGAUCAAAAGAUUGGCAGUUGGCCCAUCUAGGCAUGUCACGUCAUGGCAAGGUUAUGAUAUUAAUGGAUAUCUAUUUUAUACUACCGCGAAGGAUAAGAAGACUCUAUCUCGGAACAGUGGUGUUUGUCUUGAGGCCUUAGAGGAGAGAACCGGCCAAAAUACCACAUAUUAUGGUGUCAUAGAUGAUAUACGGGAAGUCCAAUAUGGUUCCAAUAUACAGAUCCGUUGGGUCAAACAUCCAAAAGGUGUUGAAGUGGACGGCUAUAGGCUCACAAUUGUUGACCUCAACAAUGUUGGUUACAAAGAUAGCCCUUGGGAACUUGCUCAUAGGUUGCACAGGUUAUGUAUGUUGUUGAUCCUGCAAAAAAGACAAAGUACAUUGCAGUCCCUGGAAAACAAAAAAUCUUAGGAGUUGAUUGUAUCGAAGACGUUGAAGAAUAUAAUCAGUACAAUGAAAUGAACCUCUUCAUAGACCUACCACAGAAGAUGAUGAUUUUUACCUACCGCAGAAGAUGAUGAUUUUAGAAGCAAGUAUAAAGAAAGAUGAAAUGCCUUGGGCACGCAAGGACGGAGAAUUAAGAAUUGUUACCGUGUAAUAUAUAACUAGUUUGAGUCUAUUUAACUCGUGUAAUAUGUAGUUUGAAUUAAUUAUCUCAUGGACUUUAAAUCAAUUAUGUCAUGUAACUGAAUCAAUUACCUAAUACUUUUGAAGUUGGCAUAUAUAUUUUUCAUUUGAGAAGCAUAAUAACUUUUGAAGUUGAAUGUAUGAGUAUAUGUGAAUGUGUUUAGUGGAUGUAUUUUUUGAUUGCAAACUUUUACAAUUUAUCUCGGAUGAAUAUAAACUUUAUAUCAAAAUUGUAGAGCUCAACGAGACAUUAAACUUUAUCGUUGACAACUUUUGCAUUUGAGAUCAUUUAAUAGCUCAAAAAUACAUUUUAGAAGAAAAACAAAAAUGGAGAAACGAUUUCUAGGGGCGGGUGAAUCCAUCCCACCACUGGAAACGAUUUUCAGGAGCGGGUGACUCCAUCACUCGCUCCUAUAAAUCCUUUCUAGAGGUGGGUGGUGGUGCCACCCAUCCCUGCUAAUGGCACCCUAUAUAUGAUAAUGCCUGCAGGGAGUUAGCCAAAUUUUUGGAGAAGCCCGUGGGAUGCCAAUAGGCCGCCAAAAUUUUCCCCCUCCCUCCCCCGGACUGGUGCCACUCCCCUCCCCCACGGGCUCCGGAACCGUCGGGCCACAGCGUCGCCUUUCCCAUCGUGGCGCCUCCCCGCGCCACCUCUCCACCGCCGGACCGUGCAACAUGGGGCGCGCCUCCUUCCCUCCUCUCCACCGCUGCGGGGUCGGGUAGCCUCCUCCUCGAGUGCCGCCGCCUUCCAGCUGAGCCGCCUCCUUGCCCGGCCGCCUCCUCAUCCCUGCCGGCCUCGGGCAGCCUCCUCCCCAAGCACCACCUCCCCACUGGGCCACCGCCUACCUGCCACGGGUAAAUUUCUUCAAUUAUUAUGUAAACCAACAAUUGUAAAUUUCUUCCAUUAUUUUGGACAAUCAUUGAAGUUAAUUUUUGGAAAAAUCUAUCUUGUCUAAAUUAUCAUUGCAGUUGAUGUUUGUGGAAUUAUCUAUCUUAUUACAAUUUUAUUUUGAUAUUUUUGGCUAACUAUGGCAAGUGGAAGUGGCAGCGGCGGCUGUGGAGGUGGCCGCCGUGGUGGUGGCAGAUCAGUUCCCAACAUAGUAAUAUCCUUUCCUUCUUUUAAUUAAUUUUUUUAAUACACAUGAAUAAAUUCUAAAUUUACUUACAUACAAUGUAGCUUAUCAACCCUAUUACAAUGGGUUAAAGAUGUUGUCGAAGUUAUAAGUGGUACUUCUCUUGUAAUGCAAACCGAAGGUGUCGGUGAACCUCAUUUUAAAAGAGUACAUAUCACUUUACAAGUACCUAUUUGAGAUACAGAUUUCACCUUGAUGUCAACAGGAGAGGCCAUCCCGAUGGUUUCAAUUGCCGCAUGGGGUCAAAUAGCACCAACGGGUAACUUUUGAGAGGACCGUCAUAGAGACCUGCCUAGAGCAGCUUAAGGAUCAUGGGUACUUUGUGCCAAACUUGUCAUAUUUUUUAAUAAAGUAGCUUGAGGAGGGAGAAGACAAUGUGAUUGUGACUACUAAGAGACUUUAUCGACUUAAUCAACAUGACAUGGUAUGGAACAUUCUUUUAUCAUUCUUAACUUUAGUUAUGUUACAUCUUUUAACUUUCAUCGUGUUAUUAUCAUCUUUUAGGAUAUAUUUGGUACUACCAUUGCGGCAACGAGCUUUCAUACGAUUCUGGAUCAAGUCUUGGAUGUGUUUGAUUUGACUUACAUGGGUGGAAACUCGAUAUUCACCAGAGAUUGGAAGUUCCAGGCCCAGCUCACUUUCUAUAGGCCACAUCAAUUAACAUCUCCAUUGUUCGAGAUUUAUAGUAGUGUAUGUGACCAUCCAUAUGAAGCGAAAGAGAGUGCACUCAUCCGUGCUCUAACUUAUUUUGAUGAAGUUCUAGGCUGGAUGAUUGGAGACCUUAACUAUGUUCCAUAUCUAAGCAUAUCUAAGGAAGCGAGCUAGAUUAGUACGAAAUAUGUAACAUGUAUGGUUGUACGCCUACCCUUUUCUUAUGGAUUUAAACUUGUUCCCUCUACGACCUUUUAAGUAUUGAUGUACGAACUUGCACUAUUAUCAGGAGCAGACUACUUGCUCCCGCAAACAGCUAUUUGUAGCUGCGAAAGCUAGGAGCGGGUGGCGCGUCCGCCCUACAAAUGUCAUUUCAACCGUCCCUAGAAAUCAUUUUUUAUAGUGGGUGAACUUAUUUUAUAUAAUUGAGAAUUAUCUUUCUUACUUCCUGUCCCCACAUGACAUCUUAAAAUUGACUCCCUUUUUGUCUUCAUAUGAUUAGGAAAUAAAGAUAUGACAAUCAAUUCUAUCACCACGUUUAUUUCAAAAAAAAUCCAUCACCACGCAUCCAAUUCGAUAAGUGUGCUAGUCCAUGAAGUGCACGCGGAGCUUGCAGAGGUGACAUGUCAUGCGCUCUAUGGGCAAUCUCCCAGCCCAAGUAACAGAUAGUUUCUUUAAUUAGUUUGUUAGCCAUAUAGGUACUACACAUACAGAUUACAUUCACAAUAGUUAGUUUUUUUUUCAAAAUAAAUUAUCAUCCAAUCCCUUUUCUUUUCUCAACUUUUCUCUCUAUCCCCGCCCUUCUUUCCUUGGUUCUCAGGUAUUCAUGGUUUUUUCAUGAGAAAUUAUUUCUUCUACCUCCUCCUUAAUUCUCUUGCCGCCUUAGCAAAUUGUUUACAUGACAUUAGGAUUGUUUGCAUGAGAAAUCAGCUGUUAGUGACCGUGGAGCAUUAAUGGGGUUUGUUAAAGUGCUUGUGAAAAAAAAGAGUGAAGAAAAUCAACUUUGGAGCUGAUGGCUCCAUCAGCUUGCCUAUAUUCAAGUGCAGCAAGAUCACCCCUAUCAGUUCGGCUCAAUAGUAAACUGCCUUGUAAUUGACUUAUCACAGCGAUAAGUCGUCCCCUCAGUCUACUUCUACAGCACUACUGAUAUAUAUAUUAUGUCUUCUACAUCUUCAAGGAUCCUUAUGAGGCUACUUUACUAUAAUAAUGUUGAUCUCCGAGGGUAAUGGAGCCAUGUGCUCUGUUUGAUUAUUGUUUCUUGACUUGUUCUCACUCUAGUUACAACUAAACAUCAUUCUGGGUUUAAUUUCCUGGAUAACAAGUCUUUUUAUGUUUUGUAGAUCAGACAGCUGAAAAUGAUAAAGGCAAUAGUAUUACCUAGCUUGAAAAAAUAUUGUUUCAUAGUAUUACUUAACGCGUUUAGCAAAACAUUAAAAUAGAAAUUUAAAUUUAAAUUUGCGUUCUGGGGUGUGUUAGUGUUGUUGAUAUGUGAAAUAGUGCUCUUGCUGACUUUGAAGGAGUUAGUCAAUUGAAAGUCAAGCCUUUUGGAAGGUAGCAUUCGAUCUUCUAGUCAGUUCUCCAAUAUGAUGUCUAUACUGCAGAUCCUCUAGUACAAAAAUGAUGUAAUAUAAUACACGUGGAUCUAAGUCGUCCUAACCGGUAAUCGAUGUCCACGGCCAAAUCCCUAGCUAGUCAGACUAGUCUAAGAAGAAGAUUUGCUGAUCUGCUGUGUCACAUGCCAUUCCAGCCAACCGAUAUUAUGCAGGAGUCUACGGCAAGUUCUCUAGACUAUCACGGCGCUUAUUCAUCCUUGAUCCGGCACACAUGCAGCAGUUUUUAAGGGUGCCACAUGGCCAGGAGGGAUCUGAAACCCUUGCAAAUUGUGGAUUCAAGAAGAUUCUUGUUUGCAGUGCAUGAUCCUACGACCUUUUUGCAUUCCAAGCGACAGUGCUGAGGAUCAGUGUAUAAUAUCCAGCUGUUUCUAGUAGCGAGGGAAAUCUUAACGACAGCUUGAGUACACAUUGGUAAUUAGUGAAGAGAGGUCAAAAUCAAUUCUCUACGAGACCUAAUUCUAUGAGAGAAGUGAUUCUGUGAAUAAAUAAUUUUCUUUGAUUCUCUAGUAUAAACUCUUAAAAUUAGGAUGGAGAAUCUCUUCACAGAAUCAGAAGAAGCAACUUUUUUCAGCUCCCAACCUCUUAGUUCAUUUUAGAGAAUCACUUCUCUCUUAAAAACUGUUUGGCAGAGCUCCUGCUGGAUUCAACAGGGAAUCAGCUCUGGGAGCUCUGUCAAACACAGUUUUCACUGCUGGGGAAAGCCCUAUCAGUACCGGUUGGGAACCUCCUUUAGUACCGGUUUACUACUAGUUCGGUACUAAAGGGGACCCUUUAGUACCGGUUGAAAUAACCGGUACUAAAGGGUAUUAAAAAAUUAAAAAAAAGAAAUCCCCGCCCGGGCCCUCCCCUGGCCUCCCCCAAUGCCACCCUCCGCCCUCCCCCCGGCCUCGCAUCCCGCCAGCGAGCUCGGAUCCCGCCGCCCCCGGCCCACAUCUCGCCGCCACCGCCACCACUGCAUCCCGCCGCCACCACCACCGCCACCCCCGCAUCCCGCAGUUGCCGCUCCAUCCGCCAGAUCCCGCCGCUCCAUCUGCUGGAUCCCAUCGCCACCGCUCCAUCCGCUGGGUCACAUCACCGCAUCCCGCUGCCCCCGACCUCGCAUCCUACCGGCCGCUUUGUGCCUCAAUGGCUACCGUCGCAGCGCCUCGCCCCGCCGCUGCUCCUCGUCUCAAGCACGAGGUGACGGGCGAGCAGAGGGGGAGGAGACGGGAGGCUGGGGAGGGAGGGAGGAGGCCGGUAGAGGAGGAAGGAGGGACUCCUGGAGGGAGGGAGCUAAGGGAGGGCGAGGGAGACGGAGGGAGGUUGAGAGGAUAAGGCCAGCUAGCGGAUGGAGAGGAAGGCGGAGGGAGGGUGAGAGGAUAAUGCCAGCUAGUGCCUCGAGGGAAGGGAGGGGGCUGGUGCAAAUUAAAGUCCCCGCGUGUAGAUGGAGGGAGGCGGAGGAAACCCUUUAGUACCGGGUGGAGACUCCACCGGGUACUAAAGGUGACCCUUUAGUAUUGGGUAGAGCCUCCACCCGGUACUAAAGGCCCUCAGCACAUUAGUACCGGGUGGAGCCUCCUCUCAGUAAUAAUGGUCACCUUUAGUACCGGGUGGAGCCUCCUCUCAGUAAUAAUGGUCACCUUUAGUACCGGGUGGAGCCUCCACUCGGUACUAAAGGGGUUAGGGGGGCUCCUCGAGGACUAUCCGUUAGGCUCGAUACUAAUGCUCAUAUUAGUACUGGGUCAAAAUGGAACCGGUACUGAGCCUCGAAACGAAUGCUCAGUUUUCCAAUAGUGUUUAGUGGUUGAAGCUUGGUUCUAAAAUUAAUUAUCAAGGCAUCACCUCUGGUCGACUUUGAAAUGCUAGCCUAGCACCCUCACUACCAAUGGCGAUAAGAUGCGUGCGACAUCUCCACUUUUCAUACCCUUCCAUCCAACCAAAUUAAACCUUAGGCAAAGGGAGGUGCUGUCUCCUGUGUGGUGGUUGCAUGAACAAAUGCAGUGGCAACCAAUGAUGUGGCAUCAAGAUCCGCAUGGGCUGCCAGCUGAGAUCUGCGUUGCAGAGCUAGCUGCGGUGUAGGUGAUGACUGCCGAUCUCGCAGGAUUGCCACUGCCUACGCUGCUGGCGUCAUCUCUAUUUCUCACGCUGCAGGUUUGUCGCUUGUGGCACAUAUGUUUCCGAUGACAUGUCCUCCUUAGAGGCAGCGUCCCUUUGGAGUUCCUGCUCCACGCUGCUAAGUCCCCGGCUGUCAGCUCCUUGUGCAUGUCCACUGUCGUUGUGGAGUUAUUAAGAGGCUGCCACUCGCCUAUACCACUCUGAAUUCGAUGGAUGGUAUUAAAGGUCCUAGGCUCCUAGCAACUCUUGCUUGUGUGGUUUUAUCAGCCAUAUGCACAUAUGGUUUAACUUGUGAUUCUUGGUGCCACUGUUUCCAUUCUUCUCAAUCAAGCUUUGUGCGUUGGUGAUCGUCAGUGCUGUAUAUCAAGCUUUGUGCAGCGCCGGUUGUUUCAUCAGACGGUGCGGACUACAAUGGUGCAUCAUCAGAUGAUGUUGAUAUGUGUGCAUUUCGUGAUUCCAUUGCAAAAUCCUUGAUGGAAAAUAGAGGGUAGAUGCAAAAUGGAUGGUGCACGACUCACUUUGUAUGUAAUAGCAUAAAGUUGGUAUUUUGUAUAGGCUUAAAAAAAAAAGCUACUCAUGCUUGGGAUAUGCUUUUGUGUAAGCUCGAUGAAAGAAUGGAAAUACUGUAUGAUUAUAUAGAUUAAAUUUACUAUUUAGUUAAUUUAUUAGUAGGAAAUAUCAAAUAAAACAAAUGAAAUUGUAUUAACCAAGCUCUUCGGGCCAUUCAUUACAAUUUACCAGGCAUUCAUUAUACAGAGGGUAUUUCAGACAUUCCACUCUCCAGCUCAACAGCCAGCUAUCCAAAAGCUAGGUUGCCAAACAGACUAGCUUAUCAAACUAGAGAUUCUCAAGUGAGCUUCUUGGACAAGCUGCUUUUGGGAAAAGCUCCAGCUACCCCAAACGGGGCCGAGUCAGAAGGUUUUUGUAUCAAGUGAAAUAUGAUUGACGUAAUUAUACGUGCAUGUGUGCCAAUUGCAACAAUAAUGCACCUACAUUUCAGCACUCACCUCGUCAGACACUCAACAGGUACUUUAGUACUGACAACGGUACUUGCCACUUGGUAAGUUUGAAAUGUAAAACCGGCGGCGGCCUUCGUAUGCAUUUUAAUACUGCAGGGCCAAAUAUGAAACAAAUUUGUCCUGGCUUGAAGACCACGAAAUUCGAAGCUAUGCCACGAGAGUCGCGAGACCUGUUUUUCUUACCGCGCACUGCCCGGGUACCUAGUUCACACAUAUAAAGUGUGCCCUUGCUUCUUGCCCUAGCUUCUUCAGACUUCCAGUGCGUGCCCUUGCCCGGCCGGCAGCAAAUGGAGAAGCUCCGCUGGAGCAGGAGCUCGUCGUCCCCGCGGAACCAGGCGGAGAGGAAGGGCUUCCUGGCCAAGACCGUGGAGCGGUGCCGCCGGUCCCUCAGCCGGCGGCGUUCACCGGCGGCGCCGCCGGGGUGCUUCGCGGUGCUGGUCGGCCCGGAGAGGGAGCGGUUCGUGGUGCGCGCCGAGCGCGCCAACCACCCGCUGUUCAGGGCGCUGCUGGACGAAGCGGAGGCCGAGUAUGGGUUCCCGCACCCUGCGGCCGGGCCGCUGGUGCUGCCGUGCAGCGCCGAGGAGUUCCGGCGGGUCAUGUCGGAGGUGGAGCGCGAGGAGGACGGGGAGAAGGAAGACGUUGCACGCGGCGCGUCCGUUGCUGCCUCGUCCCCGGCGUGGAGGUUCUUCUCCGGAGGAGGUGACCAUGCAGGUUAUGUGAAGAUGAGCCCAGAGCCCGACACGUACGGGCCACUUUGCGAGCUAGCAAUGUAACCAAUUGACUAUUUUGCUCGAGUAGGAUAACCAUGGAUCGUUUCACUUCUAUACUCUAGUUCUCUUUGUCUGUUCGAGGAGUGGGUCAUAUCCUUCACCACAUCAUUUCUCACAGCAAAUUAAGCAGAUGCAAAUGCAAACCUAUAAGGAAAAUAGUCCUAGGCCAUAAUAUGAUUUUGGUGAUUAAUGAUAACAUAUUCAUCGGGACUAAUGUAUUGGCAAAAUAUACUUUUAUAGAUAUUUUAUAGGUCCAAGGAUGAAUUACAAAACUAUCAAAAUGAGAAGAAAAAGAAAAGACUUGGAAGAAUUCUACGGCAUCCAAAUGAUAGUAAAAAAUCCAGAGAUAGUCUUCUUCUAAGGCUUACAAAUGAUGAUAAUGAAGCUGGGACAAAGACACGUGAAGAUUUGAAGCGAAUCCUGCUGAAAAUAUGCACCGAUCCAUACUCUGGUACUAGUAACCGUCACCGACAUAUUCGGUGAUCACGGGCAGGGCCAAGGUACGUGCGUGCACUGUUACCAUCGAUUCAUACUCUGGUAACAGUAACCGUCACCGAAUCAGUCAGUGAUCACAGGCAGGGCCAAGUAGGCGCGUGCACUGUUACCACCGAUUCAUACUCUGGUAACAGUAACCAUCACCGAAUCAGUCGGUGAUCGUCAGCUCAGCUCAGCAUUGGCUCAAAAUCAGCUUUGAAAGGUUUGGAGUAUAAUUUGAGCCUCACCAAUUCAUACGGUGGCUACAGUAAUCAUGGCAGCGAAUGAGUCGGUGAUACGCAAAAAGUUACAACGGCUAUGUAACGGCUAGUUCUUGGAGUUGGGGCUAUAUAUACCCCAUUGCCUGGCUAUUUGAGGUGUCUUAGAGUUUGGAUAAGCUAUAGGCUUGGUUCUCACAUACACACAAGUGCUCUAUCCACCAAAGCACAAAAGAGAAGGUUAAGGCAAUUAGCAUAAGGCUAAGGUCUUGAUUAGUGCUAGUUUAGGUAUUUUAGCACAUUGUUUUGGGGAUUAGCCUAGAGUUAGGCGAGGUUUGCACACUUCCUUUGUAUCGGUGCUUGCGCGCACCAAGAGUUGUAAAUCCGGGGCUCGUAAGUCUUGUGAGACCCUCCAACCGUAUUUGUGGAGUGGCCACCGGUGCUUGUGAGAGGGAGGAGAGGCUCUCGACAUUUUGCCGAAGCUCUACCAAGUGAAGAGCGGCAAAGAGCAUCCGGGAGAGGUUAGGCAGAGACCCAUUUGCACGUGGGGAAGGCCCGCCGGCUAUUCUACGGAGUUACUUGACCGGAGAGUUUAUGCCCUUGCGCGGGUAUUCCCUUUGAGAGGGGCUCCAACAACGAGGACUAGUGGAAAGCUUUGCUUUCCAAUACCUCGGUAAAAAUCACUGUGUCGUCACGCUGGGAGUUUGUCUUCUCUACCUCAUUUACCUUCCGCAUUUCUAAUUGCACUUUACAUUCUGUGUUUACCUUUCCUAGAAUUUCUAUGUGUAGUUUAUAUGAUUGAAACCUAAGGUGCAAAACUCUUUUGCGGUAGAGAUAGCAACACAUAGAAAAAUCUAGUGCACAUCUAAAUAAAGAUUGAAAUAGAUUUUUUAUAUGUACUUGGAGCCUUAGUUUUUAGAACAUCCAAUUCAGCCACCCUCUAAGGGUGUCACGGUCCCUUCAAUUGGUAUCAGAGCCGGUGGCUCAUAUUUAGACCCUUUGCUUCACCGCCAUUGAGCAAAAUAACAUUCGAAGAGAUUAUGAGUGAUCUCGGUAGGCCUCCACACUUUGACGGCACUAAUUUCCCCUAUUGGCAUGUUCGCAUGUCAUGUUUUCUAAAGGCGAAAGGUUUAGGUGUUUGGAGAGUGACGAAACAUGGAAUGAAUCCCAUAGCUCAGCCGAACAGCCCCACCAAGGCCGAUGAAAAAGAGUUGCAUCUCAAUGCUAUUGCUCGGAAUUCAAUUUUUGAAUCUGUUAGCAUUGAGGUCUUUAAUAGAGUCUAUAAGCUUGAAAGUGCACAUAAAAUAUGGACCACGCUCAUAGAACUCCACAACGGCACGAGUGACGUUAAGGAGCAAAAGUAUAGCUUGAUCAAAGAGGCCUUUGAUUCUUUUCAAAUGUUGCCUGAUGAAUUAGCUAAUUACAUGUACUCACUCUUAAAUGUUAUUGUCAAUGAGCUAAAUGCAAUAGGUUUGACCAAGCUAUCCAAUGCGGACAUCUCAAGAAAGAUCAUCCAUGUUCUUCCCAAGGACAAGUACGCCGCCAUCGUCACCUACUUCCAUUGCUUCGAAGACAUUAACAACUUGAAGCCAACCAAGCUCUUGAACCAGAUUAUUGCUCAUGAGCUAUCCAUGAAGAUUACCAAAAGCCAUUCUCCCUUGAGUAAAGAUGUUGGCACAUCAAGCAAAGAAGAGAAGGAGAAGGAAGAGAAAAAUGAAGAUAAGCAAGAAUCUUCCACAUCAAGCAAAAAGGCUCAAAAGCAAGAAUCAAGUUCAAGCUCAAGCUCAAGUGAAGCUUCAAGUUCAAGUGAAAAAGAAGAAGAAAAUGAUGAUGAGGUGGAAGAUGAAGAGGAUGAUCAAGCAAGUAGUAGCAACUCCUCCAACGAUGAAGAAAUCAAGCAACUUGUGAAAGGAGUAAACAUGCUAUUCAAGAAGCUCAAUUCCAAAGGUGUCCCUACAGAACAAUUGGUUCGCUACAACCUAAGAAAAAAUAAGAAUGAAUGUUUUGGUUGUGGUGAGGAGGAACACUACAUUGAGUAUUGUCCGUUGAUGGAGAAAAUAUACAAGCAAAGAAAGAAAGAAAGAAAAGAAAGGAAGAAGGAGAAGAAGGCAAGCAAGAAGAAGGCCUUCACAAGCAUUGCAAAUAGUAGGUUUGAUAUGACAAGCUCAAGUGAUGAAGAAACCCACCGCAAGCCACGUGCCUUCUUAUCAUCAUCAAGCUCAUUGCACAUUUGCCUUAUGGCAAAAGGUAAGCAUGAUAGCGAUGUAAGUGAUGAUGACUCCUCUCCUUCAAUUAAUGAGCUUGUGGAUCUUGUUCGAAAUCAAGAGGUAGCAAUAACAAAUCUUUUUAAUAAAAAUAAGGAACUCAAAGAAAAAUUGGCUAGCUCAUCAUCCAAUUAUAAAGAAUUGACCGAAAGGUUUGAUGAUGUCAUUGAUCAAAAUGGUGAGCUAACUAAGAAAAUUGAGGUCCUUGAACAAGCUAAAACUACCUCUAACAAGGCAUCCACAUCCUUUCAAAAUAAAUCAAAAAAGGAUGCCUCUACUUCUUGCACUGAUUUAAAUGUUAAAUCUUGCUUACCAUGUUGCAAUGAGACUUGUGCCAAGAAUGUUGUUGUAGUAACAUGAUGAGCUCAAGUAAGAAGUGGAAAGGCUCAUGAAGGACUUGACAAGGCUCAAGGGCAAGGAGAAGGCUAAUGAGAGCAAGAAAUAACCUUCUCAAGAUAACCAUCCCAAGAUGGUGAAAAAGCUUGAGAAGGGUGUAACCGUUACUUGCUACUCAUACCACCAAGAAGGCCACAAGUCCUAUGAGUGCAAGAACAAGAAGAAGGGGGAGCAAAAGAAGAAAGUCAACUCCAACAAAGCCUUACUUGAAGGUUGACAAGAAGAAGAGGACACCCUACCUCCUCAAGAAGAAAGAUGACAAGGUGGUGGCUCACUUGACCAACAAGCAAGGCAAGGGGUGGAACCAACCUAUUUGGGUUCCCAAAGAAAUCAUCACUACCAUGAAGGGCUCCAAGAAGGUUUGGGUUCCAAAGGCGACUUAGAGUCCGCGAGACUCAGGAGGAUUUGGAGACUUGGCCACAAGAGAAGAGCAUUUCAUGCAAGUUUCAAGUUAAUCAAGAUUUGAAGCAAGUUGCAAAUCAUUGACAAAUCCUAUGCCCAAAUCCUCCAAAGGUAACUAGGUAACUAGAUAUCCUUUCAUGCUCUUUCAAUUAGCAUCUAGUUCCUAUGAUUGUCUAGGAUUGCAUGAGAAAAAAAAUUCCUUUGCAUUACCUAGUGUGCAAUUUCAUAUGGUAGGUUGUUUGUGCUUCUCUCUAACCCAUGAGCAAUCUACAUGGUUUAUUAGUUGUAGGAAAAUGGCACUAGUGCUUAUUUCAUAUCUUUUGUGCCAAGUCCAAGUUAUAGGAUAACUUCCCAAUGUUGUUAUUGACUAGUGCAUGUCUCUCACAAGUAAUUCAAAUGUUUGUAUGCAUAUAAUUAAGGGGAGCUAUCUUAUGGUUUGUGAUUUUGAGACUAACAUUGUUUGCAAGCUUAUCAUGUAUGUAGUCUCAUAUUGAAAGAAAUCAAUCCCCGGAGAUAUGCAAGCUUUAACCUUCAAAUGGUGCUCAAAUGUUCACUUGGUAUCUUUGUCUAUAUUGAUAUCAUGCAUUUCAAUUCAUAUAAAGCUAUCUCCAUGCAUAAUAUAUAUUAAACAACUCCUCUUAUCUUAAUUGACUAGUUGUGCAUAUGGUUUGACAUCCACUAUAUGUAUGCACACACUUAGGGGGAUCUUAGUCUAUGUUAUGUGAGUUUCAUGUUCAUGAUCUUAUUUGCCUUCCACACUCAAAAGAUCAUGAUCUAUGAAACUCUCCCUUCUGCUUUUAAUGUCUUCUUUUUUUGGUGUUUAAUUCCAAAGGGGGAGAAUUUUAGCGACCAAAGCAAGUAGACCUUGAAGGGGGAGCCGCCCUUAAGGAGGAGCAUGAAAGAAAGCAAGAACCGCAAGUGUAGGGGAGAUUGUAUAUUUCAAGUUUGGGGGGAGAUUGCAAGAAUUUGGUCUAAGAAAGGGAGAAAAGUGGCAUUGGAAUAAGGGAAGCCUUAUGACCACAUAAGGGGGAUUCCAAAUUAGUUUUCAAAUUGGUAAGAGCAAGGUAUGGUUUACUUCAAUUCGAUAUUCAUUGCAUAUUUCAAUUUGCAUAUGACUCUUGCUCUUGCAUUGCAUCCAAGCAAGUAGUUGUACUUAAUUUCUAUAUUAUCUCUUGCUUCGAUUAUGUUGUCAUCAAUCACCAAAAAGGGGGAGAUUGUAAGGAAAAUGACCCUAGGCCAUAAUGAUUUUGGUGAUUAAUGACAACAUAAUUAUUGGGACUAAUGUGUUUGCAAGAUGUAGGUAUUUUAUAGGUCCAAGGAUGAAUUACAAAACCAUCAAAAUGAGAACAAAAAGAAAAGACAUAGAAGAAUUCUACGACAUCCAAAUGAUAGUAAAAAAUCCAAAGAUAGUCUUAUUCUAAGGCUUACAAAUGAUGGUAAUGAAGCUGGGACAAAGACACGCGCAGAUUUGAAGCAAAUCAUGCUAAAAAUAUGCACCGACACAUUCCACCGACUCAUACUCUGGUAACGAUAACUAUCACCGAAUCAGUCGGUGACUAGUAAUCAUCACCGAAUCAUUCGGUGACCAUAGGUGGGGCCAAGGUAGGUGCGUGCACUGUUACCACCGAUUCAUACUCUGGUAACAGUAACCAAUACCAAAUCAGUCGGUGACCACAGACAGGGCAAAGUAGGCGCGUGCACUUUUACCACCGAUUCAUACUGUGGUAACAGUAACCAUCACUGAAUCAGUCGGUGAUCGUCGGCUCAGUCCAGCAUCGGCUCAAAAUCGGCUCUGGAAGGUUUGGAGUAUAAUUUGGGCCUCACCAAUUCAUACGGUGGCUACAAUAACCAUAGCAGCGAAUGAGUCGGUGAUACGCAGAAAGUUACAACAGCUAUGUAACGACUAGUUCUUGGAGUUGGGACUAUAUAUACCCCAUUGCCCGACUAUUUGAGGUGGCUUAGAGCUUGGAGAUAGCGGCUUGGUUCUCACAUACACACAAGUGCUCUAUCCACCAAAGCGCUAAAGAGAAGAUUAAGUCAAUUAGCAUAAGGCUUAGAUCUUGAUUAGUGCUAGUUUAGGCCUUUUAGCGCAUUGCUUUAGGGAUUAGCCUAGAGUUAGGCGAGGUUUGCACAUCUCCUUUGUAUUGGUACUUGCGCGCACCAAGAGUUGUAAAUCCGGUGCUUGUGAGAGGGAGAAGAGGCCAUUGGCGUUUUGCUGAAGCUCUACCAAGUGAAGGGCAGCAAGGAACAUCCGGGAGAGGCUAGGUGGAGACCCACUUGCACGUGGGGAAGGUCCGUCAGCUAUCCUACGAAAUUACUUGACCGGGAAGUUUAUGCCCUUGCGUGGGCAUUUCCUUUUAGAGGGGCUCCAACAACGAGGACUAGGGGAAAGCUUUAUUUUCCGAUACCUGGUAAAAAUCGCCGAGUCGCCACGCCAGAACUUUGCCUUCUCUACCUCAUUUACCUUCCGCAUUUCUUAUUGCACUUUACAUUCACCAUUUACCUUUCCUAGAAUUACCAUGUGUAGUUUAUAUGAUUGGAACCUAGGGUGCAAAACUCUUUUGCAGUAGAGAUAGCAACACACAUAAAAAUCUAGUGCACAUCUAGAUAGAAAUUGAAAUAAGUUUUUAUAUAUGCUUGGAGCCUUAGUUUUUAAAACACAUGGUUCACCUACCCUCUCUAAAGAUGUCACGGUCCCUUCAUAAGCAAUUGAGUCAUCCCAUAAAAUCCAUAAGAUGAUCCAGCUCGUGAGCGUCGUCCAUCAAACGUUAACUGAGUCCUUGUUUUUAUUGGACUUUAUAUAUAUAUAUAUAUAUAUAUAUAUAUAUAUGAACUUUCGAGAUUUUAUGUUUUUCAUAUUUUUUUAUUAAUGGGGAUCACGAUGAUUUUUUUUUCUUCAUCAUAGAGGCAUGGCGGAGUUGAUGAGCCGAGGCCCAACAAGAGAAGUCGAAUAAAUAUUCGAGUUUUUGAAAUGUGUUAUUCAUAAAAGAACCCCAAUGGCAUUUUCUACCCCGAAUGAACAUCCAACCAUAAUAUAUCCUAUAUCAGUUUCAUUUUUAUUUAGAAAUUAAUUAUUGAUGCAAUUAAAAGGGUUACUAUCAAAGUAAAUAUUUAAAAAAUAGAAAUAUUUUAUGAACUAUUCACAUCCUAAAAUAAAAAAAAAUUUGGGUGUGACUUUUUUCUCUUCUUUUCAAAUUAAACUUAAUUUGAUUAAUGUUUAUUUAAUUUGUUUAUAACUAAAACCUUAUAUCUCGGGUUUUCAUAAUUAAAUGUUAAUUUGACUAAUAUGAAUAUAAAUGUAUUUUUAAUUAUAUUUGGUUAGUUCAACCCGAAUCAUAAAGUUAUACGCUUAGAUGCUUUUACGUGCUGCUUUUAAAAUCAAAUGUUUAAUUUGCUUAAAAUUGUACUUAGCUAUUUAUAAGUAAAAUUGGAUUAAGCUUUACAUCGAGUCUUUUCAUAUGUAAAUAUGACUUGAUUAAUUCCAACUAAGGGUAUUUCUCUGAAAUAUCUUUACAUUAUUUUUUCAACUAAAAUAAAUGAAGCAUGUAGCUCCUAUCUUUUCUUUUACAAAUCCAAACCUCUCGAUAGCUGUACCUUUUCAACCUUAGUUCCUUGCGUUCGUGUGAUCCUAGAAUCGAGCCCUAUCCUUUAGUACACUCUUUUUAAAUCUUUUCUUUUGAUUGGUGUAUUGUUUUUAGUUGUACUUGUUUGUUUGCUUGUAUGUUUGAUUGGCUUCGAGUAGAAGGAUUGUUGUUCGAAAGCUUUGAAGAUUAAGAGCUUCAAGAGAGCAAGAGCUGAAGAGCAAUAAGAGUAACUUUUCAUUGGAGAAAGGCAAGUAUCACUAACCAUCCUUCUAUCUAUACUUAUUUACAAGAAUAUCUUACAUUAAUUGGAACAUGGAGCGACCACCUAGGAAAACAGUACAACCAUAAGACCAACAAGCUCUAGUCUUGGCUAAUUAAUCAGAGACUCUAGUUUGUGAUAGUCUUACCAAAAAGCUAAGAGGGGCUCAUAGGUUGUGCGAUGGCUUGUCCAGCCAAGGGGCGUACGCACCACUUGGGGGAGGGUUCAUCCCUUAUGAGGAAACAUUAGCGGGUUAUCACUUAUUAGGGAAUCUUUAUAAAAGCCUUGUAGCGUCCCUAUGCAGUCACACCUUGGUAGUGUGAUAAGUGGCUACUUUUGCACAGCAUGGUUGGGUCUAAAGUUCUCUUGAACUUUUACGCGACUUAUGGUGGAAGUGUACAACCUCCGCAGAGUGUAAAACUAUUAUAAUAGCCCUGCUCACGAUCAAGAGCAGCCUGGACCCUCAUAUGAUAAUUGAACUUAAAUAUGGACUUAAAUCGUUAUUCUGAUUAUUUCUUGUAGCCUUACUGAGUACCAACCACAAAUAUACUCAUCCUUGCUUUUUGCUGCUCAGAAGAAGGUGUAUGAAGUUUUCUGAAGAUGAUGCUGUGUUCUAGGCGUACGCAACCCCCGGUCGAUUGCAUGUGAAGUUUGGAGCGUCCGUUUCCAGGAUUAAGCAUAAAUCUCUGAUAUACUCUCUUGUUCUUUACGUGAUAAUAUUGCUGUUAUUCACUUAUGAUGUCACUAUAUGUAUGAAACUAGGUCCUGGUAUACAUAUAGGUAGCACUUGAUUUUGUUUUAAAACCAGGUGUGACAGGUUGUUAUUCUGAUCUUUGGACUUGAACAUUUAUAAACAUGCCAGCAUAAUCUGGACAAGUCAAAAUGUCAUCUUAAACUUCAUACUCCAUAUGAAGUGACAAUAAAAUUAAUAACAUAUGAACUAACCUUUCUUGAAUUGUCACCUCAUUUUGUGCUCUACCCUUAAUACGGGUUAAACAUUCAACAAACAUGUUUAUGUUUUCUUGAAUAGCAGACCAGCGGUGUAUGAGGGAACUUUCGAGUACAAUCUAAGUAAUUCGUGUAUAUGCUUGGAAUUAAAAUCAAGUAAUUCGUGGCAAAAAGUUAUCCUCUUUUUGCUAUGGUGUAUUUAUCUUCUUGAGCGUGCUGCAACUAGUAAGUAUUAACUUUGACGAGCCUGGCACGACCAUGCAUGACCAUCACUGGCCAGUGGUCACAAACAACAAUUGACGGGUAGUGCUAGUGCCAAGUGCCAGCGCAUGCGCCCUCACCAAAUCCCUUGUCUCCGUGCUGUUGCAGUUCCUCACAUCUUCGCAUAGUAUGUCCGUAGUAUGCGUUUGGGCAGUGCAUUGGCUGGCAAGAAUAUAAUGUACUCCUACAAAGUUAGUCUAGUCUUGACUCUUUUUUUAACAAAGGUUAGCUAACCAAUUUCCUAAAAGAAAAGGGUUUGAAAGCAAUAGGCCAUGAGCCGCCAGAUAGUGCCAGUGUCGGUGCAUGUCGCCAGAUAAGAGCAAAUAAACCGAUGAUCAGCAGGGUCAUGGAAACUUGGGCAGGAAGAAAUUGCCCACUAACCAAACUCAUGCUCUUUUGUCAUAGAAAAAAUAGCACAAAUACAAGUGGGAGCAUUAUUUUUAAAAUUUGCACUUGACUUACCACCAUUUGGUCCUCCUCCGGUCUCUAUUUAUACCCCACCCAUGCCAGAGAGAGCCUCCCUUUGUCUCUCUCCCUUUGGCAACUUAACGCCAUGGACAGAGGGAGCCUGGGCUUACUUGUUCCCACAAGGACGCACGAGAGGCUCCACCACGGUGGCUUGCUCCACAACUCGUCCAGUAAGCCUCAAAUCAUAUAUCCCUGCACCAGCAAGCAAACUUCUCUUAUUAGUAUCCGUAGAGAUGCUUCCUCGAGUCGGCCUAGCAUCCUCAUUAAGUCUUCCCAAAAUAUAAGACAUUCUAUGGUUUCUAUAGUCACGUUAAUUUGAUUAUUUUGUUUUUUGUCACUUGCCUUUCAUAAAUAAAUAAAUAUAAACAAGUUUUUUCACAAACCCGUACCAAUAUUAAUUAGAGAGGAACUCCGCACAAAGUUAUCUUUAUCUUUUCUACCGACGUGUUACACCCAAAUUCAUGGCUAACAAAGACUGAACAAUAAAACAGGUUUUUUUAGGAUAAAGGCUAUAUAUCCAAACAACCCCUAUGUUGAUGAAAUAUAUCUCCAACCAGCAGCUGAUGAAAUAAACCUGAGUAAGAAUUGAAUAGUAAAAAUAUUUCCUUUUCUUCUUGAAAAGCUCUGCAAGUUACAAGAAAAAACAAGAUCAGUUUGAAAAUCGUUGGAACAGCAGCAUGUCAAAAUUUCAAUCCUUAUACGUAUUUGAUUGCUUCUUUUUCUUGAGCACUGAUGACAUGAACGGUAGUUACUAACUCCUAUGUAAUACUUGCAAGAGAGAAAUACAAAUUAGUAAACUAAUUCUGCCUUUUUUUGUUUUUGACAAACAAAUUUUGGAAUGCAAUAAUGCAGAUCCCACUAUGUUGCAAUAUUUGCGAGAAUGGCCAGAGCUAUAUUCACCUAGCUUCUGGAUGGGUGCUUUUACAUUGAUGCAACUGAUAUUCAUCAUAAGUAUGUCCAGUCAAUAUCUGAUCAACCAAAUAAGUUGGUGCAGACAGAGAUUGAAGAUUGCAGCUCCUGAUGAGCAUUCAUAUCAGGACCAAAAGAAUACAGUCAUAAAGCAGGGUGUAUCAUAUCAAGCAAGCAAAGCAUGCUGCCUGCUUAUGUUAGCAGUUCAUAUUCUGCGGGUAUUCUUAUUGCAGUUCAAUGAAAGACUAAGUAAUUGCAUGUAUCCAUCUUGUGUGCUAAGUGAAGGCUUGCAGGUGUUAUCCUUCAUAAUAUUGUCAAUAGCAGUAUCCAAUUUUCAGGAAACAAAAUCUACUAAACUACCAUUGAUAGUUCGAUCAUGGUGGAUAUUAAACUUUCUGCAAUCAAUUACCAUGGUGGUAUUUGAUCUCAGAUCAAUUUUAUCGGAUCAUGAACACAUAGGAUACAAAAAAUGGACCAAUCUGUUCAAUCUUGGUGUUUGCACUUAUCUGUUUGCAGUUUCAGCCAGAGGAACAACAGGGAUCAGGAUAACUUUCACAGAUAGCAGCAUAACAGAGCCACUUUUGACCCCAUCUGUAGGACAGCAGAUGGAAGCUGAAAGGACAUGUCUAUAUGGAAGGGCAGGUAUUCUACAAUUUAUCACAUUCUCUUGGAUGAAUCCUAUCAUUGCUAUUGGAUACAGGAAAACUCUAGAUCAGAAUGAUGUGCCAGAUCUUGAUGGGAAAGACUCUGCCGAGUUCCUCUCUGAUUCGUUUAAGAAAAUCAUAAAUGAUGUUGAACACAGGCAUGGUAUAACUACUUCAUCAAUAUAUACAGCAAUGUUCUUAUUUGUUAGACGGAAAGCAAUGAUCAAUGCAGCACUUGCUGUGCUAAAUGCCAGCGCAUCCUAUGUUGGACCAUCAUUGAUUAACGACUUGGUGAAGUUCCUUGCAGGAGACAGGCAAUAUGGACACAAAAGAGGUUACCUUCUUGCUUUAGCUCUUCUAAGUGCUAAAGUUAUACAAGCAAUAGCAGAUAGUCAGUGGCGGUUUGGAGCUCAACAGCUCGGGAUGCGGUUGCAAGCUGCUUUGAUAUCUCACGUCUAUCAAAAGGGACUCCAGUUAUCCUUCAGUUCGAGGCAGAAGCACACCAGCGGAGAGAUCAUAAACUACAUGGAUGCAGAUAUACAAAGGAUAUCUGAUUUUUUAUGGUACACAAACUACAUAUGGAUGCUACCCAUUGAGCUCUUUCUAGCUGUUUGUGUUCUCUAUCAAAACCUAGGGGCUGGGGCCUGGGCUGGUUUAGCAGCAACACUGGCAGUAAUGGUUUGCAAUAUUCCGCUAACCAGCAUGCAAAAAAAGUUGCAAGCCAAGAUCAUGGCUGCUAAAGACGAGAGAAUGAAGGCAACAACAGAAGUUCUUAGAAGCAUGAAAAUACUGAAACUUCAAGCAUGGGAUAUGCAGUACCUUCAAAAGAUAGAGGCUUCACGAAGUGAGGAGUACAAGUGGUUAUGGAGAUCUCAGAGGUUGUCAGCUUUGACAACACUUGUGUUUUGGGGGGCACCUGCAUUUAUAUCCUCUGUAACAUUUGGCUCAUGCAUAUUGAUGGGGAUUCCUCUAACUGCUGGUAGUGUUUUGUCUGCCCUUGCAACAUUCCGGAUGCUACAAAAUCCAAUCUUCAGACUUCCUGACUUGCUUUCAGUGUUUGCUCGAGGUAAAGUUUCAGCAGAUAGAGUAGCAAAGUACCUACAGGAAGAAGAACUGAAAUGUGAUGCAGUUACACAAGUGCCAAGAAGUGACACAUGCUAUGCUGUGGAGAUUUAUCAAGGAACAUUCAGCUGGGAACUUGAGACCACUUCUCCAACUCUCCCAGAUGUACAGUUAAGAGUAAAGAGAGGGAUGAAAGUAGCUAUCUGUGGAAUGGUCGGCUCUGGAAAAUCCAGUCUAUUGUCAUGCAUACUUGGGGAGAUGCCAAAGCGAAACGGGACUGUCAGGGUGAGCGGGAGCAAAGCAUAUGUUCCUCAAACUGCCUGGAUCCUGUCCGGGAAUAUCAGGGACAACAUUUUAUUCGGAAAUCCAUAUGACAAGGAAAAGUAUGAAAGGAUAGUACAAGCUUGUGCACUGACUAAAGAUAUUGAAAUGUUUGCAAAUGGAGAUUUGACUGAGAUUGGUGAAAGAGGAAUAAACAUGAGCGGUGGCCAGAAGCAGCGGAUUCAGAUUGCAAGGUCAAUGUAUGAGGAUGCUGAUAUUUACCUCUUUGAUGAUCCUUUUAGUGCAGUAGAUGCUCACACUGGAAGUCAGAUUUUUAAGGUAGGUUUUGUAGUUCCAAGAAACGCACAAAUAUAGUACUAACCAUCUAGGACUUUUAGGACAGUAGUCGGCAGAUAUUCUAAGCAAUAAAUAAUUGGAUCAUGCAGGAUUGUGUAAUGGGAAUUCCUAAAGACAAAACAGUACUGUACGUGACCCACCAAGUUGAAUUUCUUCCAGCUGCAGAUCUUAUACUGGUAGGUGCCUAAAAUAGCUUUUUGUUUAACUAAUCAUGUCCAAAGGAGAUGCCAAGCAACUAACCAUGUGGAUGAAAGUUAACAGGUGAUGCAGGGCGGAAAGAUUGUGCAGGAAGGGAAAUUUGAUGAGCUCCUUCAAAAGAAUAUAGGAUUCGAAGCUAUAGUAGGAGCCCAUAGCCAGGCACUUGAAUCUGUCAUGAAUGCUGAGAGCUCCAGCAGAAUAUCCUCAGAUAAUCAGAAAUCAGCAGAUACAGAGGAUGAUUUAGAUGCAGAAAACAAAACAGAUGAUCAGCUUCAGGGCAUAACAAAACAAGAGUCAGCACGCGAUGUCUCACACGACACCAAUGACAAGGGAAGGUUAACACAAGAUGAGGAGAGAGAAAAGGGAGGCAUUGGCAAGAAAGUUUAUUGGGUGUACCUGAGGACAGUUCAUGGUGGUGCCUUAGUUCCAAUAAUAAUCGCUGCACAGCUAUUAUUCCAAAUAUUUCAGGUAGCAAGCAACUAUUGGAUGGCAUGGGCAUCCCCUCCAUCAUCUGCAACCAACCCAACCAUUGGAUUAGGCCUCCUUUUCUCUGUGUAUAUAACACUAUCUAUGGGAAGUGCACUAUGUAUCUUUGCCCGCUCCAUGCUCACAUCAUUAAUCGGUCUGCUAACAUCAGAAAAGCUCUUCAAGAACAUGAUCCACUGCAUCCUGCGUGCCCCAAUGUCUUUCUUUGACUCCACACCUACUGGGAGAAUUUUGAACAGGGUUGGUUUUAUGAAAAUUUUAUACUGCAUCACAUGCCCUAACAGUACUAAAGUACGAAACUAAUGUGUGUUUUUCAUGUAACAGGCCUCCAGUGACCAACGUGCUCUAGAUAUGGACAUAGCAAACAAGCUUAGUUGGUCCAUGCUUUCAGUCAUACAAAUCCUGGGGACCAUUGGUGUUAUGUCACAGGUUGCAUGGCCAGUUUUCGCCAUCUUCAUUCCAGUGAUGGUUGUCUCUGUCCUUUAUCAAGUACGAACUCUUAGACAAGAACUUCAGAUCUUGCUUACAACUUUGGUGUUCUCUUUACCAUUAUGCAUAUGGUUACUAUUGCAAUCAAUAAAUUAAAGGAAGCUUAAAUACCAGUUUUCUGAAUCCAUAUACUUUGUAUAAUGUGCAGCGCUACCAAAUACCAGCAGCAAGAGAGCUGGCUCGUUUGAAUAAAAUUCAAAGGGCUCCAAUCCUACACCAUUUUGCAGAAUCACUAUUAGGAGCAUCAAGUAUUAGAGCAUAUGGACAGAAAGAUCGUUUCAUAAAAGCAAACCUUGGUCUUUUUGACAGUCACUUCAGACCAUGGUUCUAUAACUUCGCUUCCAUGGAGUGGCUUUCUCUCAGGCUAGCCAUGCUAUCCACUCUUGUCUUUGCGGUUUGUUUGAUUCUGCUAGUCAGCCUUCCUGAAGGUUUAUUGAACCCAAGUAAGAUGUAUAUGCAAAGCCCUUGGUGAUUACAGAAGCCUCAAUAUGUCUUAUGUUUAGUGAUUUUCAAACUAAUAUAAUUACACAUGCAGGCAUUGCUGGACUUGCAGUGACUUAUGCAUUGAACCUCAACUAUCAGUUGACGUCUAUGAUUUGGAACAUUACCAGCACAGAGAACAAAAUGAUAUCAGUAGAAAGAAUAUUACAGUACUCAAGGAUACCUAGUGAGGCUCCUCUAUUAGUUGACUACUGCCGCCCACCAACUAGCUGGCCGCAAAAUGGAACUAUCAGUAUAAGAUGCUUGGAGGUAUGUGAAAAAGAAUCAUGAGUUAUGACCUAACAUGAGUGCAAACAUAAUUUUAUUUCACCAAUGAUUUUAAAAAUCUUUUGCUGAGUUGGUAAAAAAAAUUAAUUUAUUCAUUAACGUUGAAGUUAAAUAAUCAUAUGCACAAAAUAACAGCAAGCUGUCAGAAAAAUUCAUCUCACGAAAGCGCUCGGUUUAUAAUAAUUAUAUAAAUAAUCACGUAGCUCUUACUUUUUAUUUUCUACAUAAUAAAUUAAACAUGUACUAUGUAUUUUAUCUCAAUAUAUGCAUUAGCUCAAAUGGAGCCAUCUAAUGUGACUUUUUGCUUUUACUGUUUUACAGGUUCGAUAUGCAGAGCAUCUCCCAUCUAUUUUGAGAAGCAUAUCAUGUACAAUUCCAGGAGGGAAGAAAGUGGGGAUUGUAGGACGUACUGGCAGUGGAAAGUCAACUUUUAUCCAAGCCCUUUUCCGGAUCGUUGAACCACGGGAAGGCACAAUUAAAAUCGACAAUGUUGACAUCUGCAAAAUAGGGCUGCAUGAUUUACGUGGCAGACUUAGCAUCAUUCCACAAGAUCCAACCAUGUUUGAGGGAACCGUAAGAGGGAAUCUUGAUCCACUAAAUGAGUACUCUGAUCAACGUGUGUGGGAGGUAACUUAAUCAGCUACAAAUACCAUCAUGAUAAAGAAAACCUUAAUUACCAUUUGAAAUAGGGAUAAGUCAUAAAUUAACAUGUUUCCCUCACACUGCAUGUUUGAUACUACCACCAAACUUUAAAUGACUGAAGCCAGAAUGGGGGAAUGGAUGUAAUUGUUAUAGUAUAAGUGCACCAACUGUACAUUGCAAUUAGUAACACAAUACAAUUCCUAAAGAUUUUCUGGUAACUCAUAACCAACCCGAUCGAAAUUCAUAAUCUAUUGACAUAAAAGUGCACAGAAAAGGGAAAGUACCACUCAAAAGAAAAUGAUGACUAGAGGGAGUGGAGACAGCCACCUGAUCAGAAUAUUGGUUUGCUUAUUUUGUUCAGGUAUUGGACAAAUGCCAGCUUGGCGAUAUAGUUCGGCAAAACCCAAAGAAGCUGGAUUCAACAGGUAAUGCACUAUUUCAGGUCUAGUGGCCAAUGUGAAAACGUAGUGUUCAUGGGUAGGUGGUACUGUAGUAGUUACCGUAGUCUUGUAGGUAAGGAUAUCUUCAAUGAGACUAUAACCAAACGGGAUACCCCCUGCAGUUUUCGAGAAUGGAGAAAACUGGAGCGUGGGCCAGAGGCAGCUGUUUUGCCUUGGUAGGGUUCUGCUAAAGAGAAGCAACAUCCUCGUACUUGAUGAGGCAACUGCUUCAGUUGACUCCUCCACUGAUGCAGUUAUCCAAGAAACCGUCCGCCAAGAGUUUCGGGAUUGCACAGUGCUUACAGUGGCACACAGAAUCCACACGGUUGUUGACAGCGAUCUCAUCCUCGUCUUCAGUGAAGGUAUAAGGCCCGGGUUCAAUGAACAAACAGCAGUCCGCUGCAUGUUAUUGGAGGACCUAGCUGCAGUGAUACUAAAAUCCAUACUGUUUUAUGAUGAGCAGGGAGGAUCGUGGAAUACGACACUCCGUCGAAAUUGCUGAAGAACGAGAACUCUGAGUUCUCCAGGCUCGUCAAGGAGUACUCGAGGCGAUCCCACUGCUCCAGCGGCAGAGGAAACAACUGUAACAGGGGCAACUAGCACAGCAUGAAGACAGGGAUUGAAGUGAACUUCAAAAUCAAUCGUAGUGGCCUAGUGGGUGGCAUAGCACUAGCUCCUAGCUAGACUCAGUUAUUCUGUUGCUGAUGGGAUCAAACGUCCUGUAUAAGAAAAAUAAACGAUAAGAAGCACAUAUUCUGCGUAAAUGUGUGCACGCGAAUGGUGACAGUAGGACGUUUUGCCUUUUUCAACUGUAAUACUUGAUCGGGGCCUUACACAUCGCAGUGCGUCCGGUCAGGCAUUCCAUCGAGCAGGCGACGGGCAUAUGGCAGUGCGCUCGAGACCGGCGCCAACUUAACGGCGCUAUCCCUAGCCUACCGGCUAUUGGAGAAGGAGGAGGUGGGAAAAACGGGCAGGCGGGUCGUCGGUGUCAUCGCCGGAGCGGGGUUCGGGGCGGAGGAAGGGGGGCGAUGGGUGGCGGCCGUCGGCUGAAAGGUUGGGGAGGGCGGGAAGCACAGCAGAGCCGCAGAGAUGGUUCGUGUCGGCUUGGCUUGCGUUAGGAUAUGGAGCUGGCUCGGCUCAAAAAACAAGCUAAACUACCUCAAACACGGCAAAUCGUGCUUAGAGCAGUCAGUGUGUUCUAAAAGUUAUUUUUCGUUUUUCUCUUUUCUCUUUGAGUAUCCAUCGGCGCACCGCAAGACGCAAUGCUAGAUGAAAAAACUCGGCAUCGAUGACUCUAGUUUUCUUGAUGCAUAACUACUCCAAUAGCAGGCUGCUGCUCCCUGUCAGUGAGAAGGAAACUAUAAUGGGAGAAGAAAACAAAGCAUCGUUAGUUGUCGGUGUUAAAAUCCGGCAACCUACCAAGAAGAAUACCCAAGGUAGAGUCUUGGUUGGUAGGUGUCGCCGAAAUCAGAAACUCGAUGGUAUACGUAGGCACGCGAUUUAGACAAGUCGGACCGCUAGAUCGCGUAAUACCUACGUCCUGUGUGUUAUUUGCUUGUAUUCAAUUGAACUUUCUAGAGAGGUCCCUGCCUGUCCUUAUAUAUUGGUGGAGCAGGAUUAAGGAUCGGUUAUUUUACAGGAAUACCAGUCGGAUUCGACCAGAGAGUCCUACUCUAACUGCUAUGAGUAGUUUCCGAGUCCUCGACUAGUCCCUGUCCUCCACGUAGACUACGUCGUCCUGCACCAUAGUCUCCAUAUCUGACACGUCUCGGUGCACAACCCUAUAUAUGGGUCUGUCCAAAUCUUCUGAUGGGCUUGUGGAUGUAUGUACGACAAGCCUCGAGUACAUUUUAGUCAAAUGCAGCAGUCCCGAGUACCUUUACAGGCUUCAUCGACUAGUUUUUGAUGCUCUUCUAAGUACUCUGUCAAAGUUGAGCCUUCAAGUAACUCGAGUACUGCCAUGCGGCUAGAAUGUGCUCAAGCCUCAUCCGACGCUAUGUUGAAUAUCUGUCCUUGAAUUUAUAUAUGGAAGUGCGAUGAAAAUUGCACUUCAUAUGGAGUAGCCCCCGAGCCUUAGGUUGAAUCGAAGAAUCAGGCUGAGGGUCAAUCUGCAUUCGCAUUGUCUUCACUUUAAACUCCAGAGAAAAAACUUUUUAGCCGACGGGCACGUGGCACACAGCCCCCGAGCUGUUACCCGAUUAGUUUAAGGAGGUAUAAGGGUCAACCACCAGUCAUUGUGACCGUCGCCAACAGUAACUUUAUCUUUUGUGGUAACUUCGGAAACUGACGGCCAUAUGCAAAUUUUGCUACUAGUGGCGAAAACAUUAGGCCAUUACCUCCGUUUACUCCGCCUCUGUUAUAAAUAGACGGGAGAAAUUACCCCUCCUGUUUACUUUGCUAUUUGCAUCUACUAUUUGCCUUUGCUGAAAACCUUCCCCCCUAGCGCCACCACAAUCCAAUCUUAGAUCGCCAAUGCCACCUCCCCCUGUCGAGCUCCCGAGCAUAUGCGCGUGAAGAGGCUUGCAACAAUCAGGAUGGGGAGGAAAGCUGCUGGUGCCAAGGGUGCUGAGGGUUCCAAGAAGGGAUCCAAAAAUGGGAAAGAGUCACAGCUGCCUCCGCCCAAGUACGAAAAGACGAACCAGAUCGCGCUGCCGAAUCAGGCCUUGUCUUGGAAGAGGUCCACCCUAAAGGAGGAGGAGAUCCAGGCCCUGUUGACGGCGAAGCUACUGAAGGAUCAAGCAGUCGUAGGCUGGCAGUGUGCCUAUGGUAAUGCGUGGCCAUUUGGGAUGCACCCCGACGGGACAGUAACUUUUGCGCACUUGUUGAGCGGGGUUUUGCUAUCCGCUCAUCUGAUUUUCUUCAGGGUCUUCUGGAUUACUACAAGCUUCAAUUAGUCCACCUCAACCCAAAUGACAUCCUCCACAUCUCUAUCUUCGUGCAUUUGUGUGAAGGUUUCUUGGGGAUUCAGCCCCACUUCCAGUUGUUCCGCAAGAUAUUCGAGGUGAAGCCGCAUCCAAGAAUGGAGCACACUGAAGUAGUCAGAGGUGCCGGAAUUCAGAUCCGGGAGAAGAGUAGUAGUCUGUAUUUGGACUACCAAACAAUUAAGUCACACUCCGGGUGGAAGGAGAGGUGGUUCUACAUUGAAGACCACGAAUCAAAGCUGCCAAAGGUGACUGGUCACUGCCCGGAGUGGAACAAUAGGUGGAUUGAUGAGCCAACGUUCGGGAGCAGUCUCCAGGUACCCGAGCUUUUAGCCAAGAUUGCCCAUCUGAACAAGCAAGGACUGACAGGCAUCGGAGUGGCCUUCAGUUUCCUGAAGAGGCGAGUACAACCCCUGCAACUCCGGCACAUAUGGGGUUACGAGUACUCAGGCCUUGAUGAUCCGUCAAGGAUGUCACCUGAGGAUAUCUCCACCGAUGAAGUGAUGGCAAGGCUGAAACACAUGUUCAAGAACGUCGAUGAGAUCUCCCAAAUAGUCUUGGCAUUUAACUCCUCCAACCCACCAAGAGCAGUAUGUACCCAUGGCUGUAGCCCCCGAGUACCUAUUCGUUGUUGAUCUUCUGUUCCGACUGGUCUCCCUUUAUGCAGGAGGAUAUACUCGUGUUCUUUUCACCCCCUCCUCCACCCGGUGCUGAUGAUGUUGAAAGUGUGCCGCGGGUUUGUGGGUGGAAUAUGGCUAUAUUGGGGGCCACCCAAGAGGAGGAGGAGGAAGAAAAAACUGAGUCCCUCAGCAGCUCAGACACUGAUGCCGCUGAGGAUUUUGUUAUGCAGUACCAUGCCUCGGACGAGGGAGGGGCAUCCUUUGGCUCAUCAAAGCGUCUUGCGGAAGAUGAGCUUGAGGCCAAUUUGGCCCCACUGCUGAGGAAGAGAUGAAUAGUUGCCAAGACGCGCACUUCGAGGAGUCUUCGCAUCGUCGAGCACGCGCCUCCACCGGUAAUAACCUUAAAGGAAGGGUAGAACCCUGAGGUGCGAGUAUGAUUCUAUAUGCAUGUUGAUCUCAUGGAUACUAAGGAUGGCAACGGGGCAUGUUCGGAUCGGGUGGAGUGCCGAGGCACCCAAAACCGAAACCCGAACCUAAAACCCGAAUUCGACCUGAAAACCGAUUUGGGUGAAAAUCCAUCCCUGAAACCGAAAUCCGCGGGUACCCGAAACCUGAUGGAUUAACCAAAACUCGAACAUGAAUAGUACAAUAUAGUAUAACGGUCUUAAACAAUACAGUAACAGUAUAGUACAGCAACAAUUUCACUAACAAUUUCAGCAACAGUACAGCAACAAUACCAGGCGCAGUACAGUAACAAUACAGGUCUUAAACACCAAGUUCAGGGACAAUACAACAACAAUUUCAUGGACAAGUUCACAGCAACAAUUUCACUGAAAUUACAAGUUCAUGGACAAGUUCAGAGAUCACAACAACAAUUUUACUUGAAUUACUAAAAUGUUGAACGCAAUGUAAAUUCACAAGUUGAAAAUAGAAGCAAACAACAAUACCAUUUCUUCAUCUUUUUUGUCAAGACAAGUCAUCAAAACACCAACAAAAGUGGACUGAGAACCUGCAUUGAUAUAGUAUUCACAAAUUAGUUUUAUUGCUUAUCUGGAAUGAAGAACACAUACUUAUAGAAAUUGCACUUACUGACUUACCCAACAUGUCGGCAUGAGACCAUGCUUGCAUGCACAUAAGGGCUUGUAUCAUUGAUGGUGCAAGCCUACUACGAUGUGGACUAAUUAUUCUCCCACCUGUACUAAAGACUGACUCGGAUGCCACUAUUGUCACAAGAAUAGCAAGGACAUCAUGUGCAAUUUUUCGUAAUGUUGGGUAUUUCAGCCCUGCAUGUUGCCACCACUAGAUGAUAUCCAGCUCUUGUGUCCUAGGCAGCAAUGGCUCUUCCAAGUACAAAUCUAACUAUGUAUGCACAUAAGUGGAGGUCACAACUAGCUGCUUGGACAUGUAAUCAUCAAAAGUGUCCAUCCAAUCCUCAUCAUCCAUCUGAAUAGGAGCAUUAGGUCUAGUUUGAGCACCAUCUGUUGUGGCAACAUCCUCCAUAGCACCUUGGUAAUCCAAAACCAGAUUGCACAACAAGUCUUUCACUUUGUUGACAGCUUCCAUAGCUAAACUUUCUAACCCAUGAAUUUUGAGAAAAAGAGCAUUCAACAGUUACAAUUUAAACCUAGGAUCUAGGAUAGCAACAAUAACCAUCAAACCAUGCACAUCUGACCAAUACUUGUUGAAUUUUUCUUUCAUUUUAAUAGACAUUUCUUCUAACUUAGGAGCAUCAUGGCUUUGCCAUUUCCUAAUUGCAAAAAAAAUGUUGCAUAUUUUGGGGAAAAAAAGGUUGGCUAUAACAUAUCUAGUGCCUGACAGUAGCUCAGUUACAUCAUAGAACAUCUUUAACCUGUCACAAAGAUCUAUAGCAAACUUCCAAUCAUCUUCAGAUGGAACACAUGGAGCACGAGAAGCAAGGCGCUCAAAAACAUCUUGGUAAAGUAGUGCAGUGCUAAGCAUAAUAUAAGUUGAGUUCCAUCUAGUUUUACAAUCAAGAGCAAUUCUUUUUUCAUAUUUUCCUUUCAUUUGUGCUGCCAUUUUCUCAAACUUAUCAUGUCUUUUAGGAGCGGCCAACCAGUAUGCAACACUAUCACGCACUUUAUCAAUUCCAUUCUCCAUGACACUCAUUCCAUUUUUCACAAUCAAAUUUAAAUAAGAAAACUUUUUAGCUUCCAAUCUUCAUCUAGAAAAUGGGCUAUAACUGCCAUGUAACCUUUCCUCUGGUGGUCCACGAGUCCGUAGUAACAGCAACAUGAGAACUCAAUUUCUUGAUAUAAUUCACCAUAGAUUGCUUCUGCACUUGAUACAUAUCCAAGAUAUCCUUCCUAAUUGUGUUUCUAGACACUACCUUGAAUGCUGGCUGCAAUGCAGCACAAAAAUUGCGAAAUCCAAUAUGGUCCACCAUGGAAAUAGGAUACUCAUGGACAAUAAUCAUUAAAGCAAGUUAUUUCCUAGCGACAUCUUGAUCGAACACAUACUUCUCUAUUGUGACUGUGCCAUCUUGUGGGUUUGCAGAUAAUUUAAGAGUUGAGUGCGUUAAACCUUUUCUAGUAGCUUUGUCUUGACAUACAACAAUAUGAUUCUUCAAGUGAGUUGUACCAUUUCUUAUCUCCCCACCUAAAUGGUUUUUUACACCAUUUACAUUUUGCUUUCCAAACCCCACUUACAUUAAUCAAAUCAAAGUCUUCCCAUACUUCAGAUCUUACCUUUCUCUUAGUACCAAUAGGAACAUCAUCUUCUACCUCUACCACAUCAGUAUUACCUUCAGUUGCAGAAUCAGUUGUCGGUGCUGCUAAAUUGGAUGGCGGUGUUACUGAAUUGGCUGCAAGAUAUCGACGAGUUUGAGGAUGAGAACCCACAGAUUGAGAUUCUGCAGCAACUUGAGAUCCACUCGAAGCACUAGGAGCUAACGUUGCUCACUUCCUGCUGUGAUCUAAAAAAGUUUUCGGUAGCAAGACAUCAGUUCAAGACAUCAGUUGAACUAUUGAUUAUAUCACUAAGAGGACAACAAAAAAGCAUAAUAGUUAAAUUCUAACAUAGACCAAUUCCUGAAUAUUUAGAAUUGAGAAUAUUAGGUUACAGCUAGCAUUGGAAGGCAGACUAAAGAAAUAACAUACAAGAAAAUUGAUAAUUCAAACGGAGCUAACAUUGGAAGACAGACAAUAGAAUCAUGGGCUCAACUUAAACUGGAACUACACAAUCUCUGCAGGUAGAAGUUUGCCACCAAAACACUGCAAAAACCCUUUUACACAAUCUGUGCAGGCAGAAGUCGCGGGAUGGUGCACGGUGGCGGGGCGCAGCCGGCAGUGGAUCCGGCGGCGGGACGGCGUACAGAGGCGGGGCGCGGCCAGCAGUGGAUCCGAUGGCGGGACGCGUACGCACAGGCGGCGGGAUGUGUGUGGGAGAGGUGAGGUCGCGCAAGACUGCCGAUGGCAACGAGCGACAGCGGCGGGGUAGGGGACUGGGGGUGCGGCGUGCUGGACUGCGGGAGGUGUCGGGUGUGGCACUGCGGUCGUGGCACCGUGCGCCCAUGCGGGGUGCCUAGACGCCUGGGUGGUGUAUCUUGCCGUUAUAUACCUAGGGUUCCUAAUGGGCCUUUAGUGGGCCGAAUUGUUUUGGGUACCCGAUGGAGCUCCGCGGUUAUUUUAAAAACCCACACCAAACCCGCAGUAUUUCGGGUAUCCAAACUUGAAAAACCAUGGGCGAAAACCAGGAACCAAAACCAAAACCCACGGACCCGAAACCCAUGGAUAUCUGCCCCGAAACCGAACCGCUGCCAUCCUUAAUGGCUACUAAUCAAGCCUUUGUUGUAUUUGCAGGUAGUCGACAAUGUAGUUGAGGCAACGGAGGUGGCUGUUGGUGCCGUCCCGUUAGAAGUUCCAGCCCCCGGGGAGGUCGUUGAAGUCAGUGCUAAUAAAGAACCCCCCGCUGUUGAAGUUAACCGUGCCGGUACUGAAGUACCCGCGUAGGAAGAAGACAGGACUACCCUAGCUGGCAGUAAGCACCUCCACGUGCCUCGCCAGGAGAGUUCACCCCUACUGUCCAGCCGCUACGCUUGGUGGGGAACCCGUCACUAAAGCUGCGGUGAUCCAUAAGGUAAGCAUUUUGUUGUUGUAUGAGUACUAAUUCUAGGUUGAGUACUUGGUUGUCUUCCGUCGCUGACGCUAAGUGUUGUGCAAGACGUCUUCUAUCCUGGGCCUUGGGUCAUCGGGUUCAAGGUCAACAAUCGAUGAUGCUAGUCGCUCGGUUGAAGAUGCACCUCCCACACCUACUAUAGCCCUAACGGAGAGAGAUUUAGCUCUGACGGUCGAGACAGGUGCCGCAUCACUUGUCGCCGUGUUGAUGCAUGACAUAAUCAACUCGAUGGCUGACAUUGCAGUGCCAGCCCCCGAGCCUGCUGUACCUGGGGCUCUUCCCAUGGCUAGUCUUGUGGAGAGUCCACCCCCGCCUGUGAUCGUGGAAGUUAUCCCCCUCAACGCUGCUACUCCCGAAGCCCCUGAGCUUGAAGCCGCCAGAGCUCUUGAAGCCGUGGCUGCUACUGUCGGGAUGACUUCCGAAGCUGGCACGUCAUCUGGCUGUGAGAUGGUUCUUGUGCCCAGCGUGAGGAUCGAGUUGAGCAUUGGGAUUUAGGUGCUGCCUGAGGAGGUCCAGCUGAUUGACGAUCCUCUGCUAGAUGCGCAAAUGAUGGCCACCAUGCUCGAGAUGAACCGACGCGUCGCGUCUUACAUUAAGGUAAGUUUGAAUUUUUGCCUUAUGCUUCACUUCUGAAUGUCUGCAAUAUGUACUUCGUGCGGUACCCGAGUAGUGAUUUGUGGAUAACAGGAUUUGAUCAACCGCUCUCGCCGGAAGUCCUAGUUGCUGCAGGACUAUGGUGAGACCGUACAAUGUGCUGAGGUAUUGGAGAAAGAGCUGGCUAAAGAGUGACAGCAAAACUCCCAGCUCGUCAUGAAACUUGACAGAUCGGUGGCGACUUUCCAAGCGCAGGUGCAAGACUUAGAAAAGGAGAAAGAGCGCCUUGUUGCCCGGAAUAAGUCAUUGAGCCAGAAGCUUGAAGGUGAGUACUCAUCUUUUUGUUGUGUCCGUCUAUUGAUAGCCUGUAGUCUUUUUGACUAAUUUUUGGUCUCUGUUGUGCAGAGUAUAAGAAUCAGGAAUCCCAGUUGAAGGCUACCAUAACUAAUUGGCAGAAUGCCUACUAUCGGACCAUUGAUCAACAUGAGAGGCUGGGGCAGCAGGUGUACGAGCUGGAGCGCGACUUGGAGAAAGAGAGGAAGAUGCACCAAGAUGGUGAAGUUGAAUUGAUCAAUGUCAUGACGACCAUCCAGGCGCAACAAGUCGAGCUUGGGGCCUGUAAGCUGGAGUUGCAAAGCUAUCUGCGGUAGCCCGACCCUUGGCUGAUAUGGUGGAGCCUCCGGUUGAUGGCGUGGAUCCUUGUCCACUGGUGGAGAUACUCCGAGAUGCACCAGGGAAGAUCACAGGCUACGUCUAAGGGAUGGCGAAGUCCGUCUCAAAACAGUUGCUGACCUUCAUAAAGUCCUACCUGACGCUGACUUGUCUCCUAUCGCGGAGGGGAUAGUGGGAGACUGCACGGACGAAGUCUUCCAGCAAUAUCUGCAAGAGAUGGAUCCAUUAUCGAGGAAAUUGCCAAGCAUCUGGACCUACAAUGAACUCCUUACCUUUUGGGAUAGGAAGAACACUUAGUUUUGUAAUGGGAUAAAUGUGUAGAUAACUCUAAGUCUAAAUGCAAUUUGUUGCUAUCGACUUGUCAUCUGUCGUGUUUAGUGCUUCUCACACUUGGUCCUAAUUUUGCUCAUAUGACCGAGGUGAGUGUCUGUGCACAAGGCUACUAUUGUGAGCCUCUUCGGAAGCAAAUUGUUGGAUACUCGGGUACUCGAGCUAUCCAGUAGUGGUCAUCGGCUAGUUUCUCCAGGAUUCUGUUGACUAGGGCUUGUUUCCUCGACUCCCCUGAGUAGAGUAUUUGCAUGAUUGCUGCUUUGUCAGGAGGGCCACAUGGGAGUACUGCUCGCCCGUGUCCAGUUGACAAAGACGAGCAACAUGUGAACACUGGUCGUCAGAGUCCUGACGGUAAGGAUAGGCGUCACAUGAACACUGUAUGGGUGUGAUGUGCAUAGGGAGCUCUACCGUGCAUUCACGAGAGCAUACUGUAGCACUCUGGACGGUAGUCGGCUGCCUUGGCUUUAAAUAGAGUUGCAUCUGCAUCUAGAGUGUUCAUGGCUCAAGUUAUAGCACAGGUUGGCUUGAGGUUUUUGUUGUUCAUCAGGGGUAGCUUCCACCAUAUUUUCUAAUGCUAGAAGAAUUCUUGUGAAGAAUACACAGGUGCUCCUUCCCUCUACAGUCUCUUUGGCCUAGCCUGGAGGCUAUAAUGCUAGAAGAAUCCUCAUGAGGAAGGUGCAUCGUGUGCCCCGGGCUUUGUCCAGGAUACCGCUAAGAAUGGACUAGAGUGUAGCUUCCUUGAACGCAGGUUUCUUGUGUUCACUCAUUUUUCUUCUUCCACGUUGAAGCUGCUUGUCCUGAGGUUAGGGUAGUCCCGAGACUGGUCACACACACUUUGUGAUAUUGUAAAAGCCUGGGACUUCUGUUGUAACCUUAAUGAAAGCACGUAUGCCUUAUUGAUGAGAUGUUGCUAUCUUGUUUCUUUGGCUUGUUUUGUUGCUGUACCUUGGGAAUCUGGAGCUGCGAAACUCGUUAGUAUGAGCCACAUUAAGAUAGAUUUGUAGUAAAUAAGUAGUCGAUCAGGUAGUUUGUGGACUCCUAGACGACUUGAUGGCUCUUGCGUUGCUAGUUCGCUAAGCGAACUGCCUGGGUGAGUUGAAUAACUCAUGUAGACUUAUAAUUAAAAGUCAUACUGGGGCGUUGUGGCCCAAGGAGCUCAAUGGCUCAUUAGGAUGCUGCUGACCCACUUUUGCAAGCCGCAAUAAGGGAGAGAAUAAGUAGUCGAAUUUCACCGAAGAUAACUGCAUUAUUAUGCUAAAAACUUAUAACGGUGGCCAGUGGCCUAUUUACAAUGCUGUGUAGUCUUCUAACUACGGAUAGAAUCGACAGAGAUGCUCGAUGUUCCAUGAGUUGUUGACAUUUUUGCCAAAAAGGUGUUGUAGCCUAGGCUUGUGACCUUGGAUACGAUGUACGACCCUUCCCAUGGUGAAUUAAGCUUGUGCAACCCCUUAGUGUCUUGGAUACGCUUAAGGAACAUGUCGCCUAUGCUGAAAGAACGUUCUUUGAUGUUGCGAUCAUGAUAGCGGUGAAGACCCUCGAGGUACCUUGCAGACUAGACGAGUGCUGCACAUCGGGAUUCUUCUAGGCUGUCAAGAUCUAGAUGCCUUGUCUCCUUUGUUGCCCCUUCAUCGUAUUGCUCAACUGUUGGGGAUUUCCACAUAACGUCAACAGGAAGGAUAGCUUCCGAUCCAUAGACCAGGAAGUAGUGCGACUGCCUCGUAGGUUUGCACGACUGAGUAUGUAGCCCCCAGAGGAUGUUGGGUAGUUCUUUGAGCCACUUGCCUCCUUUGGUGUUACCAAUAUCGUGCAAUCUUUUCUUCAAGGCUUCCAGUAGCAUCCCGUUGGCGCGCUCAACCUGACCAUUGGCCCACGGGUGAGCAAUAGAGACGUAUCGAACAUUGAUGUCACUAUUUUCACAAUACUCCUAGAACUCGUGGUUGUUGAAAUUGGAACCCAAAUAUGUGAUUAUCCGAUUGGGGAAUCCAUAGCAAUGGAUGAUCUCAUCGAGGAAGUUGAGUACUCUAUCUGCCUUGGGGCAGGUUGCUGGCUUGACCUCAAUCCACUUGGUGAACUUGUCGAUGGCUACCAAUACUCGGUUGAAUCCUUCGAACACUGUAGGAAGUGGACUGAUCAUAUCAAGCCCCUAGCAUGCGAAGGUUCAUAUUGGCGGUAUGGUGAUAAGCUUGUAUGUAGGGGCAUGGUGCUACUUGGCAAAGAAUUGGCAACCUUAGCACCGGCAAACUAGUUCCUCAGUGUCCGCUAGGGUGGUGGGCCAGUAGAACGCUGCUCUAAAAGCCUUCCCCACAAUUGUGCGUGAGGAGGCGUGGUUACCGCAAAUGCCCUUGUGUAUCUCCUCCAAUAUAUCAUUGCGGUCAUGACGUGUGACGCACUUCAUGAGUACUCAUGAAGACGCGCCUCUUCUGUAUUGCUCUACCCUUAAUAUGGGUUAAACAUUCAACAAACAUGUUUAUGUUUUCUUGAAUAGCAUACCAGUGGUGUAUGAGGGAACUUCGAGUACAAUCUACGUAAUUCGUGUAUAUGCUUGGAAUUAAAUCAAGUAAUUCAUGGCAAAAAGUUAUCCUCUUUUUGCUGUGGUGUAUUUAUCUUCUUGAGCGUGCUGCAACUUUUUUUUUUGAACGAGCCAGCAGGAGAGCUGCUGCUAUAUUAAAAAAGCGGAGGAAUGCCCGACGGGUGAAGUACAAAAGUUCUAUACAUACUGCACACACACAUCCCAAAGCAAAAGGGAAAAUGAGAGAGUGUAAAAAAAUUCGAUACUACAGAUCCCUCACCACAUUAAUGAAGGACUCUAGGUGCUUAGCACCUGCCACAAUCCAUAUAGCCCCCUGGUCUUUGAUCUUAUUUACCGUCGGAUGUAUCGUCUGCUCCUUGUUUUUAAAAAUCCUGGCGUUCCUUUCAUUCCAAAUUUCCCAUAGGACGAGAAUAAUUAAGCUUCGCAGCCCUUUCCUGUUGGCCACCUGAGCGGACGCCAAAGCUGUCCACCAACUAUGCAGAGGCUCAUGUCCAUCCCAGUGGCCUGGGUCAAUAUAAGCGCAUCGUGUCCAUGCACCCAUCUUUGCCCAUAUUGUCUUUGUAAAAGAGCACUCUCUGAAAAGAUGAAGACCAGUCUCUUGAGUUAUGUUACAAAGUGUGCAUUGCAGCCGGUUAGGCCAUCCCCAUCUCUCCAGGCGAUCCGCUGUCCAUAUUCUGUCUUGUACGGCUAGCCAGCUAAAAAACUUACACUUCGGCGGCACCCACAUUUUCCAAAUGAUGGUGUCGAAGUUAGUUGUCAUUGAUCCUAAGAAUUGAGCUUGGUAGGUAGAUUGCGAAUUAUAAUGUCCAUCCAUCGUAAUUUUCCAUACGAUGGUGUCCGGCUGAUCCGGGCGUAGCUGUAUCCGAUUGACUGCAACCCAUAGACGGUGGUACUCUACAAAAUGUGUCACAGAGAAGCCGCGGUGUAGUAGGUUUAAGUCUCGUAUCCAAACAUCAUCGAUCAUAGCAUCGUGCAGGGUCCUAUUCUUCGUCCUAGAGAUAUUGAACAAAUUCGGGGCCAUGUCUCUCGGCGUCUAUCCCUGUGCCCAACUGCUAUGCCAGAAGGAUGCUUUCUUGCCAUCCCCAAUUGUGAUCGUGGUUGCCGCGGCAAAAAGUUUGUGGUCUACUUGUGAGCAAGGAAUAUCCCGUUGGUCUGAGAGCGGACCCUCAUUCAUCCAGUCGUGCCAAAGCCACCGUAGAUGCAACGCUCGAGCGAAUUUUGCUAGGUGUAGGAUCCCUAAGCCGCCUCCUUUCCUCGGCCUUGCUGAUCGCACCCAGUUUACUUUGCAUUUACCGCUCAUGAUGUGUUCAGUUCCCACCCAUAAGAACUGUUUUCUCUUUUCAUCAAUGCUUUUCAUAAUUUCUUUAGGCGCCUUCAAGGCCGUCAAUAUGUACACCGGUUGAGAAGUCAGCACGGCCUUGAUGAGCGUGAGUCUGCCGGCCACAGUCAUGUUCCUUCCAUUCCAACUGGUAAGUUUCCCAAUAACUUUGUCCACUAGAGGUUGGAAGUCAACAGUCCUUAGGCAUUGUGUGGACAAUGGAAGGCCUAGAUACUUGAUAGGGAAUAAUGUGCGCUUGGUAGGUAGGUUAUGCGGAACUUCAUUGAGUUGUACUCCCUCACAGCGGAUAGGGACGGCCGUUGAUUUGUGGAAGUUUGUUUUGAGCCCUGUUACUUCACCAAAUCCAUCCAGGAUGUUGACCAGUGCAUCUAUUUCCUCCUUCCUCGGUGCUAUAAAAUCAUCACGUCAUCAAUAUACAUUGAUAUAUGGCAUGAUGGUGUCCGGCCACGUAGUUUGGUAAGAACUCCCAACUCAGUUGCCAGCUCCAAAAUCCUUUGAAGUGGAUCAAUCGCUAUGACGAAGAGUAGCGGAGACAAAGGAUCACCUUGAUGUAGUCCCCUACCCUGCGUGAUAGGUUGGUUAGGACCCCAUUUAGAAAGACGCGGGUGGAGGAAGUGGAGAGAAUCGCCACGAUCCAGUCACACCAGCGUGUCGAGAAGCCUAGGUGUUGUAGAAGCGAGAGGAGAUAGUCCCACCUAAUGGAGUCAAAGGCUUUCGCAAUGUCCAGCUUGAUGAAAAUGGCAGGCACUCUCCCUCUGUGAUACCACCUCGCUGUGCUACGCACCAUCAUGAAGUUGUCAUGUAUACUGUGUUUCUUGAUGAAAGCACUCUAGCAUUUAGAGACGAUGGAGUUCAUGUGCAGUUGCAGCCUAAUCGCCAAUGCCUUAGUGAUGAUUUUGAUGAAAGAAUGAAUGAGGCUUAUGGGCCUAAAAUCCUGGAUGCAAUCUGCUCCCUCUUUUUUGGUAAAAGGAUAAUAUUAGCCGUGUUGAUUAGCUGGAGGUUGUUGCAGCGGAGGGCGUAGAACGCAUUUACCGCUGCCAUCACAUCGUUCUUGAUGAUAUCCCAACAUGAUUUAGGAAGAGUCCUGUGAAUCCAUCAGGCCCUGGUGCUUUAUCACUCUGCAUGUUUUGAAUGGCAUAUUUGAUUUCAUCUUCGGAGAAGGCCAAGUCUAGGGAAGCUAGGUUGUGCUGGUUCAGUCCCAGGAGAUCCCAAUUAAAAUCCCGACGUCGGGGUUGAGGGCAUUGCAUUGUUGCUUUGAAAAAAAUUUGAAUCUCAUUUGCUUUUUCUUCGUGUGUACAUGCCCAUCCACUCCCCCUCCUAAGUUUCUGGAUGUAAUUUUUACAUCGCCUAGAGUUGGCCCAUCGGUGGAAAAAACGUGUGUUGGCGUCACCUAGCCUGAGGUUUGUUAUUCGGCUUGCUUGCUUCCUACAUGCCCGUUCAAUAACCGCAAGUCCCAUGACCCUUAAUUUGAGGCGGUUGCACAGUGGCUGCUCUGCAUCCGUAAGAGGUCGGUGCUCUUGCGUAGUGUCGAACCGUAGAAUGACUUCUAGAGCCAUAUUCAUUAUCAUCUUCGUGUCUGGUAUGAAGCUACUGCUCCAUUCUCUUAAUUAGGCGCGCAUAUGUUGUAAUUUGUGAUACAGCCUGUGGAAUGGCUCAACGUGCGGCGAUUGGACGCUCCAUGCUCGGCCUACAGUGUCUUUAAAACCUGGGAGCAUUGUCCAAAAGUUUUCAAACUUGAAGGAUUUGGGGCGUCUGGAGCCACCUUGGUUUGAUAGCAAGAGUGGGCAAUGGUCGGAUAACGACAUUGACAGGGCAUGCAGCACGUGCUUAUUGAAGGCCUGUUCCCAUUCGUCAUUGGCAAAAACCCUAUCCAGCUUGACAAGGGUCAGGUUGCGUCGUUCAUUACUCCAGGUGUACCUUCUAUUUUGGAGAUGUAUCUCGCAUAAGUCACAAUCAUCGAGCGCCCGUUUGAAUGAGUUCAUAAGUCUUGGGUUGAUCUUGUUGUUGUUUCUGUCAGACACUUUAUAUAUCAGAUUGAAGUCUCCUAGUACCAGCCAUUGGGAACCGGCGCUAGGUUUUUGUUGCCGAAUUUCUGUUAGGAAGUUUGUUGUCCUGGUAGAACCAGUAGGGCCGUAGACUGCUGUCAAAGUGAAUUCGUUCAUCGCUUGUUGCGCUGUCACUCUUGCUGUGAUGUGGUACUCUCCUACAACAACGUCGUUUAUCAUGACAUGAUUACUGUUCCACAGUAGCAGGAUGCCUCCUCUUGUGCCGCUCGGCCCCCUGCUGGUUUGUAGGUGAAUCUGUCAAGUCUAUGCCCUCCUAGGUACGCGGCCGUGAAAAGAUCAAUCUCGCUAAGCUUUGUUUCUUGUAAACAUGCAACGUGGCAUAGAGUGUCAACAAGUGUCUCCCGGACCGUGUCACGCCUGGCUCUGUGGUUAAGCCCUCUAACAUUCCAGCAUAAUAUCUCAAUGUUCAUUUGCAACUUUUGUAGUCUCCAGUAUUGCAGGAUAGUGGUUGAAGAAUGAUGAUCCCCAAUGCAUUAAGAUCUGAAUUUGGUCCAUGUAAAACAGUGUGCCGGCAAUGAUAGUUUCUCUGUACUUUGUAAGCCCUCCAGGAACAAGGUCUGAUAUGAGCUUAGCAAAACUAACAUCGCCAAUUUUGCUUACAUAAUUCUUGUCCAGCAAGAUGUUUCCAGGCUUUAGGUCACGAAGGACGAUAGGCUCUGGUCUGCAAGAAAGCAAACCCACAAGAUACCUCAAACAUAAUUUGGAAUCGCAGAAGCCAAUGGAGUGGAUGCCCUUUAUUGUUGACCAAUUGGUCUUCUAGACUCCCAUUCUUAUCUGAAAUUAACAGAAGCAUUACAGGAGGCGCAGCAGGUACAUAAGGCUGAUAUAAUAGUUGCAUAUCGUCGACUGGACUGUGAUUGAAGCGCAGGAGCAUAAUAGAACCAGGUAUUACAGAAGCAGGUACAGAAGCCUGAUAUAACAGUAGCACAUCAUCAACUCGACUGUGAUUGAAACGCAGGAGCAAAAUCGACAGAGGCAUUACAGAAGCACAGGAUGAAUGUAAACAAAGGUCGAUGUAAGCAUAAUUGAUGGCCCAACUCAGGUGUCUGGUUCUAGGAUUACAACCAAAUUGAGAAGAUGCAUAUGCUGAAGGUGAACACACAAUGAUGCAAACAUAGCUGCUAGCCCAUGUCAUCUGUCCGGCUUUAGGCUUACAAACAAAUUGGAAAGACGCAUUGAACAUCUGGAGAUUGUGGAUGGUUUUUGCCCUGGAAAGUAACUGAUACACUACACUUAACAUUGGUGGCUUGUGAACUCUCGGUGCUGCUGGAGACGCAGAUCAGUUGGCCUGUUGGAUGGUUGCUGCCUGGGCAGGCAUUGCCUGGACAGCUUCUGGCUGGCGUGAGGCUUCUUCCUGGAAAUCUUCAAUGGCUUCACCGGCCACCGCCGCCAUGGCUUCAUCAAGCUGCUCGGCCACUGGGUCGUCGAGGUUGAAGAUGGCUGUCAGCGCUGCAAUGAUGUCCUGCGCCACCGGCCCCUAGAACAUGGACAGAAAUUCUUGCAGUGUAACCUCGAUGUGCUGCAUCUCAUCAGUUAGCAGACCAAGCUUUUUGCAUAGAUUAUGUUGUGCCCGUUGCAUCGCCGGCAUGGGUCUGCGGGUAGCUACCUUGCGCUGCGGCGUACCGUGGACAUGUCGAAGAUGCGUCGCGGUCGGCGGGUUUUGUUCGUCCCCUCCUUGAGCUGCUGGUUCUGCUCGUCCCUGUGUUCCUCCACUGGAGGUUCAUGGAGCACUUGCGCCGGCGUGGUGAAGAAUGUGUUGAUGACGUUGGUGCUGCGUGGGCUGCUGCGUUGCAGCGCCGUUGUGGUGGAGAAGGUGCUGGCGAGGUUGUUGCUGCUAGGACUGUUGCGCUCAGGAGUUCUCUGCCCUGCAGUCGGCUGAAGGUUGAAGUCACUGUCAUGCUCACUGCUGGCGUGAAACAGACCUGCCUCGCCAUCGGUGUUGUUGGUUGGCUGCAUCUGUGCAUCAUGAAGGCGAAUAGGGGAUGCAAGUUGAAAUGGUGAAACAGAAACAUUGUUAAAACACGGUGAGUCUGGUUGCUGGCCAUGGCCUUCCAGCUGAGCCUGUAGCUUCUGUAGAGCCGCAUCCACCUCUUGUACAGAGACGGCGUUGACGUUGACUCCCCCCUCCUUCUGGACGUCCUCCAGGAUGCGUGCGAACACAUGAGGCACCUUGACCAUGGACAGGUCAUUAUUGGCUUCCGUAUGUCCGCGCGCUUCGGACCAGGCUUCAAUUCCUUCAUGUGGUACGCCAACCUUGUCCACCAGGGUGGCCGCUUUGCUGCCAUGGUCGAGGGAGAUGGUGUUCAGGUGUAGCUCUUCCCUGUCCUCCCCUUCCUAAAACAUGCACAGAAAAUUCUUGGCGGCCUCCGCCAUUGUGGAGGCGCGGUUGGAGAACAGAAAUUUGUAACUCGAUGGACUUCCUGUCGCGCAGGGGGGCAAAGGAUAACGGCGGCGGUGGCGUGGCGUUGUCGCAGUUGGAGACGCCGUGGUGCUGACGCCCCCUAUUCCUGCUGCUGCCACCCCACGUCCUGCUCCUAGGCGAGCAUUCAUGCUCACGGUAGGAGUCGUUGCCCAGGUGUUUGCGCGUGUCGUGGCCGCGGUGAGCGCGGUCACCGCGCCCAUGGUGUUCCUGGUCAUCGUCGUCGUCCUUCCUCCGGCGCCACACGUUCCACCUGGUGUUGUGGUGGUCAUUGUUGUGGCUUCUUUGAUGACAGCCACAGUCCUCUCUGUCCUAGCGCCGUUCCUCCUCCCCCGCCACGCUGCUUCGGCCAAGUCGAGGUUGGUCCGGGCGUGGUGGCGAGCGUGUCCUUGCUUCACGUUCCAUCGCCCUGCGUGGUGCCAUCUCCCCGUCGAUGCAGUCGAGAUGCCAGGGAGGAAGCCGGUGGACUGCGGGCGUGCACGACGUCCUGUCGUCGAGGUUGACCGAGGAGAGGGUGUAGUCUUGGAUCUCCUCUAGGUGCAGGAUGACGCAAUGCUUGACGCCGCGCUGCCACUGGUCGGGUGGCGCCUUGGACACCAUCACAGACUCCAACCUGGCAUCCCGCGCGCGGCCGGUAAACUUGAGCCACACGCACUUGGGGAUAGAGCUUAGGUUCGCCGUCCAGGCCCACAGGUUUAUGGUCUUCGUCUCCUCUAGGUGGUCGAGGUUGGUGUCGAUGGCCUCCAGUGCGCAGGUGUUGCCGAUGAUGCGCUCCGCGAUAUCUGCCCUCCAGGCAUGCAUAGGCACGCCAUCGAGAAAGAGCCUGACUCUGACGAGGAGAGUUGCUCCUUCUGCAUCCCGGAGGCUCCUCCACUUGGUGAAGAGGACCUCGAUGCCGGCACCCAUUGCCUUGCCCCUCUGAAGCGCCUCGGAGCAGUGGCUGCUGUGCUUGCUUCAGGGAAGUGACGUGAAACAGUUACCUCGCUGUGGCGCAGCUUGAAGUCUUCUCUGAUGGCCCUCUCGACGUCCCGUGGUUCAACUGGCUCCCGGCCGUGGACCGCCAGGUGACCGCCGCCGUGGAGUCCUAGUCCUGCAGAUCGGCGUCGAUGUCGUCGGUGGACUGAACGAGGCAGUCCACCUGCUCUAGCUUGGUUGCAGGGUCUCUGAGUCUGGACAUGUUGGUCGUGGAGGUGGGCGUCGGCGGUGGAGGAAGUGGAGAUGAAGCCCGGGCGCGGUGCGCUGCUUGGUGUCGAGCAGGAGCAGGUGGAGCUCUGUUGCCGCUUGUGCUUGGUCAAUGGGGAGGUGGAGCUCUGUUGCCGCGUGGUGGUGCUUGGUGGCGAGCAGGAGGCGGGCUGUAGUUGUUGUGGCGGUUGUUGGAGCAGGAUCUUGCACGGUGGCUGAAGCGGUGGCAGACGAAGCAAAGGUCGGGGUCCUAACAAGAUGCGGCGCGGUGGUCGAGGGCCAAGUAGAUGAAGCAGCGCCCUUCUUGCAUGGAAGGCGCGUAGACUUGGUGAAGCUAGAUGCUGUUGCCGGGUGCUGGGAGCGUGGCGUGAAAGGGGUCGGUCGUGUUGAGGCGAGAUGGCCGGCGAGUUGAAAGCGCCCCCCUCUGCCACCAGUAAGGUUGCCUGACGGGCAUCCAACCAUCUUGAGCAGAGAAUGCGCGCCGGUCAACUCAGGCGCGGCUCCAGAGGUGGCCAGACAGUGAGUGGUUGAAGAGGGGAAACCGCGGCUGUUGGAGUAACUGCGGGCAGCUUCAGUAAUGGCGGCCUGCCGGUCUUGAGGUUGCUACACGAUUUGAAAUGACCUUGGCGAAUCUUGCACCGUGGAUCCUCUGACCACUUGCACGAAGGAGCGGCAGAACAGUGGGGAGAAGCCCUGCUGCGCCUCCGGUGUGUCCUGCACAAAGGGGCUUACCUGGGAUGCAACACCGGCAAUGGAUUUGUGGGUAGGGGAUCUUGGAGGGGCGGAUGUGCUCAGAUCUGGUUGAGAUUUGGAUUUGGUAUUUGAUUUGGUGGGGGGAAACGGGGAGGGCCAAGCAGCCGCGGAGGUCCUGGGAGCAGCGUGCUGCAACUAGUAAGGCCCUGUUUGGCAUGGCUCCAACUCCGGGUGGAGCUGCUCCACUCCAGAACUCCAAAUGGAGCCAGCUCCGCUCCAAAACUCCAGAACUAAAAUGGGAUGUUUGGCUAGAUGGGUGCUCUUAGCUCCAAAAAAGAUCGAUUUCAGUGUGGAUUGCCAUUGUUGCCCCCCAAUUAAGACCCCAUUUGUCAUCCUUUCUAUCCCAUCUUCUUCUUCCCCUUUCAAUCUAUAUUUUACAUCCAUCCAUCCCCUUUCAAUAUCCCAACAUAUGCUGUAAAUGAAUGGAUGAACAUGGUCAGGAGGAGUGAAACUCAAAAGACUUUUGCAAAUGUUUCCCUUGGUCUGUCAAAAUCUUCCACUUUCAAUAUGCCAAUGGGCGGCAGGGUGAGCGGCGGGCUGGGCGGCGGGGCUGGGCGGCGAGCGGUGGGACAGGCGGUAGGCUGGGCGGCGGGGCUGGGCAGCGAGCGGCGGGACAGGCGGCGGGGCUGGGCAGCGGGCGGCGGGGUGGGCGGCGGCGGGCGGCGGGCGGCGAUGGGCGACGGGCGGCGACGGGCGGCGACGCGGGGCGGCAACGGGCGAUGGGCGGCGGGCGGCAACGGGCAACGGGCGGCGGGCGGCAACGGGCGGCGACGGGCGACGGGCGCGACACGGGGCGGCGACGGGCGGCGGGCGGCGACGGGCAACGGGCGGCGGGCGGCGACGGGCAACGGGCGGCGACGGCGACGGGCGCUGGGCGGGCGACUGGCCUUGACGAUGAGGAACAAUAGAAUAGAACGAAACGUUUUUUUUUUCAUAACCAGUGGCAUUGGUGGGUAAUUAUCCACCAACUCCACGAGGAGGUUCAAAAGAGAGGUUUCUGGAGCAGCAAAAGAGGUGCUCCAAAACUCCACCUCCAUUUGCACUACAGCUCCAUGGAGUUGGCAACUCCAUGGAGUUUUGGAGUUGGGAUGUUUGGCUGAAUUUUUUGAUGGAGUUGCUGGAGUUUAAGAGUGGGGCCAUACCAAACAGGACCUAAGUAUUAAAUUUGACGAGCCUGGCACGACCAUGCAUGACCAUCACUGGCCAGUGGUCACAAACAACAAUUGACGGGUAGUGCCAAGUGCCAGCGCAUGCGCCCUCACCAAAUCCCUUGUCUCCGUGCUCUUGCAGUUGCAGCGCCUGCAGUUUAUAACGUGGGAACGAACAUUCCUCACAUCUUCGCAUAGUAUGUCCGUAGUAUGCGUUUGGGCAGUGCCUUGGCUGGCAAAAAUAUAAUGUACUCCUACAAAGUUAGUCUAGUCUUGACUCUUUUUUUAACAAAGGUUAGCUAACCAAUUUCCUAAAAGAAAAGGGUUUGAAAGCAAUAGGCCAUUAGCCGCCAGAUAGUGCCAGUGUCGGUGCAUGUCGCCGUCGUCGGCACGAGCAGGUAUCAGAGAAAAUAAACCGAUGAUCAGCAGGGUCAUGGAAACUUGGGCAGGAAGAAAGUCCUCCUCCGGUCUCUAAGUGGGAGCAUUUAUUUUUAAAAUUUGCACUUGACUUGCCACCAAUUGGUCCUCCUCCGGUCUCUAUUUAUACUCCACCCAUGCCAGAGAGAGCCUCCCUUUGUCUCUCUCCCUUUGGCAACUUAACGCCAUGGACAGAGGGAGCCUGGGCUUACUUGUUCCCACGAGGACGCACGAGAGGCUCCACCACGGUGGCUUGCUCCACAACUCGUCCAGUAAGCCUCAAAUCAUAUAUCCCUGCACCAGCAAGCAAACUUCUCUUAUUAGUAUCCGUAGAGAUGCUUCCUCGAGUCGGCCUAGCAUCCUCAUUUAAGUCUUCCCAAAAUAUAAGACAUUCUAUGGUUUCUAUAGUCACGUUUGAUUAUUUUGUUUUUUGUCACUUGCCUUUCAUAAUAAACAAAUAAAUAUAAACAAGUUUUUUCACAAACCCGUACCAACUUUGUUAGCAAAAGCAGUUAACACGGUUUAUUAAUUAGAGAGGAACUCCGCACAAAGUUAUCUUUAUCUUUUCUACCGACGUGUUACACCCAAAUUCAUGGCUAACAAAGACUGAACAAUAAAACAGGUUUUUUUAGGAUAAAGGCUAUAUAUCCAAACAACCCCUAGUUCAUGAUCAGAGCACUGCCGAGAAGUUUUAAAUAUAUCCCCAACCAGCAGCUGAUGAAAUAAACCUGAGAAAGAAUUGAAUAGUAAAAAUAUUUCCUUUUCUUCUUGAAAAGCUCUGCAAGUUACAAGAAAAAACAAGAUCAGUUUGAAAAUCGUUGGAACAACAGCAUGUCAAAAUUUCAAUCCUUAAAUGUAGUUGAUUGCUUCUUUUUCUUGAGCACUGAUGACAUGAACAGUAGUUACUAACUCCUAUGUAAUACUUGCAAGAGAGAAAUACAAAUUAGUAAACUAAUUCUGCCUUUUUUUGUUUUUGACAAACAAAUUUUGGAAUGCUAUAAUGCAGAUCCCACUAUGUUGCAAUAUUUGCGAGAAUGGCCAGAGCUAUAUUCACCUAGCUUCUGGAUGGGUGCUUUUACAUUGAUGCAACUGAUAUUCAUCAUAAGUAUGUCCAGUCAAUAUCUGCUCAACCAAAUAAGUUGGUGCAGACAGAGAUUGAAGAUUGCAGCUCCUGAUGAGCAUUCAUAUCAGGACCAAAAGAAUACAGUCAUAAAGCAGGGUGUAUCAUAUCAAGCAAGCAAAGCAUGCUGCCUGCUUAUGUUAGCAGUUCAUAUUCUGCGGGUAUUCUUAUUGCAGUUCAAUGAAAGACUAAGUAAUUGCAUGUAUCCAUCUUGUGUGCUAAGUGAAGGCUUGCAGGUGUUAUCCUUCAUAAUAUUGUCAAUAGCAGUAUUCAAUUUUCAGAAAACAAAAUCUACUAAACUACCAUUGAUAGUUCGAUCAUGGUGGAUAUUAAACUUUCUGCAAUCAAUUACCAUGGUGGUAUUUGAUCUCAGAUCAAUUUUAUCGGAUCAUGAACACAUAGGAUACAAAAAAUGGACCAAUCUGUUCAAUCUUGGUGUUUGCACUUAUCUGUUUGCAGUUUCAGCCAGAGGAACAACAGGGAUCAGGAUAACUUUCACAGAUAGCAGCAUAACAGAGCCACUUUUGACCCCAUCUGUAGGACAGCAGAUGGAAGCUGAAAGGACAUGUCUAUAUGGAAGGGCAGGUAUUCUACAACUUAUCACAUUCUCCUGGAUGAAUCCUAUCAUUGCUACUGGAUACAGGAAAACUCUAGAUCAGAAUGAUGUGCCAGAUCUUGAUGGGAAAGACUCUACCGAGUUCCUCUCUGAUUCGUUUAAGAAAAUCAUAAAUGAUGUUGAACACAGGCAUGGUAUAGGUACUUCAUCAAUAUAUACAGCAAUGUUCUUAUUUGUUAGACGGAAAGCAAUGAUCAAUGCAGCACUUGCUGUGCUAAGUGCCAGCGCAUCCUAUGUUGGACCAUCAUUGAUUAACGACUUGGUGAAGUUCCUUGCAGGAGACAGGCAAUAUGGACACAAAAGAGGUUACCUUCUUGCUUUAGCUCUUCUAAGUGCUAAAGUUGUAGAAGCAAUAGCAGAGAGUCAGUGGUGGUUUGGAGCUCAACACCUCGGGAUGCGGCUGCGAGCUGCUUUGAUAUCUCACGUCUAUCAAAAGGGACUCCAGUUAUCCUUCAGUUCGAGGCAGAAGCACAACAGCGGAGAGAUCAUAAACUACAUGGAUGUAGAUAUACAAAGGAUAUCUGAUUUUUUAUGGUACACAAACUACAUAUGGAUGCUACCCAUUGAGCUCUUUCUAGCUGUCUAUGUUCUCUAUCAAAAUCUAGGGGCUGGGGCCUGGGCUGGUUUAGCAGCAACACUGGCAGUAAUGGCUUGCAAUAUUCCGCUAACCAGCAUGCAAAAAAAGUUGCAAGCCAAGAUCAUGGCUGCUAAAGACGAGAGAAUGAAGGCAACAACAGAAGUUCUUAGAAGCAUGAAAAUACUGAAACUUCAAGCAUGGGAUAUGCAGUACCUUCAAAAGAUAGAGGCUUUGCGAAGCGAGGAGUACAAGUGGUUAUGGAGAUCUCAGAGGUUGUCAGCUUUGACAACACUUGUGUUUUGGGGGGCACCUGCGUUUAUAUCCUCUGUAACAUUUGGCUCAUGCAUAUUGAUGGGGAUUCCUCUAACUGCUGGUAGUGUUUUGUCUGCCCUUGCAACAUUCCGGAUGCUACAAGAUCCCAUCUUCACACUUCCUGACUUGCUUUCAGCGUUUGCUCAAGGUAAAGUUUCAGCAGAUAGAGUAGCAAAGUACCUACAGGAAGAAGAACUGAAAUGUGAUGCAGUUACACAAGUGCCAAGAAGUGACACAUGCUAUGCUGUGGAGAUUUAUCAAGGAACAUUCAGCUGGGAACUUGAGACCACUUCUCCAACUCUCACAGAUGUAGAGUUAAGAGUAAAGAGAGGGAUGAAAGUAGCUAUCUGUGGAAUGGUCGGCUCUGGAAAAUCCAGUCUAUUGUCAUGCAUACUUGGGGAGAUGCCAAAGCGAAACGGGACUGUCAGAGUGAGCGGGAGCAAAGCAUAUGUUCCUCAAACUGCCUGGAUCCUGUCUGGGAAUAUCAGGGACAACAUUCUAUUCGGAAAUCCAUAUGACAAAGAAAAGUAUGAAAGGAUAGUACAAGCUUGUGCACUGACUAAAGAUAUUGAAAUGUUUGCAAAUGGAGAUUUGACUGAGAUUGGUGAAAGAGGAAUAAACAUGAGCGGUGGCCAGAAGCAGCGGAUUCAGAUUGCAAGGUCGAUGUAUGAGGAUGCUGAUAUUUACCUCUUUGAUGAUCCUUUUAGUGCAGUAGAUGCUCACACUGGAAGUCAGAUUUUUAAGGUAGGUUUUGUAGUUCCAAGAAACGCACAAAUAUAGUACUAACCAUUUAGGACUUUUAGGACAGUAGUCGGCACAUAUUCUAAGCAAUAAAUAAUUGGAUCAUGCAGGAUUGUGUAAUGGGAAUUCUUAAAGACAAAACAGUACUGUAUGUGACCCACCAAGUUGAAUUUCUUCCAGCUGCAGAUCUUAUACUGGUAGGUGCCUAAAAUAGCUUUUUGUUUAACUAAUCAUGUCCAAAGGAGAUGCCAAGCAACUAACCAUGUGGAUGAAAGUAAACAGGUGAUGCAGGGCGGAAAGAUUGUGCAGGAAGGGAAAUUUGAUGAGCUCCUUCAAAGAAAUAUAGGAUUCGAAGCUAUAGUAGGAGCCCAUAGCCAGGCUCUUGAAUCUGUCAUGAAUGCUGAGAGCUCCAGCAGAAUAUCCUCAGAUAAUCAGAAAUCAGCAGAUACAGAGGAUGAUUUAGAUGCAGAAAACAAUACAGAUGAUCAGCUUCAGGGCAUAACAAAACAAGAGUCAGCACACGAUGUCUCACACAACACCAAUGACAAGGGAAGGUUAACACAAGAUGAGGAGAGAGAAAAGGGAGGCAUUGGCAAGAAAGUUUAUUGGGUGUACCUGAGGACAGUUCAUGGUGGUGCCUUAGUUCCAAUAAUAAUCGCUGCACAGCUAUUAUUCCAAAUAUUUCAGGUAGCAAGCAACUAUUGGAUGGCAUGGGCAUCCCCUCCAUCAUCUGCAACCAACCCAACCAUUGGAUUAGGCCUCCUUUUCUCUGUGUAUAUAACACUAUCUAUGGGAAGUGCACUAUGUAUCUUUGCCCGCUCCAUGCUCACAUCACUAAUCGGUCUGCUAACAUCAGAAAAGCUCUUCAAGAACAUGAUCCACUGCAUCCUGCGUGCCCCAAUGUCUUUCUUUGACUCCACACCUACUGGGAGAAUUUUGAACAGGGUUGGUUUUAUGAAAAUUUUAUACUGCAUCACAUGCCCCCACAGUACUAAAGUACGAAACUAAUGUGUGUUUUUCAUGUAACAGGCCUCCAAUGACCAAAGUGCUCUAGAUAUGGACAUAGCAAACAAGCUUAGCCGGUCCAUGCUUUCAGUCAUACAAAUCCUGGGGACCAUUGGUGUUAUGUCACAGGUUGCAUGGCCAGUUUUCGCAAUCUUCAUUCCAGUGAUCGUUGUCUCUGUCCUUUAUCAAGUACGAACUCUUAAACAAGAACUUCAGAUCUUGCUUACAACUUUAGUGUUCUCUUUACCAUUAUGCAUAUGGUUACUAUUGCAAUCCAUAAAUUCGAGGAAGCUUAAAUAGCAGUUUUCUGAAUCCAUAUACUUUGUAUAAUGUGCAGCGCUAUCAAAUACCAGCAGCAAGAGAGCUGGCUCGUUUGUAUAAAAUUCAAAGGGCUCCAAUCCUACACCAUUUUGCAGAAUCACUUUCAGGAGCAUCAAGUAUUAGAGCAUAUGGACAGAAAGAUCGUUUCAUAAAAGCAAACCUUGGUCUUUUUGACAAUCACUCCAGACCAUGGUUCCAUAACUUCGCUUCCAUGGAGUGGCUUUCUCUCAGGCUAGCCAUGCUAUCCACUCUUGUCUUUGCGGUUUGUUUGAUUCUGCUAGUCAGCCUUCCUGAAGGUUUAUUGAACCCAAGUAAGAUGUAUAUGCAAAGCCCUUGGUGAUUACAGAAGCCUCAAUAUGUCUUAUGUUUAGUGAUUUUCAAACUAAUAUAAUUACACAUGCAGGCAUUGCUGGACUUGCAGUAACUUAUGCAUUGAACCUCAACUAUCAGUUGACGUCUAUGAUUUGGAACAUUACCAGAAUAGAGAACAAAAUGAUAUCAGUAGAAAGAAUAUUGCAGUACUCAAGGAUACCUAGUGAGGCUCCUCUAUUAGUUGACUACUGCCGCCCACCAAGUAGCUGGCCGCAAAAUGGAACUAUCAGUAUAAGAUGCUUGGAGGUAUGUGAAAAAGAAUCAUGAGUUAUGACCUAACAUGAGUGCAAACAUAAUUUUAUUUCACCAAUGAUUUUAAAAAUCUAUUGCUGAGUUGGUAAAAAAAUUAAUUUAUUCAUUAACGUUGAAGUUAAAUAACCAUAUGCACAAAAUUAAAAGCAAGCUGUCAGAAAAAUUCAUCUCACAAAAGCGCUUAGUUUAUAAUAAUUAUAUAAAUAAUCACGUAGCUCUUACUUUUUAUUUUCUACACAAUAAAUGAAACAUGUACUAUGUAUUUUAUCUCAAUAUAUGCAUUAGCUCAAAUGGAGCCAUCUAAUGUGACUUUUUGCUUUUACUGUUUUACAGGUUCGAUAUGCAGAGCAUCUCCCAUCUAUUUUGAGAAGCAUAUCAUGUACAAUUCCAGGAGGGAAGAAAGUGGGGAUUGUAGGACGUACUGGUAGUGGAAAGUCAACUUUUAUCCAAGCCCUUUUCCGGAUCGUUGAACCACGGGAAGGCACAAUUAAAAUCGACAAUGUUGACAUCUGCAAAAUCGGGCUGCAUGAUUUACGUGGCAGACUUAGCAUCAUUCCACAAGAUCCAACCAUGUUUGAGGGAACCGUAAGAGGGAAUCUUGAUCCACUAAAUGAGUACUCUGAUCAACGUGUGUGGGAGGUAACUUAAUCAGCUACAAAUACCAUCAUGAUAAAGAAAACCUUAAUUACCAUGUGAAAUAGGGAUAAGUGAUAAAUUAAGAUGUUUCCCUCACACUGCAUGUUUGAUAUUACCACCAAACUUUAAAUGACUGAAGCCAGAAUGGGGGAAUGGAUGUAAUUGUUAUAGUAUAAGUGCACCGACUGUACAUUGCAAUUAGUAACACAAUACAAUUCCUAAAGAUUUUCUGGUAACUCAUAACCAACCCGAUCGAAAUUCAUAAUCUAUUGACAUAAAAGUGAACAGAAAAGGCAAAGUACCACUCAAAAGAAAAUGAUGACUAGAGGGAGAGGAGACAGCCACCUGAUCAGAAUAUUGGUUUCCUUAUUUCGUUCAGGUAUUGGACAAAUGCCAGCUUGGCAAUAUAGUUCGGCAAACCCCAAAGAAGCUGGAUUCAACAGGUAAUGCACUAUUUCAGGUCUAGUGGCUAAUGUGAAAACUUAGUGUUCAUGGGUAGGUGGUACUGUAGUAGUUACCAUAGUCUUGUAGGUAAGGAUAUCUUCAAUGAGACUAUAACCAAACGGGAUACCCCCUGCAGUUGUCGAGAAUGGGGAAAACUGGAGCGUGGGCCAGAGGCAGCUGUUUUGCCUUGGUAGGGUUCUGCUAAAGAGAAGCAACAUCCUCGUACUUGAUGAGGCAACUGCUUCAGUUGACUCCUCCACUGAUGCAGUUAUCCAAGAAACCAUCCGCCAAGAGUUUUGGGAUUGCACAGUGCUUACAGUGGCACACAGAAUCCACACGGUUGUUGACAGCGAUCUCAUCCUCGUCUUCAGUGAAGGUAUAAGGCCCGGCUUCAAUGAACAAACAGCAGUCCGCUGCAUGUUAUUGGAGGACCUAGCUGCAGUGAUACUAAAAUCCAUACUGUUUCAUGAUGAGCAGGGAGGAUCGUGGAAUACGACACUCCGUCGAAAUUGCUGAAGAACGAGAACUCUGAGUUCUCCAGGCUCGUCAAGGAGUACUCGAGGCGAUCCCACUGCUCCGGCGGCAGAGGAAACAACUGAAACAGGGGCAACCAGCACAGCAUGAAGCCAGGGAUUGAAGUGAACUUCAAAAUCAAUCGUAGUGGCCUAGUGGGUGGCAUAGCACUAGCUCCUAGCUAGACUCAGUUAUUCUGUUGCUGAUGGGAGCAAACGUCCUGUAUAAGAAAAAUAAACGAUAAGAAGCACAUAUUCCGCGUAAAUGUGUGCACGAGAAUGGUGACUGUAGGACGUUUUGCCUUUUUUCAACUGUAAUACUUGAUCGGGGCCUUACACGUCGCAGUGCGUCCGGUCAGGCAUUCCAUCGAGCAGGCGACGGGCACAUGGCAGUGCGCUCGAGGCCGGCGCCAACUUAACGGCGCUAUCCCUCGCCUACCGGCUAUUGGAGAAGGAGGAGGUGGGGGGAAACGGCCAGGCGGGUCGUCGGUGUCAUCGCCGGAGCGGGGGUGGGGGCGGAGGAAGGGGGGCGAUGGGUGGCGGCCGUCGGCUGAAAGGUUGGGGAGGGCGGGAGGCACAGCAGAGCCGCAGAGAUGAUUCGUAUCGGCUUGGCUCGCGUUAGGAUAUGGAGCUGGCUCGGCUCGAAAAACAAGCUAAACUACAUCAAACACGGCAAAUCGUGCUUAGAGCAGCCACAGUGUGUUCUAAAAGUUAUUUUUCGUUUUUCUCUUUUCUCUUUGAGUAUCGAUUGGCACACUGCAAGACGCCUAUGUUUUUGUGGCCCUGGUGCAAAACAUAAAGUGGGGUCUAUAUUUAUAAAAUGCAAAAAACUAAAGUGCACGUAGAGUAAUAUCAUAAGUAUUUGUACAAAACGAUUAAAUGAUGAAUCUUACUUACUGAUAACUUCUUAGCUUCCAUUAAAAAUCAUCAUUCGUCUAGUAUUUUUCGAAAUAAAAUCUUCAAUUAUAUCUUCAUACAUAAUCUUCUCUAGAAGAUCAUUUUCAAGCGCAAUUGUCGCCAAUCCAUUUAGCCUUUCUUGUUUUCAUAGUACUGUGCAUGUAGGUCUUUAGCAACUUCAAUUUGGAAAAGCUUCGUUCUGCGGAUGCAACUGUUACAGGAAUAGUUAACAAAAUUCUAUAUGCAACAAGGGCAUUAGGAAAACAGCCCAUCCGUUUCACAAACUUCAGAAUAUCAAGAGGGCCCAUGUCUUCCUUUGGAAUGAAAUCUUGGAGGAACUUUAACUCCACAUGUAAUUCUUUACCAUCAAUAUCAGAAUGGUCACCACUCUUAAGUGCAGCCUCAAGAUGAGCACAAGAAGACAACAGACUCUUGUCAUCUAAGGAGCAUAAUUUCUUUGAAGUAAACAAAAAACUAAAAGUUUUUUCGUAUCCCUGGUAUUGUUCGAAUCUAUUUGUAAGUGAAGCAAUAGCUUGAUCAACAAUGGAUAGAAAAUAAUUGAUUCUAAUUAACUCCUCUGUAGAUUGUGAAAAUAGAUUCAUCUUCAGGUGCCUCAUCAAAUUGCCGUUUCCUUUUGAUUUUACGCUUGGUACGGAAUGUUGGUUCAACAUCCAUCUCACGUGCAAUUUCUUUUGCAGAUUCUAAUGUAUUUGGAAAACCAGUUUCUCUAUACUUAGUGAAGAAUGAAAUCAACCCCUGCACUUUCUCAAUAGCAAUAUCAAUAAGCAUAUCCUUUGCUUGUAAUUGUUUACUGACCAAAUUAAUAGUAGAUAAUACUUCAUACCAGAUAACUAUUGCCACUAUAAAUUCAAAGUCACCAAGCUCAUUGGUCGCCAAGGAUUUAGCUUCACUACAUAUUGUUGCAUCAUUAUCAGUAUCUGACACUUCCAGUAAAGCUUCUCGUAUAUCCUGCAUUUGGAACCUUAUAGCCUUAACACUGUCAACACGACUCUCCCAACGAGUUGCUGACAAUGGCUUGAGAGUGAAUCCUGAUAUGUUAUCUUUUAAAAUUUGCCAUCUCUUAGUGGACUUACCAAAUAUUGUAUAGAUACGUUGUAUGAUUCCAAAAAAAUCUUUUGCUUUACCGCAACUCUUUACCAUAUCACAUAGUGCUAAAUUAAUACUAUGAUAGCCACAAGCAGAAUAAAAGGCUCGAGGAUUGAUCUCCAAAACUUUCUUUUGUACCCCUAUAUUUUUUCCUUUCAUAUUUGAUCCAUUGUCGUAUCCUUGUCCUCUCACAUUGUCUAUAUCAAGGUCAAGAUUCUUCAAUUCAUUUUGUAAAACAUCAAAUAACCCUUGGCCUGUAGUAUCAUUAAUAUCCAGAAAACCUAAGAAUGAUUCCUCAAUGCAAAUAGAAUCUGAAGAUGUGUCAACAUAUCUUAUGAUCAAAGACAUUUGUUCUUGGUGGCUUAUAUCAGGGGUACAAUCAAGGAUAACUGAGAAAUAUUUUGAUUCCUUUAUUUUUCUAAUUAUUUCAGACCUGAUAGAAGCAGCAAGCAAAUCUAUUACCUCAUUCUGGAUGCCAUGACCGAGGUAAUGUGUAUGGAUAUCAUCAUUUGUUAUGCAUUGAACAUGCUCCUGCAUAACCGGAUCAAAUUCAGCCAUCAUUUCAACCAUGCCUAGAAAAUUGCCAUUGCUGUCCUGAUACAACUUGCUAUUGGUGCCACGAAAUGCUAAGUUAUGCUUUGCAAGGAAUUUUGCAAUCAAAAUAAUUCUGAACAAAACCUUCCUCCAAUGUUCCUUUUCCUUCUCAAUUUCUCUAUGAGCAACUUUAUCAAUAGUUUGGUUGUUAUCAAAUCUGAGACGCAUGUCAUACCAAGAAGCCAUAUUUGUAAUAUGAUCAGCACUAGUUUCAUGAUCUUUAAGUCGAGUGCCAACAUGUAACCAAUCACUCAGACCUUCAUUUGCUAGCUGACUCCUUAAAUGCCCCUUUCUUAAUAACUUGCAACAAAAACAGAAUACUCUAUCAAGCUAUUUGGAAUAUACCAGCCAUUCUCUAUCACAAGUUUUCCCAUUUGAUAAAAUUCUAGUAUAUAAUGCUGCAGAAAACCUCCUUGAUAACCUAUCUUUAGGACCUUUCUGAAUAGACAAGUCCCUUUUAGGACCCUUUUGGACCAAAAUAUCAACCUGUUUUUGAUCUAGUCCAUCCCAAUAUCUUGGAUCAAAUAUGUUAGGCUGAAAAGGAACCCUCAAAUCAUUGUCACUUUCAAUACUAGCUGAUCCAUCAAGGGUAGCAUCAACACUAUCCGCAUUAUUGGGAUUAACUUGCACUGAUUCAGUUCCUAAAGUGUGAGCUUCAACGUUGUCUGUGUUAUCACCGUGAUUUCCAUCACUAUGUGCCUCAGGAGUUUCAUCUUGUGCACUAGUUUGACAGUUCUUAACAACAAAUCUAUCAAGAGCACCCUUUUGAGUCCGAGCAAAUUGUUCAAGCCUGUGUUUCUUCUUGCGCUUUUCAUUACCUGACUCAUAUUUAAUAUUUCUAGAAGACAUGAUAUGAUGAUAAAUAAAUAGGAUUCCCUGUUUCAUGAAUUACAAAUCAACAAAGCUAAAUUAACAUUUAACAAAUCAUUGACCCAAUUGCACACAAAUCAUAGAGCCGGUCACCUAGCAUUACAUUACCUGGCGGUAGCUUUUGCCUUUUGUAGUUCUGUUGUGCCGUUGUGGAGAAGACCUACCGUCAGAUGGUCAGAGGCAGGUGGAGUCGCUGCAUGCAGACUUGAUUGCGGCAGCGCAAUUUCGCAUGCAGCUCGGCGACUCGGCGAGAUUGCGGCGACCGGCGGCGCUCUCGCGAUUAGAUUUAGAAAUUAGAAUAAUCGGCAGGCGGCAGCGGCAGGCCAGGCCUGCUAGGCUGCUAAUCAGUAUCGGAUGAUUCGGAUCGAACGGUCCUGGUCCGGCAACACGGCAACAGAUUCUCCAAUCUCUAGGGCCCAGGCUAAAAACACAAAAAGUUGCAUGCAGCCAUGCAGGCAUGGUCACAAACUCGCAUGCAGGCAGGAAUAGAGGCCACCAGAGAGAGAUUGACAGGUCACGUACUCACGUACACAUGGGGGCCCCAAAAUUUUGGAGGCCUGGUGCGAUCGGCCCACUUGCCAUGCAUGAUGUACGGGCCUGCAAGACGCGAUGCUAGACGGAAAAACUCGGCAUCGAUAACUCUAGUUUUCUCGAUUCUCCAUAACUAUCUCAAUAGCACGUCGUUGCUUCUUUAGUCACAUAUUGUCAGUAAAAAGAAAGAAAUUGUUAUAAUGAGAGAGAAAAAUAAAACAUCAUUGAUGAUUUAAUAUUUGCAAACAUCGUCACUUCCAGCACGUUGUGGACCUCUAGCUGCCCUUAUACGAAGAUAUUAUACGAAGGAAACACACCAUAGGCUCGUUAGGCUCGCAAGUGGCUCGUACGCCACAUGCCGACUCAUAACUAACGAGCCGACUAGUCACGUACGAGUCAGCUCGCGAGUUUUGAACUUUUGGUCCACCCCUAACCGGCCGAUUCCUUACCAGGCCCGCUGGGCCCUGAAACUUCUCGGCCCGUGAACUCCUCCGGUGGCGAACACGAACACGUGCUGCGGGGUGCUGCAGUGCCGAGCUGGCAGCAGCCAAAGCCACUCGUCGGCUCCGAUGAUGGCUUCAUCGUCAGCAGCGGCUGCUCCGUUCCGGUUCCUACCCCCCCUCGCCACCACCGCCUCCUGCACCCUCCUCUCCAACUCCUCCCGAACCCCAACGACAAGGAGACGGCUACUCCUCUCCACCACCAUUGCCGCCGCCAUGGCAACUUCUUCACCGAGCGACGGCUCGGCCUCUUCUUCCUGCAAGGUCGUGGACUCCCACCUCCACGUCUGGGCCUCGCCACAGCAGGUGAGAAAGCGGGCGACGCGCGCAAGCCAGUUUCGGCCUCCAGAACGGGGUGUUGGGUAAUUCUUCGCGGUGGUUGUGACCUGUGACUCUGUCCGCGCGCAGGCCAAUGAGGGGUACUCGUACUUCCCCGGCCAGGAGCCCACACUCCGGGGCGACGCUGACUUCUUGCUCGAGGUAAGUUAAGAGGAAUUUAGGCCUGGUUUGGUUCACGCUGUUUAUUUUUAAGCACCCGUCUCAUCGAUGUUUAGAUACUAAUUAGAAGUAUUAAACGUAGACUAUUUACAAAACCCACUACAUAAGGGGAGGCUAAACGGCGAGACGAAUCUAUUAAGCCUAAUUAGUCCAUAAUUUGACAAUGUGUUGCUACAGUAAAUAUUUGUUAAUGAUGGAUUAAUUAAGCUUAAUUAGGCUUAAUAGAUUCGUCUCGCCGUUUAGCCUCCACUUAUGUAAUAGGUUUUGUAAAUAGUCUAUGUUUAAUACUCCUAAUUAGUAUCUAAACAUUCGAUGUGACACGUGCUAAAAAUAAGCAAACGGAACCAAACAGCCCCUUAGAAAUGCCGCAUCUCAUGUGCCCUUGCAGUUGCAGUUACCUUGACCGUUGUAGCCUAUAAUUUGUUUCAGAACCUACGAUUUGGGGAUGAAUUGUGCCCGUACUAGUGAUAGAUUAGUGGGUAAACAUCUAUUGUGCAUCGUGUCCAUGUGAAAUUCUACAGAAUUGGCACCAGGAAACUGUGCCAAAAAAUGAAGCUAUUCCUUAAAUUCUCAGCAUACAUGGAAAAAAAUCAGCUGGUGGGUUCUUUGUUUAGUCUAUGUUUCUGAACAUGUGGUGGCCUAUCGACCUAAUUGCAGUCUUAACGGUAUUUCCUCCUCUAUCCCGUUGUUAUAUCAGUUGAAUCAAAUGAUUCAAGAUUGCUCUUGAAAAUGUAAGUUUGAGUCUGCAUUUUGUGUUAUUUGGUCUAACUAACCCACUAUUACUUGUCCUUUAGGCUAGCUUGUUGAGACACAUAAUACAUGAUGCGUGUGGAAGUGCUGAUUAGUGAACUGGUUUGAAAAUUUUCCUCUUUAUGUAGUGCAUGGAUGAAGCUGGAGUGGAUGGGGCUCUCAUUGUCCAACCUGUUAAUCAUAUGUUUGAUCAUUCGUUGGUAACUAGGUAAUUAAGCCUUUUCUUGAGUCUACCUAUUCCAACCUGAAACCACCUGAAUUAGUCAUAUCAGUAAGACCAUGGUAUUUCAUUUUUUCUGUAGUGUGUUGAAGAAAUACCCAUCCAAAUUCAUUGGUUGCUGCCUUGCGAAUCCUGCAGAUGAUGGUAGUGGGAUUAAACAGCUCGAACAUCUGAUUGUACAAGUAAACCUCUUGGAACUUUCUUGAACGCAAAAGGAAUUAUUUAAUCUAGCAUUUUCUAAUAUACUACCCCUUCGUUCUCACCAGGAAAAAUAUCGUGCUGUCCGGUUCAACCCAAACUUAUGGCCAUCAGGUCAAAAGGUUUGCAAAUGAGAGACUGAACAUCACUUUCCCUCUACCUCUUAAUUUUGAUUUAUGAUCAAAGUGGCCUGAAAACACAAAAUGUCUCAAAUAAACAGAUGACUAAUGAGGUCGGAAGGUCAUUGUUUGCUAAGGCUGGAGAACUGGGAGCGCCAGUGGGAAUAUUGGUGAUGAAGGUAAAAAAUGCAUUCCUCUAUUAGAUGUAUGUGCAGUUACUAUUGGACUUUGGGAUUCCGACAGCAAGAAUGACGUAGCAAUACGUUCCCAUCGUAAAAAGGAGAAGAAGGGCUCACAUUCAAACAAAGAUUCAUAUAUUCUAUAUUGUCAGGUUGUGCCAUUCUAGAGCCUGAAGCUUUGAGGAAACUAAUAGUCCAGAAAAAUGCGAGUUUUCAGCCCUGUUAAUUACACAAGUCACUUGUUACAUGAGCUUAUGAAAUCCUGUCUGCAUCUUCUUUGCAAAAUAAAAUUGUAUGAAUAGGCUCCUUGAAUAUAAAGUAACAGGGACUUAAUUACCCUCUUUGUUACAAAGUCAAAAUUAUAUAAUUAUUCUUUGUUGUUCUUGUGUAUGCAGGGAAUUGGUCUAUAUAUUCAGGAAAUAGAGGAGCUGUGUAGGGAUUAUCCUGAAACUACUGUUAUUCUUGAUCAUAUGGCUUUCUGCAAGCCACCAACGUAAACUUGUGUUUUUGCUUGUUUAUAGUCUGCGUGAAUGUAGUCAUAUGAAGCUAUAGCCUGUAGUAGCUUAUAUUGCAUUGCAAUACAGGAAUGACGAAGAAGAGAAGGCAUUCUCAUCAUUUCUAAACUUAUCCAGAUUCCCACAGGUAAUCUCCAAAACCUCUUUAUUUUGUCCAUUGGCAGAUCAAUGUGGUCAUGGAGAGAAAAAAUAGUUUUUAUUGUGCAAAUGAGCCUUUUUAGUACCAGCUGACAUUAGCACCCUCAGAUUUUGUUGUCAGAGAUCUGGGGGCAGUAACACUAUUCUGUGAGGGGCGAUACCUAACCUGAUUUAUUGUCAAGUAAUGGCGUCAUGAAUAAAGUGCCAGAUUGUAGUAGAAGCUGUGCAGUUAAUUCCAUUCCUUCUGCUUCUGUAACAUUAUACUUGCUUUAAUGCCAUGAUGCAUUACUUCAACAGGUUUAUGUCAAAUACAGUGCUCUUUUCCGCAUCUCAAGAGAAGCAUAUCCAUAUGAGGACACUGCUCAGCUUCUUUCCCAUGUGAUAUCUAUCUAUGGAGCCAAACGAAUAAUGUGGGGAAGGUGAAUUUGCAUACCCACUGAUAGUUUCAAUUGGUCAUAGACUAAAACAGUGCCUAUGAGAAACCACUCUCAGUUAACUGAUAGCAUGCUCUGAAGUGUUGGAUCAGCAAAUUUGUCGAAAACACAAGCGUUGAGUUACCACAGAAACCCCAGCAGCAAUUACAUACUCCUAACUGAAAGGGAAAAAAAUCUGCUAUGGAAUACAGAAAUCAUAUAAUCCCUUUAUCCUCUGGAAAUACACACUUCCAUAGAUUGAUUAUGCCCUGAACUUGUAUGCAGUGACUUCCCUUAUGUUGUUCCUGAAUGUGGCUACAAAGGAGCAAAGGAUGCAGUCUCUCAUGUUGCGGGCAAGGUAUCUGUUUCACCAUCAGAUUUGGAAUGGAUCCUGGGAAAAACAGUGAGCCAGCUAUUCCAAGGUGCAUGGGUUGCUCCAUGAGGGAGCUGUCAUGAUCAGUGUAUUGUAGUGUUUUUUAGUUGUUGCUGCUUGUGUUGUUAGUUUUGUGGUUUGUUGUCGUCAUUACUUGACCCUUGCUUGACCCCUUGGGGUCUUGUUGCACUAUUGUUUGUCUAGGAUGGGUUUGAUCUUCUUAAUAUAAUUGGCAGCUCUCCUGUCCGGUUCGCUUAAAAAAAAGAUGGUGUAGUGUAGUGUUGCUGGUAGGAGCUAAAUCAAGACUUUGUCUUAUUUUCGAAUGUUCAAAUGUAUAUAGUGUUUUAAUUUGAUACGAAUAUACAUAUAAAGCAUUUCUAUGUUCAGAUUUCUAUCACCAACAACAACCAAAUUUUAUUGUCUUCUCAAGAAGACUCCUGUUUUUCGGCAAGAAAAAUUUCUUCAUUUAUCCAAUUCCGACUUGAUCGUGUAACUCAAACAUGUGAAGAUGAACUAAAGGUGCAAAGACCAAAUUGUCGUCAGUGUAUUACAACCAAAAUGUUUUCUUUUAUGACAAUGGGAAUUCAGAUUCAGUUAGAAAUGUUGAGGAUAGCAUUAUUACCAGCUCGUUGACUCACGGGAGAAUUAAGUCUCGAGCAAAUUACAACUUAUAUAUCAUUUUAAUUUAUUUAAAUCAUACUCCCUCCAUCCCAAAUUAUAGAUCGUUUUUGAAUUUUCUAGAUACAUAUCUUUUACUAUGCACCUACAUAUAAUUAUGUCUAGAUACAUGACAAAACAUACGUAUCUAGACAAGCUAAAACGAUCUACAAUUUGAAACGGAAGGAGUAACAAUUAUACGAUAUCAUUGGCUUAGAACACCCAAAAUGGAAUAGCCAAAUAAUACAAGGAAUAAAACUAGAAUUGAGUUGUAGCCAGAGAAUAACCCGCCAUCAUUGAUAUCCCUGCUACACUGUAUCUAUCAUUUUGUUGUACUGCUAUAGCUAAAAAUAAUCCAUAUUUGUGCAUGCACAUGGUUUAGACAGUCAAAUAAUACGCACCAAGGUACGUACAAUAACUUAUUUCUGUGCUCAUACCAUCAUCCUUUUUUCUUUAGAAAAACAACGCACGGCAACCCUCUAUGGUAAAAUAUUUCGAUGUCUCCUUUGAAAUGCGUUAUCUCAAAACUUAAAGAGGGGGGAAACAUAAGAUUCAAGUUGGUUGUGAACUGCGAUACUAUAUGAAUAGAAAUUUUCCAACUGAGUGCUUGGAUGCAAUAUAGGAUAAACGCAUGAAUUUAAGGAGAUAGACAUAAAUGGAAGUAAUUUCUAAGAGGUUGGGCCCAUAUAUAUUUUCUCCAAAUUCCUAUGAAUGGAACAAUUCCUUGUGAACUUUUUUUUUGAUUUUAGGAUAUCUAACUUCCGAAGAGAUACCAACAUUCAAAUAUAGCAUAAGAUCUGUGUUUAUAUUUUGCUAUAGAAUGAGCCUAUACUGAUUGCAAUUUUCCAGAAUCUUGUGCAUUUCAUCGGCAUCAUCACAUUUGCAACAAUAACAUACCCAUCCGCAUAUAUUUAUAAACCAUAUGUGUUUUUGCAACACGAAAAAAUCCUAAAACCCAUGGUUAACCUUAAUUUUUUAAUCAUUUUCUCUUUAUUUUUUGUUGUUUUCUUGACUUAAUAUGUAAUUACUAUAAAUGUACAAGUCUAUAACAAAAGUAAUAUUAGUACAUAUGUUUUACCGCUUGAACCACUCGGAUUUGUAGCAUGCUAAAAAAGAUAGUAACACCAGUGGUAGUAAUGAACGGUUUCUUAGCAAGUUAACAUGGUUUCCUUAAGGAAUAACAGUCCAUAUGGCACCUAGCAACAAUGUAUAGUUUUAUUCAUUGAGGAAAUCACAGCAAGAAAUAGUAUGUAUGAUUUAUUAGCUGUAGUAAUCAAUGGUUUCUUGGUGCCGUAAGGACCCUUCAGCAACGGUUUAUACGGCGCCUCGUCUAAUUAUACCGUGUACUUUAUAAACUACACGUGCUUUCUGCAAUAUGAAAUAAAAUCUUAAAAUACGGGCAAGGACACCCCUACAGUUUUUCUAGUGCUGUUUCCUCGUGAAAUUAAUGAUUAUCUAGAUUUGCAAGGCACCACGAGAAAUACAGUUGCCCGAGCAAUAGCAGUCCAUAAGUUCUGUUACUCGUAUAUAUAAAAACAAUAAAAUAAAACAGCAGGCUCAUUUGCAACGUGACACCGAUCAUCGGAGGAUUAUACAUACUCCACAUCUAAGCAAAUAUAAUAAGCAUCACAAAUUCUCAAAGACCGAAAAAAAGGGGAAGAGAGUAGAGAGGGUAGCGAGCGAGAACGGGAGGAGACGGAGGGACGACCCCUAGACCCCACUGACCAGCGUCACGGAAUCUUCCUCGGAGACCAAAGCCCUACUACUACUACAGCAGCCGCGACAGCCGCAACCGCCGCAACCGCGGCCACGACCCGCCAUGCAGCAGCAGCCGCCGCAGCGGGGGGCCCCGCCGACGCAGGGCUUCGUCGGCGCCGGAAUGCCGCCGCCGCAGGGAGACGGGGGCCUCGCCUCGGCGGCGGCGGCGGCGGUGGCGCAGGCCAAGGCGGAGGAGGCGGCGCGGGCGCGCGCGGCAGAGCAGAUGGCGCUCGAGGACGCGUGGAAGGCCCUGAACCCGGACUUCCGGACGCCCUUCGCCUCCGUCGAGGACGCCGUCAGCAGGUGCGUGCGCGCGCGCGCCCGAUCGAUUGAUCUUCCUCGCCGCCGCGACGAACCUGCUGCUUCGUCGCGCGUGGUCGGCGCCGUUACCACGCGGUUUAGCGCGCCUUGCUGGCUUCCUCUCGUGUUCUAGGGAUCUCGUUUUUCCCUUUCGUUAGAUGCACGGUUCUUUCUGCUUCGAUCUUUCGUCGAACAUCUCAUAUGUGUUGAGGCUUAAGGGUUUUUGGGAUUAGUUCAUCGUCAUGGUGAACCCGGUUGAUUCCACGUAUGGCUUGUGGUUUUCUCUCUAAGAUUUGGUGCGGCGAAUUUGAUUUUCACGUGGUACUGCUUGAUUUGGGGAAAAAGUUAUAUGCAGAGGGAUAUUAGCGACCUCCUAAGAAAUCUGUCAAGGAACAAAACUAAACUCUGAAAUGGUAUGAGAAUAAUCAAAGUGAAGAAUUUUCUGGAUCUGGGGAUCAAUAUACCUAUGAUAAAUAGGGAACUAACCUGACCAAGAAUUGUGAAUUCCACGUUGAUGAUUUCUGACAGAAUAUCUGAAAUACGGUUGGUUCUUAACUGACAAAGUUGUUGAGGGAGAUCCCUAGAUUAAAAACCUGCAAUUAUAACUGAAUAAUAUUGUUACCUAUCAGAACAUCAGCUAUCUUUUGAUGAUUAAUUUUGUUAACCACAUAUUACCUGGCACGCGUUAUUUCUGAAUCCGAUAUUUAUUGAAUAGAACUACUGUUGUCAAGUUAUUAUAAUCUGACAAAAACAGCUCAUCCCUUUGUUUCUAAAUUCACAGUUCCGUACAUCUAUACGCGAGAAUGUCAUCUGUUAAAUGCAUUGUAGUACUGUAUGAUUGAUCUUUCUUGAAUAGAGACUCUCUACUUAUUCUUGGAGGGAUUGCAUGUUUGCACACCAGUCUGGAAACUCAUGCUAUCUGGCAUGAAAAUGGGUUGUAGGUUCUAGGUGACUGGGAUAGUAGGAUUAACAUGUAUAUGUGCUAGAUGCAACCUGAAAAGAUCUAGUUAUUGCAAUCUUAAUGAGACCUCACAUUACACCUGCUGAAAAGAGAACAGUGAGGAUAGCAACAUGCAUAUUCUGCCAUUUAGUUCAUAUAUAUGUUUUUGAGACUAAGUAUACGAAGAAUUAUUCAUACUUUACCAAUAUUGGUGUCCUGUUCUCGCUAGUUGGAAUUUGGAAAAUUGUUGGCAUGACUAACAAUCUUCUUCACCUCAUGGCCAGGCUUCUGCCGUAUCACGUCUUCGCGGACUACGAAGAGGACGACGGCGUCAUUGACGCCACCGUUGGCGGCGGCGGCGGCAGCGUCGCCACCGCGAUAGAGAAUUCAAGCGCGCAGAAAUGGGAGGACGACAUGGGCGCCGAGGUGGACGGUUUCCUCGAGCACUUCGAGAAGCAGGUGCUGACCUUCAACGUCAUGAACCGGGAGCGCGCGGCGGGCUUCCACCGCGCCGAGGAGCAGCUCAUUCUGGAGAAGGCGCUGUACGAUGACGAGCGCCGGCAGAUGGAUCGCGUCCGCGCGGCACUCGUGCAGCACCAGCAGCAGCUGGAGCAUCAGCGGGAGCAGCAGGAGGCCGCCUUGCGCGCGCGAAUGGCGGCGCUCGCGCAGGCGCAGGCCUCGGGGGCGUGGCCGGCGGUGCAACCAGCCGCCGCCUCGUGGCAGGCGCUGGCUGCCGCGGCGCGCGGCGAAGGGGGCUCCCGCGGGCAGGCGCAGGCACCGGCCUUGACGAUGAUGCAGCAGCAGCAGCAGCCGUCGGAAACGAUGAUGACGGCCGGCGCCUGGCAGGCGCUCGCGGCGGCGGCGUCGCACGGCGAGGGAGGCUCCAGCGGGCAGGCACUGAUACAGGCUGUCAUGAUGCAGCACGUGCAGCGGCAGCGGCAGCAGGAGGAGAUGAUGGCGGCGGCGUCGCGCGGUGAGGGCGUUCCCGCCGGCCAGCUGGCGCUCCCGCCGGCCGCGCUGAUGCAGCUGAUGCAGCAACAGCACCAGCAGCGGCAGCAGGGGGAGAUGAUGGCGGCGGUGGCGUCCCGCGGCGAGGGCGUUCCCGGCGUGCAGGCGCUCCCGCCGGCGACGGUGAUGCAGCUGAUGCAGCACCAGCAACAGCAGCGGCAGCAGGAGGAGAUGAUGGCGGUGGCGGCAUCGCGCGGCGAGAUGGGCCCCGGCGAGCAGGCGCUGGCAUCGGCCACGGUGAUACGUCAGCUGCAGCUGAUGCAGCAACAGCAGCAGCAGCAGGAAAUGAUGGCGGCGGCCGCUGGGUGGCAGCUGGGCGGGCGGCAGAUGACGUACGCGGCGGCGCGCGGUGACGGCAGCUCGAGCUCGCAGGUGCUUCAGCAGUCAGGGCAGGGGCAGGUCAGCAGCGGCGCGGCCUCCAGGAUGGCGCUGCCAUGGCAUGGGAGCGCGGAGGGAAGGGAGCAGUAGUGUUUGCCAGGGCUUUACGAUUCCUGCGAGAAAACCAAUCGUGCGGCUUGCGUCUCUGUUGGAUGAGUAUGUCAUUGUUGUAGUGUUCAUGUCAACUAAGCUCAUUUACAAAAAGCGGCCAAAUUUGACCGUUUAAAAUUCAAUACCUGCCAUUGUGUCAUUGUAGCAGCUUAUUACAGUAAGUAUAUUAAGUCGUGAAUUUCAAUAACAAAGUGCUACAAGCCGAUAAGAAAUGUUAGGUUAAAUCCAUUUCUAUUAAGACAAACGGAAGGAUAUGGCAUAGUUCAAAAUGUUUCGAGAAGCAAUCGAUCAGUUUCAUAUUGACUCUUUGCCCAACAGGAUACCUCAACUCUGAAACAAACCUUGACAAGGUAGAGCAGCAACAAGGUCUACUACACCCAGAAUAGCGUGUGUGUAUCUUGUACAUCAUAUUGAACAUUUUGUAGGGUAAAACACGACAACCACUGCAAACUAUUUCCCUAUCCGCAUGGCAGAGGGACCGACUCUUUGUACCUAGGUUACAAUUACAACAGUAGCUUACAACAUAUUGGCAUCGUCUUUCGCCAUUGCCACCCAUUGACAGAGCAUGACACCAGACUUCUUCGAUCUUUGAGCUCAUAGUCUCUCUGAAGGACUUUAGGUGGACAUACAAAUUAUUGUUGGUCUCGUGGACGCAUAAUAGUUUCAUAGUAUUGUACAGGAGCAGCGAGUAGUUUUGGGCAACUUGUUGGCCUUCUUAUCUGUCAGAAGAGAGUAACAGAGAUAACAACAUUCAGGAUAUGAGAUUAACAUGAACUGCCAACUUACAAAGUUUUGACAAUUCAGCUUAACCCAUCAACUGCAUAAGACAAAGUAAUGAAGAGUAUCCAAACUUCCAGAAUUAGUGCUGCAGUGUUCAUUCUGUUUUGAGAAUUACUCAGUUUUCAACGUCGGAUAUGCUGACAUGCAAUUCCUCCACUUGCAGAGCAAUUAGUUUGAGGAAUGGGAUUAUCCUAGCAACAGCCCAUUGGUUAUCUUUUGUUCUCUUUUUAUUUCACUUUAAAAAUGGAAUCAGCUGGUUUCUCACCCCUAUCCCUCAAUCCUCAUAAGUCAUAAGAACAAGGCUAGUGAAAAAGAAUGACAAAUUGGGUCAUCCAACAAAAAACAUGGGACUACGAGGUGUCCAAGAAAUAAACAUCCGAUCAUCAAGGAAUAGUCUACUUUACACAUCUGAACUUUGCAAAAAUGUCCAUGACAUCGAGUAUUUUAAACCCUCAAACUAAGAAAAGCGGGUCAACUUACACCCAAAGAUGGUUUUGGGAGCCAUGCUUUCGAAUUUUCCUUACUAGUAUAAGUUAACAGGAGGGAAACGAUGAGAAGACACAUAAUGGAGAAAUAGAAGACAGAAAACUAGAAGAGAAAGAGAUCAACCAUGUGGACGUAAACAACCCUGAGUUGGAUGCCCAUCUAAGAAGUAUAAUGUACAAAGCCUGAAAAAGUUACUCCAAUAGGAGCCAACUCAAUGAAAUUGAUUUAGACCACUGGAUGGCCUGUGGAAACAAACUGGCUAUUUUGGCUAAGCCUACAUUCAUACUUUUGAACCCCAGCUCCAAAGAGUCGAUGCAAUGAAGAAGCCAGUAGCUAGUACACGUAGUUACCAAAUAAGGCUAGCUGUGAACCAUAACCAGCUCAUUAUUUGAAUAAAAGGGUGUGAACAGUCAGUUUACAAGAGGUCAAAUGUCCAUUGCGUUCCUAUUUUUUCUUCUCUCUUUUUUUUCUUUUAUUUCUAUUUCUUUUCCAUACUAUUUUAUCCUCUCUUUUUUUCUUUUUUCUCUCCCACUUCUUUUCCUCUUUUUUUUUCCCUCACUUAUCUGGUGCUUGCUUGCCCCUUAUCCAUUCGUUUCCUUCCUGCCACAUAUUAUCUCCUUGUCAAAGCCUAACUUUGCACAACUAACUCUAGGGAAAGUGGGGCUGCCAGAAAAAAAGUGUGGAGAACAAAAAGGUAGCCACACUUGUGGCAAAGUUUGGUACGAAAAUGAGUCUAUAACACGUGGGGCAAGGGGCUAAGAAUGUUUGUAAGCCACAGUUUGUGGCGGAAACCAAACACAUGCUUAAGAAUCUGUGGUGCGACAAACGUGUGGCGCGGCAAGAUGUGGCUAGCAACCAAACAGGCUUGAUUGAGAACUUGGCCAGAAAAUCGAGAUAUUAUGGCUUAGCAGCACAAGUUGGGGGAACAGCUUCUUGAAAAUUGACUCAGUAAGCCCUGCAUUUAAUCUCAAAUCAUAGAACAGAUUGUAGCUUCUCUAUCUCCCUACGAGUAGCAAAUUUGUAUAAUUCUCAGCUCAACACUUUCUACAUUUCUGAAACAAAGUACUCUUAUAGAAACCAAAAGAACACACUUCUGAAAAUAUAGAUCCAACAAAAAUGAAGGCAGCAUGAUAAAGCGUGAACCUUAGAAAGGAAAAGAAAACAAAUCAUAAGUAAAAUAAAGCAAUAGAGGCAACCAAAAAAAUACUGAAACUAUAAUUAGCAGAACUGGAAUUUUACGCAUCUUGAUACAAUGAUACUUAUAACAAAGCUACCAGUCUAUAGAGUUGGAUGAGAGAGGUCAAAUUCAAUAAGUAACCAUUUCAUUAAGUGUGAAAACUUGCAACUCACCUGGUUUUGAUUUGGCUGAUGAUGGUUGAACAACAACGUGCAUUGUGAUAGCACUACUGGGAAGAUCACCAAAAGGUGCUCUGCACUGUGCAACACUCUUAUCAUUUUCUAGAAUUUUGCCUCCGCUUAUCAGUUUCACAUCAUUAGCAGUCUUUGGGCUAACUGAUUUAUCUGCAACAAAAAGUUACAUUAGAAAUAUUAUAUGGGCAGGGCAAAUGUGUGAGUGAUUGUUUAACAAACCCAGAACUGAACUGAUAACUGAUAAAUGCAGCAUACAUAGAUGUAAGGCAAUUUACUGCAUCAAACUAACUCCACAAAUUAACGGAGAAACAGAACAGCUAAAACUGCUCAUGCAACUAGUUUCUGCAGUAAUACUUUUGAUGAAGCAGGAACACAUCGUGAGACAUCAUAUAGCCAGCUUGUAGGAAAAUAAACAUUGUAGAACUAAACACCAGCCAAAAAAACACAUCCUAGCUCGCAGAAAAUUUGCCUGAUACAAUCAGCGGAAAAUAUUUAAUUGCAUUACUGAUCUUAAGUAUGCAGUUCAAAAAUAUCCCAUUCUGGGCAAAUUUUCUGUGGAAAAUGAUAUUAUUUCAUUCAAAAUAGUGGAACUGUUGAUUUAACGAUCUAACUCAGUACUAAUCUAUGAUGCAGUUAUACAAGCCUGCAGGAUCAACAAACUUCAACUAAUGAGAAAGACUAGCAAUAAUAUGGCACCAGCAAAAUGAUGGGUAUCUACUUCGAAGUGUAAAUACGUGCGCUCAUUUUCACACCCUCCGGAAUACAAAAGUAAAGUAUAGAGUGUCCUCCCUCCCUCCCAUAAACAAGAUGAUACAUUGAUAUCCAUACGGAAGCUGUUGUCAAUGGGAGCUACAAGUGCUCAGUUAAAAAACCAUGAGCUUCUCUAUAUGUUUAUUCUACUGGGCUCUCUGUUGGCUACUUUAAAGUGUUGAUCAUGUUACCACUGUGGGCUACUUUGUCAAGAAACUUGAGACUGCUCCUGAGCCAGCAGCAUAGCAACAUGGAAUUGUACACCUAUGUGUAAAGACCCCCCUGGAUCUUGGAGCAACUUGAGGCCACUCAAGGUUCUGAUGAAAUCUCAUCAGUUCUUUAAAAGCAAUCAUGGCCAGGUGUCAAAUAGACAAAUACCCUACUGAACCAUAAACUUAUCUACAAAGGAUGUAAUAAUAUUUCAGUUUGAAAAUAAAAAAACUCUACUAUUACUGUUUGAACCGAAGCCAGCAUAUGGGCUUGACAUUUCUUCAGAUAUGUUCUGGCAUACCAUAAUAAGGAAUAAAUACCGGAAUAGUUAAUGCUAGAUUUACAGGGUACAAAGCAACUGGUUCAAGCUCAAAUCUUCUAUUCGUCAACUAUGCUUCGAGGCAGAGAACUUUUGUCAGGGAAUGGAUCUUAUUGCUGCGACAUAUUCAGUUCUUUAUUACAGUGCCUCUGUCUGCUUUGCGUUCAAUACUUCCAAUUCAACCGAGUCUAGAAUCUUAACAAAAGAAGCACUUGCUAAUAAUGGAGGCGCCCCAUCCUUUUUCCCAAAUCGGACACCAAACCGUGAAGGCACCGAACAAGGAAAUCUGAAGCUCGCCCCCCCCCCCACCCCACCCCACCCCACCCCUUCAAAGCCCUCCGUUCCUAUCUCCUCGCGACACGCACGGACUAAAAAUAGCAACUGAAGAUAUACAAACUUAGCAGUAUGGAUCACAGGGCUUGACACCACGGCGGUAGCCGGCUCAUCCCGCCUCGUAGGAGUUCCAGAGCUCAAGAGAACGGGAAUCUUUAAGGACCUUUGGGCCAGUCGGCGACGACGCGUUCCUUGAGCGCGGCGACGGUGGUAGCAGCGGCGUUGCAGCGGACGGGGCCGAUGUCGGAGCCGUCGAAGAGCCGGAACUUGACCUCCACCUCCUCCGCCUCCCCUUCCCGCUCCCGCUCCUCCAUCUCUUCCGCCCCCACCUUGGCCCCCUCCUUCUCCGCCAUUUUCUCGGCCCCUCCCACCAAGAGCCGGGACGCCUCCGGGACCCAACCGGAGCCCUGCGGAUCCCGGCCGCUCACAGCGAGAGCUCCGGAGGCCGGCGCGACUGGGGGGCGGGGAGGGGCCCGGGUGCUCGGGCUAGGGUUUGGUGUGGGAGCGCGAGGGGAGGGGAGGCAGGAGAGGGAGAGGAGCAGGGGAAGCAAGAAGGCGAGCUAGGCAGGUUAGGCGAGAAAAAAUUCUCUUCCUUUGUCACUGGAAACGCGGGAGGGUUUUUAUUGUAAGCGAAGGACUGGACUAGAGUAUCUACGUUGUGCGAGUUAAAUUGGUUUAUCUCCACAGAAUAUUCAGUGCUCCUUUAUUCUCAUGUAUAUGAAAUUGAAGAGAGCAAAUAGCAUGUCUUACUCAGCUUUAAGAGAAAGUUCUCUUUCUCCUCUCACUUGAGAAGUUUUAUUACUGGGUUGUGGCUUUUAAUCUUUUGCCAUGUGUUAGAUUCCUGUUUGUCUUGAGAGCUUAUGGUAAUUUUAUUAGUGUCAUGUAUGUUGUUUCUUUGGUCUUCCAUAGUAGAGGAAAAGAGGAUCAUGUAAAUAUGUCUAUGCCUACCUCAGUGGAAUUGAAAAUUUUCUAUCAUUUCAUAGUAUAAAGUAUGAGUUAUGGGUUCGGUUGGUGGAUUAAUUGAUGCUAUUUCUAUGCUUUCCUUUUAUGCAUGUAUCCGUUUCUAAUGAAAUUUAAUUAUUAUGUUAAAAAAGGUGAAAUUAAAGAAAAAAAUUGGCUAACUAUGCAUCCAUCCUAGUAGUCACUCUUUAUCUUGUAUUUUAGCAAUCAAAAUAAAUGCUCAAUUCUUGUCGGUUUCUUUGACUCUCCCUUCAAAAGUUCAAACCAUAUGGGAUUUUCCUUGGUGCGCAUAACAAACCUUUGCAUAUAAAUCCUACUCCCUCCGUUCCAAAUUAUAGGUCAUUUUAUAAUUUCUAUGUUCAUGAUUUUUACUAUGCACCUAUAUAUAUUAUGUCUAGAUAUAUAGGAAAAGCAAUGAAUUUAGAAGUGCCAAAACGACCUAUAAUUUAGGAUGGAGGGAGCACAUUAAAAUUAGUAUCAAGAGUGUUGGAUGAUGAGGAGACAUCAAACAACAUCAUUGUCAACGGUGGAGGUCUAUCUUUCUCUCACUAGAUUGAAGAGAGUUCAAGUUUCUCUUUGGUUAUCCAUAGAGCUAAGACACGGGUAAAAGCAGUCUUUUUAUGAUUGGGUGCAACGAUAUACAUUUGCUUUGCACAUUCCUUUUCCCGUACAUGCUCUCUCUCUCUUGGCACCACACUAGAAACUACUACUCCUAAUUUGUUUUUUUAAAUAUUGCCUGUUAAUUUAAUUUACGCUUUUACUUAAAAUAGUAAUUAAUGCACAUGUUAUGCUAUAUCAUGUGCAAAAUGCUGGAUUUUUUUUGAUAGGGUGCAAAUGUUGGAUUUAAAUAGUCUUCUUUAAUAAAAAUUCACGGCAGGAGCCUCCCGUAAUAUGAUCCAAGAUCACUUCUUUCGACGGCAGGAGUUUUGGGCUGGGCUGCCACAGACACUAAAGUCUAAAGGCCAUUAACAUGCAGCUCUUUCUCGGGAAGCAGGUUGGGCCGGCAGAAUAAUUGGAUUGGAUCCACACAACACGGUCCCUUUCUUCCCUUUUGACGCUUACUGAUCGAUCAGUUGACCAAUCAUGAUCUGGCCUAUCCGAUCCGUUGAUAAUCAAGAGUUGUUCAAUUCAGAAGCUAGCCCGGUUGGUCAUGAAUGACUUUUUCCUUCUUAUUUAAUCUGGCUAAAAAAUUCUCAGAAAUCUUCAAAUUUAGGGGUAGAAGGAGACUCUGUCUCUUGGUAAUUAGUGCAUUCCUCUCCUUUGUAUUUCGACCACGCCUACAUCUCUUUUCCACUCUUUGCCACAAAUCGUGCAUGAGUGCAUCACAAGGGAUUUUUAUAUAGCACAAACCGUCCAUGAUGAAUCACUUAUCUAAAAAAGUAGGUCUAGUUCAACUGGUUGAGAUAUGAGGUGUAGUUGUACACUCCAACCAUCCAAGUUUAAGUAUUGUUUAACUCGAAUUUAUGUGCCUAUCUUACACUUAAUAAUGGAAAACCACGUACCUACCUAGUUCAUGCUACUCCCUCCGUUUUAAAUUAUAGGUCGUUUUACUUUUUCUAAAUUUACAAAAUUUUCUAUGUGCAUAGCAAAAGCUAUGAAACUUAAAAAGUUACAAUUUAAGGCGGAGGGAGCAGUUUUUAAGCAUGGGAUAGGUCGAGAAAGCAUUUGUUAGGCUUUGUUUUCUAUAAAUCAAUUAUCCCAAAAUGGUUACGUUAGUGUGGAGGCGUAUUGUUAGAUAGCUUACGAGCUAUUAUAAACCCCAUUAUCAUUGACACCUAAACGAAUGCCGUUCAAGGGCCGUAUGUGACAACAACUCUGAACCGCGCGCCUGUGACGAUGAGGCUGUCCAAGGCAGUGCGCUAGCUGCAGCUCUUUUCUUUCCUUUGGUACUAGCAUGUACGGAGUACGUAGCUAGCGCUAUAGCUUUAUAGACAAUGAUUAAUGGGUCGGAGCAAAAGCCCCCAUUGUAAAUCCUUGUAGUGAGGCAAUCGCCCCGUAUCCCCGAUCACAUUGUACCUUUUGUAGGCCAAAUCCAAGAUUUAGCUCCUGCCACUCAAAAGUUUAAAACCUCACUAGCUAGGAGAAGCUGCCGUCCCUUUAAUUUGUCCCUGCCCUUGCCGGAGAGGAGAGGAGAGAGAGCAAAGCCUGUUCUUUUUGUCCCCAAAUUAAAGAUCAGGAGCUUCCUUGCUACACUACUCUGCUCUCAAGCAAACCAUGCAUGGUUACGCAAGGAGUACAGCUAGCCAGGGCGCAGGCGCAGCAUGGUGUGGUGGGCCCCACUGGACAUAGAGCGGUGAUGACGUGAUGUCAUGAGACAGAAGGGGCCACAAGGGCAUGCAUGCAUGGUCAAGGUGGCGCCGGGUAACGAGGGACCGAACCGGCGGCGGUUCGACUGAACCAGAGCCUCCACUGAUCCGGUUCACUUAAAAGCUGUCCAUGCAAUUGGACCGGUAACAACCGGUUGAACCGGCGGACCGGGUGCUUUUUUCUCCUCGCUUCACCUGCCAGCGGCCAAUCCUUUUUCACUAGUGGGCCAAACACACAUGAUGUUCGGAUGCUAAUUAGAAGGAUUAAAUAUGAGCUAAUUAUAAAAUUAAUUGUACAAAUGGAGUCUAAUUGGCGAGACAAAUCUAUAAAGACUAAUUAAUCCAUCAUUAGUAAAUGGUUACUGUAGCACCACAUUAUCAAAUCAUAGACUAAUUAGGUUUAAUAGAUUCGUCUCGCGAAUUAGACUCCAUCUAUGCAAUUACUAAUUAAUAUCCAACAUCCGAUAUCACAGGUGUUGUUUAGCACCCAUCCUCAGGUUGCAGGCAUCCAGCAGACCAGCACACGCAACAGAGAAAUCAAUCCACCAUUUCUUUAUCUCUUCCCGUUCCACGAGGCCAGCUAGACGCCGGCAACCAGGACUCUUGGUCUUUGGGCUUGGAGCAGCAGCAGCUGCUUCUGCCGCCGCCGCCCUUCCGCGAGGGAGCGCCAGAACGGCUUCUGAGUUCUGACUACAUGCGCUGACGGACGCAGGAGGCUAGCUCUGCCGCAGCAAGCUUUCCCAAAUCCAACACGGGGUGCGGCGGCGCUGCGGUGGACGACGAGUGCGGCGGCGCUACGGUGGACGACCGACGACGAGCGCGGCGGCGGCGCGGCAGGCGGAGCGAGCGGUGAGCAGCGCGCGUCUUAGUAGGGGCAGCAGAGGCUGCUGUGGCCGGGAGGGAGAUGGCUUGGCCGCUUGGGUUUGCCCGAUGCGUGCGCCAGGCGGCCGUCGCUGGGAGCUCGGAUCCACCAAGGCGUGCGGCGGCGUUGCAGUGAACUGCGAGUGGGUCGACGACACAUGAAUGAAAUUCUUGCAUUGACUAUCAGUCAAUUGUAAAUGAAAUUCUUGAAUGAGCUAUAACCUGAUUGCAUACUGUGAUUGAAAUUACAAGCGAUUCCACUGAAAGAUUAUUAUGGAGUUAUAAAUCCUCAAGAUCGCGUGCAUCUCAAUUUCAAGCAAAAGCUUACACCCUAAGUAAAACUUUUGAAUGGUUGUGUCAUGACUCAUGGGUUUACUAAUUAUUUUCUGAAUCUAAUUUUAUAUAUGAACAAUUAUAUAUGCACCGGUUCAUAGUAUCUGCAGCCGUUUGAUUUAACGGUUCAAAGCUAUUGAACCGGCGGUUCAACCGAUUUCUAAUGGUUGGACCAAUGAACUAUUGAACCGACGACCUCACCGGUUCGAUGACCGGUCCGGUCCUAAUAACUAUGUUGCUGGGCCAUCAUGCCUAGCUCUGUACACAUGUCACUUUGUACACCGUGUGUGUGUUUUGAUUUGGUCCUCACAAACGACCAUCAUGCUCAAUUGCUCAUAUCAUAUGAUUAUCCAGCCUAGCCGUUGUUUAGACUUUGCACUGUUUGUUACUAGUCUCGAAUCUUGUCCCCAGUUGAAGGUCCAGAGGAAAUAAGCAAUAUAUAAGGUUUUCUUCUUUACACUACGUCAGAAAUGAUUUGUGGUGGCACAGGCAAAUUAGCAUGCUGGUGGGCGUGAUUGGCAUCCGCUAGCACAAAGAUUCGUCGGGCUAGCGGGGGAGCGCCCACCCGCACAGAUGGCCCCAUAUGUGCUGGCGGUGUGCUUACGUGGCUCGCCAGCACAGAGACCACUGUGCUGGUGGGCGCUUAUGUCACUCGCCAGCGCAUAUUUGUGCCUGCCGGCGCAAAUGUGGCGCGGGAAAUGAAAAUUCGCAUCAAACGAGCGGGCGAGCCAAAAGCACUGCCUCUCUCCUUUUUAUCUGCGUGCUCUCUCUCCUAUCCUCACGUCUCUUUCUCCUCUCUCUUUCUCUCCCCCCCCCUAUCCCUUUCAUUCCUCCUGUGCGGGCGAGCGCGAGCGGCGACCAAGGGCGCGCAGCCGGUGCGGGCGAGCGGCGGGGUGCGGAGGGUGGCGGAGGGCGCGGGAGCAGCGGGCGUCGGACGAGCUUUUGUGCUGGCGGGUGGCUAACGUCGCCCACCAACACAGAGCGGUCUGUGCUGGCUCAAAGUUGCUGGCGGGUGCUCGGCCCGCCAGCACAGAGCCCAUUUACCCGCUAGCCAAAAUCUUUUGUGCCCUAGUGUUACUUGCAAGUUGCAACUGCACAUUUCAAAGAGCUGCCCAAUUCCUAUAAAUUUAACACAUGCGUGGCUGAUGGAAACCAACGUAUUUCACUUGACCCUAACCCUGAUUGGUGCCAAAUUGCCAACAACGAUCUGUAGGACAAGUAGCUAGGUUCUUCCCUGCUCUGUGCUCUCAUAGUCUCAUGAGAUUUUGGAAGUUUCAAAAGGGGUUUUAAUUACUUGAAACUAUUGAAUCUUCCAACCGUGAUGAUUCUCUCAUUUAGACUUCGAUUUUUUUUUGAUGAAACAGGAGAGGAUGAUCCCCUGCUGGAUAUAUAUUAAUAGAAAAGAACAACAGCAGUUGCAGAGGUAUAAAUCAGGAAACAAAGAAGGAAAGAAAGAAAAUCAGAAAGAUUACAAUGAGUGCUCUAGCCAUUCUAACACUGGUUGCUUCCAAGCCUCUUUUACUCACAGAACAACUUGAGUAAAAACAAUCUUAAACCGCAUCUUAGCAUCUUGAACUGAUGGAGUAAUACCUCUGAAAAUCCAGUCAUUUCAGACUUUGAUUUGGACAACCCAUAUAUGUCUAUUUUGAUUGUUUCGAUGAGGACUAUCCAAUACUGAACUCCAAUGUGCAAUUUGGCUUUAUUGUCCUCUUGGUCCAAAUAGUUAUUUGCAUCCAUUCCUCCAACUUGCCUUGGGCCAACUUUAAGAGUAAGGAAUAGGAAUUUCAUAUUUUCAUACAUGAAUGGCGAAAAUUAUUCUUACCACACCUUCAAAUUUUGGAUCUCUCCAAAUUAUACGGUGGAUCUAUAUAUCCCAAGAUGUUGUAGCAUAGCCUAGCCUCCUCGAUCAUGGGCACAAGGCACUCCCUCUUUCCCCGCAAUACCAUUGAGUAACCCAUCUAUUCCUUAUCAGCCGUUAACCCGUUAAUGGGUCUACAUCUCCUACAAGCCAACCACCAUUCCAUUUGUAAGAUGGCAUUGUGUCCUGAACUCGCGGUCAUGAUAUAUAUAUAUAUGCUGCCACUCAAUUCCCUCUUGUUCAGUACUAGCUCUAAUUCAUGAAUAGAAAUAUACCCUAGUGAACUCAAAGCAUUUAUUUAGUAUACAAACGAUUUGUCUAGGCACCAUAUCCCUCUCCAAUUCUACAAGUAGAUUACAUUAAAGCCCGCUAAUAGAAAUGGGCCGAGGCAUGCGCAGGUGGGGUGGAGGGUUGUCUAUUUCUACAACCAGACCACAUAAGGAACUGCCAAUAGAAAUCGAUUUCCACAGGAGAUUCUUAUGUGGUCCACCUGUAGAAAUCUUUUUUUCCACAAAGUAACAAAAGGAUCGCGUGAAGUUUGAGGUCCUGUGCUUGAAUCCUAAAAGGUGCGUGCGAUCGAAAAAUCGGACGCACUCAUAGGAGAAUCGCUACUAGAAAAAAAUGGAUUUGUAUGGAUAUUUCUUAAGAGAACCAUUAGUAGAAAUUAUUUGGUUGAGUAUAUUUUUUUACCUUCGGUGGGAUUAUUUGCGGAUGGCUAAACGCCACUGGAAAUGGGUGUAUCAGCCCUCCGACCUGUCAUCACUGCGCCCAACGAUCGAGAGAUAAGUCACUCAUUUGUAUGUUAUAUUCUUUGUGGUACCCUUUAUUUUAGCAAUUCCUCAGGACAAUAGGCUAGGGUCAUAUACAUGCAUGGUUGCAACUUGCAAGAAGGUGCAAAGCUCUGCGGUUUGGUUACUAGUUCAAACUUUAAAUCCCAAUGCAAGCACUGAGCCUGUUUACCAAUCUCCAAGCACCUUGAAUAUCUAGCCACAUGAUCGUAUCUCCCACUCCCAGCAUCAGCAUGGACCAUGGAGUAGUAGCUCGAAAAGGAGAGAGAAAGAGAGGAACGCGCGUGGACCAAAGCCGGCAAGCCGCAGUGAGCACGGGAGAAAAGACCGGCGGAGACCGAAGCUGUGCGCCUGCGGCCGACCUGCAGGACCACCGGCCGGAAAUAGGUCAGCAGUCAAGGCGCAUCGCGUCAGCCUCGGGACGCGGCGUCCUCCCUCCUCCGCGCGCCACCCUCUCUACAACGGCCGGCCGGCCGGCAGCGGCGUGCAUGGCUCGGCCCAGCUUUUUCUCCCCCUCUUGCUUCUAGCUUUUCCCCUCGGCGUACGUCCGCCCUCCGCCUUUCCUCGGGCCGCCGGCCGUCGCAGGCGCGAUCACGUACGUACACUGCUGCUGUCGAUCGCUUUAGCCUAGUGGCCGCCGGGCUUUCGUCUCUCUCUCGAUCUCUCGAGCUUUCUUUGCAUGCCCGCGGCAGCACGGAGCAGAAGAGGAGACCAGCAGACAAGGGCACCCCUGCUGACAACCCGGCCUCGUGCUUCCUGCUACGUACUAUACCGCCACUAAACUACUGCUCCUGUUCCUACGGCUAUGGGCGCGCUGUACGUACGUACUGAGACAUUGUUUUUCCUUUUAGUAAUCAUCAUAUGGUCGAUCAGUUUGCUCAACGACAGUUGCUUAUUUAAUUUUGUGGUCGAUCACGAGCUCUCUGGAGCACAUGUAUGAUGUGCACAUGCAAUACUCUAGCUUAUACUAACCCCAGCCCAGUACAUCCUCCUCACAUGCAUGCAACGAUGGAUGGACAUGGAUCGACAGCAUUGCGUGGAGGCCAACCCCAAGUGGCCGGCCCUAGCUAGCACUUACCUCACUUACCAAUUAUGUCCAGUGAUGGCCGUGGGAAAAAAGCCAUAUGUAUCAUUGCACGCUGCCAGUUCCACCACACAAAGACCAUGCAGACCUGCAUGCAAAUGCAAAUAAAACACAACUCCAGUACGAAAACGCCCUUUCAUCAAAAUCCAAACUUAAAAAGAGAAGAGAUCCAGAAGCAAACCAAUGCAAAUCAAAGCACGUACGGAAAGAAAAACGCACGAAACAAGAGAUCGUGAGAUCAGCUGGAUACGCUUGCUGGUUGCUGCCACCACCCCUCGUGAAAAUUCUGAAAAGAUAUCACGCACGCACGAUCUCCAUGGCCGGGCACCUGCAUGCGUCCAUGCAAAUAAAAAGAGACCAACGCAACAAGUCUCGCAUGCGUACGUGUACGGCGCUGCACGCGCGCUUUUUAACCGUGCGCGCGCGCGCCAACUUUCCAAGCCUUUAUUACUUGCUGCUUGCCCAUCACCUGUAGAGACCCAGCCCAACCCCGGCCGGCCGGCGGCGUCGAUCCGACGGCCGCCUGCCGGCGAGGCGCCGCCUCGAGAUCCGGAGCCACCCCAACCUGACCCCAAGCAAAGUGGCACACACGCUUUCACAAAAGGUUGGAGGAGAGCUGGUUAAGUGGUUUAAUAACACUUGGUUAGUUACUUGAUCAUCAUGUCUUUGCAGUACUUGACGACCAUUAUUUUUUGUAAACUAAUAAAGCCGUGAGGUGGUAGCUAGCAUGUGGGUGAAUCCUUGCUCGGAACUUUCGUGAUAUCGCUGGCAUGCAGCAUGCAAAGCAAACUUGGUAAUUUGGUCGUACGUACAUAUACUGUGCUGCUGCCUUGAGGAACAUGCAAUGCAUGCAAACUCCAAAGCGUAUCAUCGCAGUCAAAAUAUUUUUACCGACAAGGCCAUUCGUCGCCAUGAUCUCGCCGACACAGCAGCCUGCCGCCGAGCUAAGCUCAUGAGUAACUACUUCAGGCCUGUUUGGUUCGUGCACUGAAGUUUAGUCCCUAUUACAUUUAAUGUUUAGAUACUAAUUAAGAAGAAUAUAAACAUAUGCUAAUUACAAACCAAUUGCAUAGAUGAAGGUUAAUUCGCAAGACGAAUCUAUUAAGCCUAAUUAGUCUAUGAUUUGACCAUGUGAUGCUACAAUAAAUAUGUGCUAAUCAUAGAUUAAUCAGACUUAAUAGAUUCGGACCUAUUCGCUUCAGCUUAUUCAGCCGGCUUAUCAGCCACUGAACAGUAUUUUUCUCUCACAACAAAUCAGCCGUUUCAGCUUUUCAGUCAGCUUAUAAGUUCAGCCGAACAGACCCUUCAUCUUUUGAAUUAGCCGCAGGUUUUGCAAUUAGUUUUAUAAUUAGUUAUAUUUCUAAUUAGUAGGUGACCCGAACUAAAGGCAGUGGAUCCAACGACAGUUUGUGGCAGUUGGAUAAAGGUGGCGGUGGCAGUAGUACUACCACACACACGACAGCUUUGCAUAAAGAAUACCGUACGUCAGCUACAGUGCCCAACUAAUUCUCCCUCCCUCUCUCAUCUGGUACCAUAUGCACUUCUAAACAAAGAAUUCGAGUCACAUGUGCAUACUAAAAGAGUUCCUGGUAUUAUAUUUUCUAAAUAAUAUUGCAGAAAUGUUUGUUUCUCUACAGGUCGGUCGAUGAAUGAGCCCAAUUAACACACAUUUACCGGCAUACAGAACGAAGCUUUAAAACGACCGUUUGCACAAAACCAAGCGAAAAGCUGGUGCUGAGACGACAUUUCUCUGUGGAAGCAAAAGCCGGUCUUUGCUCCCACCAUCGAUCAAAUCCUUGGACAAUUUUUCAGUAAUGCUUCUCCUUUGCAGUACUGACGAUAAAGAUAAAAGGUCUAGCUGCUCGCCCAGCAGAAGAAGCAUGCACUGUCGGCCUGCCCUGGGAGACAAAGGAAACAUCACCGUGAUGUAAUGCACUAGCUCGAGGCGUGUGUUCAUCCACCGAUGCAUCUGUAUCCAAAGCUACUAGCCUAGGCUCACUUGUUUCAGAUAUCUGUCUCGAAACCUAGCGACAUAUGGACAUGUAACUGUUUAAGUAUCCCUAGACGAUCUUGGACCUAAUUAAUUCCUCAGCUGUCUGAAAUUUUGAGUUCUUUCUGCCGAUUUUGUGAAGAUGCACGUAAUACACUUGCCUCUAAUGCUCCAUUUCUUUUUAUAAUAAGGCGCGCGUGCGUCAACAUUCAAACCUCACAAUCUUCACCAACAACUACCUUACAAGUUAAAUCCAGCUUUAAAGCUACUUGCCGCCAGAAAUUUACCGGGACGCCCCUGACCCCGCUCCUCUAUAUAUAGGCGCACCUCCUCUCACCUCUAGCCUGCCAGCCCUAAAGCAAAGAGCCAAAGACACACUCGACCUUGCUCUCGCAAAUUGCACACCGGCCGCUUAGCUACUAGCAUAGCUAGCUAGCCAUUUGAUCUCAGCAGCCAUAGCAUAGGAAGCACCGGCGGCAACGAACAGAGAGCGACAAUGCAGUACGGCGCGGCGGCGGCGGAGCAGGCGUGGUACAUGCCGGUGGUGGCGCCGGCGGCGGCCGCGGAGACGGCGGCGGAGCGCGUGGAGCGGCUGGCGUCGGAGAGCGCGGUGGUGGUGUUCAGCGUGAGCACCUGCUGCAUGUGCCACGCCGUGAAGCGGCUCUUCUGCGGCAUGGGCGUGCACCCGGCGGUGCACGAGCUGGACCUCGACCCGCGGGGACGCGAGCUGGAGCGCGCCCUCGCCUGCCUCCUCGGCGCCGCCGCCGGGCCCGGGGCGGCGCCGGUCGUGCCCGUCGUGUUCAUCGGCGGCAGGCUGGUCGGCGCCAUGGACCGCGUCAUGGCCGCGCACAUCAACGGCUCCCUCGUGCCGCUGCUCAAGGAGGCCGGCGCGCUCUGGCUCUGAGCUCGCCGCCGGCGCGCGCGGCGCCAUUAUUGCUAGCCGCUGCUCGGAGCUAGUUAUUGUAGGGCAGAUUAAAGUAAUACAUCAUCCACAGUUCAGUAGUGAGUGAAUCGAUCAUAGAGUGAGUGAGUGCGUGCUUGUGUGCUUGUGUGUGUGAUCAGAGAGAGGUCAGUGAUUUUUUUACUGAUGCUGCCUGCCUCCGUCUUGUGUGAGUGUGAGUGAGUGUGGUAGAGCUGGCACGUGCUUGCAUGCUCGCACGUACACGGGUGUGUGAGCAAUGCUUGCUGGAUUGCUGCUGCUUGGUGCAAGAAGAGAUCUAGCUACCUAUUUAGUGUUAUCAUCUCUUCUAUCAACCUUAUUAAUCAGUUUGGCUUGCCUUAUUUUUCACUGAUCCCUCUUGUGUUUUACUGUACUUGCAUUUAGAGGAGAGCUAGUCAUGGACAAUCGACUUGUGUGUCAUGAAAUUCGGGUUUUAAUUAGUUGCCACUUGACAUGCAUAUAUGAUCACUGGUUUGCAUUCUAAUAAAAUGUGAAAAAUGCUAAUAUCAACAGCGUGUAUAGUUAUUAUCUACUCAAAUUGUAGCAUUUUACUGCUGGUUAUUGUUUGUUUAAAAGGAUGUCAAAGAAAAGGAGGAGUAAUAUAAUAGCAAGUGGGAUUCGCGCUCUCGUCCUCGGUCCUAGUCGGUGCUUGCUCGGUGUAGUUUUUUGGGAGCUCCUUUUCGCGGCUGGCAGGCAGGCAGCAUGCACGCUCGUCUUUUUUGCAUGAGACGGCUAGCAUCUCGUGUGUGCCAUCUUUAUGCUUUCUCCGAGAUAUAGCUUUUCACUGUGUGCUUCGCCUGUGUCUCCUCUGUGCUUUCUUCAUGGCAGCAGCUAGCUACGUACCUCAUGCAUGGCCAUUGAUCUUGUGCGUUUGUUUGUUAAAAAAAAACUCUAUCUGUUCUAAAAUAGAAGACUUGUUCUAAGUCAAAGUUCUACAACUUCGUUCAGGUUUGUAAAAAAAAAUGCAUUCAUAAAUUAGUCCCAUUUAAUCUAUCUAUCUAUCUAUCUAUCUAUCUAUCUAUCUAUAUCUAUAUAUAUAUAUAUAUAUAUAUAUAUAUAUAGUAUCUUUUUGGGUAUCAUAGAUAUUAAUAUAACUUUUAUAUACUUAAUCAAAUCAGAUAGAUUCGACUUGUUCCAAGAUUAGAAUAUAUUACAUUGCGUACAUUUUGAAACAGAGAAGGUAAUGUUUACACGGUUCUCCCACGGUCCCACCUCAGGGCUCGCUUGUUUGGGUUUGCGAAGAAUCGUUACUGUACAAGUACAGGCACGAGUGAUUUACUGCACCGGUUAUAUUUAACUGUGCCUUUAAGGCGCGGCUAAUGUGUAGUACCAAGGUCAUGACCGGUGCACAAUUUCGUUGCGUAGUUACUACAACUAAGAGUUUCAUGUCAUCUAAGGAUAUUUGAGUUGAUGAAUGAAACAAAGUCUUCCGAGUCCAAUGCAAAAUUUCAUUUCACAGUUUUAUAGAUUGGCUAUAUCAUAUAAGUGUUGUAUCUAAACGACCAAUGAGCGUUGACAAAACAUGAAAUGGAGUUUGGAAACAGUGAGCACCUAUAUUUCAUUUUGAUGAAAAUGCUUCAAUAUCUCCCUCUGUAUAAAUGUUGCGCCAUGUCACCAUAUAAGUUGUUGACGUGGCAUCUCAGUUAAUUGGAAUGAAAUCUCCAUGAUGCUCCUACCAAGAAUGGCCUCUGCCGUGAGGAAACAAGCCGGUAGAAAAUGAUAAGUUGGCACAGUUGAUGAAGCACAACUUAAAAGGAAGCUGCGGACAUGUAACGACGGCAUCGACAAAAAAACACAGGCAAGAUGCCAAGAUCGUACUCGGCUAGAUGAGAGUAAAAUGCGACAAAUUACCAAAUAUAAUGGGAUGCCGGUAGCGGUAGGGCCUUGUUGUGUGGAAUGAGCAAAAGCACCAGGUGUGGGCCGGUAUGGGCCUCCUGCUAGGCCCUGCGCGCUGGGCGGGUAAGUCGUUUGAUCUGGUAGCAGGUAACAAUGGUUGGGCCAGCUUCUAUUUCCUCUCUACGGUUACCGCCGUACGACGUAUGGGCCGCAAUCUUUGGACCCGGCAAGCCCAGAUUCCCUCUGGGCUCCCAAAACUGCGUCUUCCCUUUUUGGCAAUAAUAGUUCUCUGCUCUUUCUUUGUCCGAGAGGCUCUGGGCCAUGUGCUGGUAGAUCCCUGUCUUUAUGCUUCUCCCUGAUGCCCCGGAGCACAAGUCAGGCAGAGGUCCUUUCCUCAAAGCAGAAAGUAACCAGCACGUGCUCAACGAAUUGCGAACAACAGAAGGUUGCAUCGUCAAAUUUUCCUUAAAUAGAGAUAAUGCUAGCUCUUGCAACAACUUGUUGGGGGUAAUCCAACAUGUGUUAAAAUACAAGUUCAAUGCCCAUCUUUUCUCAUCGGCUAAUGUACCGGCCUAAAUUUUCGAGAGGAUUCGUGCAUCGUAGCCAUCCAUGGGGACAAAUAUGGCAAUCUGUCCUUGCGGAUAACGUAGAGAGAUGCUGGAAUAUAUGCUCCCUUUCCGCUGCAACUUGCAGGUACCAUUUAGAAAGUGGUAAGCUGCACGUUGGCUAGCGCAACUGAAAAUCCAUGCUACAGAUCUUCUGCAAGAAGCUAGCGCAACUGAAAAUUGAUUCUGAAUUAGAAGAAAAAACUGAAGGUAAAAAUGGCAAUCGCCAAGACUGGUCCCAGAUGAGAUGAUAUCCCUGUCUCAUGUUGCGUUUGCGUGCACAGUGCCACGAAUAUCACGUGGACCCGCCGCAGCUUUGGAAGGCUCCUGGCUUUCUUUCUUUCUGGUCAGGCGAAUGGUCAUUGGUCCAUACACAUCUACAUCCAAAUCCUUCCGGCAUAAGCAUCCACCUUUAAUUUGUUCUCUUUUAGUACUGCUUCUUCUUUUUUUUUGAAAUAUAAAUCUCUUUUACUACUUGACAAGGGUGAUAAAAAAGCACAGCAUUUUUAAGCAAAGGUGUUUUUGGCACAGUACGAAUCAUCACUAGCCCCGACUCUAUGUCGAAGUGAUUUGCUUAUUUAUUUGUUUUGUUUGCGUGAUCGCGUCGUGCUCCUCUCAAGAGAGAGGGGGAAAAAAAAGUCAAGCCCGUGCCUGUGAGUGCGACGGAGUGGCCCCUUGGACAUGAUUAGCAGGAGUUUACGUUUGAGUUCCAUUCACCUUGGUUUUCUAGAUGAUUGUGAAAUAUGCAGUGAUUUUAAAAGGAGUUAAACCUCGCUUAUUGGUAACAAAAAUUAUCAUCAGUGGCCCCUUCAGACAUGAUCAGCAGGAGGAGUUUACUUUUAAGGUCCCUUCAGCUGUGUGUUUGUGUGUUUCCAGAUGAUUGUGAAGUGUGACCCUUCCCAGCCAUCCUACCAUACCUGGUUCAACUAACCCAACGAAGCAUUUUUAAUGUUUUGCAAGGUAUCCAUAACCAUGGGGACCCUGUUUACAAAUUGCGACAUAUGAAUUUUUAAAAGUCGGGGGAAAUACGAACAACUUCGUGUUAAAUCAUCCCCCCCCCCCCACACACACACGUUGAAAACUGAGGGCUCAUUUGGAAUGCAGGAAAGAAAAAAUAUGGGAAUAUGAAAAACAUAGGAAUACUAUAGGAAUGUAGAUACAAAACAUAGGAUUGAAAAAUGUAGGAAUUUUGAUGGAAUGGAAAUUUGGAUAUGUCACAGGAAAAACAUAGGAAUCCUAAAGGAUCUUUAGCCAUGAUGAAAUUGUUGUUUUCCACUAAUUGAUCAGACAUGGUUAAAUAUUUCUUCUACAAGUAGUACACACCAACAAUUGGGCUGCACACAGAAGGACAACAAUUAACAAGUAGCUGAAGCAUUGAGUUUCUCGUUCUUCGCAUAGGUCUGAGUGGAUGUUAGAAAUCUUUUGGAAUCAGCAUGCAAAGGAGUAAAUUCGUAUGGAACACUAUUCACAUUUCCUGCAAAUCAAAUGAUAGGAUAGGAAGAAUUCCUCUGUGAACAGUAUUCCUUCAAAAUUCCUUCAAAAAACCUGCAAUCCAAAGGACCCCUGAAUUGCUGGACACGCAUGCGAGAUUGGAAAGGGCGACGAGCAGAGGCCACGGAGGAUCUAAUUUUGGAAGGCGACUUGACCUUGACUCACACGGAGCAACGGCCUGCUGUCAGCCUGUCAUUCUUUACGAGCUUAAUCGGCUGCUUAUAAUCAGUAGAGUAAUCAGAUCAGUCAACCGGUCAAAUUAAAUUAAUAAUCGGCGUAAAAUCAGCAACGCACUAGUACGUGUGAACGAGCCGACAUCUGACUUGGACGUGGCUGCUCCGUUUGCAAGUUGCCAAUAAUCAGCAACUUGCUCCCGACAACCAUCAAGUGCCAGUACUUUAUUUACUGGCCGGAUCAUUAUCUUAAUUCCCGAAAGAUUAUUCACCGCUGGGAAAAAUAAUUACUCGCAAUAGUGAUACUUUCACCGGGUAAAAAAGUUGUAGUUUUCACGGCGGGCGCACGGAGCACGUGCACGCGGGAUAAACUAUCUGGCGGAGAUAUUUUUUUUGGGGGUGGUGGGGGGGCGCAACCGAGAUCACACGAUAAUCCCCCGGAAUUUCUCCCAAAAUGACAGUGAAGUCGCUCCUAACCUCCCGUUCCCGUCCUACGCUUUCCCGUUCCCGUCCUACCAACCCCCCACGGACCCCAGAGGGAGGCGGGCCGGCAGCCUCCCUGCUAUAAGCAACAGCCAAGAGCAGCAGGCAGCGGCAGCAGCCGCCCAAGGCGAGCGAAGGAAGCCAGCCGACGCCACCGCCCCCCGCUCCCUCUCCGUUCCUCCCCCUCCCCGUCCCCCCUCGCUCGCCUCCCCGAUCCGCGCCGCCUCGCCGGCCACCUCCGCCCCGCCGACCCGGACCCAGCGGCUGGUCGGUGCGGGAAUGCGGGUCCCCCGCGCGGCGCCGCGGGGGAGCGACUGAUUCAUUGGUUGAUUCGGCGGUGGUCCCCGCGAUGGGUUGCUUCCCGUGCUUCGGCUCGGGGCGGGAGGACGACGAGCUCGGGUACUACGGCGGCAAUGGCGGUGCCGCCGGGUGGGCGGCCGCGGCCGCGUCCUCGUCCGCUGCGGCUGCGGCUGCUGCUGCUGUCGGGGGCGGCGCGGAGGCGGCCGUGGCGGCUCCACCGCGCGCCGAGAGGUCCCCCACAGGUGCGUGCUGCGUUCGCGCGUCUCCCUCCCUCUCCCUCUCCCUCUUGGAUCGGUCGCUGGGUUUGUUGGUGGGAUCGGGGAAUCGGAUCCGUGCGAGGGGCUUGAUGCUCGGGUUAGUCUCCUCGUGUUUGUGGUGGUUGAGUCAGUCGCUCGGUUGUUGGUGCGAACGGACCGGGCCGAUCCUUGUGGGUGUGGAUGUGAUUGCGGGAAAUGACAGGAGCGAUGUGCGAUGCAGCGUAUCCUUGGGAUCUUUCGGUAUUCGAAGGGGAGAAGGGUACCGACUUGUAUUGCCGAAUUCAGAAACUCUACCUCAUGAUAACCCGUUGAUUAGAAGCAGGGCUAUUGUUUUUUUUUAAGUGAUGAUUGGUAUACUGGCUUUGCUUGCGUAUGACCGUGUCUUUGGUAUACUGGCAAUGCAUAUGUGCAGGGUCCAACAAGUCGAAGGCCAAGGGCAAUGGCUCGAAGAAGGAGCUCGCGGUUCUCAAGGACGCCAACGGCAAUGUCAUCUCUGCGCAGACCUUCACCUUCCGCCAGCUUGCGGCCGCGACGAAGAACUUCAGGGAUGAAUGCUUCAUUGGGGAGGGAGGCUUUGGGCGCGUCUACAAGGGCCGCCUCGACGGCACGGGCCAGGUGAUGUGCGCUUUGUCGGCAAAGCAGGCUUUCGACUUUUCUUGUUUCUUGCUGUUGGGCUAGUACAAAAGUGGCUCGGCUGUACCAAUGGCACCAUUGAUUUGUCUAGGACAUUCAAGAAAAAGCAGUGUUUGCACAUGAGUGGUGGAUGCCCACUGGCACGGAAAAAUCCAUGUUCACUUGUAGCUGAUCCAACUUAUACUUGGUUGAUAAUUGAGGGCAGUGUGCACUGUUCUGUAGGUCCCCUUUUAAUUUCACUAGAUGAAUGAUAUGAAACAAACAAACAAAGAAGUGAUCCAUGUCAUUUGAUUUGUAUGCAACUACUUGAAGCCCUGAUAUUUGGUAUAAGGCACGGCAUUUGUAUUUUGCUGAAAUGCUGAUGCAUCUGUUACAGGUUGUUGCUAUCAAACAGCUCAAUAGGGAUGGUAAUCAAGGAAACAAAGAAUUUCUAGUGGAAGUUCUCAUGCUCAGUUUGCUUCAUCAUCAAAACCUUGUCAAUUUGGUUGGUUAUUGUGCCGAUGGAGAUCAACGCCUUCUCGUGUAUGAGUACAUGCCACUUGGAUCAUUGGAAGACCAUCUGCAUGGUAAGACUGUUCUGUAUAUUUGUCUCUGCAUAUUAGUUCCUGUUAAGUUUCCUGUUGAUGUUUAUUUGCUGGUACUGUGGCACUCAGUGCAUGAUAGUACUUGUUUUUCACAUGCUUGCCAGAGUACAUGCUGUCAAUCUGCCAUGCUGUCUGCCCCCAUCUAGCUGCCAAUGCGUUUCAUUUUGUCCAUGUGCAUUAACGCAUAUUUCCAUGAUUUGGAGACACUUUUCUCUCCCAUGUCCUUUUGUCCCGCAGCAGUACAUAUGUGCACAGUAACCAAUGGGUUUUUCCAAUAGUCAAUCAUGGUUCUGCCUUUCUACUUUCUCAGCAUUGCCUACUUAAAGUAUGAUGGACUUUUUCAUAAUUGCAUCUGAUUCUGGGCACAGUACAAUUAAGUGUAGUUUACACCAAGCAUUCGACAUAUGACUUUACUUUACUACACUGGGGAAAUCUCUAUACAGAGUAAUAAAACAGCUACGUCUAUUUUUGUGUGGAAUUUAUGUACAGAUUUUGAGUUGAAACUCACUUAUAUGAUUAUACUAUUGGUGGCACAUCCUUAUUGUUCAUGUGACUGAAAAUGUGUGUUAUAAAAUGAUCUUUGCAUAGGUUCAUUUUUUGUUGCUAAGAUAUAGCCUAUUUGAUUUCUCCACUUUUUAAUUCCUUGGAAUGGAAUACAAAUGCUGUAAUGUAACAAUUAUGCUAUAAUUAAUUAUUCGAAUAAAAGGAUCAUGUAUUUACUGCAUCGACAAACAUAAUGUGCCUUUUGUGACAUAUGAAUAAUCCAUUUCAUAUCAGUGAUUGGAACCUAGCAAAGAAAUAGACUGCUGACACAAGUAGUAUCCCAAUUUAAUAUUUCUCCUGAACUUGCUAUGCUCUGGCAAUUUAUUCCUGCAAAAGGCAUUUGAACUAUAUCAUGUGACAUAGUAUAGUGAUACAACUGUGCACUUGGAACAUUUUCUUUGCAGCAUUUUAGCAUUUUUGUUAUCUCUUUGUGGGUCAAUAUUGGGAACAGGAACCAAUAAUCUUCCAAUGUUUUAAGUAUUAUAUGAGUACAAAUCUGCAGUUUGUAGAAAAUCUGCUGAGAAUUCAUUCAUAUUAUAAGCAUCCUUUUAACUUUACUCCAAUUAAGUAAGUUUGAAUGUCUAGCAAUACUAUGAGCAGUGGCAUAUUUUCCAUUUCUGAAUUAAAUUAGCACAUAAUGCAGAUCUCCCUCCUGGCAAGGAGGCCUUGGACUGGAACACUAGGAUGAAAAUUGCUGCAGGUGCUGCUAAAGGGCUUGAGUACCUCCAUGACAAGGCAGACCCACCAGUUAUAUACAGGGACUUUAAGUCAUCAAAUAUUCUAUUGGGAGAGGGUUUCCAUGCAAAGCUGUCCGACUUUGGUCUUGCUAAGUUGGGUCCUGUUGGUGAUAAGUCUCACGUCUCAACACGUGUUAUGGGAACAUAUGGUUAUUGUGCACCAGAGUAUGCUAUGACAGGACAACUUACAGUUAAGUCAGAUGUUUAUAGCUUUGGAGUUGUCUUGCUUGAGUUGAUUACUGGCCGGAAGGCCAUUGACAGCACCAGACCAGCCGCAGAGCAAAACCUUGUGUCAUGGGUAAGUUUGUUCAAUUUGUUCAUUAAUCAUUUGUCGAAUAUUUUGGCUGGGGUAUCCAGUAUCUGAAUGUCAAGCUAUUGGGUAACCCGUAUUUUGUUUGUUGAUAUUGAUAUCUGAAUGUCUUCUAAGCAUUUGAUUGGCUAAUGGAUAUCUAAUUUUGAUGGGAAACUGGGAUUGAAUCUAGGGGGUUACAAUAAUAGUUAGUUGGUUUGUAUGUUUAGGCAGAAAUUAUGAUAGUUCUGACUUAAGUAAUGCUCUUCAUUGAUGUAUUGAAGUGUUGGAUCUGAUUGUGAUAGAAAUUAUGUCAAAUUCUAGAAGUGCACUAUGAAGUCUUCUUUAGUUUUUUUUAACAAAUUGUACACAUACAUGAUGCAAUGUCCAUGCUAGGUUACUUAGCUAAAUAACAAUUAUAUAGUACAUCUAGGAAGAAAAUGAUCAUUUGGUAUCAUUCUACAAUGAUCAAUGGUUAUCUUCCAUAUGCUUAUUUGGAUUAACUAAUUGCAUUCAGUGGAGUUAACUCUUUGUUUAUUGGCAGGCACGACCUCUUUUCAAUGACAGACGGAAGCUCCCAAAGAUGGCUGACCCAGGGCUGGAGGGGCGAUUCCCUACGCGCGGACUUUACCAGGCGCUUGCGGUGGCAUCAAUGUGCAUCCAGUCUGAGGCUGCGUCCCGCCCACUCAUUGCCGAUGUUGUGACUGCUUUAUCCUACCUUGCAAACCAGAUUUAUGAUCCUAACACAGCCAGCACCUCCAAGAAGGGCGGCGGCGACCAGAGGAGCAGGGUCAGCGACAGCGGAAGGGCGCUUUCCAGGAACGACGACACAGGCAGCUCUGGCCAUAGGUCGCCAAGCAAGGACCUGGACGACUCUCCCAGGGAGCGGCAUGCCACAGGGACUGCGCACAAGGGUGAAAGAGAGAGGAUGGUGGCCGAGGCGAAGAUGUGGGGCGAGAACUGGCGGGAGAAGCAGCGCGCUGCUCAGGGUAGCCUGGAUUCUCCGACCGGAGGUGGGUAACUUGGGUCACCAAGGUGCUGUUUUGCCUGUGCGUGUUCUGUCACAGACUGUUUUUUCCUUUGUGCGGUGGGGGAUGACGAAGACCGUUCGGUUUCCGGUGUUGUUAGCUGUACAUUCGUAGGGGGUAAAACAAAACAAAAAUGUGGAGGAGAUGAGAAAGCGAGGGGGGAAAGCAAUGGGUGCUUUGCUCUGGAUGUGGUCGAGUCGUGCCUGUAAAUUCUCGGAAAAUUUUGCAACGGUGAAGGACAAGUCUGAAUCUGAACCUCAUUCUGUCGUUUGCGUACGGUGGUUUUUGUUACUGUCGGCAAAGUUUUGGUCGGCGCUGUCCGCUCCGAUCAAAGUGGGGCAGCUUCUUCGCAUCACUUUGAUCCUGAAGUGCCUGUUGACAGCGAUAUGUGGAACAGCGCUGGAAAUUCGAUCGGAAAAGUUAGGGUUUUCUUUUUUUUGAGAGAGAAUUUGUGGGCUGAGUCUAAUUUACCCCUCAUCUAUUUAUUUUGUCCGCUUUAACCCCUAAAUAAAAUUUAGACUUACUUUACUCCCCGAAUUAUUUCAUUUGAUACAAUCUACCUUCUAAUUAGAUUUUUUUCUUUGCGUACAAGUUGAAUUUUAAUUUUAGAUUUUCUCAGUUGACUUAUAACAUAAUGCUCUCGUAAGAAAAAUAUAUUCGAAUUUUUUCAUAAUUACUUUUCGUACAGUUUUAUAUAUUUAAGAUCAAUUUCCUAUUAAAUAUUCCUAACUUAUGAAAAUAAUCAUGAAAAAUUUAUAGUAUAAUUUUUUAAAAUAUUAUGCUUCGUAUCCGCUCACAAAAUUUGAACUCAAAAUUCAACUCGUACAGAGAGAAAUAAAAAAGAAAAAUCUAAUUAGAGUAGAGAUUGAACAAAUGAAAUAGUUCAGGGAAUAAAGUGAGCUAAGAUUUUAUUUAGGCGGUUAAACUGAUAAAGUAGACAGGCGAGGAAGUAAAAAUGGACUUUUCCUUCUAUUAUGGGAUGCCUGGAUGGCUCCUGUUAUCAUCAUCAUGCUUACUCCUAUAAAACUUGUUUUGUGAUUCGCAGAAGUUGUUUUAGGGUUUUUUUUUUUAUAAUCGCAAACACUAGAAUUCAUGCGAUAAUCAUGUGAGAUUCCUGCACAAUGCAACUUACAAAAGGCAAACACGCUACCAGUAUGGUUAGCUGAACAGAAUGGUUAGCUGAACAGAAUGAGUGCCGAUACAUCGUACCGUGGUUUUUACCUCAUUAGAGUAGUGGGUCAAUUUUCUUACCCAUAGGUUUGUUAAUGGGACAAAUCUCUACUCGUUGGGUUUAUGAGCAUGGGUUUGUUCCCAUAGUAUCCAAACCUAAACCCGUGAACAUUUUAUUUUGUGAACGUACAAUGAACGUGAUGUCUUCCCCUUUACUUCCUAAUUUGUGGAAUGGUGAAUGUGUUCAUGGUGGGUGAGGGUGUUGCUUGCUUGCUAUUAUAGUGAUUACUUGUGUUAUGUAUGUGGUGGAUUUGUGACUUAGUGCGAUAUUGUGGUCACUUGAUUAUACAACUUGUAUUUUAUUCUCUCUAUUAGUAGUUUUUUAGAGAACCAUGAACUUGUUGCUCAUCAUAUAAAUAUAUGGAUUAUGAACUCGUUGCUCGUUAUAAUAACUUGUUGAUUAUGAGAAGAAGUAGGUGAAACCCAUGGGCAACCCGUGGGUAUCUGCUAACCCGAUGGGCACGGGUUUGGGCAAAAUUUUAAACCUGGGUAUGGAUUGCUUAGUGAGUUUAGAUAUUUUCCAUAGGCAUGGAUUUGGGGUGGCAAAACUCAACGAGUUUGUGCCCGUUGCGAUCUCUAAUCACAGCGACGGCCGCAAGUGGACAUCCCUCUGCUGAACACUCGCCACGUGUUCAAAUCCGGCCAGUCUGUCCUCGCGCGAGCUCCGCACACCACGGGAGGGGAAAGGUGGGGAGGGUUGUUGCCGGAGGUUUCGGGCUGCCCGCCGGCGUGCCGUGAGAGCGGAGCGCCGACGGCGGCCGGUUGCAGUGCAGGCUCCUAGAUAUGGAGAUGGUGGUGAGACCGAUCCUCUUACUGCACAAACUGUCGUUGCCCGGCCUAAGCACGCCGUGGUAUCGAUCUUAGAUUUUCGCAUCUACUUGUUCAGAGGAAGCGAGAGCUGGCGAUCCUGUUGCAAUGGGGGUUUGCCGGGUUGGGAUUCGCACGGAUAUGAGGUGGGUUAGGGUUCGGGUAGCAACGGAUUCACUUGCUGGAAGCUGGAUAUAUCGAGGAACCACCACAUUUGGGAGGGAGGGUUUCAGCCUCUCAGGGUUUAGACCUAGGCUUCGUGUCGCGAUAAACUAGCCACUGGGGAUUCAGUAGUAUCGCUCUGGAAGAAGAAGGGCAUGAGUUCUGGGGAGGUGCCAGAUCAGAGGAGUGCCGAGCGCGGCCAUUUUAGAGUUGCCUGUCACUGACUGACCACUGUGCCUGACGGACAGUGAGAAAAUCACCAGACUGGAUCACUAGAUGUUCGAGCACAACGCACCUGGUUUUUCUGAUCACAGACCACUGUGUUUAGUCUGUGCAAAUUUCUUCCAAGUCAGAUCAUGACUAGGUUGAUUCUGUCCUUUAUUCUUCAACAGAAACACAACCAUUUCAGCUUAGUCACUGGGCAUUGGGCAGUGGGUUAUCUGGUAAGGAAGGAAUCUCCAGUAUUUUCAUAGACGAUUUGCCAAAAUGACGGAAGAAGGUUUAACACAGUUCACACCCAAUGAGGGUGUGAUUGCUGACACUCAUCAUGAUGUAAAGCAAGCAACCAGUUUCGUUUCACCUUUUCUAUUUGACCUGACAACAAAGCAUAACAAGUAGUAACGAGACAGUUGCAGGCUGUUAUACCUGUAUGAGAAUUUCAUUUCUCUGAUGUUCAAACCCCUUCUAGUCUUAAAUAUAUUUUCGUGUUGUGCAGCAGCUCCACUCAAAUGCAGGCGUACAAACUUGUAUUCCUUCUACGCAUGUUCCAUGCCUUGGUGGUAUUGCGGACGAUUACGAAACACGGUGUUCAGUAAAGAGUGUCCACGAAGUCAUAUCCCAAUUCGACUCAGCGAAGCGGGAGCUGGUGAAGUCUAUUGGGUUUGGUGGUCUUUUGCAAUUUCCUGCGCUUACAGAGAUCAACAGGAACUUGGCUGUUUGGCUACUAAGAAAAGUAGAUGUGAAUUCACAGAGUAUUGUGAUUGAAAACAGUCGCAUCUUUACUUUCAGCAAGGAGGACGUUAAACUAGCGUUUGGGAUUCCUGCAGAUAGAAUCUGGUUGCCCAGGUAGCCAGGUCGCAUAUGUGCGUUCUUGCCUUAAUUUGAUUGGCAAGGAUUCCAGGUGUGAGAAAGCAGCACAGGAGGUUCUGCAGAGACAGUACUACACUGCAAUGCAUGCAGAAGAAAAGGCCUCUUUUAAAGUGGCAUUUGUUUUUUUUUUUUUUUUGUGAUGGCAACGCUGUUUGCUCCUCCUUCCAAGCAUGACCACUCCAGAACUGAUUUUUGGGCAGCCCUAGGGAGGCCAAAUGAGAUUGGAUCCUAUGACUGGAGCUCAUACGUGAUAGGUCAUCUGCUAUUUGCUGCUGCGAAAUUGCAGAGUGAUCUUACGAAGAAUAUCCACUCGCCUUUAAUCACUGGAUGCAUCUUGUUCUUACAGGUGAGGUUGCAGGGAUAUAUGCAAUUCUAUUCACCAUGCUGUGUUCUUUCAUUAAGUAUUUAAGUCCUUAUGCUGCUGUUGUUUAGCAGGUACUUUAUCUUGGCAGUAUUGACCUUGGUGUCCUCAACAUGCCACACAAUAGCUUUCCAAGAUCUCAAUGGUUCACUCCUGAACGCAUAAGAGCAAUGCUUGCUGGUUGCUGCAGAUACAGUUCACAACCUUAGAGGCAUGGUCAACAUUGAGUUUGGUGCUUCGACUGUGAGCUUGCUUGCACUUGUUUCUAUAAUUCCAAUGAAGCGCCUACAUGAAGUUUCAUAGUUGACCUUAGAAAUUAUUUGCAGCCAAGGCCUUCAGCUGAAGUAUGCUACACGUGGGCGAAAAUGAGUGGGAGAGCCCAGCAACACUCCACCACAACGAGAUUGUUUGAUGCAGCCAUGCAUUGGGUAUCAGUUUUGAAUAUAAGUGAAGAGGUAAGUACUAGAUACUUUUUUGAAUUCACUGGUCAUAAUUAAUGAUCAUCCGCUGUAUUAAUCAUGGCCAUAUGCUAAUGUCACAGGCCGCAAUAUCCAUUUUCUUUGCAAUGAUGCAAAGCCGGGAAAUAAUAAAUGAUAAAAUUGACGAGUUGGAAGUUAUUCUUUUCGACGUUAUUUGUGUCAUUGUGAAGAGCUACCAAAAUGGCUUCAGGUACUGCUCGCCAAUUGGAGGCAUGAAGCGUGCAUUGGUUGGAGCUGAAAUAGCGUCGAAUUUGCGUACGUCUCUUUCUAUAUACCUUUUUCUCUCUUACACACUGGUUGUAUCAAUACUUGCAUGGAUGCACAAUACCGCUGACUCUGCUGAUGCUAUUGCUGGUGGAAUUUUGUGCAUCCUUUUUACCAUGUUUGCACCUACUAUGGAGUUUCAUGUGCCAGUGUCCUACAUGGUUGCCUGUCCUUGCCAAUGUGUUCUGGACAUUCAUCAUUAUUCAUUUGUUACCAGAUCCAAGCUCCAGGAUGGAGCGCCCCACAUUUUCACGGUACCUUCAAAUGCAGAAUCCAGAUGGAAAGGAUACAACUUUUCCUGAUGCCUGCCCAUCCCUGAAAACUUCCCAAUCUAGAGCUACAAUGAAAGUACCAAUGCCAGGUCCAUCAGACCAGCAGGUCUUCCCCUUGGCAGUGAUGUUAGCUCGGCAUUCCACCCAAUCCAUGACCUGCAGAUCGACAAUUCUCCACGAGAGCUCACACUACCAGUAGCACAAGAAGCUACCUGGGAAGCGUGCUCACCCUCCCAGACUCAGCAGAAUUCUUCAGUGCACAAAAAAUGUUUGCCUGCUUUUGUCAACAACGUUACGUCCAAAUCUUAUCUUUGGUCAAUGCAGUCCAAAUCAAAAGCCAGAGUCCAAUCUCUUGCGUGCGAAUUCCAGGAAACGGAUUCUCCAGUCAUGAAGAUAAAAGUUUGUAAAUACCACUCGCCACCAACCCCAUGGCAACUCGGACACAAGGAAGAACCCACUCAGAACUCUGCAUUGGAAUUGUACCAGUGGAUGACCACUCUGCAGCCUCGUCCAGCCAUAACCGCGAACUAUAAAACUGACCAUUCAUAUUUUUCUUGUUCUCCUCAACUGCAAAACCCAGUACUGAAAUAUAUUUCUUUUGCAGGCCUUGGUUGAUGCAUUUCAAGCCAAAGUUUAUUGAACUGGCCCCAGAUGAUAUUCAUGAACAGAUAACAGCACAGGCUGAAUUUGACGUCGAAAUUUCAUGGAUAUCUGUAUCCGGCGUAUUAAACAGAUGGAUGGCGCGCUGUAUGGCGCACACGUUGAAUCUCGUUGGCGCCAUCUAAUGGAAUCUGACUUCAUGGUGCGGAUGAAAUGCAUUUUCCCAACUGUUCUUUACUUGCCCUUCUUGCUGGGCGGAGUCUUACACAAUCUCCUUCAGUUCGCAAGCAAUUCAUGGGGGACCACCUGACAUAUGCCGUUCCCAGUUGUAGAUGUGUAUGCAUUUUCCUCCCAUACUUGUUUGCACCUGCUGGUUCCCUUUGAAACAUAUGACCCUUUAUUGUGAGCGGAAUUGGUUUUCUUACUACUUCAGUGCAAUGUGCAGUCUGUUCAGUUUGGCCUUUAUCUCUGAAUGCUUUCCCUGCCUUUUGUUACAGAUAUUCUUCCCGGCUAUAGUUAAUCAGAGGUGGUUUUGCUAUGUAUGGGACCUUGGUGAGAAUGAGGUUAUGGUAUACGAUCCAUCGAUGCUGGGAGAUAUGUGAUCAAGAAGCUAGGAGAAGCCAUGGGAGAAUGUGCUAAAUUUUUCUUUGACGGUUGGACGCAAUCUUGGUCCGAUCGGAAGCUUUUCAUAUGUACAAGCAAUCGGUUAGAGACCCACCUCAUAAGUACGUCCCUGGUACAGUUCUGCAGAUGCUUUAAUGGAUCCAGCAUCACCCCCAAGCUGACAGUGGUGAGACUAAAACGCAAACACUUCUGUAUUAUGCUGUAAUAUAGUUUAGGACCAUACCAUAUCAUCUGUAUUAGCUUAGGAGCAGGAAUACCCUGACAAUGCUGAUGUUUCCGCAACUAAGUGCUCCGGUUUUAAGAAUGGUAGUUGGACGGCUAUUUGUUGCUCAAUCUGUGUACAAAACUUAGUUUUUUACGCCAGCAACACUCUCCAGUCGUUUUGGAGAAAACAGAGUUUUGUCAACUUCUAUGAUUCGCUAGAUGUGAAACUGGUACUCGAUCAUAAGCUACCACACUAGUUACUUUCCUGAUAGCCUCAUAGUACGUGCUAUAAAUACUCAGAGUAUGAUGGUGUUAGUUCAAAAAAGAAGAAGAAUCAUCCUCAGUGAAUGCGAAGGACUGAAGAGGUUUUUGUGUUUUGAUAAAAGAAGAGUCCGUGAAUGGACCCUACAACUGCAAAAAGGGACUUCCUAAACAGAACACAGGAACAGUCAGUUAAUAACCAGACUUCCAAGUAAAGAAAUGAGCAGGAAAACAGAUACCAUCACAAAAUCUAAUUCAAGUUCUAGAGCGCCUAUUAUUCUUUGAGUCUUGGACAAGGGCUCAAAGGGUGGUGUAAUGAGCGUAAAACUGAAUUCGUUGAACGGAGCAGAUUGAGUUCAGUCUCCACAGAGAUUUAAAAUCUAUGCAUGAGUAGCUCUAUGCAUUUUGUAUAAAAGAAACCUGCCCGUAUUUAUUUCAUUAUCAUCAUUACCAUUACUAUUCCAUGCUAAACCAUGUUUACUUUGCUUGGUCGACGACUAGAGCCCAAUAACCCGUGCUGCAUAAGCAGAGGACAUGAAGUUGAGGCAGUUCCCAACAGCAAAAGAAGAGUAUACCUGAAAUCGGUCAGCUUUCCAUUAUAAUUUAGAAGUGUAAGAAUAUAUAAGCAGAGCAGGAUCCCAUACAACUUAUACCUAUUCUCAACGUGUGAAAUUUGUUUAGGCCCCGUUACGAUCCCUUCAAUAAUUGGAAUCUAUUUAAUGGAGUAUGCUAUUUAUCUUGGAAUGUAGCAUUCCACAACUUUCCAAAGUUUAGAUAUAAGUCUAUCUUAAAUUCAUAGGGUGGGAGAUGGAAAUUGAUUCCAUAGAUCCUCAUGCUAUGUUUCUAAUGUGCAACUUAUAUCACGCUCUCCGACUCGCUUCCCUAUAAUAGAAGUGCAGCAUAUCAGUAUCUCUCCCAUAUGGCCAACAAUAAUAUACUAUAUUAGCUUAAUUAAUUUGUGUCUAAAUUGUGAUUAUUAGAAUGGAAUUCAAUUACAAGGAUCGGGGCCUUAGUGAUUUCUUUGGGAGCAGUAUGCCUCGGUUGCUAUUUGUUUCUAAAAGCUUCUUUAAAAAUUUAUCUGCAAAAAUCAAAUAUUUUUAAGUGUUUGUGACUUGGAGUAUUCUGACAUGAACACACAAAUGGAACAUUCAAUGUCAUGAGUGAACCCAAAUGCCUCGGAAACGGGAUGUAACAAUACCCGGUGGGAGAUAAGGAAGUCGAUGUGAAACGGAUGCGAAUUGCCAUUUCUGAGAAUUCAAACCCACGCACUUCGGUGAUAUGGUCGUGCACUUAAUUUCGAAGAAUCCCUAGCAUAUGGUGGUGCACUGAUGCUUUGUCUCUGCACAACAAACUGUUAAAUAAAGGUUGAAAAAUCUUAGGGAAAAAAAGUCAACUGAUGGCUUAUUCAAAAUAGCGGCACGGUCCGUGGCUGGGUGAGAUGAUAUGAGACAUGAGAGAGAGACUCUCCUUCGAGUGCCAAAUUUUGCCAACCUUUUUAAUCUUCCACCUGGCCGUGGCCGCGCGCGAAUCCGUUCGACCGAACUGCCGGAUUAGUACCUGUACCGGCCCAGAUAUCUUGGGAGCAGUUGCAGCUAUUGAUCGAAGUGUGUGGCACUCGACGGAGAGCAUGCGUGUGUAGCUGUGCACGUUCCCCGUAUCAUUUCUUUUGGAGCGGCGUGCAGUGGUGGGCAACGACGAUCGAUCUUGAAGCGCCACGGCACGCCAAUCGCCGGACCUCCCGUGUGCCUGCCGCCGCGUCGAUCGCUAGGUCACGAAGGAUAUCCAUUUCUGUACGGUUCUGGAACAUCGGAAGAUAAAGAGGAAAAAUUGGAGCAAGAAGGGAUCUUCCUCGGAAGCAAGUAGCUGAAGCUGACGCGACCCGCGACCACCCGGCGGCACGGCAGCAGCCGCCGCGAGGCUGGACCUUUGGACCGGAUGGAAGCAGUGCUUCGCUUCGCUGUCUGUCCUAGGUCUUGUUUUAGUUGAUAAAGUUUGGAGGUGCCAAAUUGCUGUUACAGCACUGUAACACACUGUAGCGUUUCGUUUGUAUUUGUGAAUUAUUGUUCAAACAUUAACUAAUUAGGCUCAAAAGAUUCAUUCGCAAAGUACAAUAAAACUGUGCAAUUAGUUUUUAAUUUCGUCUACAUUUAGUACUCCAUGCAUGUACCGUAAGUUUGAUGUGAUGAGAAAUCUUCUUUUUACAUAGUGUUAAAGUUGGAAGACCUAACCUGAAUCGCCGUCGAUUUCUUCCUCGUUUUCCCCGCGCUUCUUCUCGGUUUCUCGCACGCAAACCACCCCACCCACCUGACCCUCAACAGAGAGCGAGAGGCUGUGUGUAUAUAAAUAGCGUCCUCUCCCUGGCCUCCACAAAUUAGCAGCAAAAAAGCCGCGCGCAUUCCAGGUGUGAUUUGGCCGUUAUCUAGCAAGCACUAACCCUUCUCCUCACCGGCCGGUCGGUCGCCUCGUCUGACUAGGGUCAGCCAGCCACGCACCGCCGCCAGCCGCCCGGCGACGUAGCGUCCCCUUCACCUGGACGACGAUGGCUCAGCGCAAGGCCGCGCGCGCUGCCGCCGACGCCGCCGUCCCGCCCGCCAUGCCGGAGCCGGACAUCGCCGCGGAGCUCCACGCCCUAGUGGCCUCCUCCACCUUCCCCGCGCCGUGCAUCGGAGGUGCCGCGGCGGCGGAGGCGGCGGCGAGGGACGACGCCGGGCGGAGGCGGCCGCCGCUCGUGGUGAUCGGGCACCGCGGGAAGGGGAUGAACGCGCUGGCGUCGCCGGACCCGCGGGUGCGCGGCGACGUCAGGGAGAACACGCUCCGCUCCCUCAACGACGCCGCCGCCAGCCACCCCACCGUCGCCUACGUCGAGUUCGACGUCCAGGUGCGCGACGCAACCAUUACAUUCUUUUCCCCACGGCGUUUCGCUCGCCGCGGCCGCCGUCGUCCGCCGUUGACCAAGCCGGUUCUUAGACGAGGGUGGAUUUGACUUCUCCGUGGACAGUCGGGGGCGGUGGGCCCCGGUGGCCUCCUUGAGAGCUGACACGUGUGUGUGUGGGUGGGUGGCAUGCUGGCGGGCCGGGAGGGACCGGAACAGGGAGAGCUCGUGGCGUCGGUCCAGAAACAUCGGUCCAGUUCUCGAGUUCUCGAGCUCCUCCCGGAUCUCGGGGAGAAAACUUGAACGAAAGAUUUCUAAACAACAGACAAAUUCAUUGAUCCGAUCAAUCUACACAAAAAUCGCAUCUUACAUUGAUAAAAUUUCAAAGCAAACACAGUAAAAUUAGUAACUUGUUAUCUUGGUAUUUCUGCCUCUGCAGCUCAGAAUGAAACACGCUAGAAUUCUGUAUUAUCGAUGCAAGAGAUAUUUGAUUUGUAUAAUAUCGAACUUAUUGUAAUCGCAAAGUUCUAUCUCCUUAGCACUGCCUCCUUUAUAUCAAAACACGCUGGAAUGGGUAGCUAACCGUGACCGUGAUUUUUGCAGGUCACCAAGGAUGGCUGCCCGGUCAUCUUCCACGACAACUUCAUCUACACCCAAGAAAAUGUAAGCAUAUCCCAGAAUUCCAAUGUUACAUGUUACUACUUACCAUAAACCAUUUUGUUCUCUCACGUUGCACAUCGUAUCAUGCACCACAAACUGUGAUCAAUACUCGAAUUUCAGGGCGAGAUCUCAGGGAGGCGCGUCACCGAGCUUCACCUCGACGAGUUCCUCUCCUACGGGCCCCAGAGGAACCAGGAGAAGGUAUGCACCGUGAACAGCCACGAGCCUUUCAAAAUCCUAAACGACCGCGUUGCCAGAUUCAGUAAUGUUCGAGCUCACCUCCGUGUUGCCUUGCCGAAUUGUUCUUGCAGGCUGGGAAGCCGCUGCUCCGGAAGCUCAAGGACGGGAGGAUCCUCAAGUGGGACGUGCAGAAAGAAGACGCGCUCUGCACGCUGCGGGAGGCGUUCGAGGGCGUCGACCGCCGCGUCGGGUUCAACGUCGAGCUCAAGUUCGACGACGACCUCGCGUACACGGAGGAGGCCCUCACCGGUGUCCUGCAAGCCGUCCUCAAGGCACGUUGCUAUGAGCAAGAACCGAUGCUAGCUUCCUUGUGCAACAUCUCUGAAUACACUUACUGACCGCUCUGCUACGGCUUCUGUUCAUCAGGUUGUCUUCGAGCACGCCGACGGCAGGCCCGUCAUCUUCUCCAGCUUCAAGCCCGACGCCGCGCUGCUCAUCCGGAAGCUGCAAGACAAGUACCCUGUAAGUGCCAUUGCUGACACGGCCAUGGUUGAGCUUGAGCACAUAAAGUUUUCGGACCGUGAACAGUGACUGGUGGCUGAACCUGUUCGAAAUUGUUGCGACGCGACUCGAUCGAUCAGGUGUACUUCCUGACGAACGGAGGGACGCAGAUCUACGCGGACCCGAGGCGGAACUCGCUGGAGGAGGCCGUCAGGCUGUGCGUCGACGGUAGCCUACAGGGGAUCGUGUCGGAGGUCCGGGCGAUACUCCGGCAGCCGGCGGCGGCGGCCAAGAUCAAGGAGGCCGGGCUGUCGCUCAUGACCUACGGCCAGCUCAAGUGAGUGACACUUAAAUCCACUGAACACUUUACGUGGCUACCUGCGACGCUGACGGCCAUCAGGAACUGAACGUGUCAUCGUCGUGUUUUUGUUUCUUGCAGCAACGUGCCGGAGGUGGUGUUCGUGCAGCACCUGCUGGGGGUGGACGGCGUCAUCGUCGACCUGGUGCGGGAGAUCGCCGAGGCCGUGUCAGCGUUCUCGGCCGCCGCGCGGGAGCCGAGCCCCGAAAGCUGCGGGGAGGUUGAGAGGCUAGAGACGGCGGCGGCGGGGACGCCGAGCUUCUCCCCGCGGGAGAUGUCCUUCCUGCUCAGGCUCAUCCCCGAGCUGGUGCAGUAGCGUGUUUCUAGCCUAAUCCAGGUUUGACUCGCUAUAGAGUAGUCGUUGACUCUGCAUGUAACUCGCGUCAGCCCCAAAGGGGCAGAGGAUCAGGCAUGUAAUUUCCGAAUUGUAUAGAAUUUUGACAAAACGAACAUGUACUUACAAUGUUCCGGCGACCUUCUCUGUGCUCUCGUGAGUCCUCUGUUUAUCGUACAUCCCCAUGAGAUCGAAGUCGGAAUCUUGGGAUUGAAGUUUUCAUCGACAAGUAUAUUGUGUGGCUUAAGAUCUCUAUGAAUGAUCCCCUUGUCGUGGAGAAACCGGAGGCCACGAGCGACCCCCAAGAUGAUGUUGAACCAUGUAGCCCACUCUAGCUUUGGGGACUGAAGAGACGCUGAAAUUGUAUCCGAACCAGAAUUUGUUACUACUCUCAGGAUUAUUUGACGUUCUAUCCCAAAACCACCUUUGUUAUUUGAACUGACACCUCCAAUCGGAACGUCAUCUAUAACCGACCGAAGAGAGUACCUUUUUAGCUCGGAUAUUUCUAACAAAAUCCUCUCUUAUUUAACCAUUAGCAGACAACUAAGCUCAACUUUGUACCAGAAUUUCUCAACACGGAGGAGGUGCAAAAAGUCAUGUUUUCCCACGAACUGCUGUACUAUUCCUUUUUUUCCAUUUUCUUUUUGGUUAUAUAUAGGACCGAAAUAGUGCUAGACUUUUUAAUAGGGUAGAAUUAGUUUCUAUUUAUAUCAUUAGGAUUGCUUGACAUCCAAUCCACUAUCAGCCAUGAGACUCAAAAUAGAUAAACCUAAUAUUUGUAGUAUACUAGUCCAUCAACCCGUGCUCCCGCACAGGCUAAUAUUUUUAAAAUCUAUUGUAUUUGAAAAUUAUUUAGAAAUUAAACUCCUAGCUAAUAAUCAAAAUUGUUUACCUAUUACUCUCUUAUUUUUCAAUACUUCAACCUAAUACUUAUAUAGAUAUGUACCUAUCUUUGUCCAGUUGUGAUUGAUUUUUAAUUAAUAAUUACUCUAUGCACCUUUUCAUCCAUAUUCAUACUUUUUCCAUUUUGUAUCACACCUCCAAUCCUCCAUACAUUAUGUUUAGCAUACAAAUCAAUAUUUUUCAUCAAUUCCUCACAUACAUGUAUAAAUGGUCUAAAUGGUGGCACUCAUCAUGUGUAUAUACUUUAACUUAAUAUUUUUAUAUUAACAAUGACAUAAAUAGUUAAUUUAGAAUCAUAUAUUAGUUUACUUUUUGACAUUUUUGUACGAUGCACAUGAAGAUAAUUAGAUUAAGAUUUAGGUGUUUACUUUAGGUUAUUUGUAAUAACGACAUACGUGGGUAACAUAGAUAAAAUUUUAGAAUAACAUUUUAAGUUAUGCUUUAUAAUGAUGUGUAUUAGUAGAUUGAAUGAAGAUUAUGGGGUUAAUUUAGUUUAUUUUUUAAAUAGCUGAGCUCAGUAAUUUAAAUAUAGGUUUAGAGCUUAUUUUUGAAUAUUUUCACAAUGACGGUGGUGGGUAACUUUUUAGAAAAUAUAAUAGAUCAAUGGCUAUGAUUAUUAGAGUUUACAGGAUUGGUGUUUGAUGUUUUUAAUUUUUAUAAGAAUUUGUUUCUUUUUUCUAGCUUGUCUUGUGGGAACUAAUGUGGAGUCUCCAAUGGAAAAAAAUAGAACUAAUGUGGAGUCUCCAAUGGAAAAAAAAGAGACUAUAUUGCUACAAAACUAUUACCAUAAGCUACCUCUCGUUUGUUAAAUAUUAGAACACAAUACUUAUGUAGAUAUAUACUUAAUAUAUUUAUCCAAUUGUGAUAGAUUUUAGUUAGUAAUUACUCUAUAAUAUUUUCAUCCACAUUUAUAAUCUUUAACUUUUUACAUCGCAGGUAUGCGCUUGAAUUUGUUUAAUGAACCCUAAGUUUGAGAUAAAAUUUUAGCAUAGAAAUCUAUAUUCUCAUCAUUUUAUAUCCUAAUAAAUAGUGACACACAUCAUGUGUAUAUACCUUAAUUAUUAUAUCGUAUACCAAUAGUGUAAGAUAUAGAUGAUUUAGAAUCAUAUAUUGCUGUAUAUUUUUAAUUAAGGUUAUUUGAUUCAAACGUAGGGUUACCUUAUGUUAUUUUUAAUAAUAGCAUUGUGGGUAAUAUAGAUGCAAAUUUAAGGGGUUACUAAAAGUUUUUAAAGUAAUAGUGGUAGGCAAUUCAGUUGUAAAUUAGGGGGUUAUUUUAAAUAUUGUUUAUAAUGGCAUAAGUGGAUAAUUUUAAUGAAGAUUAGGGGGUUACUUUAGUUUAUUUUGUAUAAUGGCAGAGGUGGGUAAUUUAUAUAUAGAUUUAGGGGAUUACUUUAGGCUCUUUUUCUAGAGUGUCCACUUAGAAAUCCUAGGUGGCUUCACCUAGAGGCUUCAAAAGAAGCCUCCAAUUAGUAAUAGUAAGAUUCAUCUUCUCACAUGGUAUAGAGUUGUUGUUGUUCGUUAGCCGUUGCCUCCACAGCUUCCACCGCCCCUACAUGUGAGAUGAUCCCAUUUCUCUUUCGGGCUUGCAACUCGUAGUCCUAGGGUCCACGUUAACGUUAAUGAGUUAAGAGUUUUCCUUGGUCACUCGUAGUCUAGGCCGCCCUCUCCCCUCUGCUGCGCUCCAGUUGAACAUGGUCACCAGAGCCCUUCCGGGGCUGGGACCUGGGAGGUUGGUGCGGCUCGUCGUGUCCCGUUCCCUGGGACGUGCGCGCCGAAGGUGUCGCGCCAGACUGAUCGGAGGCGUUUAUGGAUGCCACCGCCGCAGCAACACGAUCCCUACGUCUCCUCCUCUCGGGGGGCUGCUAUAUAUACAACGUGUGAAAGCUGGUUAAGGUUCGUGGUUUUAAAGCCCACCUAAAUAGAGAUCUGAAUUUAGCAUUUCAAAAGAUAGGUUUCAACAUUUUCUCAAUAAUAGAUCAACAUCUAAAUUACCUAUAUUUGUCAAUAUUUCUUUGAAGAAAAAGCUAAAGUGAUGCCUAAAUUAUUUAAAUAUGCGAUUAUAUAAAAAGAAUAUAUAUCUCAAAGUACUCCGUACACACGUGUCUAAAUUUUUGACUUAUUAUUAUUAAUAUUGCGUAGUGUCAGUAACCACGCAGACUAUGUGUACACGUAUGCACCAGGUGUUGAGUAUUUAUUUUAAUACUAAACAUAUAGCUGAAGCUAAGUGUAUCACAACCGGAUAAGGAUUAUAGUGUGAUCAUCAUCCGUCUGUAUUUUGUAAGUCAUAUUUCGUUUCAUUACAACAGCACAUUUAUGUAAUGAAAAAGAAUAUUCAUAAUAAAGUAUUUUCGAGUACGAAUCUAGUGACAUCAACUUUCUAUCACAAAAAAUAUAUAUUAAUAUAGAAUAACUAUAUAUUGGCCAAAGGCAUGUCCUAACAAAAUGAAAUAUAAGCCUAUAUGGUGCUUAGAAUAUGGACAGAUGAGAGACAACAAAGAUAGGCAAUUUUGAUUAGCAUGAACUUCUAACACUAAUCUCUCUUAAAAUUAUUACCCCUCCCCCUCCCUUCCGUUGAACCUUAAAAAUUUUUUGCCCGCCUAAGAGCAAGGGUUACGACUUACGAAUCGGUAAUAACCAAUGUAAUAACCGUAGUUUUAUGCUGUAUGACCAUAUGUGUUACGUCAGUGAACUCAAAAGUCUUCUCCUUAAGUAUUCAUAUUUUAUAUAGCACAGGUCUUGCAUCUCAUAAUUUGGACCAAAAACCAAACACCAGUAAGUUCGUCUCUUAUGCCUGACUUCAAGCCAUUCACGUACCGGUCUGAUCUGGCUCCAUAGGCGAGCACCGGUAGGCGGUAGCUCUACCUACACCCAAGGCACAACGACAGCCGGACCGGGCCAGACGCCGCCGGCGUACGGACGAUGUACCCUGGAACUGGAAGAGAUGGCUCCUGCAGCACCUCCGUCCUGUUGUCACUGCUCAGCAUGGCAAUGACUUGCCCCCAUGGUCGGCCGCCUUGGCAGGUCGGUCCUACUGCACGCAGAGGAGCACGAUGUGCACUACCCUCAGCAUGUGCCGCGCCGCGUGCUCCUGCCCGUUGACGCCCAGCUUCCUGUCCAUGACGUCGACCGCUCGAUUCUCCUUCCGGUGCUGCCACACCUUCUCACAUAGUAAUCAGCAAACUCUUGCAGAAUCAUGAGGAGAUAGCAUAAACCCCCCCCCCCCCCCCCCCCCCCGCCCCCCCCCCCCCACACACACGAUCACUACCAAAAUCCCCAACUUCAUUGGGGCAUAUUUCAUAACACAAUACUAUGUUAGUGUGAAAUUCGCGAAUUUUUUUAUUACCAAACUAAAAUGAUUAAAUAUUUAUCUAAUAAUUAUCUUGAAUACGGCCACAAAUCCACUGCUCCCUAUCCUGUUACUAUUUAAGAAAUGACUUGUUGCAGCCUUAAGAACUUUGUAGUCAUAGAGUUGGCAACUCGUUCUUUCUCCAUCCUUGUCCUCUUCUUUCGUGCUCCAUCGCUCCUCUCCUUGGUCAUACAUGUUCUCCCCUCUUAUGCCAUCUACAUGAUUCGUGAAAUAAAAAAUAAGGCACAGAAAUAGUGAUACAAAGGGAGAAAUCGAGUGAUUUCCUAUCAUUUGCUAGAAUAGGAUCUUGUGACACUUAUGAUGGAUCCUGGAAAAUUAUUAACAUGGAAAGAAUUGAGACCAGGUGGGGCCGGAUGUACCAUCCCAAUUUUCCUAAGCAUUUAAAAUAUGGACCCCAAAAACUUUUUCUAAAAUUUAUAUAGCAAUUCAAGCCAUAGAGCCUUGCAUUUGAAUUAUUGCAUCACAAAUAGUUUUCCAUAAUCAAAUAUGCAUUUGUUUGAGCUAACUACUCCAUCUACUCCAAAAUAUUCCACCUUAACAUUCCUUCCAAGCCCUUACACCAAAACCAAUUCAAAUUUGAACAUAUUUCAAAUUUGAACUUAAAACACCUUACCAACUAAAAGGAAAAACCAUUUAAACCUACUUGGGCUGAUAACCUCAGAACCGGCCCCUUCCCCUUUCCAGCCUGGCCUACCUCCUCUUUCUCCCGCACAUGGCCCAAACCAACUGCCUCGGCCUGCCACUUCGCUUAGCCCAGCCCUGCCACACGAUGAUGUCAUCCUGAUGUCAUCAUCCCCAACCUCCAUCCAUCCCCCCUUCCCUUCUCCUCGCCCGCCCACGACAUCACGCCAGCCGUGUGCCGUACCCGGCCCUCCAGCCACUCUCACUGUUCCCUGGCGAGCGCGCCGCCAUCGCUCAUACUCCUAUCGUCGCCGCACCUAUCAGAACCCUUCCCCCCGCUCAAGAACCCAACCGCCCCUAUUCAUUUCCCCGCGCUCCAGAGCGUGGCCACCGGCGAGCUCCCCCUGAUCUCCUCCAUCCCAGCCUGAUUCAUCUCCCCGGUGAGCGCGCCACACGUGCCAGCACCAAGCGUGUCCACAACCGCGCUCCUUCCCGCCAGCAUCCUCUCUCCCGGCCCUAUCCACCCCCGCCACUAAUGCCACGCGCCGCCGCACCAUUGGCGGCCGGCCGGCCCGGAUAAGCUUGGCCAAGGCCGUCCGAGCCCCCAAUCCUCUUCGUUGGGCUAUAAAUAGCCCUUCCGACACUCCUUACCCCCCCUCUCCACCACUCUCCACCACUCUCCUUCGUCGGAAUAGGAUCCUGCCGCACCUCCUCCACCCGCCACCAUGCUCUAUCUCCUAGAGCCGGGUUGGGUCGAAGUCGAGGAGCCCCGCGCAGUGGUAGCCACCUCCCUCACCCGUAUCGAAGCGCCGCUCCCGCUGGCCGCUCGUCGCUAAACCACCGCCGCCGCUCAAUCCCAUUGCCCGCAGCUCGCCGCCAGCCAAAUUCUGGAUGUCACGCUGCCCGCGUGAGCUUCCAAAAAGUCCCAGGUACAACCGCUAUGCUGCCCGUGCUGCUAUAUGUCCUCCUCGCCUUCUCCAGCCAUAUCCCCGCUCGGCCGUUGCGCCGUCGGGAUUCCGGCGAGCCGCCGGCGUUGCUCCGGUCUACCACCGGCCACCCUAAGUCCUCCACUGCACGCGUCGAGCCACCUCGAGCCUUCCCAUGCCCUUAGCACCCCCAAACCCCCUCUAGACCUCACUCCCCUCGCAUCCGUGCUGCCGUGCAACUCCGACAAGCUCCAAGCUUGCCGUCGGUCACCACUCAUUGACCACACUGUCCUCCACCGGUCCGCCAUGGCCUCCUCUAGCCCCUGGCCACUUCCUGCCCUGGCCCAAGCCUUCCCUCGUCCGGCACAGCCUGCCGGCGAGCUGUCCUGCCACACGCGACGGUCCGGUGACCCCAACUGGGUGGCGCUGCUCCCCUUCCCAUCCCUGCACCGCAUCUACAUACACUGCAUGCACGCACUCUCCCUCAGCCCAUCACGUGGACCGCCAGCCCACAGCACAGUCCGGCCACGCUAGCCCCCACACGGCCCCCUCGCCACAUCAUGCCAGGACCGCCUAUCUCUCUCUCCUCCCCCCAUCCGCUUUGUUAGCUACAGCCACCCGAAUAAACAUACACCAAUUCUCACCUAGCCAUGUUAGAAAUUCCCAAAAAUUAUCAAAAAUUCACCAAAAUAUAUUAGAACCCAUUUUAAACCCAACCAUACCUUGUUUGUCCAAAUCUCACAUCCAUAACCCCUAUAACUAAACCCUCCUUUCAUUAAUGAAGAACCCCAUAUUUCAUGUGGCCAAAAAUAGGAAACCAUCCCGAAAAGCUAUGGAAAAAUCCUAGAAAAUUCUAGGAAAUUACUCAAGCCUCCUAAACCCCAAUUAUCCUCCUGUAACCCAUGUUUGAUGUAUUGCUAUAAUUGUUUGCUUGGUUGCUUACGUAUAACUACGAUAAUAUAGAAAACGACGACACCAAAAACGCAUUUGACGAUCCAGACUACGAAGAAGAAGCUCGAUCCAGACUUCGAGGAAGGAAAGUCCCACAAAUCAUCAUCAUCUUUUAUCCCAAGCUUUAUUAAUAAAAUAAACCAAGAUAAUAAUUUUUUUAUAAGCUUUGUAUAUUUUCCUUUAUUUCGUUGCUUAGCUCGUCCUAAUAAUUUUGAGCCCUCCUUGAUAUCAUGAACCCCAUAUACACUAGGUCAUAUCAUGACUCACAAAUUCUAAGGAGGAGUGAGAGUACUUUAAAAAUGGCAUAAAAUAACUUAAGUAAGUCUAGCAGCCAAUUAAGGCUGGAUCCGCAAGUAAGAGGAUAGCCUCGGUAGAGGAUCCUAUCCUAAAUAAGCUUACUCUAGUCAUAUGAGGACCGGAUCAUGGGAAAGUCUUUCUAGUGAAUAGUACAGCCGCACGUGCCAAAAAGGUACAGCCUUCGGGAGUGACUAAACAUGUGAGGCCUUGAUUCACACCCCACUACAGAAUCUAAUAAACUUUCCCAAGAGGCCACUGUGGGCAACAGAUAGACUGGAGCAAGACCUUCGCAAUCCUAGGUCUGUUCAGCACGGGUCUCGAGUUGAGGUCUGUAGAACCUGUUGACAUUGUAUGUCAAGUUAUGAUGCAUCUUUUCCCGGGACAGAGUCCACGAGUGGACAUAGUGUGACCCCUAUUUAGACCCCAGCCAUAUCUAUGGACGGAGUUAGGGAAUGUUGUCUAGGAAUAGAUACUGGUGGGUACGGGUCUCGUAGGUCAGUACCGCCUAUGAUCAAGGUACAGGCUGAUCGAACGUGUGGGUAAAGUGUACACCUCUACGCAGAGUUAUAAAAACUUUUCGAAUAGCCGAGGCUCACGGUUAAGAGCUCACAUAGUUAAAGCUCCCAUUGAUUAGUCAUAGAGUGAGAUUCAGGCUUGUCUUGGGAUGUGUCUAGAAAUAAGGCAAAAGCUGGCUCGGGUAAUCCCUAACGGAUCCCGAUGCUCUUAAAACUUAGGGACCGGUAGGGAGCUAGUUUUUCCUCCAGGACCAACAACUUAUAAAUAUUUGCAUUUCAUUCUCUUCAAUUUAUAACCAUAUACAUUGUGCAUGCAACUAGCUUUCGGGCAAACUAGCAGCUAUUCCUUGAAAUCCUGCAUGAAAUAAUACAACAAUUGUGGGAUUUGCUGAGUACCCAUUAUAUGAUGCUUACCCUUGAUUCUCCUUCCUUUCUUUCUUCAGAGGAAGAAGUUGCUAGUGAGGAAGACGAGGAUCUUCCCUAGGAGCCAAGCCGCUUGCAGGCUUGGGAUUGUUAUGUAGGACUCCGCUGUAUAAUUAAGGUUGAGGCUACGGCCCUAUCAUUGUAAUAUUCUUUCUCUUUUUCAACCUUAUGUAAAUUAUCAAUAAAAGUUGUACGAAGUAUGGAUGUGAUACUUCUCGUGUGAAGUGUCCGUAUCAUCUACUGAUCCAGGGAAUGAUAUGAAUGACAUUCGGGGUCCCUUUUUAGGGGCAGCCCCCAUACCGGGUUUGUUGGAUGACCGUAUGUUGUUGCUUUGGUGGUUGCUCCGUUCGUGUCAUUUGAGGACUGUACCGUUGUGGCACACUGAUCGAGGUUGAACAGUAUUAACCACAUGCCGGGAGUAGAACGUAGUCGAAACCGAUAAACCUACGUACAUUCGUGCGCUAGUAGAUUGAGCUUGAUAUCAUCAUUCGUAUGAUCAUGGUGUUUUUAGCGUAGGAGCCAAGCUCAAACUUGAUGUGAAUGAUAAGCCAUUAACACACUGUUUGGUUGGUGGCGAUGCACCGUAGAGAAGUACUUUAUGUUUUGCACCGUACUACGUGUCAUGGGUGCUGUAUCUCUCAAUUUAAUGCUCUCACUACCGUUCAACUAAAGAGAUCGUACCUCUUUAUAAAAAAAAUCGUACCUCAUUUUUUAGCCCCUUUGGAAUAAAGGAUUGGCGGAGGAAUUCUGUAGGAUUUAGUUCCUAUAGAAAUUUUUUAUAUGUAUCCUUUUGGAACAAAGGAUUGGACAUCCAAGAAUCCUACAAAAUUCCUAUGGAAUGCCUCAAUCCAUAGGAAAUUUUGAAGAAAAUCUAAUAUGAGAUCCCAUCUUUUGAAAAUUUUCCUUUGUCUCUCCUCAUAUUCCUAUAUUUUUCCGAUGUUAUAUCCAAAUGCUCCCUUUAAAAGUCUCCAGCGUGCUAAAUUCCUAUAGGAUUGUAAUCCUACAUUUUUCCUAUUCCAACGUUUUGAGAAUCCAAAGGAGGCCUUGACUAUAAACACCAUCAACGUUGUAAAAAAAUGUCAUCAACUCGGUACAUGAAAUUAUUUCCCAAUCCAGUCAAAACGAAGAGAGAAUUGUCAUUAGUCAAAGAGGUUGAACGAUCGUGGCAGCUACAAAAGAAAAAAAAUAGACCAAAAGCAGACACCUGGCAUCGACGGGAAGUCGGGAAGGAAGUCGCCACCAAGAGAAACAAAAAGUAACGGAAGGGAGAGGGCGCCGCCCCCCACUGGCAGGUGGGUCAGGAGCGGCCCGGAGAAGCCGAAGCGACCAGAGGGGGCGUCCCGCGCCUGGGCCCCCCAUUCCGCUUCCAGAUCUCAUUAUUGCACGCGGCCACCCCCCUUUCGCAAGUCAGAGAAGCGAGGAGGAGGCGAGAGAUUUGCAUCCCGAGGGAGAAUAGAAAGGGACCCAACCCAAAUCAAAUCCCUGGUGCCCCCUUCCUUCCCCCACACGCCGCCGUCGCCGCCGCCGCCGUGAGGACUCCGGCGAAUGGCGUCCCGCAUCGCCUCGGGCCUCCUCCGCCGCCGCGCCGGCGCCGUAAUGCCCCUUUCCCUCCCUCCCUCCCUCUCUCCUCCCUCGUGCGCGUGGUCUCCCUUGGCGGCUAGCUCCUGUUCCCCAUUCUGGUUCGGGAGAAGCCGAUGGAUUUAGGGUUCGCGCGGUGGUCCGAUGCGGCGUCCCCCGUCCGAUGGGUGUGCUCUUCGCCUUCGGAUUUGCGUCCAGGCGUCCUGGAUGGGGUCGUGGUUGGUUUUGCAGGGGCAUCUGGUGGCGUCGAAGCUGAUGCUUCUGGGUCUCCCCGAGCCUGCAGGUGGGCGGCGUGGGGCGCUGAUGGUUGAGGGACGUCAGCUGUGCGUCCUAGGCUUUUACCCAUGAUUUGAUUAGGACGGACCUGGGACCUGGGGGUGAUGAUUUGGGGCGCGCCACACGGAUUAGGGUUGUAAACGUGCUUCUCUGCUGUUUCUGGCCAUUCCAGUGUUAACCUUGCCAUUAACUGUUCUGUAUAGCUCAGGGAUCUUUUAGUGGCCAAGGGAUAUGAUGUACGGGCAACAAAUGGAUGCAGAGUAAGCGUGAAGCUUGUAAUUUCCCCAUCUUGUGAGGUUUCGUGCUCUCUGUGGGGGUAUCAUACAUCUAAAGGAGUCUAGUGAAUUGAUUUCCUUGCUACCAUCUCUUUGGUUUAGGUCACCAAAACAAUCUGAGAAGAGAAUAAUGGGCGUUGAAUUGUUGUGCUAUGGUAUUUUCCUUUGUCUAGCUGUUUCCUGCAAAGAGAACCCGUUCUGCGCUGUGUAGAACAAUCUAUUUAGUGUACAACUGAAAGUACCAUUAAUUAAGGAGUAGGUUCAUGGUAUUUCUGAUUAUUCUUGGUUCAUUGUUCCAUGCUAACUUUUUUCUGGAUAUUUUUGGACCAUAUUUAUUAAGUAGAUUGUCUUGAUGAAAAUUUUGUGCUCUGCACUUGAGACCAAGAAUGCGUUCAUUUUUAUAUACCACUAUAAGUUACUUUUUAGCUGAGAUUUUUUGGCGUGCGUUUGAGAAGACCUAGAUCCUCAGUUGCACUGGUCUCAGUGUUGAUAACCUUAUGUGAUCAUGCGGUAUGUGACCUUGUGUGUGAUAUGUAUCAAUCUAAGAAUAGGGUUUUAUGCAUAAUAGUGUGUAAAAUUGUGGCAUACAUGCUAAUCAAGAAACUGAUAAAGCUCACAGUUCACCAUUUGAGACCCAGAUAUGUCUUGUUAAUGGAAAAGGAGUCAAACACACGUAGAUUAAUCGAACAUCUUAGACCUACUGCUUCAAAUAUGAAGGUUUUUGGAGAUUAUUUUAUCAACCAAUGCUAUUCCUUAUUGCUGUUGAACUGAUAGGUGUUGCCUAUAAAUAAAACUAAGAAGCUUGUAUGGUAGCCCAAGUUCAUUUUCCCCAAAAAACCUUCUUCCAUCAUAAGAAACGAUAGUUUGAUGGUUAAUGGAGUAGGAGUGGGAGUGGGAUUUGCUGAUAGGGGGUGACUAUAUCCUAAAGCUUUAUGUUAUUGCAGACCCUAUAUUUUGUAAAUAAGAAAUAGAACAUGCCAUCUGAGUCAGCUGUAAAGUAUGGCAGCUGCUUCAGCAUUUGUGGCCAUCAUUUAUAGCAAUGUUAAGUUGAAUUGGUGCCUUUAUUAACAACCUUCAGGGCAUUCCUUUAUACAAGCUUGAAAAGUGUCACAAUUGAGAUUGAUCCACCAUGCCAAUCCUAUCUAAGUUACUAUACUGAUUUACAAUUCAUUCUGAAGUAGUGUAUCAAAUUUUCUUAGUUAUGGUUUUAUUAUUUUUAUGCCAUUUUACACUUUCACAUUGUAGUAGUGCUGAUGCACAGAUAAUAUAUGCUUGGAUGUAUUACUCCUUUACAGCUAAUUUCUCUCUUUCUCACUGAUCUGACUUACUUGCAGAACCUAGGCCUCCUAAGGAGUUAUACACAUGUCAGAAACUACAGCAGUCAACUUUCAGGUAAUUAGUUUGACUGGCCCUGUUUUUAGUGUUCAAAUCUUAACUAUUGACUAUAAUGUCUGUUUUCUCCAGCUUUGAUUCCAGCUACGUCCCAGUGCUCGAAGCUAACGAGGUAAUUAUUAGACUGUUAUGAAUAUGAAUGUCUUCAUCAUUGACCUCACAUUAAGUUUUCUUACAUUUUUUACUUUCAUACAAUAAUUUUAUUCUUGUGAUUGAAUCUUUUUAGAAGACGUUAUUACAUGCCGAAUGCCUCUCCGUACCAAGUUUGGAGUAGGUCAUUUGCUUCAGAUAAUGGUAAACCACAAUAGCCUGUUGAGGUAAAUAGUGUUCUAUAAAUGCAUUCCACAUUAUGUGCUUAUCAAGUCUUGCUUUUCUUUCUACAGAAGACAAGGUUGAGGCUGUUGUGCCCUUCAUGGGUGAAUCUGUAACUGAUGGAACUCUUGCUAACUUCUUGAAGAGUAUGCUCUCUCCCCCUCCCUCCCUCUUAGGUUGUUCUAUAUUCUGUCGCUAACACUUCUUUGAAACAGAACCUGGUGACAGAGUCGAGGCCGAUGAGCCCAUAGCACAGAUUGAAACUGAUAAGGUAUUGGUGCCUUCUGUUUGAAUAUUUGUAGAAACACCAUAUUUGCGAAUGGUCAUAGAAAGACUGUUUUCCUUUCUGUUUCAGGUUACUAUAGAUGUUGCAAGUCCUGAAGCUGGUGUUAUUGAAAAGGUGAAUAUCUGUGAUCCUUUCUGGCUUCCAGUCUGCUUUCUUGGCCAUACUUUACCUGUACUGGAGCUGUGGCUUUAUGCAGAGAUCAAAGAUACAUACUUGAAUUGAAUACCAUGAGUAUCUAUUAAUGUUUCAGAUCAGUGGUUAUAUCUACUAAUGUUACAGAUCAGCAGCUACUCCCAUACUAAUUGUUGCUAUUUCUGACUGAUGUUGUGUUCCAGUUCAUUGCUAGUGAAGGUGAUACAGUUACUCCAGGCACCAAAAUUGCAAUCAUAUCAAAGUCUGCUCAAUCUGCUGAAACACAUGUUGCUCCAUCUGAGGAAGCAACUCCAAAAGAAUCUUCUCCACCAAAAGUUGAAGAAAAACCAAAAGUAGAGGAGAAAGCGCCAAAAGUAGAACCACCAAAGACACAAGCACCUAAGCCUGCUGCACCAUCAAAAACGUCCCCUUCAGAACCACAGCUCCCUCCAAAAGAACGAGAGCGGCGGGUAAGGCCUAUAUUAUCCAAUGACAGCUGCAGAUUUUUUUCAAGGGACAUGCAAUAUUUUACCAUGUUGUUGCAGGUGCCAAUGCCAAGGCUCAGGAAGCGUAUUGCAAACCGUUUGAAGGAUUCUCAGAACACCUUUGCAAUGCUGACCACAUUUAAUGAAGUUGACAUGUAAGUGUUAGUUUAGUUUGGUCCUAUUCUUAUAUAAUAACAAUACUUCACGUAACCAUAACAGUAGGUUCUAUCUCAUCGUUUUAUUUGUGCCUUCUCCUGUUAUCAUCCUAAUUGUUAAAAGAUGUGGCUAGUAUCCAAGCAAUAAAGAAUCUAGUUUGUUGGAGUAUGUUUCACUAUAUGAUUGCUGCUCCACUUUGAAGGGGUCCUAAUACUUGCUAAAGCACCCUGGAAAUUAAGAACAUAUGCUAACUUAUGAAAAGAUUGCGUCAUAUGAUUAUUGAAUAUGUAUGAAUGCUCAUAGAAAGUUAUUUCGUUGAGGUGCACUGACCAAAAUAAUCUCAUCAUUUGUUGUGCAAAACUGCAAAUAAUUCUUAUAUCAAUAUAUGUGGUUUAUCAUCUUUGUUUUCUUACAUGUGGACUUAAACAUUACUUUCUGCUUGCCAUUAUCAUUUCUUGAAGUCCGGAUAGUUGUGUUUAUCUAUCACUAAAUCUUAUGAUUAAUGCAGGACCAAUUUGAUGAAGCUUCGUUCUGAUUAUAAAGAUGAGUUCGUCACAAAGCAUGGUGUCAAAUUGGGUCUCAUGUCCUGCUUUGUCAAGGUACCUGCCAGUCUUGUGUGUUGCAACCUCUUGCAUGAUACACUUACAUCGUUGUGUUAAUUUCAUUUAUUUUUGCAGGCUGCUGUUUCUGCACUUCAAAACCAGCCCAUUGUCAAUGCUGUCAUUGAUGGUGAUGACAUCAUAUACAGGGACUAUGUUGAUGUCAGUGUUGCUGUUGGCACUUCCAAGGUACCAUCAUAUAGCAGAUAAUUGUCACUCUGAUGACUGUUUCCUUCUUUCGUAUCUCAUUGUGAUGUAAAUCUUUUUCAGGGCCUUGUGGUGCCUGUUAUCCGGGAUGCUGAUACGAUGAACUUUGCUGACAUUGAGAAAGGGAUAAACAACCUCGCAAAGAAGGCAAAUGAGGGGGCACUGUCAAUUGAUGACAUGGCAGGAGGAACAUUCACCAUCUCCAAUGGUGGUGUUUAUGGAAGCCUUAUCAGCACACCUAUCAUCAACCCCCCACAGGUAACUUGCUCUCCAGUCAUGUAAAACACAUUCUGUAGCAGGCUCUGUCCAUUCAUUUUAUACGCCAUCUAAAAUGAAAUGCAGUCAGCAAUUCUUGGGAUGCAUUCCAUUGUGCAACGCCCUGUGGUUGUGAACGGCGACAUCCUCGCAAGGCCGAUGAUGUACCUCGCCCUGACAUACGACCACAGGCUGAUUGAUGGCAGAGAGGCUGUCUUCUUCCUGCGCCGCAUCAAGGACGUGGUCGAGGAUCCCAGGAGGUUGCUGCUUGACAUAUAAGUUCACGCCCUGGCACUGCCCCGCCAACUGUUUUGUGCUUAUCUGGAAAUAAUACCAUGCAAAUUUUUUGACUGAUGAAAACUAGUUGCUUCCUCCGAAAGGCAGAAUCUGAGCUGAGGAUAUGGUGAGGUUUUUCCUAUAAUUGUAGAAGAGAGCACCAAACUCAACGCUGAGGUCAUGUUCACUUUUCCUAUCGAAGAUGUUCCAUUUCGGGAUGUAGUUCCCCGAACACUCGUUUGUUUACCAUGCAAAAGCAAUAGGGGCUACUGCAUUUUUGGGGUUUACAUUCUCGCCUUUGUCUGCAACUCGAGAGUCUCGGUUGUAUUACCGGUACUGCUUGUAAGUAGGGGUGGUAAAAGUUUCUCAAAUUUAGCUUAGCAAAGGAUUGAGAUCAAUAAGGGUCAGAUCAUAAUAAUAUAAUAUGAUUUUGAUCUAAAAAUAGAUAAGGUUAAGUUGGAUUGUGAAGGAGGUAGGAGGAUCCUGAUUCAUUACCACCCCUACCUGCUGCAGCGCUGAUAAGUCUUGCUCCAAUCGUUCUUGCUGUAUCUGCUGAAUACUUUAAUGAAAACUCGUCAAGAAAUACGGUAUGAAAUACGAUAUGGGGUAUGACCCGCUGCAUUCGUUAGACCGACAGUACAAGGGUUAGGCGUGCAGCACAAAUUCCUCCGUUCCAUUGAUAUUAUAGUUGAUGGUCUAUUUUUUAAAGGCUAGUCAAAGCAAAAGAAAUUUGACUUGGGCCAAUUUCAAAACGUUUUACGUUUAAAACAGAUAGAAGGCAGUUGCAUGUCCAUAGGUUUCAAUCUUUUUGACGGCGAAUAAACAUUCGAAACCGCCACAACACCAACGAUAAGAAUCUUCCUUUUCUUUUCAAUAUUUUUCCCUUUUUCUGGGGUGUGGAGGAUCCGUUUCCAGCUAAUUUAAAUAUGAAUUCAGAGAAAAAAAAUGAAAUCACACGGGUUAUAAAAGAUAGACUUAACACGAAAGAUGACAAGUAAACACAAAAUUUGCAUUGAAUGGGUCAGUUACGUAUGCCCUAUCAGUUUGGUAUGCACAACAGAAGUUUUGGGGAUGAGAGCCUAGAUGGGGUUACGAGUUUGGUGUUCAGUGAGCUCACAAGUCAUAACAGAAUCCACACAGAGCUGCUUUCAGCAAGGAGCUACAAUCUACAGAACUAGCAUAACAUUAACUGCUUUCAGCAUAAUGCUACUCCAUACUGAGGUGCACAGAUGAUCUAGCACACCUCAUUUUUUUUCUCGUGGAGAAUGAGAAGAUUUGGCAGUGAUUCCCAAUGUCGGUAAAAGGCCCAGUGUACAUUUGAAUUCUUUUUCUUAACCAUCCGCUUUCCCUUUUAUGGGUCUUACCCAUGCUGCCCCAAAAUUCAUACCAAGGUCUUCAAAAGAUCUUCCAAUAACUUGAAAUGUGCAGGGGAAUUUGGCUAGGUGCAGAUUUAUGUAACAACCAAGCCACCAAAUCCAAGCUUCUGAACACCAACUCGUCCGACCACCAUCAACCUGUGGAAAAAAAAACACAUUAGCAUGCCAAUUGUUUUAGAAAAAAAAGGGGGAAACAAUUAAAAAGACAAGAAAAAAAACAGAAAAAACUAAAGAAGAGACAGGGGCUUAUUAGGAUAUGUAAACACGCAAACAAUAGCAGCUUGAGCGGAUUGCACAGACUACAAGUCUUGUGCCAAUGUGCCAUGUAUGAAACAACAAAAGAAUUGUAAAAAGGCAACAAAAAGUAUCAAGUAUCGUGCAUACAAAAAAAAAGGUUGCAUCCAGACUUCUGUAAUCUGUUGUCUUGGUUGGACCACAUGCAGUGAGACAGGCGUUCAUUGGGGACACUCAGUCACCAAGAUGAGUGCGAACAUGCAUAAUGCCCCUUGCCAACCUGUCAGCAGCUGAGGUGUCUCACUGCUUGUGAACUAAAAUAAAGACACUCAAAGAUCCCCCAACUGUGUGGGGGUAAGACAAGGAGAUAGCGGGAGUUGGAUGGAACCAGGUUUUAUGUGAGAGCCUUGCACACUAGUAGUUCUUUGAUACAUCACAGCGGACUUGUUGUGUAGGCAAAUGUGUCUCUAAAAUCAAUUUUGGCAGCUGACUAAGCUCACAGAUGAUCCUAUCAUGGAUCGUGCACAUAAAGAUAUAUAAACAAUAAAAUAAUGUAUUGCAUUAUGCAUCGGGGGUAACAUGUUUGAAUACACCAGCAGGAGGAAUAGUCUGCAAUAACUCAGGAAUAUAUUUUAUGAAACAGCUUGCAGUACAAUAGGGAGGCAAAAGAAAGGGCAACAGGACAGAAGAUAAAUGUGUAAAAACACACAAAAAAAUGUAAAAGGCAAUCAGCAGCCAAUAUCAUGUGUGUUAAUGCAAAUAGAAGUCUAGGCUAAGGCAGAAUGCAUGAUUUUGAUCCAGUUGCUUCAGAGAAUUUAAAACUGUGUACUAACCAUUGGUGUGCUUAAAUAACUGAGCCCCAUUCUAGACAACUAUAGAAGAUGCAUACAACAGUGCUGAAUAAGGGAAGAACAUGCAGACUUUGUGUAUUUUUUAACAUGGAAAACUUGAAUGAAUGACAAGGUAUUGGAAACUGGACAAGCUAAGCAUAGUGCUUUAUGAAGCAUGUUAUGUCCCCUCUGGCAAGAUUAACAUAUCAAUCAUUAUAUUCGGACUUCUGAACCAAUAAAGGUAAUAUAAGGCUACUGGAAUUAAUUAUAAAGAACAGGAAACAACUACCAUCUCAACUGCAUAUAAUUUAAUAUCAUAGCAUUCCUUGUUAUACUAUGAAAAUAUCAGACAACCUAUCUGCAAUAAGCAGCCCUACCUAUUGAGCUCCCCUUAUACAAGGGGGUCACUUGGGGUGGGUCGGUGGUUAAAUUUCAAAUUACUCUAGUUGCUGUGCUACUGAUGGCCUCCAUGCAUAUGCAGGCUGGGCACUGGAGGGAACAAGCCAGAUGAGAUCAUGUUUGAAACACUGCAUACUACCAAGAGGGUGGUACUGCUACACACAAAAUUACGGCAUACUUUGCCAGCAUCAGUGAUUUCCUUUUCACAUGAACUAUUUGGCAGGUAGACAAGUGGAAAAAAAACAAUCCUGAAAUCAUGCAUGUAACAAAGUGCCGAUGACCUAGAACAUACUCCCUCCAAUAAAAAAAAAGAAUUCUGGAAUGAGCGAGCGUAGACAAUUUUUUUUUAACUUUGGUAUCGAUCUCUUAAUGAAUAUAUUUUGAUUGGACUUACAAAAAGAAAUUAACUCGCUGAAACAUAAUUCAUGACAUAUACUUUUACCAUUUUGUUCAAAUAUAUUGCGUAUGUUAGUAAAGAAAUUGUAUUUUGGGGUCAUGCCUAUGUUAAAAAACAACACAUUGUGUAAUUGGCAACAAAUUCAAAUGUAACCAUUUCAAGAACCGUAUGAUAAUUCAUAAUCAGUGCAACAUACCUCAUUGUGGAAGGGCAGAAUCUGAGAUAACAUCCCUUGUUGAACCAUGUUCAGGAGGACACUCAUCAUUUGACGAUAGAGAGGAACUAGAACCUGAAGCUUUGGAAAUUCCAACUGGAGAAGUCUUUGCACUUUCGGCAGUCGAAAUGGAUUUAUUAUGAGGAAUGGCUGCCGUACAAGAUGCGGCAGUAGAUGAGAUUUUCCCAACAGGGCUGGAGGCCCUGAUAGGAAUUGAAGUAUUCUGAGGUCUAGAAUGGUUAUUUGAGCCAGGAGAUGCCGUUAACCACAUAAACCGUAGAGUAUGCCCUUUACAAGAUUUACCACCAAUAAAUGCUUUCUCAGCUGAUUGCCGUGUUGUGUAAGUCACACAUGCUGAACAACUCAGAGAUGGUUUUAAGGUUGCAUCAUGGUUAUGGGCUUCAGUAUGUUCCAGGACAACAGAUGAAAGCUCCCCAAAUGAUGAGAAAUGGUCUGCCAAGAUAGAUUCCUGUAAAUAAAAAUAGUUAAAGGCAUCAGAAAUAAACUGAACAGCCUGUAAUCAAACACAUCAACACAAAAUGCAGCAUGAGAAUAUCAACACAGUUUUUUUUGCCAAAAGGGAAAGGUGAGUUCUUUUAUGAAAAAAAAAGAGAACUUGUUGCCAUCAGUUGCACAGAUGGAUGACUGAUUUUCCUCGAAUCUUGCCACUAAAUAUAGAUACAAGACUGUUUCUUAAAUUAAUUUUGCGAUGGCAAGGAUGCCAAAAAUUCAGCUAAAGAGUGCAAAUAGUAUGCGCUAAGAUAUCCACAAAAGUUCAUGCAUAUGCUUAUCUUCGAUUUUGACUGAAAAAUGUUGAGCUCCACAGAUAAAAUUAUCUCAAAAUGGCACCAUAUCAUUUAUCGAUCUCAGAAUAGCACGUGGUUGGAUGCUGAACUUACAUUUGCAAUUUCAGACGGCAAAGGUGGAAGAAUUCUGAAUGAUGUGGUUCGAUUGUCAAGCUUAAACCUAUUCUGUGGAGGUACUAACAGAGUAGUCUGCUUCGUAACCACUGCUGAUUUCUGUGUGGAUAUCUCAGCAGAUUUUUGAGAGCAUGAAGCCAACUCUCCAGAGCUUUGCUUUUCCAAUGAUCCAGCAACUUCCUGUGAUCCUUCAGCCCUGGCGCUCAUGGACCUUGCAUCUUUUACUUUUGAUGCAUCAUUUGAAGCAACUUCUUUUCCACUGGCCUCGGCAUGCUUAACUGAAUUAGCUGAACCUUUCUGCAAUAUAGUUGUUCACUUAUUAGAAAUCAGCAGCAGAAACAGCUAAAAAGUGCAACUAAUAGGAAAAUUUUUAGUAUAAACACUCAGCCUGUUCCUACUAAAGAAAAGUCUAUUCACCUAACAACAAAAAAUCACAGUACACAAUAAAAUUUAAGCCACUUUAGGGAAAGAAAAGUAAGUACUUGUUUUGCAAGUUUCUCUAACUGGCGGCGGAACUCAUCACGCUUCUGAGCUAAGAUCUCCUGUUUUUUGCGAAGUUCUUCCAGUAGUUCUAGACUUUCAUGCCUUUUUGGAGCAUUGGGUAUUGGUUUUAUACUGCUUGUCGAUAGCGUUUUAGAACCUGUACCAGAACUCAAUGGUUCAGCAGAAGAUCCAGAACUGGGCCUUGGAGCUAAUUGAACAUUUUCCUUGACUCUGUUGGGAUAAGAUGGUUGAGGGGCAGAAUUGGCCAGCAUAGUAGACGAUUGGGAAGACUUUGCAGGGAUUCUACCCUCUCCCUCAUCAGGAAUCCUAUCUCUGUUGGCCCACCAUAGCCUUAUAAAGCGGUUGCCCAUAACAGCAUCCGGAGCUUUCAGGGCAGCUUCUGCUUCUUCUCUUUUUGAGAACUGGACAAAAGCUUUUUCACUGUUAGAUGGGAUAUAAAUAUCUAUUACUUGACCAAACUUCUGAAAAUGCGAGAGAAGGGCCUCCCAUCUGUUGUUUUCUUGGGGAAUUCCAUGUACAUAAAGUGUACGGGAUGCUUUGUGAGCAGCUCGAUUACUUUGCCGGCCCACGUCUCCAUAUAUUCUCGAAUUGGACUGACCAUUAGUAUCCUUAGCAGCAGCAGACUUUGAUUGGGUCGUGCUGGGAGCCAUCUCAUCAUAAUCACUUUUUUGGUUUCCGGUGGUACUUGUUGAUGUAAUUUUAGCUGUGUUACUAGUCCCUGAUUUUCUCUUUGAUGCUAUCCGCCCCCAAACAGAAGACUUCAAACCCUGCGAACCAUCAGUAGCAAAAACCUGGUUUGAAUGCUCCUGCCCCAUUUCAUAGCCUGAGGAUUCAGGAUUCCACAUUCCAGCAUCAGUAUGUACAAAACCAGCACAUGAAGCUUCUGGGUGUUCAUUGUUCCAUAGAGGCUGAUCAGGAUCAUAUACAUCAGCAUCAGCAACAGCUGAAGUGGUGCUUCCAUUUAGCUUUACUGCGUCGCUUGCAACACCAGAUUUGACCUCUUUUGCAGGAACACUUUUACUGACCGAACCAGUACCUCCCUCAUUUUGGAUUCCCAGUCCUUGAGUAUUUGGAACAGAUACUGGAAGAUUGAAUUGCGAGAGACUCUGCAAAGUGAUAAAGAGAUUAUAUCAAAUUCAAUGUCUUUACCGCAGGACAAAAGAUUAUCUAGUAGUACUUGACCAGAGGAACUUUGCCACCCAUAACAGUUUAAUCUUUUAUAUUAAAAAAACAACUCAAGCAAAAUAACAACCAGAAGGUAAAAUGCUACAGCGAAGAAAAAGGUCCAAGGCAUGCCAAAGUUAAUUGUGGUAUGAUAUAAAAUUCAACAGGAUUUCUCAGUUCGGAUUUUGGAUAGGGGUAUUGUUAGUAUGAUCACAAGAUUCACAGCUCAGAUUAGUGAUAACUGAUAUAACAUAGUUCAGGGUGUGCCUUUCAAGGCUACAGUUAUGUUGGCACAACAUAGCCAUGGCACUGUGACUCAAAAUAUGUAUACAUACAUACAUACAUACAUACAUACAUACAUACAUACAUACAUACAUACAUACAUACAUACAUACAUACAUACAUAUAUAUAUAUAUACAGGAAUUAAUCUGGAUCCAUUAAAUAUGUAAAUCUCACAAGAAUAUCCCUACGAAGUUAUGAUGGAACACAUCAGAUAAGCAAAAGAAUACAGGAUAGUAUGCAGAUGAUUAUGAAGAGUGUGAAAUAGAUAUACCUGCAUAUCAUCAACAACAAUUCUAUUAACACCAUGCUCCAUGGGGCACAUAUCCCCUCUCAGGCAAAAUCCACGUUCCUCAAAGUCUCUACAGCGUUGACGAGGCAGGCCAAGAUCAAUCAAAGGAGAUACUGCAGGCUGAAUAGGACCUUGCAUCCCAAGUGGGUGGAUUGGAUCCAAAAUUCCAUGAGGCAUUCCAGGCAUAAAUCCAUAUGGACCACUUGGCAAUGCAGCGCCCAUAAAUAAGCUAGGGUGUGCAGGUGGUCCUUGUGGAGCCAUCUGGGAUGCAAAAUCCAUCAUAUCAAGGGUGUUAAAUCUUGGGUCAUGCUGAGUCCAGGGUGCACCAUUCCGUCCUCUUCCUCGUGGAGGGCGAGCAGCAACAGAAGCUGAUGAAUCGGCUCGGAAGGAUUGGUUCACUCUAGGCGCUCGACUGUGAGCUCCUGCUCCGGGACGCCUCUUGAAUUUUGGCAUAAAAUCCUUCUGUGAUUCGCCUUGAGAACCAGCUCCGCCAAACGGUUGCCCAUUACCAGAAACCCUGCUCCUUUUUUUGAUAGAGAUCCCUGGAUGUUGCUCCUCUGUAUUAUCAUCAGAUUGUGGUCUAGCCUCCCGUCUUCGGUGCUUGUGGUUGCGGUCAUCAUCAUCGUCGUCACUGAUUUCAAAGUCUUCAGUAUCUGUAGCAGCUUCAGAAUUUGUUGAAUUAUUUUCUUCCUUCGGUGAAGGAACUUCUAUCCUGUCAGCAUCCAAUGCUGGAGAUGAUGACUCUUCGAUCAUCUUCAAGGUUACCAAGCUAGCAGCAAACUUUGCAUCUAUAGUGUCUUCAUUGUCUUGAUCAUAUUCAACUCCAAGAAGCGAUUCAGUCCUAUCUCAGUAUAUCACUACAUGAGGCAGAACACAGAAACAACAAUGAGUAAUACAACACGAAGCUGAUGAUAUGAUCAUGGUAACAACAAACUGGAUAGGCCCAGAACAACAGCAAAGUGGGAAGGCCAUAUGUAACUCUUUUCCUGUUAAAACAGGAACUGCACUGAUGGCAGUUUAACUCAGCUUUUCAGACCACACUUUUAUUAGCGGGAUUAUGCGAACAGAAAACACAGUCUACACUUAGGGGUCAAGGUGAAACAUACAUAUCGAGCCUAUUACUCAAUUGUCAUUGUUAAUAGAUACUCUCAUACCACCUCCAGCAACCAAAAGAAAAGUAACGGCGGGGUGGAUGCUGUUAGCUUUCCUAAUUUUGACCAACACCAUGCAUGAUACAUGCAAAUUGUUGGCACAAUGAAAAUGGUAAGUAGGUUUCGACCAAGACAGCAGCAGCAAAAGUAGAUUUAUUUGUUCCAGAUACAGCUGCGUUCUUAUUAGCUGGUACAAAAGUACAUUAAUUUGUUAACAGCAUCUAAUUCUGACUGAUUAGUUAAGCAAUGGCGAAUUUUAAAGUGCUAUCACUACAAGGGAAAGCAACAUGGUGACCUCAUAUAAAAUUUGUGUCCACACAGUGACAUUUCUAUGCAUCUUUGAAACAAAGGACAAGACUAAUACGACUGGAAGCAAUUCACUGAUACCCAUGCUGCCUUAAACAACGAAAAUUUUGUCCUGCUCCCAGAAACAAGGUUAACGCACAAUAUGAUAACUGAAGCAGUAGAACCUAGUACCUAGCUAAAUGCUUGGCACCACUGUAAAUGGGUGAGCCUAAUCUACACUCCCUUCCAAAAUUCUAUCUAGACUAAGCUUCCUCAUCCCUUCCCUCUUCCAAUCCUACCUCACUACCAGCCUUCUGCUAGUGAUCUGCGACAUUGCACGAAAAUCAAACGACCCAAUGACAGGGGACCCAACUGACCAUGAAAACACCGUCAAAGAUUAGUGGCAUUUACAUGCGUGUAUCGGCAUGGAAAGCUACUUUCCCUAAUCAGUGGCUCUAAUAUGAAGCAAUAGAACCCCAUUGAAACAUAAAAACAAAAGCAUCCUGAUUUUAAAAGUCAAAAUUAGCUAGACAUUCACCUUCCUGCACACAGUAUUCCUGGGAGCUCUCAUGCAGUACCAAUUCCAAAAUCUCAAUUCAAUCCAAUCUCAUAUUCUCAUGUUGAUCAGAACAAACAAUAUGCAUAUAAGCUGGCAGCCAUCAUGCGUGGAGUGGUAUUUGUUUGGACUACAAAGCAGUUGCAUGCCAGAGAAACACAAAAACAUAGGGUGAAACAGAGCGCAACAAGUGUGUCCACAAAAUAGUGACAAGCAAAUGUCAGAAAGACUAAAGGACAAUGUAAAAAAUAUGGCACACUAAAAUCAAGCAUCUACCAAUCUGCCUGCUCAGCAGCUCUCGAUCAUUGGAAACAAUAAAAUUAUUUGCAAUCCUAUACUCCUACCAGAGAAAUAAUCUUCACUAUUGACCUCAAAAGUCCACUCCACUCGAAUUUCGCCAAUCAGGCCGCUUGACGGCACCGAAAUGGAGCUCUCCUCGAUCAAGGAACGAUUUUGUGAUACCCACACCCCGUGCGCCCAACGCCCGGACUGCAAUCCGGGCCUCCCACAGCCAAAAAAACCUAAACCAGGAACAAACCGCGAGCCAGCGCCGUGACAGUCGCAUCAGUACACCACGCAAGGCAGCCGGCCGCCUCCCAUCCUGUCCCUGGCUCCUCCGACUCGCCGAUUCAGCAGCAAACCCCAGCGCCGCGCGGGAGGCCGACCGGCCGGCCCGCGGGCAACUGGGUAAGGGAACCGCGGGGCGCAACGGAAUCGGGGGCUUACCAGUUGAAUCGGGAUCGCUGGCCGGGGAAGAGCGGGCGACGGUAGCGAGGCGGGGGGAGGAGGGCGAGCUCGAGGGGAGUCGCCGUCGGGGAGGUGAGGGGAUGAGAUGGUUAAAUGGCGAGGGGCACUUCGGUAAUUCUGUUCUGUCCUGGGCCUGCCGUGUUGUGAAGCUAGGCUAGGGUUCUUGCUUGCUCGUUUUCCUGUCCUCUCUUCUCAGACUCGGCCUGUACUAUGCUGGUCUGCCUGCUGUUGCAUCGACGCCAGCUGAAUUUCAGCUUCAAUUUUUGAUCCACGAGGCUUAAUCCAUUGGCCCAGAAUUAAUCAUUGGGAAGGUGUAACCGGGCAGGUUCUUGUUUGGCACAUGUUGUAUAUUAAUUAAAGGAUAAAAUAGUGCCUCCUUUUAAAUUCUUUCAAAAGAUAGACUUUGAAUUCCUAAAUUGUACUACCUCCGUUCACGAAUAAUUGAUGCUCCCGACCAGAAUUUGCACUCGUAACAGGUGGAAGCUUUUGUUCGGACGUCAUUUAAAAAAAAACGGAGGUAGUAAACUACAUGUAUGUAUGGUUUGUAGCUGACCUGCAUCGUCAACAUUUAUUUCAAUUCUUAGCUUGUUUGAAUUUAAAUAAAAACGGAUGUAGUAAGUACAUGUAUGUAUGGUUUGCGUGAAGAGCACCGACAAAAGUGAGGAAGCCAUUGUCAAAAAUUGGACAAAAGAAAAUGUGUAUGAGUAAUAUACAGUUCCCAAAAUUUUGAGAAAACUACUUACUAUCGUCCAGAUCAAUAUUUUUGCUGCACAUAUGCACAUAGAUUGGUACAAAAUAGAAUUUGGUGCACGGUUUGCAGGGAUUGAAUGAAUUUUGAGCUUAAAAUUUCAUUUGCAUGUCAAUUUUGUCCCAGAACUAGUACUUCUUUAUUUUUUCUCAAAAAUUAUUUAAACUAGUUUUAUUUACAAAGCUAAAACUUUGUGCAUGUGUGCACCAAAUGCUGUAGAUCUCUUGUGACUAAUCAUUAUCUUGAUUAAACGAAACAUGUCUUUAAAAGAAAGUUUUAAUAGAAACUAGAUCAUAUUUUUUAAGGAAAAAGUUCAAAAAACUGGUUCACGAUGCGCCUCUAGGAUUAGAACACAUACUCAACGAUUCGGCCGUGAUUGGAAUUUUAGGCCUGCCAGGCCCAGCCUAUUGGACCUUCUUUUGGGCCAGCACCAAAUCAACUAGCAGCAAUCACACGGUGACACGUUUUAUCGUAGGUUUUACAUCAUAAUUUGAAAAAAUAGGAGUUUUUGUUAUGAAAAGACUUGCGAAACAAGAUCAUUUGGUCACAAGAAAACUAGGAUCAAACAUCCAGUUUCAAAUCUCAAAAAUGUAUGUUAAACGCAUUAUUGCAAAUUGCAAAUAUAUUAAUCUCCACUUCACUAGCAAAAAGUGUGCAAUAAUCAUAAAAAUAUAAUAUUUUAAAAAUCCUUUUAGCUCCACAUCUCAUAAAUAGUAAGUGCUUUUGUUAGUAGGUGUCCCCAACUCGGACCAUGUGGUUUUCAAUAAAGCAGGGCAGAUACAUUUGAUCCAUAAUUAGUUUUCCCCUGAGACACUGACCUAUUUGUGAUUGCCUCCUUUGUUUGAGACCUUGUCUCUGACUCCUUAUUGUUUGCCAUAUUUAUUUUGCAACUCAAAAUUGAAUUGUUGUGCUGAGAAUGAAUGGGCUAUUCUUCCAUCUUGUCAACAGAACCCAGCAAGUAGUCAAUAUCGGGAGUGAUAACAGCACGCUUAUUGAUCUCCCCACGGCGCAGCAAUGCUUUUCUCUAGUGUCCAUUGCUGCAACUUCCUAGACAAACUUGCAAUUCGAGCCAGAAGAAACCUGCACAAUUUGUUCAUUAUGACUUCUUGAGUACUGCAUGGAAAACCUAGAUAGAAAACACAACUACUUUGAAAGGAUCGUGUGAUGCUUAAAGGGGGUGAAUAGGCUCGAUCUUUAAAAUUUGAAAAUUCUUCACAACAGGUGAAAGUUUUUGUUCGGACGUCAUUUAAACAUAAAACGAAGGUAGUAAGUACACGUAUGUAUGGUUUGUAGCUGACCUGCAUCGUCAACAUUUAUUUCAAUUCUUAGUUUGUUUGUCCAGAUGUCAUUUAAAUAAAAACGGAUGUAGUAAGUACAUGCAUGUAUGGUUUGCGUGAAAAGCACCGACAAAAGUGUGGAAGCCAUUGUCAAAAAUUGGACAAAAGAAAAUAUGUAUGAGUAAUAUAUAGUUCCUAAAAUUUUUAGAAAACUAUUUACUAUCAUCCAGAUCAAUAUUUUUGCUGCACAUAUGCACAGAACCACAUAGACCGGCACAAAAUAGUUUUGGUGCACGUUUGCAGGGAUUGAAUGAAUUUUGAGCUUAAAAUUUCACUUCCAUGUCAAUUUAGUUCCAGAACUAGUACUUCUUUAUUUUUUGUUCUCAAAAUUAUUUAAACUAGUUUCAUUUACAAAGCUAAAAAUUUGUGCAUGUGUGCACCAAAUGAUGUAGAUCUCUUGUGACUAAUCAUUAUCUUGAUUAAACGAAACAUGGCUUUAAAACAAAGUUUUAAUAGAAACGGGGUCAUAUUUUUUUAAAGAAAAAGUUCAAAAAACUGGUUCAAGAUGCGCCUCUAGGAUUAGAAUACAUACUCAACGAUUCGGCCGUGAUUGCAAUUUUAGGCCUGCCAGGCCCAGCCUAUUGGGCCUUCUUUUGGGUCAGCACCAAAUCAACUAGCAGCAAUCACACGGUGACACGUUUUAUCGUAGGUUUUACACCAUAAUUUGAAAAAACAAGAGUUUUUGUUAUGAAAAGACUUGCAAAACAAGAUCAUUUGGUCACAAGAAAACUGGGAUCAAACAUCGAGUUUCAAAUCUCAAAAAUGUAACGUGAAACGCAUUAUUGCAAAAUGCAAAUAUAUUAAUCUUCACUUCACUAGCAAAAAGUGUGCAAUAAUCAUAAUAAUAUAAUAUUUAAAAAAUCCUUUUAGCUCCACAUCUCAUAGAUAGUAAGCGCUUUUGUUAGUAGGUGUCCCCAACUCGGACCAUGUGGUUUUCAAUAAAGCAGGGCAGAUAUAUUUGAUCCAUAAUUAGUUUUUCCCCUUAGACACUGACCUAUUUGUGAUUGCCUCCUUUAUUUGAGACCGUGUCUCUGACUCCUUAUUGUUUGCCAUAUUUAUUUUGCAACUCAAAAUUGUUGUGCUGAGACCCCCUCGAGUUUCUGGAAGAGUAAACUCCAUAUUGUUCUAUGUAGAAACAAAACUAAAUAGUCCCUUGCAAUGUGGCAUAUGGUCAUGAUGGCUUUUUACCCAAAAGAAAUGAAUGGGCUAUUCUUCCAUCUUGUCUACAGAACCAAGCAGGUAGUCAAUAUCGGGGGUGAUAACAGCGUGCUUAUUCAUCUCCCCCACCGCGCAGCAAUGCUUUUCUCUGGUGUCCAUUGCUGCAACUUCCUGGACAAACUUGCAAUUUGAGCCAGAAGAAACCUGCACAAUUUGUUCAUUGUAACUUCUUGAGUACUGCAUGAAAAAUCUAGACAGAAAACAGAACUACUUCCAGUUUUGAAACUCACAUCAAAUAGCGUGUCUCCGACUUUCAUCUUCACUUUACCACUCUUAUAUACAAGUAUCUUCCCAAUAUAACCCCCAGGCAGAUCCUUGAGUUUCGAGCCACAAUGUGAUGAUAGCCUCUGUAACAUUCGUAAAAGUCACCAACUUAAAUCACCCGCUAAAAUUUGUUUUCAAAAUCUUUUUACCGUUGAGCUCCCGAAAAUCUAAUUUUCCCGGCGAUUUUGCCGUCUCGGCACCCAAAGCCGACAACCAUCCUUUUUAUCCUCUCCGCAAAUUUCACCACGUGCUGGUCGACAAACCGCCGUGCGUGCUCCGACCGUUCUCCGUAAUCAGCGCCGACUCUCCCUUUCUUUUUCUCUUUUAUUUUUUUCCUUCUCUUUCUUCCUUUCUUCUUCUUCCUUCUUCCUUCUUCUUUCUUCCUCCUCCCUCUUCCUGGCUGGCCGCACGCCUACCUCCCCUGGCCCCCCCAGCGCCUUCUCCUUCUCUAGCGCCCGGCCACCCCGGCCCCUCCUGCCGUGCGCACGACCGAGCCCCCCUCCCCAGCACACACUCGGCCCUGCCGCUCUGGCACACAGAGCGCCGGUGCCGAGCCCCGCCGCUCACCUCCCGGCGUCCCCUACCACCGGCGCCGCACCCCGACGCCGCGCCUGCUUGGUCCCCACCACGCCAGGCACCGCCGCCGGCCCCUACCGCCACCUGCCGCACCACUCGCCGGCCCUGGUCCCCACGACGCCGUCGUUGUUUCCUCCGCCCACCGGUCAUAAAAGGGCCUCAACGCCCGGCCUCCACAUCCCCACCUCCCUUGCCACCAAGCCCUACCUCCCCCUACGCGACACGGUCGCCAGGAGCGCCGUCCCCUCUCCCAUGCGCCGCCGCCUCCCUAUCCACCGACGGCCGCCCCCCUUCCAUCACCGAAUCUCCAAGGUAAGGGGCAAAACGGGUUCCCCUCACCUUCCUCCACCUUCCCCCGCCGUCCAAUCUCACCGCCGGCAAGCCAUGGCCAGCCGGCAGCCGCUGGACCCACCCCUCCCCCAUCUCUCUAUCUCGGUACAGGGGAAGAAGAAGGGGAAAAACACCCCCCAAUUUCGAUCUAACCCUCUGCUUUCUCCUAUUCGCGAAAUAACCCUCCCACCUCUCUCAAAGUCUGUUUCACAGAUCAGCCCUUCCACCUCCUAAAAGUAUUUACAAAUAGAUCCCUGGUUUCUCGUAGUUCAGUCCUAAACCUUAUUUUAAGCCCCUAACACACAGUUAUCUCGUCAUUUCAUGCGCCGAACUUCCUCCGAUUAAUCCCAAAUUCGACCACGGCAUCCUGCAAUAUACCUCCACCAAGUCAUAUCCAAAUCUCAUGAAAAAUACUCAUUCCUUCUAUUUUCCGUACGCGUCCUCUGUUCGAAGCUCAACGGGUAAAACUUUAAUUUUCUUUUAUUUAUUGUGUGCCCGAUUGUGUGUAUCGUAGAUCGCGGUGUACCCGAGGAGGAGCACAAGGAGGAGUUUGACCACGAGCCCGAGCCCGAGGACCAGCACCGUGAGUAAGAACUCCCAGCCAACUACGAGGACGGUAAGUUCAAUCUCACCCUUUGAUGCAUAUUUAUUCCUAGUUUUUCAAACACAACCUAUUGGCCCGUUUUAUAAAAUUGCAUAUUGUUUUACUGCUGAAACACGGUUGGAUAGCCACCCCUUGAUUGGUAUGAAUAUUCCUUGUUUGUCCUAUAAUUAUCUCUAAAUAUGAUUUGCUCUGUUUGGAUGAUAAUUACUGCUAGAAUGCUUAGGACCUUGUUACUCAAUUCAAUCAUAACUACAAUGGUUUAUUUAAUGGAUAAAUGUGUGAGUGUUUUCAAAUGAGAAAAAUGGGUUUUUGGAAAUAAAGGAAAGAAAUGCUUAGAUGAGAUGGAUGGGUGUUUCUUGUGUGAAAUGCCAAUAAGUUGGGUUCGUACCUUUAUGGUUGAGCAAGGUUGGGAGAUAUCCAUCUUGUCACAGUUAAGGACUGAGUUGAUGUGCCAUCUUGCCUAACCCACUAUCGUGCAACCACUCGACCGUUGUGUGGGCGGCGGCUUAGCAUAAAUCCCACUAGCCGGCCUGUUAGCCAUCAGGAGAGCUGGUGAGCAAUGGGAGACUAUGAAGAAGAACUAAAAACUUUGUGAACUUAGAUCCCGAUUAAGAUCUCGUUGGAAGGUCGUUAACCCCUUGGGUGCUUCCGUGUUGGCUAGUCAGUCUUAGCUAUGGUGGGUAAUGGCUUUGAUACGAUCUGCACCGACACUAAGGUGAUCGUGCUGCGGUACCCUACUUGUGGGUAAAGUGUACAACCUCUGCAGAGUUAAAACCUAUCCGGGUAGCCGUGUCCACGGCAUUGGACGAGUUACGGCUUGGACACAUAAUGAGUGUUUGGGUGAUGUAUGGUUUCCAGGGUGUGAGUGGAAUUUUGGAAGGUGUCCGGUAGUUGUGCUGUGAGCUACUGUGGACGGGGAGUCCAGUAGCAUUAAAAAUUGGAUCCUUUGUGUAGGAUCAACCCCUCUUAUUGAUUCUGUUACCAAAGAAAAUGUUUUGUGAAAACCCUUUCGAAAAUGAACCCCUGCAUGUGUUGAAAAACCUAGCUUUAUAGCAAAUAAACCUUAGCCUUAUCCUUGUAUAUCAUGUGCAUAUUCUUGAUUGUAUCCCCCUCCGUGGAUGGGGUUGGACUUGUUGAGUACUUUUGUACUCACCCAUGUUUUGUUGCUUCAGAGGAAGACCUAGACUUCGUCGCCGAGGAUUUCGAGUAGAAGGUCGCUUCCGCACCCAACGCUGCCUGUGGUGUUGGCCUUUGCAGAAUGCUUCCGCUGUCGUGUAGUCUCGAGUGCUGUCUCUUGACAGUAGCUUGGCUCACUGCUGUUGUUUAUUUACUUAUCAUUUUGGCGUGGCUUUCGCGCCCGCUCCCUCGGAAGUUGUAUGGUUUAUGAACCAUCUGUUGAAUAAAUGUGUUAUCAGCCUCCUGGGACUGAUAUUUGUAUCACAUUUAGUCUCCGCUAAUGUGGGGAUGCUUCAGCCUCAUGCCCUAACGUCUCUCCUCGGAAGCUUUAUUAGGCUCAACAAUUGAUUGUGGCUGCACUGGUAAAGGAAGGGAAGACGGCAACUGGAUGAAGAGCAAUUGUGAUUCAUCUGAUCGAUCCUGUCAACACAGGACAUGUGUAAGGGCAGCAAUGGCCACGGCCUGUAAAACUAUAUUAGUUUUAAGCAGUUCAAUGUUGAUUCUUAGUGUACACAAUUGAGCUUGCAAAGUGAUUUUGCUUUAAUAAUUAAUACAUAUAAUAAAAAAACGGUGUUGGAAUCUGCGACGUACCAUUAAUCCAAGCUCUUCCGCUGCGGUUAUAGCAUCUUGAGCUCUGCUUGCAGAAGAUUCUCCAAAUUCUUCCUCAUCAAGAAUUUCUGCAUUAGGAAUGUAGGAAGGGUGUAAAGGUUCAGUUGAAGAAAAAUUCUUGCAAUUUCACUACAAAGACAACAGCAUACCAGGAUUUCCAGAGUAGGGCCUCCUUAAUGGGAGAGUAACAGGAUAAUCAGUAUGGGUAUAGUCUUGUAAUAAAAAAGGAAAUCAAUGGAUAAGGUUAGGAAGCGAUCUGAAUUAGUAAUCUGAUCUUUACUCACCCAUGGCUCUGCAUAUUCUUUUGUUAACUUCUCUUCAUCUUCAUAUGAAAUGGAAACAAAGAUAGUUAUUAAGGUCCAAAUACAGCAAUCUGUAUGUGCAAACAAGCAUUACAUAUAUUCUAUGUUCUUUUAAAAGAGAAAACCAAAAUUUGCAACCCAGCCAGCAGACUAAUCCAAUUUUUCAGAAUUGCGACGCUUAGUGAACGGUUUAGAGUCAUAAGCAAUGAAGAUAAAUAUCUUCCACCAAUACCUUUAGAAUGUUUUGGCAUAGAAAAUGAUCUUGCGUAAGAAGAAUUUCCUUGUCCAAAUGCAACUUGUGUCCGGCUGCUAUGCAAACAGAGCAAUACAUCGUUAGCUAGAUGUGCAUCAGAAAUAAAAUAAAUAAUCCCCACCAAUAUUAAAAAAAUUGUAUAUUUAUAAACACCAACGAGAUACUAGUUUGAUAAUUAUAACAAUUGGAUCUAUCAAUUUAGAAAGAAACUAAUGAUUUUUUUCUGAAUAAACCUUCUCAGUAACAAAUCCUUGGUUACCUUGUACUACAUGCACUAAAUUUUAGUACACUAAUUCAAGACUUGGAAAGAAAGAGUUCGGUGCAUGCACAACACAAUGUAGUAAAAUUUAAGACAAUCCAACGUGAUGCAACAUAUAUCAAUAACCAUUCACAGGAGUAGCUGCGAGCACAUCAGCUUGCAGGGAUAACACUUCUUUUAGAGGUAGGAGUAACAAAUUUACUAGGUGGUGACGAGGUUUAGACUAUAAAGCACGGAAUGAACAUAAAUAAGCAUUCUUACGCCUAUCCUCAGUUUUAACUCUUCUAGAAAAGGGUUCUGUAAUCUGCAAAAUGAAACAAAUUAUUGUAUACAUCAACCAAGCAUCAAGUGAAAAGAUCGCAGAUACAACAAAUGAAGGACCAAAUAUAAUGAUUAGUACAUGUGAUGCCUUAAGUUUCAUCAGAAAUUCCUUAUCGAUGGUUUCAUCCCUGCUAUCCUCAACUGGUUUCCUGUCAAGUUAGAGUAAAUCAAAUUACACAUCACUGAAAUUGCUAAUCUAGCAAAUUUUAAAUGGAAGCUAUCCAAGUUUUAGAAAAGUAACACGGACCAAUCACCUACUUUUUCGGAACAAUUUUGGCAGCUUUCUUCACAGGUACUUUGCGUGCAAAUUAUAGUCCUCCCCUACAUCAAGAAACAACAAUGGUAAGCAAUAAACUGGAAGAAGCUGGCAUUGUGAACAGCCAAGGAAAAGAGAUACUAACCUUUUGAGGAGCACCCAUUUCCUUCUUGACUUUACUCUUGCCGUCCAUAAGAAAAUCAGAAAACCUACAAGAGUGAAGCUGCGAGCUGAUGUGUUACGCUUACAACUUUUCAACAUUGAAGUUGACUACAAUUUGCACAGCAAGUAGAAACUUGAAAUUGCUUCUCAACUUCGAUUGAAGUAUUCUAAACCACAACACACAGUGAAAAAUAUAAUGCCCAUACUCUCAAUCCAUUGACCAAGAUAAACAUACAAUUGUUAGCGGCAGAAAGCUUGCUUCCCUUGAUAAAAACUUCAAAAGAAAAGGGCGUUAGAGGAAGAGAACGAAGCAAAUACUCCUGAUUCUAGCGGCGCCAGAGCCCGAAGGGGCGAUUAGUGCUGAAAUGCCUGGGGCACGAUCAAGAACCCUGCUACCUCCCUUCCCCAUCCGGAUUGAUCUCUUUUCUAAUUCAUGAGCACAGGUGACCUCAAAAAGCAUUUGCUUAUGAACUUAUUAUCAAUUACCCCGCAGUUUCAGUAUCCACGUGAUGAGGAUAGGACAGGAGGGAGUAAAGCAUUCUAGCAGCAAGCAAUCAGUCUGGUGACACAACCACCAAAAUAAAGACACAAGAAUAACUUAAAAGAAGGAUUAAUCCAAGGAAGAACAGGCCUCUGGGUGCCCCGUGCCGCCGGAGAGAAUUACCUGAUGGAAAGGGGCGUGGAGAGAAGAUGGCGAUGCAGCAGCGGCGGCGUUGGCCUGGCCCUGCUUGGCACCACUAUAAAUGGGUGAGCCUAAUCUACACUUCCUUCCAAAAUUCUAUCUAGACUAAGCUUCCUCAUCCCUUCCCUCUUCCAAUCCUACCUCACUACCAGCCUUCUGCUAGUGAUCUGCGACAUUGCACAAAAAUCAAACGACCCAAUGACAGGGGACCCAACUGACCAUGAAAACACCGUCAAAGAUUAGUGGCAUUUACAUGCGUGUAUCGGCAUGGAAAGCUACUUUCCCUAAUCAGUGGCUCUAAUAUGAAGCAAUAGAACCCCAUUGAAACAUAAAAACAAAAGCAUCCUGAUUUUAAAAGUCAAAAUUAGCUAGACAUUCACCUUCCUGCACACAGUAUUCCUGGGAGCUCUCAUGCAGUACCAAUUCCAAAAUCUCAAUUCAAUCCAAUCUCAUAUUCUCAUGUUGAUCGGAACAAACAAUUUGCAUAUAAGCUGGCAGCCAUCAUGCGUGGAGUGGUAUUUGUUUGGACUACAAAGCAGUUGCAUGCCAGAGAAACACAAAAACAUAGAGUGAAACAGAGCGCAACAAGUGUGUCCACAAAAUAGUGACAAGCAAAUGUCAGAAAGACUAAAGGACAACGUAAAAAAUAUGGCACGCUAAAAUCAAGCAUCUACCAAUCUGCCUGCUCAGCAGCUCUCGAUCAUUGGAAACAAUAAAAUUAUUUGCAAUCCUAUACUCCUCUCAGAGAAAUAAUCUUCACUAUUGACCACAAAAGUCCACUUCGCCAAUCAGGCCGCUUGACGGCACCAAAAUGGAGCUCUCCUCGAGUCAAGGAAUGAUUUUGUGAAAAGAUUGCAAAUACAACAAAUGAAGGACCAAAUAUAAUGAUUAGUACCUGUGAUGCCUUAAGUUUCAUAUCAACAAUUCCUUAUCGACGGUUUCAUCCUUGCUAUCCUCAACGGGUUCCCUGUCAAGUUAAAGUAAAUUAAAUUACACAUCACUGAAAUUGUUAAUCUAGCAAAUUUUAAAUCGAAGCUAUCCAAGUUUUAGAAAAGUAACACGGACCAACCACCUACUUUUUUGGAACAAUUUUGGCAGCUUUCUUCACAGGUACUUUGGGUGCAAAUUUUAGUCCUCCCUUACAUCAAGAAACAACAAUGGUAAGCAAUAAACUAGAAGAAGCUGGCAUUGUGAACAGCCUAGGAAAAGAGAUACUAACCUUUCGAGGAGCACCCAUUUCCUUCUUGACUUUACUCUUGUCGUCCAUAACAAAAUCAGAAAACCUACAAGAGUGAAGCUGCGAGCUGAUGUGUUACGCUUACAACUUUUCAACAUUGAAGUUGACUACAAUUUGCACAGCAAGUAGAAACUCGAAAUUGCUUCUCAACUUCGAUUGAAGUAUUCUAAACCAUGACACAGUGAAAAACAUUAAUGCCCAUACUCCCAAUCCAUUGACCAAGAUAAAUAGAAAAUUGUUAGUGGCAGAAAACUUGCUUCCCUUGAUCAAAACUUCAAAAGAAAAGGGCGUCAGAGGAAGAGGACGAAGCAAAUACUCCCGAUUCUAGCAGCGUCCAGAGCCUAAAGGGGUGCUUAGUGCUGAAACGCCUGGGGCACGAUCAAGAACCCUACUACCUCCCUUCCCCAUCCGGAUUGAUCUCUUUUCUAAUUCAUGAGCAUAGGUGACCUCAAAAACCAUUUGCUUAUGACCUUAUUAUCAGUUACCCCACGGUUUCAGUAUCCACAAGAUUAGGAUAGGACAGGAGGGAGUAAAGCAUUCCAGCGGCAAGCAAUCAGUCCGGUGACAUAACCACCAAAACAAAGACACAAGACUGACUUGAAAGAAGGAUUGAUCCAAGGAAGAACAGGCAUCUGGGUGCCCCGUGCCGCCGGAGAGAAUUACCUGAUGGAAAGGGGCGUGGAGAGAAGACGGCGAUGCGGCGGCGACGGCGUUGGCCUGGCCCUGCUUAUCGCGGGGGUGGCAGGCUAAGGGAAAGGCAAAGGUUCCCGUCCUGAGAGUUUUGUCUCGAUUAUUUUUCUUUCCCUGUCUGUGUGUAAGUGUGUUAGCACUGCUUUCUUUUAUAAACCCUUACAAAACCUCCUUGCGCAAAUAGUUGCGGGCUAAAUGAUUUCUCGGACCACUCAUGUGCACCAGGUCGGCGGGUUGAGGAAGAAAGAAGUUGACGGUUGCAGCGAGCUGGGUUGGAUUGAGAGAAGACAGCAGACCAACCGAAGCCCCAAAGCCCACCUUACAUUCAGCAUUGUAACUAUUUUUUAAAAAGAUCUAAAAAAACUCAAAAAAACUAUUUUUAAGCGUUCAUUUAGCAUUACUUUUUGUGAAAAUACUAGUAUAAGUCCCUGUUUGGUUCCUUUAGUCCCUACCCUGUUUGGAUCCAGGGACUAAAGUCCAUUAAUGCAGAUAAACAAAGACGAAAAUACCCCUAAUCAAAGCACAAAACUAAGGAGACCGAGGAGGAGCGAGCAGGCAAACGACGGAACCGAGCCCACGCCACCGCACGCACGCGCAGAGCGCAGGCGCAUCCCACCACCACCACCUCCUCGCCCGAUCUGCCCGCCCGGUCGCUCACCGCACCCUGAUGUCGGCCGCGAGGAUGUUUUCCAGAAGUUGCUCAUUCAUUCGUGUAUCAAAACCAGAUUCCCUUUAUAUUACAAUUUGCCAGUUGUUGCUUUCUUUGGAUCUCAGCAUGGUAAGUCUGCUGGAUUUUUAUCCUUUCAGAUAUUAGGAUGGAUGAACUCACGCAAGCUGUUGAUAAUCUGAAGAAAGAAUGGAACCAAGCGGUUUCACAGCUUGAGGAGAGCAUUGAUGUAAUCAGAUCAUGUGGAAAAACAGGGAAAGGGACAGAGGAAGCAAAUUCUCUUCCAAGAUUGAAUGGUUCUGCACAGGAUGCUCUGCAAUUGCUCAAGUCACUGCAGUUUCGUCUUGAUCUUCUAGCAUAGCAGCUUCCCACUUUUGAAGAAGUGCAGUCUGGCUAAGCAACCUUAGAGUCAUGGGAUGAACAAUACAAGAAGUAAGAUAGUCUUGGAAUCUUUCCUGUUGUUCUCCUUUUUAACCUGCUUCGAUUUCUCACAAUUUUGAUUGUGUUGGCAGGCUGUGUGCUAGCCUGAGGAAUGCUAACUUACAAGCGAAAGAGAACAUCAGGAAAGCUGCUCAAGAGGAGGUGUGUGAUUUUGCCUCAAUUUCAUGAUAUUAAUCUGAUUGAUUUGCUGUCUGAGAACUACAUACUUCUUAGAGCAUCACCAAUGCAAGGGAAUUACAAGUGAAAUGUUACGCCGCAUAAUAAAGAAAUUAUUUUAUGAACCUAUUCUUUAUAUGCAAGUAUAUCUUCUCGUAGGCGUUUAUGGACUCACAUAAGUUCAGAAGCACCAUUGAAUAGUUGCUUUAGUUUUUGCAACUUCUUUUGCAAAAUUGGCAAGAAAACUACCUGUAGGCGCCAUGCACCUUUUUAGAGCAUUGUAGGUGCCCUUAUAACUUAAGGCUAUCAGUUUCUAAUUGUCUUUUCUCUAGAAGGAGCUUCUUCUCGGGGGUGGAGAAGAGUCUACCAUCCGCAGGCGUAAUCUCCAGUAAGUUGAUUUUUAUGAGGUCAUCUUUCCUUUAAGCCAAUAUAUGGGAUAUUUAAGGAAUUUUCAUAAUUUAGUCAGUUACAUGGGUAUCCCUUCCAUCUGAUUUCAUCAAAUCUGGGUCACUUGAAAUUUUAAGAACCGGAUAAGGGCUAUGACUUUUGAAUUCUAGUUUGUUCUUAUUUCAAACUAAGAAUUAUGUGGAAUAAUUUGCUGUGUUAAUGCAUUGCACUAAUGAAUGAAACGCUCUUCUACAUUUGUAGUCCAAGUAACAUCCAGUUUUGUCGUAUAAUGUGAUUUGUGACCUGUUGAAUGGUGCAGGACAAAGACUGGGAUGACAUCUGCUGCUGAAAGUAUCACUGAGAGCCUCCGACGGUCUCGCCAGAUGAUGGUUCAGGUUAGCAUGUCCACGUUUUCAAUUGAUAGCUAUUAUGCUGAUGGCUUAUUGCUCAUUAAUUUGAAGCCAAUUAAUAUAAAUGUUUGCAGGAAGUGGAAAGAAGUGCAAGUACCUUGGCAACAUUUGGUAUGCAUUCUUAUUUAAGCCUUUAGUCUGUUUAGAAUAUCUUAUUUCACAAUUGUUAUCAUUCCAGAAUGAUUGAGUUUUGUUGGUUGGUUUUCUGAAUCUCCUGUACAAUGGCUUGGCCUUAUUGUAAUUUAUUCAUGUGAUGGGUCGGAGAAAAUAAAACUGCUUGGUGGUACACAUGUAGUGUAUUUAUGUUUUAGGUUUGUCAUGUUAUUCUUUGUUACUUUACUAUAGGAUGUUCUUCUGUUAUGGUUGAAAAAUUAUAGCGCGUUCAUGCACUUCAUGGUGUAUGAAUUAAAACAUUUUCCUUUUUGCCUACAUUUUUAGGAUCGUCAUUGUAAGAUUGCAACAUGCAAACCAAUUUAUUAAAUUAUGCAGAUGAAUCAACACGUGUUCUUCGGAAGGCUGAAGGUGAAUAUCAAGGACACCGCUCUUUGCUGUCGCGGACCGUGGUUUGCUCUCCACGAUGCAACGGCAAGAUGUUCCUGUUAGGUAGGUACCCUCUAGCGUAACUGGUCGUAUAGCCUGCAUUCUUGUUUUACGGUCAAGCCAUUUAACAGAAAGACAUAUCUUUAUAUAAUGUGUACACCUACUAGCAGCUCUAGUCACAUUUUGCACAAUGAAUAUCUACAAAUUGAAACACAUCCAUGGCUCCUUUUGUAGAACUGGCAACGAAUGCUAUAACUGACAGUACUCAACUAUCAUUUGUCAGGAUCCUUCGAGCCAGUGCAUUUUUCAUAUUAAACACAGAACAACUUGCUAGGCUGUCUUCAUAGAGAAGUAGGAAAUACAUGAUUCAUUAUAGCUCAUCGGGCGAAAAAAAGAGAAGAAAAAAUACUUGCAAGAAACAUGCUAGCAUUUGAUUUGCAUAUUAUCACAAGUUUGAAACUGAACAAAAGUUGUGUGGAUUUAUAAGUUAUUCAAAAGCCUUUAUAAAAAAAAAGUAGUAUGAGUAACACCAAAGGGCACCAUAAUCAUCAGAUUGUCAUCUAAUAAAUAUUGCUACCUUCCUCUAUGAGCUCUGGGCCUGGUUGAGAUGAUUCCUUAGUCAAUGGUGUAGUCCUGCCAGUUAAAGAUUCAAAGGCACAUAACUUGUGGACUGCUUCAGUAGGCCACAGGUUAUAUUCUUAUGCAACAGGAAGUACCACGAAUGGAUCAAACAACUCAUAUCCUCAAAGUCCUAUUACUUGUACGUUGCAUCUCCAAGACUCUGUACUAUGAAGCAAGGAUGCAUAUUAUCCUUGUUUGAAGGUGGAUUAGUGCAGUAACAUUCCUGACAUAACUAUUUUGUUCCUAAUUCCCAGCGGUUCAGCUGUCAGCCCAAAAUGCUUAGGAAGAAAUUGUUUUGAAGUAUACGUCUGGUACUUCUGUGCUAUACAAUCAGUUCUUUUUAUCCGCUAGACAAUGUCCUUCCUGUCUGGUAACAAUUCCGUGUUUCUGUGUCAAAUGUGCCAUAACCAAAUGGCUAAUAGCUAAUUGCAUCUGUUUCCAGGGUCAUCCUGACAGCCGGCUUUAUCAUUUUCUCCUUGGCGGUUCUCUACGUUGUCUCAAGACGCAUUGGUCUGCUGACGUUGCAAAGGAAACUGGCUGAUGCCAUCAGAUCAGGUUCGUUGUCAGCCGAGGACAUCGUAGCGAAAGCCUAGCAGCAUGGACCUGCCGCAGCUGAUGCUACAGCCCCCACUCCUCCCAUUUACGAUGAAUUGUGACUCGCAUCUGCCCAUGAGUUUUUUUUUAGAGGCAUUUGCCCGUGGUUUCUUAUACAUGUGUACCCAGAUUCCCAGAAGCAAUUGUAAGGCAAUAGUUUCACGAAUAAGCUAUUGUUGAGAUAUAUAUCUACAGUCUGCAGUGAUCUGUGAUCAUCAAAUCAUGCACCGACCUGUUCGAUUGAAAGUCCAUGAUCUCGGCUCAGCUCUGGGCUCAAACGGCCUUUCUUCUUCUUUUUUCUUAUAAGGGGCUCAAAAGGUCUUGGCAUGCGCCCAAUACACUAGUUGUCAGGCACCUAGCAGGAGCGGAGCGGCAUCCCCCAGCCGGCCUCGUCCUUGGAGCGCGGCCAGGCGUUCCAGGUGAGGCAGACGGCGUCGGGCCGUUCAGGUCGGCGGCCGCCGUGGGCGGCAUCGCGGAAGGGUUGGUGGCCGACACCGGGGUGCGGCGAGCGGUGGGGCAGGCAGAUUGGGCGAGGAGGUGGUGGUGGUGGGAUGCGCUUGCGCUCUGCGCGUGCGUGCGGUGGCAUAGGCUCGGUUUCGUUGUUCGUCUGUUCGCUCCUCGGUCUCCUUCGUUUUGUGCUUUCAUUAGAGGUAUUUUCGUCUUUAUUCAUCUGCAUUAAUGGACUUUAGUCCCUGGAUCCAAAUAGGGUAGGGACUAAAGUUUAGUCCAGGAACUAAAGGAACUAAACAAGGGCUUAGUCCUUCUUUUAGUAGCUAUGUUUGGCAGUUUAAGGACUAGAAGAGGCUUGAAAAGGAGGAAAGUCCUAUGGAGCUAAAUAGGCCUUAAUAUUUUCCUGAGGCCGCUGUGUGUACGAUGUCUUUAUUGUGGCAGAUGGAUGCAGGAAGAAGACAAGCGAGGGUGGGUUCUCGGUGCUCGUGUUUGGAUCAACGACCAUGACUCCAUGGGGCGCCAUUCCUUGCUACGUCGGCACCGCUUGUGCCUAUUCAUCCAUACGCUGAAACUUUAUAAUCCUUAGAUGACAAGGAGUAUACAUUUUUAUUUGAAAUUUUAUAACCCUCUUUUUUUUUAGAUGUACUGAAUCUUUUAAGGUUGUAGAACUUCUUUCAUGAGCCCUAGUUAUUUUGGUCGAUUUCAUGUGUCCCAACCUCUAGGUUUUCUGGAACUUUUAGAAGUGGUUGAGUAUUUUUCCCCUAUUUAAAUAAUCUUCCAUACUAAAAUUAGAAAAUUGCUGCCACUAAGCCCUAAACCGCUUUGAUUGGGCUCAGAGACAAAACUAGACAGAAUUCAAAAUUGGGGUACCUAGAAUAAACGUAAAUAAACGUAUUGAAGUUAAGGGUCAAAAUUGGAUAGUCUGAAGAGUCCAUGGACCAAAUUUGAACUUAUUCCGCUAUUGAGAAAAAGUUAGGGUCGAUCUCUCACCUCAUCAUCUUUAGUUCCAACCUAAUUUGGAGUCGUCUAUCAAGGUGAUCUAAUGGCUCACAUUACUCCCCGUGUAACCCUAGCCCCCCUUGUCUUUCUUGUGACCAAUGUUUUAAAUAGCCGGCUAUAGCUUCCGCUAUCUUCGGCUAUAGCUGAUUGAGGAAGGUACCGCUAUUUGCUCCUAUGUACAAUUUAGCCGCUAUAGCUUCAUUUAGCCAACUAUUAGCUAUUUUUGGAGGUUGAACGCUAAAUGCCUUAGCCCGCUAUUUAAACACUGCUUGUGACUCAUCUCCGUUUUAAUAACAUCACUGCCACCUAGCAUCCUUCUGCUCAUUGCUUGCCACCAUUGCCUCCAAUGAGCGUGUGAGGCACCCCCGUGAGCUCAUGCUGUCUCCUACACUCUCAUUAUCUCAUUGUUUUUUAAAGAAGAACUCUAAGAGUCAAUCUCAACCAUGCCUUUUACCUCACCCCCGCCUUCUUCCUCGCCUCUAGUGGUGAUUAGGAGCCACCAUAUUCAUUAUAGCCCAUCAACACACUAACCUGAGUUUAUAGAGCUAGCACAGCGAUAUUGUCGCCCUAGCACCCACCGAGAUGACAUUCCUUCGCCUAAUGAGGCCAACGGUGCUACCCUGCUUCGCUACCCCCAACACUAUGGACACCAUCGACACUCUGCACUAGGGAGCACUUAUUCAUUGCACGUGCUAAGAGGGCUACCCUUGGAUGGGGUGCUCCAAGGCCAAUCUCAGUGCACAAUUUCAUUGUACGGUUACCAAGAUUAGGAACUAGGUAACUGUGCCUGUUGAGUGUCAUGGGGAUGAAACACCUCUCACGUAUGAUGAAACUCUCCCUUCUCUCUGCUCAUAAAGAUCUUGCUAAGUCAGCAAAAUUGCUGACGUGGCAUGGAAUUUAAUGUCUGUAAAACUCUUCAUGAAACUUCCACUGAGAAUAGCCUAACGAGGACUGUGAAGAGUGCCAAGGUGAUUAGGGAAAAUUGAGCCUCCAACCUUUCUUUAUAUUAUGCAAUUUACAAAUCAUCAUUUAAAUUCUUGUAAUUACUUUCCGCAUUUACCUUUCUAUGAUUGUCAUGUUAGGAACCAGGUUACAAAACUCUUUGCCCGUUAGAUAGCUACACAUUGAACCUUAGGCACAUAGAUGAAUUUGACCAAACGUGUAGACCUUAUUCGUUCAAAUUUUUUUGGAUGACUAGCUAAUUUUUUGGACAUCUUGAUCCUUUCGGUAUGGUUCAACGCCACUAGUGUUUAUUCUAUAUUGAGUUUUUUGGUUCUAUGACUAUUGGCUAGGCACACAAUGUAUGCUUUGGAAACAUGGCAAAAUAAAGAUGUUUCCAACCAUGCAUUAACUAAAGCAUGCCAUUAAAAUCGUGAAUUAAGUAAAGCGCUACUAUUAGGGUGGUGUUCACAUCGUGAUUAAUCUAAAAUAUUAACUUAGAAAGUCAUGACAAAAUUAAAAUUGUAUUCUUUUAGAACGGAGAGAGUUUGCAUUGCAACGGUCGUGGCGAUCGGAAACACACGGCAUGGAACGCAAAGUCGGCCGCAGGGCACGCUUCGGCAACAGAAUUGAUCGCCAUCCUGGAAUCGAAGAUGGCGCCGUGCUGUGUGUAGAGUUGUGGCAAUCCGACUGGGCUGGCCUCCUCUUUAAAUCGAUUGCCAAGGCAUACACAUUGCACCAAGACACAUCUCCAUCCCGCCAGAGCCCGAGAGCAUCCGCGCGUCUCACACUCUCGUGCCGAUCGAGAUGGCGGCAGCGGAAGUCGCCCGGUGGAUGACGGCUUCGAGCGACGGCGGUGCGCGAAUAGAUCCCUGGUACUCGUAAGGAAGGAAAAAGACAGACUCCUACUAGGAUUCCUCUAUAAUUCUACUAGGACUUAUACCAUGUAAUCCUUAUAACCGACUAGUAAUCCUGUCCCCUGGAGUAUAUAAAGGAGGGCAAGGGUACCUAGAUAGGGAGCUCAGAACCAUCAUCAAUAGCUAACAAUCACGCUACACAACACCCAAGCGUAGGACGUAAUAUACAACACCCAAAAUAGGAUGUGUGGGUAUUACGCUACUCUGCCGGUCUGAACCUGUAUAAAUCCGUGUCUUGUGUCCUCGCUUUUUACCUUCGUCCAGGUCCGACGAUUCCCCAUCAACCAAUCUACUAUCUCGGGAUACCCCUCGGUAGGUUGCUGGGUAUAAAACACCGACAUCUGGCAUGCCAAGUAGGAGUGAUCCUCGAGAUCAUCGUGCGAGCUUGAAGGACCUCAUCAUGAAGAUCAAUCUACUCGAUAAGAAGCAAGUCGCCGAGUCGGAGCUCUGAGCAGACAAAUCUACGUCGAUACAUAAAUCGAUGCGCUCCAUGUUCCGGUUGAAGACCAAGUCGUGUCCACCGCAGGUUGCUGCAUACAGCUCGUCGAUCAAGGCAGAGUCACGCGCGGAUUGAGAAGAUGUACACGAGCACUGCUACCCCGACGUCCGACCGCAUCAAGUCACCGAUGACUACUUCGACUAUUCUCGACUAGAAAACUAGUCGAGGACGAUCGACUAUUCGUCUCAACUAGAAAAUUAGUCAGAGCAGACUUCACACCAUUGACAACUAGUCGGAAUCGACUCCGACUAGUCGGCUUCAUCGACAAUUGACACAGCUUCGUCGACAACCGUCCACAAAUCAAGCUAAGUCACUUUUUUUUAAUUAUUUUCUGGCUUAUUUUCCGCAUGCAGGGCAACACGCCGACUACUUAUUUGUGUACGCCUCUCAAUGGGAAUUACCCUUCAGAGCUACACUUUGCCAAUUAUUCAUGGGGCAUGUUGACCGACAGCCAUGGGUUUGGUACACCGAAUUACGGAGGCUAUAGCUACAGGUUUUGUGCACUAAGUUCUGGAAGCUCCACCAACAAGUUUGGUACAUCGAAUUUCGGAGGCUACGGCCACGGGUUUGGUACACCAAGUGCUGGAGGCUCGCAGCGGCUACACCCUAAGGAUAGGCACAAAUCCUAUGAAAAUAAAAAUGAAGGUAAUAAAGAAGAAAAAACGUAACCGAAGGAAUAACAAAUAAAAAUAAAGGAAUGGGAACAUAAUAAUGGAAAAGGAUAAAAAAAGAUUUAGUGCUGUUGCUAAAGGAAAAAGGAAAAAGAAAUGGUAAUAAAGAAAGAAAAAGGGAAGGAAAAACGAACGAAAAAUUAAUAAGUUGAAUCACAAGAAAGAAAGAAAGAAAAGAAAAGAAAAGAAAAACGGAAAUGGGCCACAAUUGGGCAAUCACGCUCUUAGGAAAAUCGAAAAUGAAUAAAAAGUGACAUGGGCCGGACCAUCUCGCAUAGCAGGCCCCAUGUAGCUAACGGGUCGAAUUCACUCCUCCACCCCCAUGCGUGAAAAAGGGACAAAAUAUGAAAUGGACCGGGCCGUAUUCAACUCUCGAAGCAAGCCGAAAAUAUUAGCACCUACAGAUAGCUAUCUAUCGCAUAUGCAACAUAUAGCUAUCUCGCCAUCUAUCGCGUUUGGAUCUCCAUGGAGGAGCAGUUCGGCGACGAUGACGCUGACGGCAUAAGGAAGCUCUUCUAGGGGUGGCACCGUUGGUACACUACAAUAAACUAUUUAAUCUGUGACGGAACAAAUUUUUCAGUCGUCAUAAAGCAGUGUUUGUGACGAUUUCAGAUAACGUCAUGUGUUGAGCGUCACAGAUUAAAUUGAUCGAUGUUUCUUCGUAAUCGUCAUAGAUUGACGCAAUUUGUGAUGUUUCUUAACCAUCAUAGAAUAGCCUUGAGCCUGCACAAUCCAACCCAAGCCUAAUGUUAAUGACGAAAAUAAACGUCAUAAAAAUCAUCAUUAGAUUGUAUUGCCAUGUGACGUGGCUGCUGACGUGGACGUUGUACCAAAUAUGGGCUAAAUAUUUUCCAGCCCAGCAGCCCACUUAAUUCGGCCAUUUUAUGGAGCCCAAAAAGAAUCUAGCCCACCAAAAUUGGCCCAUUCCAGCCAUUUUCAGGAUUACUAUUUCAACCCAAAACAAGCCAUAAAGCCCAUAUAAAAAAGCAUUAUCAUUUCAGCCCAACCCAAGAUAUAAAUCAGCACAUGUCAACACAAUAAUGCAUGGGGCAAGCCCAUUUUAACUCCAGACGUAUAUACAAAUAUUAUAAAGAUUCCAAAAAUCAGGAUAGUCAGGAAUAUGACUAGUUACAUUAGUUACUAGACACCACCAGACAUAUAUAGCAUUGAAAUCAGAGGUACAAAUCACACCAACAAGAGGCCACAAUCAUUUCAUCAGGAAUUAAGGUAAGAAAAAGAUUUAUGAAUCAACCAAAACUGUUAGUAUCCUUUGUUGCCUCCAAAUUUCCAAUCGCUUCUAAUAGCUUGCUCCUUGUUGCAUUUGAUCCUGGUCCUGAAAAUAGCAACUUGCAAAUACUUCAGAGGGCAAUAUUUAUGAUGGAAACUACUAAAAUGCUCUAUGUAUAUAGGUAUCAUGAACAUAUUCAUAUAUCAGACUGCAAGUACAAGCAUACACAUAUAUCAUACGGACAAAAGUAUAUGGAUUGCAAACCUUUUCUGCUUUGGGUCCUACGAUGAAUGAAAGGGUGGGUUAAAAAACCAUGGCCACCCCCCCUCAGGAAAUAUUGGCCUUAGGUUACUGAUGGGAUGCUAGCUGCUGGUAUACAUGAAAAAUGUGGUGCAAAGCACGAACAAAAAUACUAUGCUAACACAUAUCCCUUAUAUUUGAAGCUUCUACAGAAGAUGUAUGAUAAAGAGCUGGCAUUAAGUCAUGCAACGCGCUCAAGCUUUGUAUUAUAAUAGGAAAGACUCUCGCCCGUACAGAUUGAACGUAUGGCGCUUGCUUACAAGACAGCUACUGAAAAAGGCUACCUCUUCCAACUGUUGAAUGCCCUAUUCCAUAUGAUAGACUGUCUAUCUUUCCUUGAAAAAACGUAUACUUUUGUUCUAUAAGCAAAUAAAGCAUACUUCUUUUGCGGAUCAAGCAAUCAUCCACCUUGGUGGGUAGCGGAGAAUCAAAUCAAUAUCGGAGUAUUGCUCUAGCUGCUGCUGAAUUAACCUGAAUUCAAUCGUUACUCUCUGAACUAGGCUGUACUUCGUCUUCCCCUCCUACAAUCUGGUGUGAGAACCUUGGCGCUACCUACUUUCUUCAGGCUUGGCGAAGGUGUCCGAUCUAGUAGGUCUCCUCCAACCAAUGAUUACACUACCUUGGUUAUCUGCUUUCUUGUCUUGGAUUGAGCUUUAUCUCUCUUAUUAUAGUUGGGUGGGUGGAAAGAAAGGAUAACAUGCCUGCUUCUACUUGGUGAAGUGUCAGCUGGAACAAUCCAAUCAGUGAAAGAACAUUCUCUCUCACUAACUGGAACCUUAUCCCAAGGGAAUUAGAGGGGUAAAAGGGAGACUUAGAGAUCUAGAGCUGGCUUACAUAAAUGAAUUUGUGGACUCGGACAACCGACCGGAUUCAAGCCCUAGCCCCUCAACUCAGACGGACUUGUGGAAAUCCUCAAAAACUAGUAUUGCUCAACUCACCUAUCUAUAACAUCAUAGAAAUGUUGCAUCCAACCCUGGAACGAGAGGUAAAGAAUAGGCUACCAUAUGAGAUGAGACAACUUUAUUCUUGGCUUUCAUCCCUACCCUUAAGAAAGAUAAGGGAUUGUAUUUCAUACCUGUUAUUUAGAGCUCUGUCGUUCCGACCGGAAAAUGUCACCUUCCAUGUGUAAACUCAAAUUUUCAUAUAUUUUUUUGUUCCUCAUAUACACUUUAAAUUUGGAUGAACCCUUACCUACCCUCCUAUUAACAAGUAUGAAUUUAUGUUGCCAUUUGUUAUGAAAAAUCUAUUUUUUAAAUAACUAAUUAAGACACCCUAGUGAUGUAACUUGAAAAGAAAUUAUCAUAAUUAAACUAAUACAUUUUUCCAUGUAAUGGACAACGUUACCCACAUCACUAGGUAUUGCUUGUCCUUGUGGUAAUUCAUGACGAAUUUUAUAGAAUAUCGCUACGUAGUGGGCCGGUUCAUGACGAUUUUCAUAAAACGUCAUUAAAUUAUGGGCCUGAUAUCCACUUGUACCGAUCCAUAACGAAAAAAUAGCAAUCGUCACGAAGAAUUCGUCAUAGAUUAAAGUGUUUCUUGUAGUGAUGACAAGAAUAAGGGCGCCGGCAGGAGCCAGUGAAGCCAGGACGAGCCGACGAGGGCGGCUUCUGGUGCCACUACAUGGACUCGAGCGCGCGGGGUGUCGCAAACUUUCGUGUGUUCCAUCGUGCACAUUAUUGGCUUAUUGGAAAAAUCAAAAUCAUCCGUCUGCUACAUUUUCUAUUAAUUGCAAUUUUUUGUCACAAGUUGAUAGUAUGAUGUCAUGUGUUAUUAUAUUAGUUAUAAUUAGGUAGAGAUGAAUUAGUGAGUGAUUAUCAUCGGUAGAUACGUAGGUGCACCAAAAUCGAUGAAAAUUUUUGGGGAUGUUUAGGGCGUCUCCAACAAUCCGAGACAGCAAUAGCUCUCCAAAAAAAAUUGUCGGCACAGUAACCCGCAGUUACCUCGGGAACCGUGUGUGAGAGAGGGAGGCACCUCGGGCCGUGAGCGAGGCUAGUGCUCUGCUCCGCGCUAGCCGACUUGUUUUUGCACUGUUCAUCAAUUCAAAAACUCUCUCAGCUAUCUCCACGCUACUCCCGUUGGAGACGUUCUUAUAGGGACCAACAAAACAACGUCAAAGCCCAUGUGACAAUUACAUUGGUCGGUCAAAGGGCACUGAGGAAUAUGGAAACAUAUACAGCUAGUAGGUGUGUAGUGUGUUACAGUGUUUAGAUCAUAAGGAAAUGUAUGCGAGUAUUUGAAACCUCCUCACUUGCAGGUGAGUUUCUGAAACUUUCUGAUUAUAUAUGAUCGAUUUAUCUUGCCAACAUACCAACACACCAACAAAGCUAAAUAAAUACAUAAAAUCAUAAAUAUAUCAAUAUAAAGAACCAAUUGUAAUUAAUGGAUUCAGAAGAAAAACACAUGUUUGAGCAAAAUAAAAUAAGUGUACAAUUUUAUAAAUGAGAACGAAGAGAAUGGACAAAAGUAGUGCCACACCCCGCCAAGAGAUCAGAUAAAGUAGUGCUUAAAUUUGUGGUGCUCAUUCUCCAUCACACUUUACCAUGUUCUUCCUUACCGUAUGUCGUACAUACAUCUAUGGGCCCACCAGAAGGUUUGGAUAAUCUUAAAUAUAGGGUUGGACACUGAGACGUAUUUGAUUGGAGACUAUGGCGCAUGACGGUGUGAUCUACGUGGUAAGAGAAGAACUAGUCGAGGAUUAGGAAAAGUACUCGUAGCAAUCAUAGUAAAUCUCGUCUAGUCGAAUCUGACUAGUAUUCUUGUAAACAACUUAUAUGUAGCCCUGCCUCCGGUAAUAUAAAGCGAGGCAGGAACCCCCUCCAAAGUAAUUCAAUCCAAACAAUACACAGGACGUAAGGUAUUACGUUAUUCAGCAGCCCGAACAUGUCUAAAACACUACCUCGGGUACCUUUCUCAGUAGGAUGCCGGGUCUAAACACCGACACCGUAUGUACAUGCUAUUCCUGUAUGCGUUGCGUUGUUGAGUUUGGCUCUACUUCCAAGUGAUUUGUGCGUGUGUUGUUCUUCCACCCCAUCAGGUCAGAGUAUGUCAUGAUCAUAGCUCGUACGCUGUGUACGUGCAUGCGGAUCAGAUUCGUCCUUCCUUAUCCAAGCUGUGGCUGAGUGCCCGGCCACAAUUUGAGAGCUAGCUAGGAAACGAAACUGGAGGGGAAUAAAUAUAUACGUGUGGAUAUAUAUACCUUUGCAAUAUAUGAUGCGAAACAUGGAGCUGUCCAGUCCAAGUCAGGAACUCCAUUUGAUAACUGGUGCUUAUCAUUAGGAUUUCUCUAGUAAAUUUGGAUUUCAUUUUCCAAGGAGGCGGUGCGUUUGCAAUUAGCACAGUUCCGGAUUUGCAUGCCUCCACCUUGUUGCCAAACCCUAAGGGCUAAGGUCCACAUCUAUGUUGCAGUACACUCCACAGGUGAUGAUCGAUGCUCAUUUACAUGUCUUGGAAAUUUAUAUAUAGCUUUGCAACUAACUAAAUCCACAAGUAUGCAUGUGCAUCUUUGUUGGAAAUCUAGCUAAAAGUGAAAAUGCAAACAUUUUAAUCUGAGUAUGCAUAAAAGCACUAGCACAAAAUGUGCUAAUUAGCUUGUUCUAAUUAGUGUGUUCUAAAUGUCGUAUAUUUAAAAUCAAAAGGACUACUCAUUAAGCAAUAUUACCAAAAAAAGGGUCAAAAGUGAGUCGAAUCAUACUUGUAGGGCCAAGUAUCCAACACAUGUAUUUCUGAACAAUCUGCAAGCAAGCAUACAUAGUAGCUAGGAAACUUGAAUAUUAGCCCUAAUAUGUUAACAUUGCAGCAUUACAUUACGUAUGAAUCAGAAAUUAAGAAUCACUAUAUUGAAUUGCAUGACAUAUACCUGACAAAGCAAAUAAAGCACCAGACUUAUCAUGAGAGUAACAGAGAAGAAGAGGCCUUCCAUGACAGGCAAAAGCCACUCAGGUUAGCCAAGGUGACCGCCCACAGACCCAGCUGAACCGGCUAUGCAACCGGAACUGACAAGGCCAUGUAGGCAAGUCAUCCUUGGCUACCAGAGGCAGGCUCUGGCCCUCAUGCAAGGCCCCUCUUCUUCCUUCCUCGUUCCUCCUACCACUGAUUUUGCAAUGCACUAGUCGCUUUGAUGGCGUGGUAUUUAUAGCAAAAGGGAAUGCAUAGGAUGAACCGGACCUCUCCACUGAUGCCGACUCAAUGCAUAUAGCCUCAUCCCAUCCACAGCUUUCCCAGAUACUAAUCACCAGUCGUUGAUACAAAUCAUUCGUUGGUACUGGCAUAUAUUCAUCUACGGCGGCCGCAGAGGUUGCGGCUUCAGGCCUUGCACAUUUUCAAAAGUGUGAAAGGGCAAUCAGUUGUAGUCUUGUAGAACAACACCAAUAGACCUCCAGCAUUUGCCAUUAUGAGGAAACAAACGUUCCUGCUGGUACAGCCAACCCUCCAUGGCUCCACAUAUCCAGUGAUUCGCGCAAUCCGAGGCAAAUCUCCAUAUUCUCUUUGGAUAGUAUCACUGGAAAGGAAUUCAUCUCCCUGAGUCACUGAUUCUUUUGUGAGGAGUCAGUGUCAUGCACCACUAUUUAAAGUUAUUUUUGUUCCCUCCAAUUUGAGUUUGACCUUAAUUAUUGAUAACACUGCGGUUAGGUUCUCUCACAUGGUGGUGAAUGGUAGGUUUAAGCAUACAAGAAUCACUUCUGACAAGAGGUUACUUUGAAUUAAAAUAAUGUUAUGGCAGCAAUUUCUUGGCUAAUGCAUGAUCACACUGAAAUGCAAUGAGCGUGUCACAGUAAUAAGUAUCAAUUAUGUUAAUUUGUACUCUUCCUGCCAAGAAAGGUUAAUCAGUAUUGCUCUUGUCUUUUUGCUACUCUGAAGAUUUGUGACCAUCCAGUUGUUAGAAUGUACUUCUCACUUCUCUGACCUUUCCCCUCCUUUUAUAAGAGCAUCUUGGCCUUAUCAACUUAGUAAGGGUUAGUUGACUUUCUGAUAACUUUCUGCUCAAUUCACAACUUUUCUACGUGUCAAUCUAUAACAGAAAAUGUCCUAUUCCUGCAAUAGAAAAGGAGACAGAAACCGAUAUCUUUGGAAGGGGAAUCUCCAAACUUUUGGUGAUGGAAUGGUUUAAUUGAAUACUUUGUCUUCGUGCUUACAAAAUAUGGACCCUGUUUCUUCUGAAAAUUUGCAAAAAGUAAAUAAAUAUUGAUUUUUAUAAAUCUACCAUGGGAGAACAACUUUGAAACUACAUCCUAAAAGAAAAAUAAACUGAAAUGGUUGAUAAUUUUGCUGAAUUUUAGUUCAUCUAUACUUCUGUUUACAUGUACAAUGUUCACCAUGGAUGCUAAAAAUUAAUUAGCAGCACCAUUUCAGCCCUGAACUUUCCUUCUUUGAUACAAGGGAUAAUGGUGACCUGGAUCUCAAAACCUUUAUGAUCAUUACCUAUUUUCUUUCCGAAAUGAUGUUAUAGGAACUUGUAUUAGUUUCGAAGCUGUUGGGAAUUGAUAUUAAUAUUCAGCAAGCAGUGUGAUGGUAUGAACUAUGAGCCACUGGAUGUGGACCAUGGGAGCAAUCAAUAAAGCUAAAAUGUUCUUAGAGAGGAAAAUUGAUUGUGGUCUUAAUUAUUUUGUGCAUUGUAAAGCUAAAACAUCAUCCAAAAAAAGAAGGAAAUGGAAGUAGUUUUUUAAAUACGAUUUAACCUGUUUUAGCUAUAGGAGUUUAAUUAAGUUGUUAUUUGAUUAAAAUAACAUUGGGAUAUUUUAGUUGCUUUUAAGAUUUAUGAAAACAUUAAGAUUUGUUUUUUUCAUAGAACUCAUAAUUUAAAUGAUGGCAAAAAAGGAAAACAUUAGUACAGUUAGGUCUAAAACUAGCUUCGUAAAUGUAACGACCCCGCUCAGGAAAACAGCUUAUGCUCACUCUGCAUGGUGAGUGGACCACACCUGCAUUACAACCUGUUUACGCUUUCAUCAUCGCUUUGCGUAAAAGGGUUAACCCAAGGUUGCAAUGCUUCCUGGAGCUAGCUAUUUAAGUUAGUCUCACUCACUCUCCACUUCCCAUUUGGGACUAUUCUUAGAGCUACCAUGCCUCCUGCAUGGUACUCAAUUGUUGGCCCAACAUGCCCAUGGGUGUUACAGUAAAUCUAGUUUAAAAACUCUAGAUCCAAUAAGGCCAAUCUUCGUGGAGGUUUCAUCAAGAGUUUUUAUGACCAUUAAAUAACAUGCUACAUCAGCAAUUUUGCUGACGAGGUAAGGUUAUUAUGAGGAGAGAGGAGAGGGAGUGUCAUCAUAUGUGAGGGAAGUUUCAUCAUCAUAAAACCCAACAGGCACAGUUACCAAGUUCUCAGCCUUGAUACUAUGCAUUGAGACUGACCUAACCAAUAUUAAAUGUAUUGUCCGCUGUUGCACUUUGGCACUAUGCUUGACUGCAGUAAUAAACAUAUCUUAAGUGGCAUAUACUGGUGUAUGGAAAUUGAAAAACGUGUCCUGAGAGCAGGUUGACAUUUUCCACGAACAAUAAAGAACCCUAUGUUCUAGUGGAAUUUCAAAGGUACCCACUUUUUCUAUUUGGACCUCAUGAUAAAAGUUGAAAACAUUCUAGUCCGCAAAAACGGAAAGGGAAACUACUUGAACUAGUAAAGACCCCAAGUACCAACCAGAGAUAACAAAAUCAUAAACUAGUGUGUUGUAUAUGUGUUUCAUAUUGGAAAAAAACUCAAUGAAGAUGCAUUCGGUUAGACAUUUCAAAUGGCCAUGGCUGACACAGAAUAAAAUAGAAGCUUGGAAACACACUCGAGCUUCUAGUGCAACCAAAGCUAAAGAAGCAGCAGAUAUACCAGAAGUGGGAAAUAUCAAGUGAAAACCACUCAUUGGACGGAAUGGUUGAAAGCACAUUUCACAAAAUAUGUGUUGGAGUUUUAAGGAUUCUAUAUAUAUGUAGGAGAGGUGAUAUUAUUCAUCAGGGAUAAUUUUGAGAUAAAUUUUUAUUUCCUCUGUAACAUAUAAAUAUUAAACAGUGAACCUGAUUUUUUUAAAAAAAAAUAAAACUCGAUCCCGGGGAUAGACCAUCCUUGCGGUUAUGCCUUAAGAAGGAAUCUCAACCUUCAAGGGACAAGAAAAGGUCCUGAGGGCCAGCAUUAGCCAAAGGUGGUCUCCCUGGUUGAACAACUGAGGCGCACAAGGGGGUUUUUUGCGGGACCCAAAGGGUUCAAGCCUCGGGUUGGCUGGCACCACAAUUUAGUGCCCAACCACCAAGCUAUCAGCUUGUUGAAUUGGCCAUAAAAAUUUCAUUGUUGUUUACCAAUCUUAUAUCUUACUAAAAAUGUGAGUUUGAUUUUAAAAUUUUGCAUAGUUCUAUAGUAUCACCCCCCCCCCCCCACACACACAAGGGACCUGUUUUAAUGUUUUGAAAUUUCUACACACGACUUGUGAGUGGGUAAUUAAGAAUGGGUGACUUCUACCUGAUAUUUUGCCAACUGGGUGAGGCCACUUCGUUCGACUACUGUUCCAUCAUCAUUCACCGGUGAUUCAGGUCUGAAUCCAACUGGAUGAGAAGGGGCUCCAAAUUGAUCUUCCACAUCUAGACUGAAUUGUAAACACUACUCCCUCUGUCCGGUAAAGAAUGCAACUACGGGUUGCGUGCCAUCAAAAGUAGUUCACGUUUGACCACAUUUCUAGUGAAUACUAUUCAUAUUUAUGACUCCAAAUUAAUUUAUUAUAAAAAUACAUUUCAUAAUUAACAUAAUGGUAUUUAUUUGAUAUCAUAAGUAUUGAUACUUUUUUAUCUAUAAUUGAUCAAAUUUAAGAUACAAAACUAUGACACUGUGCUAGAAUUGCAAUCUUUUCCGGACGGAGGGAGUACAAGAUUCAGCACUUUUGCCAAGAUUUUGCUUUGAGUGGCCAGCGGUGAUAUGUUGUUUUAUCCUCUGCCGUCUGCAAAUGUCAGUCGGCGAUUACUUCUCUGGGAAUCAUCUGCACACUCUCGGCCACUGGAGCAGAUAAAGUAAAUAGUCUAUUUUACUCCCCUCACCUAUCCACUUGUCCGCUUAACCCCUGAACAAAUUUUUGGCUCACUUCACUCCCCGGAACUAUUUUAUUUGUCCAAUCACCCCCUAAUUAGAUUUCUCUUUUUUUUGUUUCUCUAUGUAUGAGUUGAAUUUUGAUUUCAAAUUUUGUGAACGGAUACAAAACAUGAUGCCUUACAUUAAAAAAUUAUACUAAGAAUUUUUAGUAAUUAUUUUCAUAAGUUAGGAAUAUUUAAUAUGAAAUCCAUCUUAGAUAUACAAAACUGUACAAAAAGUAAUCAUAAAAAAAUUCUAAUGUAUUUUUCUAACUAGAGCAUCAUGUGAUAAGUUAACUAACAAAAUCUGAAAUUAAAACUCAACUUAUACAUGAAGAAACAAAAAAGAAAUCUAAUUAGGGGUAGAUUGAACCGAACUGUAAUUAAAACUCAACUUGUACGUGAAGGAAAAAAAAGAAAAAUCUAAUUAGGGGUAGAUUGAACCAAAUGAAAUAGUUUGGGGAGUAAAGUGAGCCUAAAUUUUGAUUAGGGGUUAAGUGGACAAAAUAAUAAGCAAAUCAAUCCCCCUCGGCCACUGAUUGCAAACUCUUGGGAAAAGUGCUGAAUCUUGCAGUGAAAGUUUGUGUAGAUUAUUUCAAAAAGAUAAACUCCAACUGAGGCAAUGUAAUAUUCAACAUGGAAGGAGAAGAAUGAAUCUCGUCCUCUUGCAACUCCUUUUUCUUGAACACAUCCUCUUCCAACUCUUUCAAAUCAGGGAUAAGAAAACAGCUUCUAGUUGUGUGAAGACCACACGAAAUAUCUAGCUACUUAGGAUCUGUUUUUCGCAGCUCCAACCCGAAGAUGCUUGGGAUACCUAACUCCAAAAACCUCCAUUAGAGUUGUUUGGUUGAGCUAUUUUCUUUCCAUUACAGACUAAAAAUAGUGCCUCAAAUGUUCUUGGUUUCAGCAUACAAACUGCAAAUCUGCGGUGGAGCUAGAAGCUCGAGCAGUGCCAAGCGCGGCCUAACUUAUAUUGGAGAAGAAGCAACACGAUGCCUCAAAAUCUUGUACCUGGCAUUACUGCAAAAGGACUACAUGAUCAAAUGCUGUUCGAUGGGAACUUUAUGCAGGUGACCUCUCCAUACGGAACCAGCCAUGUUGCAGAGUUUGUUAGCAGAAUUAGGGUCUUCCUUUCACGAGGAAAGUUUUGCCACUAAAAUCGGUUAUUCACCAUAACAAAGCGCCUCAUAAGCUCAAUAUGAAUCAUCACGCCUUUCAGGUUAAGGAAAUAAUUGAGAAUCCACACGGAUCCUCGAUGGUUGAAGUGUCGAACUAUGGCCACCGUUCUUACUUCACUGAUGCUUGUUUCAAGGGUCAAACUGACAUUUGCCCUCACCCUGGGAUUCAAAUUUCCCCUGAUUGUGACCAAAAUGCCCUCAGUCACAUGCCAUGUCCUAAUUUGCUGAAAGCCCAACUCAAGUAGAAGCCCCGAGUUUGCUGCUUGGAGCCGAAUUGGAAGCAUCCUCAACCAGGAUCGACUACAGUACAUCAGAUGGGAAGAUCAAACGCUACUUAUCAGGUGAACAUUUCUUGAUCUAAUUUUACCUAAACUCGAUAGCUGGCCUUCAUUUGUUAGUGUUGGUAGAUGAAUACACUACAUCCAAGAAAUAGUUCAGACAAGCAUACAAGUAACAAAGGAGAUCACAGGUAAGAAAUAAUCAUGCUAACUUUAUUUACAUCUUUUCUUUAAUGUAAGAAACAAAAACAUUAUAGAGGGAAUCUAUAAUGUACAUUAAUUACAAUCAAAAUUUCCUAAGAUCACAGGUUCGGUCUUGUAAACUCUCACAAGGAUUCUGCAAACAAAGGAGAGAAAAAGUCUGAUAUCAAAUCAGAAACCAUUUUGUUAUAUUUGUGCAAACAAAGGAGAGAGAGAAUCCGAUAUGCAUGAAUAUUGGAAGCUUCUCAUAAAGAGUGAAUUAGAUUCUAUUCAAAUGCUUAUAAAAAUGUUGACAAAUAAUCAGUAGAGUGAAGCCACUGGGAAGCACUGAUAUUUCAAAGAUACAACUGAAAUCUUAUAAGCACUGUGAAAAGUUAAUUCUAUGAUUGUUUUAACUGAUAAAUAAUCUUGGAAUUACUUAAUAUUUUGCAGAUACUGACUCUCUCAGUAAGAGUGGUUGUUUUCUAAAUAAUUACUACAAGCAUUAUUUAUUAGCCAAGAAAACUUAUAGGGUCAUCAAUUCCCCAAUAAAAUAGCACAUUAAGAUACCAAGCCUAUAAUCAAUUACACUUAAAGUCUAAUCAUCAAAACCUUCGUUUCAGGAGAAGUGCGUCAUUAUCAAAUCGGAAGAUUAUAUGAUGGAAUUGUAGACAUGAUCGUGUUUACAGAUAAAAUUGUGAUGAAAACCAAUUAUACGGUCGUAACAACUUACCCUUUGUCCUUCUGUUGUCUACAGUUGUUUCUGCUGUUGAUCUGCGGGAAACAUCUGCCAGUGAUAUAGGUGUUAGUGGGGGUGAGGAUAAUUCACUGCUUUCCCUGCUAUGUCUAGACUCCAACAAUUUAUUCACUGUAAUAAUAGGAGUUCGUUGACUAUUUGAAGGUAUUGAAUAACUGCGAGUCAUGGCAGCAGGCGGCCGUGGAAGUGGUGAUGCUGUAUGUGAUGGUGGUGAGACACGGGUUGGUGCAUUAGGCAUCUGCCGCCUUGAAACCAAAGGACCAGAAUAUCCAACCAAACCAGGACGAAUGGUGCCUACAUUCGCUGGAGGCCUGGGCAGUUCAUGCAGCUCACUUAUUUUGGGAGUUGUUGUUGGGAGAGAAGUGACUCUUGGAGUAACUUUUGGAGGUAAAGAUGACUUCCAACCUGGGCCAUGUGAUUUUGUUGACAAUACACGAGAAGGAUAAUUCAUUGACUGUCUGCGAUCAGUUGCAGAAAACAACGGAUUGCUGGAUCCUGUUUUACUCGGAAUUGGACCAGAAAAGGCUUCCCUCUUCAUUUUCUUAAAAUCUGAAGUAGAGUAGGAAUAAACUAGUGGUGCUGAUAUCCCCUCAUUAUUUGAUGGCAUCUUAAUAGGUCCACUGUACAUGGAACUCGGCUUAAAAUCUUUCACCAGUGGAGAGGAAUGCCACACAUUUACUGCCACAUGAGAUUUUCUUGCAGGUGGAUCUGAAUGAGGUGAUGUGUUGGUGACUACUGAAUCAGGGUUCUUGUCAUCGGCUGGUGUCGGGAGUUUGUAAGAAUGAAAAGUUCUGUUUGGCAGGUUCAGUUUCCGAAACCCCAUAGAUGGAUCAGGCACAUUCUCGGCAAAUAUGGGUGCUGAUUGGGUACCAAUCUCAGGCUUCACAUGAGGAACCACAAAAGCCGCCUUCAUUUCUUCAGCAUUUUCCUGUACAAACAUGUGUUAGCUCAAAGAAUUAUAUGACUCAAGAUGAGGAGCCAUUAUGACAUAAAUGACAGGCAAACUGAUGCAUCAAAUAUCAACAAGGACUCAACCUAGAAGGUACGGAUAUUUAAAUUUCCGGAUAUAGUUAUCACGUGUUAUUUAAGAAAAAAACUCGACCGGUGGGGGAAGAACCGCCCCCACGGCAUUGCAUUAAGAAGGGACCGUAUGACCCCGGUCGAGAAAAUAACCCCCCCCCCCCACCCCAUGCCCAUAUAGGGCCAAACCAAACUUGGGCCGGCGUACACCAUUACCUAGGCCGGCGUAGCGCACCGACUUACAUAGCACGGAUUUCCAUAUUAAUGUGCUCCAUCAGAAAUGGUAUUAUGCCAAAGAACAUUUUCAGUUGACUUCACUAUGCUGAUCUAAUUCUAAUUUUAUUUGACAUUUAGAACAGGGAAGACGCUACCUGAAAGACCUAUGAUAUAGUCGGCACUAAGUGUGACCUUACUGACUGAACUUUAUUUCAACCAAAGUUCAAACGCCCAAAAAUGUAUAUUUCUUAUUUCCCAAAAUGACAUUGGAAGACACAUUAGAGUAAAAUACAACAUAAUGUCAGUCAUUAUUUUGAUAUUCUUACCCUAGAGUAUUCAUGUCACUAUGAACAAGAAUGAUCUCAUUUCUAAAGAAAUAUAUCUACAUCACAUAACUAGCGAGCUGAAGAUUACCUGCGCAUGUUCCUUCAGAGGACUUGGGGAAUUCGUCGGUUGAGUUUGAUCCAACUAUACACAAAUAAAUAAAUGUACCAAAGUUUUAGUACAGUAACAAAAGGAAGAGAUACAACAGACACUUUCAACAACAAACAACAACAAUAAAGCCUUUAAUUCCCAAGCAAGUUGAGGUAGACUAGAGACCACGAACACGUGCAGAAAAAAAUUAAAUAGCUCGCACUUUCAUAUGCUUUAAUUGAAACAUUAAAUUGAAAAACCCAGCUGAGCAAUAUGUUUCAAAAUAGAUACAUAAUCUGAACUGUAGUAUAAAAAGAAACAUUUAGGACGUCAACAGACACGCUUUCAUAAUCAUGUAAUGCCCGAAAGUCAAAAUUUCAAUGCAAUCCAGUGCCAUUAUGUUGGACGCCUAACAAAUAUACCAACACAGCCACUUCAUCCAGAAGGAAAAUCCCAGAGCUAUUGGAUUUGGUACAAGGACUAUUUACGCUCUCAACUUUCCAUCUGGGGAUUCUUGUAGCCACUACUAUAUAUGGGCCACAUAAACCACCACAGAUUGGGGAAGGGUAUUAGGCAUCAGACCCUGCAGUUUCCAACUCACUCCUAGUACUAUAUAUUGAGUCAUUCAGAAAGUGAGUGCCACAAGGCCUCUGCAGUUCUAUUGCUAAUAUCAAUUGGCCCAGGCAACAUAAUGUGGUCUGGGGCACCAGAGAAAGCUGAUAACCAAUUACAUCAUUAGUAGGCACAACUCAAAGAACAUAAUACGGAUCUUCUUCGCAUUGUUUAAAUUGAUGUCCCUUGAGCAACAUUUGAUGCAAUUAUUAGCAAUCUCUCUUCACAGUAUUUUCUUCCUCAUAAAGGAAAAUACUGAGCCAAAUUGUUCUUUGAACUGAAGAAAGCUAACUGACAACAAAGGAUUGAUAACCUAAGUAAUUAUCUACAAGGUGCUCAUAUAGUGAGAUGCUGAAAGUUAUGAUAUAACACGGUAAAACUAGAACAGAAAACAGUCACAGGUUCAAAAUGAAACUUAGCUACAAAAUAUCUUGAAUUGAUCAGUUGGAAAAGAACUUACAUCCAUUGGACUUCUGGAAGCAGGAAGGUCUUUGUCCCUGUCAUUUAUCUCAUAGUCAAAACUUAACUCGCUGCCAUCACUGUGGUUAUCCUGGUAAGAGCUAUAAUCAUCAAUAUCACUAUCAUCAUCCAGUCCACUGAAGUGAUAAUCAAUGUGCUGCUUCUCAGCAACUGCUUUGACAUAAGGCUCUAGAGCCUCUAGAUGCUUCAGUCCUCUCCUGAAAAAACUGAUCUGAAAGUCCAACCAAUGAUAAGAUUGUUGUAAUAUUGCCACUGCAUGUGCAUAAUCAUUAGCUGUAAUGCUAUGAAGACAAGUUAAACUACCUGAGCAGCAUGAUGGCGAGCAGCCUGGGUCAAAAUACUUAGAAAUUGGCCUUGCUUUAGCGACUUCAAGCGAAAUAUAAACAAUGCUGCCUCCUCUUGGUACUCAAGAAAUGAAGUUUGCAGUUGUUCUGUGGAGAAUGAUUCGGAUUUGGAGUGUGUUGAUCUCCCUUUAUCUUUAUAGGCUGCCCGCAUACCUUCAUAUUCCACUCUGAGGGGAAAAACAUUUAGGAGGAAAAGUAAACACUGUAAAAUUAAUAAGAUGACAUGCAAGUAGAUUUGUACCUUUUCUGAUCACAUAGGUCUUUCAUUUCCUGCAUCAAUAGGAAAGAUAGUAAGUCUGUCUGUCUUUUAUUUGGAAAUGAUGAUAAAUGCACUAUGAACAAUAAAUUAGCAAAACCCAAUAUUUGAAGGUGAGAAUUCGCAAUUGAUGAAGUUGAGAGGAGCAUAAUCAAGGAGGCAGAACCUCUACAACUUGUAGCUCCUUCAGAAGUGACUCUGAUGGGUUUGUGAUUGUAUUUAUAAUAUUUGUACGCUACAAAAACAAAGGGAAAAACACUUGUUAGAAUGCCAGCCAAAAUAGAGUCAAAAGCAUAAAUAAUACUUGAAACAGUAUGAUGGAUUUGAAAAUUAUGUUGUUAUACAAUUUUACAAUGGUGUCAAAGGAAUUUACAUAGCUAUCAACAAACUUCUGCAGUUCAAACUGGGCUUUCCCUAGCAUCAUCAGCACUCUACCUGCAGGUAAAACUAAAUCAAUAAAGCAAAGAAGACCAAACACUUUUUUGAAAUAAAGAAGCAGCUCUACAAAACAAACAUAGAAUUUUGUUUUCUAUGUUCACUGAAAGCCAGAAGAAAAGUAGCAUCAACAAACUAUAUUUCCAACGAAGAAUUUGACAAUUCUCCUAGCCACUAACAGGCAUUAGCAUGGAGACUAGGAUGGCAAAGCCAGUAGUGGGGACACAGUGACCCAUUUUAGAACUUGAGGAGGUUAGGUGGACAAAGAAAUAGUCAGGGGGUGGAAAAACACGACAUUUCAGGAUGAUGAAUUGGACACUUUGAGAAAUAGCACGGUUGACCCUACAGCACAAAACUUGAUUUGCUAAACAGCAGCCCCAAGAAUAAUUUCUGACCACAAAGUUUUCAUAUACAUGCCUAUUGAUCCAGAGAAUUACUCACCACUUUCAUCAUCAUCAUAAUUCAAUGCAGCUUUCUCAAGUAAGCAAGUUCCCAUUUCCUCCAUGGCUUCUGCAAACUCUGUAUAAAUGGAUUACAUGUAGCUAUAAGAAUAUUGCUCGAACAAAAUACCUAGCUUUAGAAAUUCGGAUAGUGAAGUUUCAUUCAAAAAGUUAAAACAUCGUACCAUAUACACUAUUUGCCGUUGCAGCUGCAGCUGAAAGCAAGCUAUCAUAACAGUUCCUCAUUUCAUCCAUUUCCUGCAAAAUAUCCGUGUUUAAGUUAGAAAAGGUAGAUUACAAAAUUCUUACAUGCUAGUUGAAGCACAGCCUCAUCGAGGCUUUAUAAUUUUAUAUUAGAGAAGGGUGGUUGUGGCAAAAAGAAUUGGAAUAAAAAAACAAUCCUGUUUUUUUAACUAUCAUUCACAUGGAAGUGACUGGCUUGUGAUUUCAUCCCAAAUUUCAAACAACACAAUGAAUUCUAAUCCAAUUAAUUGGUGACUUGGUGUACAACUCUAAACAUGAAUCAAAUCCUCCACCGGUAGUCCUUUCAAACUUUUAUAAUAUAUGGCUCCAAAACCUUCAAUCUCUUCCUCUAAAUCAGCCUAACGCCCGUAUCCAAACAGCUUUGACCAUGAUUUCUUCGUUAAGAUGCACACAGCAUCAGCAGGGCAGGAACUGUAAACAUUGUCUAUGAGAUGGAAUAUGCUGUGACUGACUGAGGACUCCUGAAUUUCAAAAACAUGUUUCGACACCAAUGUUGAAUAUAAGAAUUCCCAGCAGCCAAUGGCAGGUUAAACAAAGCAUCUGUUCCUCUCAAUAACGACUUUGAAUUGCUGACUGCGAGACCAGUUCUAAUAGCACCAAGCUUCCAGCCGUGGACUUUGACCAGCAAGAAACAAGGCACGAAAACCCAAAUGCUCCUGAACUCUAAUGUCCACAAUAUAACACAUAAAAGCAAUCGAAUCCAUGCAUUUCGCUGAUUACAUACAAAUUACCGAUCAGCAAUUUACUUUUUAGUUCACAUAAACGUUUAAAAAUCCCCCCCAAUGGAAAAGGAAAAGGACAAACUACUACUAACAAAUAAACAAGAAAAAAGUAUCCAUCCCUCCACAGUUCCGUUCAACGGUACUGCGUACCAGAGAGAGGAGCUAAGAUCGUUCGAUUCCAGACAAUCACUGCGACCCAGGAACAACGCCACCACGGUCAACACGGGCCGCGAGAACCCCCCGCGAGAGACGCACGCGGCGGGAAUCGCGAGCCCGCGACGAGGGCGCGCGAUCCGUUUUUGGCGCGCAAUCGCACCCCCAACGUGGCGCCACGGCCGAGGGCAAGGAUCGGGAGAGAGGGAAUCGGGGCGGAGGGCCGAACCUGGGCGGCGUAGACGAGCUCGUCGAGCUUGGCGGGCGGCGGGGCGUGGUCCUUCCGCUCCCUGUGGUGGUGGCCGAAGCCCCGGAACCUGCGCAAUGGCGAUUUCAUCCCGCUCCUCCUCGAAGCCGGACCCCCAGGCCGGAAUCGCGGGCUCCGAUCAGCAGGCAGCACCAGGUGGGUGCGGAAGAGGAAGGCGAGGAUGGCUUUCUUCGUCGCUGCUGCUCUCGGGCUUUGGAAUUUUGGGGACCAAAAAUGGAGCGAGAAUAGUCAGUCGUCGGAGACGGAGAGGGGCAAUAGCGGGAGGGGCGGGUCUUUAUGGCGUGUCCUUUUUUUUUUUGGAGAGAUUCAUUUUUUGUCCAUGUUUGACCAAACGAAACAAGCGUGACCCUUGGCAUAAACUAAGCGAGUUCUGGGACUACGGAGGAACUCCCUCCGUUCCAAAUUUAUACCUUUUUAACUUUUUAGACAUACACUGUAUCUAGAUGUAUAAUAAUAUUUUUGAAUUAAAAAAGCUAAAACGACCUACAAUUUGGAACGGAGGGAGUAGUUUCUUCAAAAUUAUACUCCUUCCGUUCCAAAUUAUUAUUCGUUUUGGUUUUUAUAUUAGUUUUUAUAGAUACAUGGAUUUUGGUAUGCAUAUUAUGUCUAGAUACAUAGUAAAGUUAUGUAUCUAGAAAAACCAAAACGAAUAUUGAUAUGGAAAAAGGAAGCAGUAAACUGCCACUGCCAUUAUCUCCGCUCAAAAUAAAUUAUAUUAGAACGGGUGCAGUCUUGACACAGCAUUAACCAUUUUUGUAUCUAAAGACUUUGCUUAUGUUUAUUGGGAAAAAGAUUUAGAAACUAGAUAUCCACCAUCAAACUCGUUAAUGUUUGAGAGACAUGCCAGCGGUGAUUUUGUGCUCGUGCGUUUUGUUUUUUUUUUUUUUUGCAAAUUGAUCACAUGCGACUUUUUUCACAUUUCAUUCUCAAGUGUAACUUUUAAUUUUAGCAAAUGGAUGGCACUCUCAUGAGUCAUGACCAUUUUGGCAAUAGCAAGCGACGGUUUUGAACAAUUUUAACUAGGCGGUGGCUUUCAUGCAACUAGACAAAAUUGUUGUGGCACUGGCACCUACUGAAGCUACUAUAACACAGCGAAUAUAACUUAAAAUCAGAGAUAGAGCAAAACAAUCCUGCCAUGACAACCAAUUUUUGUAACAUAAGCUUAGAAAAUACCAUCAAAUAUAUGAGCAUUUGGAAUUAUAUUAAUGCCCUUGACAAGUGGGCCAAAAGUGAUCUUGUACUUGCAAUUUGUGCUGGUGCAUUUUUGGCAACUUGGUCCCAUGCAUGCCACCUUUUACACAUUUCCCUUUCAUGUAUAUCUUUCAAUUUUAGCAAAUGGAUGGUGCAUUUUUUUUAACAUUUUUCACUAAGUGGUGGCCUUCAUGAAAUUAUAUUGAAUGUUCAGUGAAAGAUACUUAACACUGGUGACAGUCCUAUCAUGGUACCAGUAUGGUAGUACCCCAAAUUAUUGAAGUUGUGUUUCUUUUUAUCAUCCUUGUAAUGGUAUGUACGUAUUAGGACCCUAGUACCUAACAUACCAAUCUGUCGAUACAUUUUUAGAUGCCAUAAAAAAAACUUACAAGUUAUGUUUUCUUUUCAUUCUCCAAAAUCAUUUUUUAUGUAACUAUUAUCGUAGUUUGUCAGUUUUGUUAUCCAAGUAUUAUCAACGAUGAUUAUGCUGAUUUGCUAUCUUUACACAAGUUUAACCGAUAGGUUUUAGCUAGCAGUCGAAUGCAUCGCGAUAGCUUUUUCUUCACAGGCAACUUCCCCGCGCAUACUCAAGCAACUUCACAAGCUUUUUGUGGUGACCAAACCACUCGCCAUAUAAAAUAUUUUUCAUUGGGAAGUUCGUGUAAGAUCAGUGGAAGCCGGGCCGCACGCACUGCUAUUCUCCAGCAAGUGUCGUGUUGUGCCCAUCGCAUCUCGAUCAGCAGCAUCAUCCCAAAUCAUGAUGACAGAGAUCAAAUCACACCAUCAACGCACGUAACUAAUCCAUUCGAGGAUGCUGCUGCUUUCCCCGGCACCCGGUCCUAACCACGCCGUCGAUCGUCGACUCACCUCACGGUGCGUGUGGCGUGGCAGCCACGAUCGGGAGGGAGGGAGAUGCAUGAACUUGCCAGGUGUCAGAAGCUCACGAUGGGUCAAGUUAGUGGCUGUCUGGCUGCUGCUGAUGCGUCGGUCAACGCAUACGUGCAUGGGUCAACGCCAGCCAAUGCCGUUGUUCAUAAAGGAACACAGGAGGAGAUAGUGGCGGUCACAUUAGUUAGCACCACCACUAGUUGCCUUUGCAUGACUGUCUUUUUUUUCUUUAAUAAACCAUGUCUGUCUUCUCUCGUCUCUUUUUUCCCCUUCUUUUGAGGGAAAAUCGGCUCCUAGACAUCAUUCGAUCUUGGCUUUUACCGCAGGUAAAAAAAAUGACUUUGCCAUAGGACAUUACACAAUCGUGGUAAUUUGCUGAGGGACACUACACCCAUUAUAAUAUUCGGUUUUAAUAGAAAGCCAUGGGACUUGACAUAUUUAUCCCUGCGAGAUUAGCAGAAACGCAUCGCUAGCACCUGAACGGAUGGCCUCGCCGGUCGCCGCACGGGCGUCACCCUCCCGUCGGACACGCCCCUUCCGCCCGCGUCCUCCUCUCAUGUUCGCGGCAGCAGCCCCGCUCCCGCCGCCCGCGGCAGCAGUGCCCGCUCCUAGGGUCCGCGGAACCCAUCUGCGACGGUGGCGCCCGCUCCCAGCGUCCGCGGAGCCUGCCCGCGGCGGCACCGCCCGCCAGCGGCUGCGGCACCCGCGGAACCCGUCCACGGCAAUGGCGCCCACUCGCGGCUGCGGCGAUGGCUUCCGGCGUCCGCGGAGCUCGUCCACGGCAGCGGUUGCGGCGCUUGCUCGAGCCCCAACCGGACGGCGGCGGCGACGACAGGGUGGAGGGGGUCGUAGGACUGGUGGGCAUCUCCAGUGGUGUUGUGCUGGGUGUCGUGGCCACGGGCAUCGAGCCGUUGACGGGAUCUCCGGCGCCGGAGGCGACAGGGAAGACGGCGGUGGAGAUGCAAUGGUCCCAUCCCAUGGUUGUCAGGCUGCUGCUCAAGUAGCAGUUGAGGGCAAUAUAGUCAAGUCUCGUUACUUUCCAUUAAAACCGAAUAUUAUAAUGGGUACGGUGCAAAUUCGACAAAGCCAUCUUCUUUUUAUGGCUUUCCCUUCAUUUGAAGACAUCUUUCCUGCGCUGUGGUCGUGAGCUAUGUUGUGAGCCCAUCUCUCUCUACAGCCCAUGCAUGAGCCCAUGUAGCGCUUCCGUAGCCCAUCUACCCAUAGCUAGGAUAAUUAAUGCCAACAGUACCGGCCGGCGGCGGGUUGGUGACGCCGUGCGAGGGCGACGAAUCGUCCAUCGGAGCCUCAGACUCGGGCGGCAGCCACGUGAAGCGAAGCGACGAGCCGCCGCAACUCGCGAGGCAACGGCACCGACCGUCGAGUUGCCGAGGCACAAACAACCGCGCGGAGUCUUCAUCUCUCAAGCCGUUGCUUCAUCAGGUAAGUAAGGGCAUUCGGUCAGUUGAGCAUCAAUUCGCCUAAAGCAAAAGUUGAGCAUCAUCCACCCCAAUUGGUUCGGAUUCAAUUUUUUUCCCAAACAAGUGAGAAAAUCUUCGAUUUUCUUUGAAGCCUGGUUUCAUGCGGUUCCUAAUUUUCAGUUGCAACUGAUCAAAUGGGUUUUUAACUCAGUAUUGUGUCCAUAACUAUAUAGAUGUAGGUCCUGUUUGGUUAAACAUUAGUCCCUCCUUUUUUUCCUCUUUAGUCCUUAUUAAACUACCAAACAUAGGGAUUAAAACGAGGACACUUGUUUAAAGUGAACUAAAAGCUCAGGAGGACACCCCUGCCUCUCAUUUAUUAUCCAUUCCCACCCGUCUCGAACCCUCCCUUCAGGUCGUCCUCGCUCGCUCCCCUUCCCGCCACCACCGCCCCCUCUCCUCCCCACACCGCCGCCACCGCUCCUGCUACUCCCCGUGCCGCCGCACCCGCUCCUCAAAAAUUCGCUCCACCCGCACCCGACGAAGAGGAAGACGGGCGGCGGCGGGGCUCCGGCGGCCCCGAGGGUCCCGCCAACGAUGUACUCGAUGGUUGAGCACUGCGAGAAGAGCUCGGCCAGGGCGUUGGACUCGGAGAUGGCAACGUAGUGCGGCGGGAAGUGGUUCCGGGAGAAGCAAAGCGGGCAGAUCCAGAUCUUGGCGGCGAAGUCGGCGCGCGCGAAGGGAUUGAAGAGGGCGGAGUAGGGCGACCUGCAUAAUUAGGCCUCGGGAUGGUGCUACAUGUUGCAUAGUUGGUUUAUAAUGACUUGUUUCCUUGGAACGAAUAUACACGGAUAUUGCACUAAUCUGAAAUGUUUUCCAUAUGCCAUGCAUAUCCAUUAAUACGCACUUCAGGAACAGACGACCUCGUCCGUGAGGAUAUUGUCUCUACAGAACUUAGUUUUCCAAAAGUUGCUCAUUCAUUCGUGUAUCAAAACCAGAUUCUGUUUAUAUUACAAUUUGCCAGUUGUUGCUUUCCUUGCAUCUCAGCACGGUAAGUCUGCUGGAUUUUUGUCCUUUCAUAUAUUAGGAUGGAUGAAGUCACGCAAGCUGUUGAGAAUCUGAAGAAAGAAUGGAACCAAGCGGUUUCACAGCUUGAGGAGAGCAUUGCUGCAAUCAAAUCAUGUGGAAAAACAGGGAAAUGGAUAGAGGAAGCAAAUUCUCUUCCAAGGUUGAAUGGUUCUGCACAGGAUGCUCUGCAAUUGCUCAAGUCACUGCAGUUUCGUCUUGAUCUUCUAGCAUAGCAGCUUCCCACUUUUCAAGAAGUGCAGUCUGGCCAAGCAACCUUAGAGUCAUGGAAUGAACAAUACAAGAAGUAAGAUAGUCUUGGUAUCUUUCCUUUUGUUCUCCUUUUUAACCUGCUUUGAUUUCUAACAAUUUUGAUUGUGUUGGCAGGCUGCGUGCUAGCCUGAGGAAUGCUAACUUACAUUAGAAAAGCUGCUCAAGAGGAGGUGUGUGAUUUUGCCUCAAUUUCAUGAUAUUAAUCUGAUUGAUUUGCUGUCUGAGAACUAAUACUUCUUAGAGCAUCACCAAUGCAAGGGAAUUACAAGUGAAAGGUUAUGCCGCAUAAUAAAGAAAUUAUUUUAUGAACCUAUUCUUUAUAUGCAAGUAUCUCUUCUCGUAGGUGUUUAUGGACUCACUUAAGUUCAGAAGCACCAUUGAAUAGUUGCUUUAGUUUUUGCAACUUCUUUUGCAAAAUUGGCAAGAAAACUACCUGUAGGCACCAUGCACCUUUUUAGAGCAUUGUAGGUGCCCUUAUAACUUACGGCUAUCAGUUUCUAAUUGUCUUUUCUCUAGAGGGAGCUUCUUCUUGCGGGUGGAGAAGAGUCUACCAUCCGCAGGCGUAAUCUCCAGUAAGUUGAUUUUCAUGAGGUCAUAUUUCCUUUAAGCCAAUAUAUGGGAUAUUUAAGGAGUUUUCAUAAUUUAGUCAGUUACAUGGGUAUCCCUUCCAUCUGGUUUCAUCAAAUCUGGGUCACUUGAAAUUUUAAGAACCAGAUAAGGGCUAUGACUUUUGAAUUCUAGUUUGUUCUUAUUUCAAACUAAGAAUUAUGGAAUAAUUUGCUGUGUUAAUGCAUUGCACUAAUGAAUGAAACGCCCUUCUACAUUUGUAGUCCAAGUAACAUCCAGUUUUGUCGUAUAAUGUGAUUUGUGACCUGUUGAAUGGUGCAGGACAAAGACUAGGAUGACAUCUGCUGCAGAAAGUAUCACUGAGAGCCUCCGACGGUCUCGCCAGAUGAUGGUUCAGGUUAGCAUGUCCACGUCUUCAAUUGAUAGCUAUUAUGCUGAUGGCUUAUUGCUCGUUAAUUUGAAGCCAAUUAAUAUAAAUGUUUACAGGAAGUGGAAAGAAGUGCAAGUACCUUGGCAACAUUUGGUAUGCAUUCUUAUUUAAGCCUUUAGUCUGUUUAGAAUAUCUUAUUUCACAAUUGUUAUCAUUCCAGAAUGAUUGAGUUUUGUUGGUUGGUUUCCUGAAUCUCCUGUACAAUGGCUUGAUCUUAUUGUAAUUUAUUCAUGUGAUGGGUUGGAGAAAAUAAAACUGCUUGGUGGUACACAUGUAGUGUAUUUAUGUUUUAGGUUUUGUCACGUUAUUCUUUGUAACUUUACUAUAGCAUGUUCUUCUGUUAUGGUUGAAAAAUUAUAGCGCGUUCAUGUACUUCAUGGUGUAUGAAUUAAAACAUUUUCCUUUUUGCCUGCAUUUUUAGGAUCGUCAUAGUAAGAUUGCAACAUGCAAACUAAUUUAUUAAAUUAUGCAGAUGAAUCAACAAGUGUUCUUCGGAAGGCUGAAGGUGAAUAUCAAGGACACCGCUCUUUGCUGUCGCGGACCCGUGGUUUGCUCUCCACGAUGCAACGGCAAGAUGUUCUUGAUAGGUAGGUACCCUCUGGCGUAACUGGUCGUAUAGCCUGCAUUCUUGUUUUACAGUCAAGCCAUUUAACAGAAAGACAUAUCUUUAUAUAAUGUGUACACCUACUAGCAGCUCUAGUCACGUUUUGCACAAUGAAUAUCUACAAAUUGAAACACAUCCAUGGCUCCUUUUGUAGAACUGGCAACGAAUGCUAUAACUGACAGUACUCAACUAUCAUUUGUCAGGAUCCUUCGAGCCAGUGCAUUUUUCAUAUUAAACACAGAACAACUUGCCAGGCUAUCUUCAUAGAGAAGUAGGAAAUACAUGAUUCAUUAUAGCUCAUCAGGCGAAAAAAAAGAGAAGAAAAAAAAAUACUUGCAGGAAACAUGCUAGCAUUUGAUUUGCAUAUUAUCACAAGUUUGAAAUUGAACAAAAGUUGUGUGAAUUUAUAAGUUAUUCAAAAGCCUUUAUAAAAAAACAAGUAGUAUGAGUAACACCAAAGGGCACCAUAAUCAUCAGAUUGUCAUCUAAUAAAUAUUGCUACCUUCCUCUAUGAGCUGCUCACGAGGAGGUGUGUGAUUUUGCCUCAAUUUCAUGAUAUUAAUCUGAUUGAUGCUGUCUGAGAACUACAUACUUCUUAGAGCAUCACCAAUGCAAGGGAAUUACAAGUGAAAGGUUAUGCCGCAUAAUAAAGAAAUUAUUUUAUGAACCUAUUCUUUAUAUGCAAGUAUCUCUUCUCGUAGGUUUUUAUGGACUCACGUAAGCUCAGAAGCACCAUUGAAUAGUUGCUUUAGUUUUUGCAACUUCUUUUGCAAAAUUGGCAAGAAAACUACCUGUAGGCACCAUGCACCUUUUAGAGCAUUCUAGAUGCCCUUAUAACUUAAGGUUAUCAUUUUCUAAUUACCUUUUCUCUAGAGGGAGCUUCUUCUCGGGGGUGGAGAAGAGUAUACCAUCCGCAGGCGUAAUCUCUAGUAAGUUGAUUUUCAUGAGGUCAUCUUUCCUUUAAGCCAAUAUAUGGGAUAUUUAAGGAGUUUUCAUAAUUUAGUCAAUUAUAUGGGUAUCCCUUCCAUCUGGUUUCAUCAAAUUUGGGUCACUUGAAAUUUUGAGAACCAAAUAAGGGCUAUUACUUUUGAAUUCUAGUUUGUUCUAAUUUCAAACUAAGAAUUAUGGAAUAAUUUGCUAUGUUAAUGCAUUGCACUAAUGAAUGAAACGCCCUUCUACAUUUGUAGUCCAGGUAACAUCCAGUUUUGUUAUAUAAUGGCUUGAUCUUAUUGUAAUUUAUUCACGUGAUGAGUCAGAGAAAAUAAAACUGCUUGUUGGUACACAUGUAGUGUAUUUAUGUUUUAGGUUUUGUCACAUUAUUCUUUGUUACUUUACUAUAGGAUGUUCUUCUGUUAUGGUUGAAAAAUUAUAGCGUGUUCAUGUACUUCAUGGUGUUUGAAUUAAAACAUUUUCCUUUUUGCAUGCAUUUUUAGGAUCGUUGUAGUAAGAUUGCAACAUGCAAACUAAUUUAUUAAAUUAUGCAGAUGAAUCAACAAGUGUUCUUCGGAAGGCUGAAGGUGAAUAUCAAGAAAGGUGGUGAUGAUAGGAAGAAAACAUCACAAAGAAAAUGCUAUGAGUGCAAGGAAGUGGGUCACUACAUUGUCGAUUGUCCAUACAAGAAAAAUAAGGAGAAGGAAGAGAAGAGGUAGGACUACAAGAAGAAGUAUCAAGGUCAAGGUCAUGUUGGUCAAGAAUGGGAUUCAAGUGAUGAAGAAUCCAACAAGAAAUGUAUGGAAACUCUAGCCAUACUCAAGUCUUCUACACAAAAAAAAACUCUUGAACAACACUUCUGACAAUAAGGAUGACACUCCUUUUUGUCUCAUGGCAAGAGGAACCAAGGUAGAAGAAACAACCACCUCCUCUUCUCUCUCUACCUCCAUAUCUAGUAAUGUGCAAAAUGAUUUUGAAAGAUGAAGAAGAAAAAUAUAAAGCUAACAUGAUAAAAUAAUUUGGAAAGAAAGGUUAUAAAGAAAUUAAAAAGCUUAUGGAGAAAUUGGAGAAAAAGAAAGAGUCACUUGAUAGGCAAGAAGAUUUGCUCAUCCUUGAAAAGGAGAGAAACCUUGCCUUAGAGAAGGCCCUUGCCGAAGAAAAGGUGAAGGUUGAAAAUUUGGCUAUUGACUUGUCUCUAUCUAAUGAUUCAAAUGAGAGGAUGUCAAAGGAGCACACUUUGACAAAUGAAUCUCUAGCUUCUCUAAAGGCCACUCAUAAUGAACUUUAAGAAAUCUUCUCAUUCUCAAUGGUCAAAUACAAAAACCUUGAAGUUAACUAUAAUGCUCUUUGGGAAAGCACCAAAACCAAUUCUAAGGCAAAUCUUGACUCCAGUGCCUCCACAAGUGAAGGUUGCUCAGGAUGUUAUAAAAUUGAUAUAAAUGUUUGUGUUGCUAACAUUGCUAAGCUAGAAGAGUCAAUCCAAGCAAGGGAUAUUCAGAUCAAAAGAUUGAACAUGCUAGUGGCACAAGGUUAUGAAGGUAGUGUCAAACCCGAGUCUAAGAUCAAGUAUAAGGCUGGGAGGCAUCCUAUCCAUAUGGAUGGGCUUGGACACUACAAGGGAAGUAAGGUAAAUGACCGAAAGAUGGUUAAUGGUAAGAAGGUCCUCAUGUUCAACAAGGGUGCAAACCUUUGUGACUUGAUGAACAUGACACAUGGUGUGACAAAGACCAAUACAACUCAAGCCAAGCCAAUGCUCAUAGCAACUACCAAGGUAAACGUUGUGGAAAAAUCCAUGACAAAGUUAAAGGACAACGUGGUCGCACAUGAGCCCUCACGAAACUACACCACCGACUACAUGGUUACAAUGGACCACAAUGGUAAAAUAGUGGUCAAGUAUGUUGGUUCCUACAUGAAAAAGGCUAUCUUUAGAAGUGUGUGGGUUCCAAAGAUAUAUCCCUCUAACCAAUAAGGACCCAAAUCUUUUUGGAUAUCUAAUUUCAAGCUUAACUUGUUUUGUAGGCCUACUCCUCCGGUGGUACCACAUGGUUGCUUGAUAUGGGAUGCUCAAAUCAUAUGACUGGGGAGAAAGAUAUAUUUUCAUCCCUGGAGCAUUAUCACACACCUAAAGAAAAUAUUGUCUAUGGAGACCAAUAGCAAAGAGGAUGUAAUCGGAAUGGAUAACAUUGCUAUCUCAAAUAACAACUCUCUCUCUAAUGUUUAUUUGGUUGAAUCCUUGGGAUACAAUUUGUUGUCCAUCUCACAACUUUGUGAGAAGGGCUACAAUUGUGUCUUUACUAAUGAGGAUAUGACCGUCUUUAAAAGAGAGGAUUCCUCUAUUGCUUUUAUAGGUCGCUUGAAUGGCAAGCUCUAUCUAGUUGAUUUCACAACGAAUAAAGUUGAGCUCGAGACUUGUUUAGUGGCAAAAACUAACUUGGGUUGGCUUUGGCAUCAUCGACUAGCCUAUGUUGGGAUGAAGAACUUGGCCAAACUUCAAAAGGGCGAUCACAUCCUAGGACUAACAAAUGUUGUCUUUGAGAAAGAUAGGAUGUGUAGCGCGUGUCAAGCCGGGAAGCAAAUUGGUGCUCCACACCCCACCAAGAAUAUCAUGACUACGUCAAGACCAUUGAAACUUCUACACAUGGAUUUAUUUGGAUCCAUUAAUUACGUUAGCAUUGGCGGUAAUAAAUAUGAUCUUGUUAUUGUUAAUGAUUUUUUCCCAUUUCACUUGGGUAUUUUUUUGCAUGAUUAAAGUGAAGCUCAAAGGAUAGUCAAGAAAUUUAUUAGAAAAACUCAAAAUGAAUAUGAGUUGAAGAUCAAGAGGAUAAGGAGUGACAAUGUCUCGGAGUUUCGAAACACUAAUGUUGAAGAAUUUCUUAAUGAAGAAGGGAUCAAGCAUGAGUUCUCCGCUCCAUACACUCCUCAACAAAAUGGCAUUGUGGAGAGGAAGAACCGAACCUUGAUUCAAGCCACAAGAACUAUGCUUGAUGAGUACAAGACCUCGGAUAUUUUUUCGGUGAAAGCAAUUAACACGGCUUGCCAUGCCAUCAACCAUCUCUACCUCCACAAAUAUUUGGGCAAGAAAUCCUAUGAGAUAAUCACCGGUAACAAACCCAAGGUGCACUACUUUAGAGUUUUUGGAAGUAAAUGUUUAUUCUAAACAAGAAACUCAAAAGCUCCAAGUUUGCACCAAAGGUUGAUGAAGGAUUUUCUACUUGGUUAUGGUACUAAUGAACACGCCUAUCGUGUUUUCAACAAAAUCACCGGUUGUGUUGAGAUCACGGUAGAUGUGACUUUUGAUAAAUCCAACGGCUCUCAAGUAGAGCAAGUUGAUAAAAAUCUUGGAGAUAAUGAGGAGCCACCAAGUCAAUCAAUCAUGAGAAUGGGCUUGGGUGAAAUGAGAUCACGUGAAGUUGAGGCUCAAAUACCGGUUGAAAAGGACAACAAUGAUCCAUCAUCAUCAACAAGAGUUGAACCACCAAGUUCUCAACAAAGCCAAGAUCAAAGUCAAGUUCAUGGUGACAACCAAGCUCAUGGCAUUGAUCAAGGGGGAGAACAAAGUGGUGAAGCUCAAGAAGAUGCUCCACAAGUUGAAAAUGAUGAUGAUGGACCAAUUCAACGUUAAUCACAAGUGCCUCAUCCAAGAGUUCAUCAAAGCAUUCAACACGAUCAUACUGUUGACAACAUUAUUGGAAGUAUUCAAAGAGGGGUAACUACUCGUUCACGUUUAGUAACCUUUUGUGGAUGUUACUCGUUUGUUUCUUUUUUGGAACCUCUCAAGGUAGAUGAAACACUUGAUGAUCCGGAUUAGGUGAUUGCUAUGCAAGAAUAAUUAAACAACUUUACAAGAAAUGAGCUAUGGGAGUUGGUUGAAAGAUCCAAAGCAAAAUGUGAUUAGCACCAAGUGGGUUUUCCGCAACAAACAAGAUUAACAUGGUGUGAUCGCAAGAAACAAGGCAAGGUUAGUUGCAUAAGGUUUCACUCAAAUUGAAGGUUUGGAUUUCAGUGAGACCUAUGCACCCGUAGCUAGACUUGAGUCAAUUCAUAUUUUAUUAGCCUAUGCUACUCACCAUGAUUUCAAGUUUUAUUAAAUGGAUGUGAAAAGUGCAUUCUUGAACGGCCCCCUAUCCGAGUUGGUGUAUGUGGAACAACUGCUGGGCUUUGAAGAUCCAAAAUUUCCCAAUCAUGUGUACAAGUUUCAUAAGGCGCUCUGUGGGCUUAAGCAAGCUCCUAGAGCAUGGUAUGAAUGCCUUAAAAAUUUUCUUCUCAAGAACGACUUUGUAAUGGGCAAAGCUGAUUCUACUCUUUUUACUCAUAAAGUUGAUAAGGAUAUAUUUAUUUGCCAAAUAUAUGUUGAUGACAUUAUAUUUGGUUCUACUAAUUAAAAAUUUUGUGAGGAAUUUAGUAGGAUCAUGACCAAAAGGUUUGAAAUGUACAUGAUAGGUGAAUUGAAGUUCUUUCUUGGAUUUCAAGUCAAGCAAAUGAAGGAAGGAAGUUUCAUAUGUCAAACCAAGUAUGUGAAAGAUAUGCUCAAAAAGUUUGACAUGAUUGAUGCAAAACCUAUCAAGACACCCAUGGCAUUGAAUGGGCAUCUCAAUCUCAAUGAAGAAGGAAAGUCGGUUGAUCAAAAGGUAUAUCGCUCCAUAAUUGGCUCUCUACUUUACCUUUGUGUAUCUAGGUCGGAUAUUAUGCUUAGUGUGUGCAUGUGUGCAAGAUUUCAAGCCAAUCCUAAGGAAUAUCAUUUGAUGGCUAUUAAGAAAAUUUUGAGAUAUUUAGUAUGAACUCCUAACCUUGGUUUAUGGUAUCCCAAUGGCUCCACUUUUGAUCUACUUGGCUAUUCCGAUUCGGAUUAUGCCGAUUGCGAAGUAGAUCGAAAAGUACAACGGGGACUUUCCAAUUCCUUGGUAGAUCCUUGGUGUCUUGGAGCUCUAAGAAGCAAAAUUUGGUUGCUUUAUCCACCGCCGAAGCCGAAUAUGUGGCAGCCGGUGCUUGUUAUGCCCAACUCUUAAGGAUGAAGCAAACGUUGAGUGACUUCGAUUGUGAGUUUAGCAAUGUUCCACUCUUGUGUGACAAUGAGAGUGCCAUCAAGUUAGCUAACAAUCCGAUGCAACACUCUCGAACAAAUCACAUAAAUAUUAAACAUCAGUUCUUAAGGGAUCAUGAGGCUAAGGGAGAUAUUGCUUUACGUCAUGUGAGCACCGAAAGGCAACUUGCCGAUAUCUUCACUAAGCCUCUAGAUGAGCAAAGGUUUUGUGCUUUGAGGAAUGAGCUAAAUAUCUUAGAUUCUCGUAACUUGGCUUGACUUAUUGCACAUACUUGAUUGUUGACUAGAUAGGAAAAAUGGAUUUCUUUGUGUUGAGUUUAUUUUAAAACUUGGAUUUUGAUCUUUGGAUCAAAACUUGACUCAAGUGAUCAUUGUUAUGUAAUGUUGCUUGUUGGCUGAUCACUAAGUGUCAAGUUGUCUUAUAUGUCCAGAAGCCAUAUAUCUCGAAAUCUCAAUCUUUAUCCAUCUCAAAAUCAAUCUUUUUGGAGCAAUCUCAAAUCUAUCGGAACUUUCGGCACAACACUGGAACUUGCGAUAGCCACCAGAAGUAUCAGUAAAGUGCCGACCGAGGGUUCCCAGGAGAAUUUUCAUUAUCAUCGGAACUUCCGACGCAUAGUCGGAACUUUCGAUAACCAUCGAAACUUUCAGGUUUUCUCCAACAAAGGGUGCUCAGGAGUUGGAUUUAUUUGCCAUCGAAACUUCCAUCGCUCCGUCGGAACUUCCGAUAGACUGUCUAUGAGUAUAUAUACCCGUUGGAUACCCCUUAAACCCUAGCUCUCACCUCACUUCAAACCGACACCCCCUCCUCUCCUCUUUCAAUCUCUCUAGGGAAUCUCUUGCAACCGUGGGUUUUCGUUGCUAGUGCUAUCUUUAGAUUCUCCACUCCUCGGAGGUUCCGAUCCCCAUCGGAAGUUUUUCGAUUCGCAUGGGAAAUCUUCGAGGUAACUCAUUCAAAAAUUCUGUCACCCGAUCUCUCAAUGUAGUAGGAGUUAAUCGUUUUCCUUUGGGGGAUAGACUCUAGAUUGUCUUAGAACUCAUGCCUAUGAUCUUGUCAAAUUUGGUGGGUGCAAUAUCUGAUUCCAUGAAUUCUUGGAUGAACUCGGGCUCUGUUGGAUGUUCCGACCCAUCGGAAGUUCCGACAAGUACCUGAAGUUUCUGUUUUGAUUCAUGUGCAUCAUCUCUUGACUCCAUCCUAAUCAUUUUGUAAAUCAUGUCAGAUGGGUCGUGACAAGAGAGGCAAAACAGGGUGAGGAGACCCCGAAGAUUGAAUAUAACUCAUCCAUUGAAUCGGAAGAUCAAAUGUCGAUUGCUCAAAGAAAGGGAAAGAGGAAGGCCUUUCCCAAGGUUCCUAUGCGAGCUAGAGGUAGGGAGAAGCCUAUUCCAGCUGGGGGGCCUAGACAAGGUGGUCGGCCUCGCAUAAAGAAUGCAUCCGCUCCGGGUGCUCAUAUGGAUGAGAAUGAGAGGAUCACUUUGGAUUUUUUUGAACAAGUGAUCCUUCGCAUGUCCAAACCCAUUCGAGAAGAGCGGCCAGGAUAUAAUGGAGUUCGGAUGGUGGAUUAUCAAAAGGGCAAGCAUGCUAUACGAGUUCUCCAGUAUGAUAGGCCAUCCCAAUAUCAAAAGGAAUUCUAUGGGGAUGUUCGUUUUUAGCUACGCUUCCACGCCAAUUGGUAUGAGUCAGUGAUCUUUUGCAAGACUCAUCCUACCACUGAGAUGAAGUCCAUUGAUUGGCCAUAUUUCAAUGCAAUUAAGCUGCCUAUCAUUGAUCAAGUUUGGGAAGCAUGCAGUAAUAUGAAUCUUACCCCUCUUAUGCAAUUCAAUUGUGAUUGGAAUGAGGAAGUCAUUGCUCAAUUUUAUGCCAAUCUUUAUAUUGACCAGGUCAAUAAAGUAAUGCGUUGAACUCUUCAAGGGAAGCCCCUCUCGGUGACAUAUGCAGAAUUUGCAAGCAUUCUUGGUUAUGGCGAAGAUGAUCUCACUAGAUAUAAGAUUCAUGAGAUGGAAAAUGUCAUUCAGGAUGGUGAGAUAUGAUUCAUGUAUGACAUUGCAUAUGGGACAAUUGAGCAUGGUACUACCAAGGGUAUGCUUCCUUUCUACAAAUUGCUCAACCAGCUCUUCCGCUAUACCCUUUGUCCUAAAGGUGGUGAUGCGGACAACAUUUCCAACGUGUUAAAGAACCUACUUGCAAGAAUGCAUCCUGACAAGGAUGAAUUUAGUGUUUUUAACUUUAUUUGGAAAGAGAUUAUUAUUUGCUCUUACUCACCCAAGAAGAGUUGUCACUAUGCUCCUUAUAUUUUUGUUGUGAUCAACAAAGUGACAUAAUUGGAAACCUUGAUGGACAAGGGUCAUCCAAUCUACAAGCCAAAGAAGGGUCAUAUUGAGCGGCUUUGCAAGAUUGGCUCCCAUAGUAUUCGUCCUCCACCUCCACAAUGACCUUCUCAGGGACCAUCUAUUGGAGCUUCACCUUCUCUAGGGUCAUCAUCCUCUCAUAGGCUAUCUAGCUCUAGAGGUCCUCCACCCUCCCGUGCUCCUAAGAAGAAAGGGAUCUUCAACUUCUUAUCACAAGGUCUCUUUGCUUGCUUCAAUGUCGGCCGUCACAAUGCGGAAGAAAAUGUAUGCUCACAAGAAGCAUGUGGAUGGGCAGCUCUUGAAGAUAGAAAAGAGGCAAAAGGAGCUCAUGGCUAAGAAUGAUAUCUCACACUCUCCCGUCCAUGCUCCUAUGGAGUUCUCUCCUCCACCGGUAUUCUACAACCCUUGGGAGCAAAUUAGACAACCCUCCAUGUUCUUUGGGGCUCCCCAAGAAGAAGAUGAUUAUGAUUUGGGUGGGCGCGAGGAGUCCAAGAAGGAAGAAGAAGAUAUCCCGCUGCUCAUACUUCAGAAGAUGAGGGUGAUGAUGAUGAUAUAGGGAUGAGGAUGAUGAUGAUGAGUGAUGGCUAUAGAAGGGCCUCCCCUUUUUGGAGCUUGAUGCCAAAUGGGGAGUGAGCUCACCAUGGACCAUGAUGUGGUGGCUGCUAUAUCUUUUAUGAGCUUGAGUUUGUGGGCUUGUGGACAUGUAAAACUUUAAUUUGGUGUGAUGUGUGGUGUUUCAAGUGAGACUUUUAAAUUUGUAAGACUUAUUUGUGCUUUAUUAUGUUAGUGUGGAUCUAGAACUUAAUGCUUAUGAUUAUGUGAUGAUCAUGGUUUAAUGUAUUGUUUAUUUCCACUUUGUUGAUGUGAUAUAUCUUGUCAUAUGCAUCACAUUGAUUUUAAUAUCACUCUUUGCACCCCACAAAUGCAUGGAUACAGGGAGCUAUCUUAAAAUGUGCAAAUGGUAUUUGUGGGCAUUUUUUGAUUUUAUCUUGAAAAAUGCACAUAUUAAGGGGGACAUUACCUAUAUGAUUGCAUUCAAAAUGUUUAUAUACUUCUCUUGUGAGCCUUAGUUGUGUUGUCAUCAAUCACCAAAAAGGGGGAGAUUGAAAGUGCAUUUGGCCCCCUAAGUGGGUUUUGAUGUUGGUGACAUGCAUAACUAAGGAACUAAUGAAUUUAUCGAGAAAUUAACAGGUUCAAAUGUUAAGAAAUGAAAAAGGGCAAGAAAGGACCCCAAAUUUGUUUGAAGGACGGUGUUGAAGCAUAAACGAAGAUCUUUUUAUACUUUCUAUUUUUGAAUUUGAGUAUAGGAACACCGUACUAUAAAGGGGGACGCGGAUGGAUAGCUUAAAGAUGUCAAAGUGCUUAUUUAAGAUGCUAACCACCUAUGAGAUACACCACUCACAUACUUGCACAUUAAUUUCUCACAAUUUCUGUGAGUGUCGGAAGUUAUGACACCUGACGAAAGUUCUCAAAAACUUCCGACAGGCCCGACAAGGGGUGCUCAGCGGGUUUAAUUGAACAAUGUCGGAAGUUCCGACCCUGUGUUGAAAGUUCCGAUAAUAGGCACCGGAAGUUUCCAGCAACUUUCGGCAGGGGGUUCCCAGCCAUUUUAUUUGAAUUGUGUCGGAAGUUCCGACACAGUGUCGGAAGUUCCAACAAACACUUAACAAACUGCAACGGCUAGUUUUUAGGGCUCGGGUAUUUAUACCCCCCUCAGGCCCACUUCUUUUGCUGCUGACCAACCACGAGAUAAACUCCUCCUCAAGCAUUCAAUACUCCUCCCCACUCCCUCUUUGAGCUAAAUCUUUAAGAGUUUUGAGCUAGAGCUUGGGUGAGAGAAGGAUUUGAGGUGUGUGACUCAAUCUUUGAGUGAGAGGUCAACCAAGUUCAUCUCAAGAGCACUUGAAGCAUCUUCGGCCUUCGAUUCACGUUUGUUACUCUUGAAACUUGCUUCUAGACGGUUCGGCAUCGCCCGUUUGAGUGCCCUCUCGUUGUGGUGCUCCCGGGAAGUUUGUAUUGCCCAUCCUCUUGGAGGAUUAAUAGUAAGUGACUCAAUCCUCCUUUGUGGUUGAUUGAGAGAGGUAAAGGGUUAGUGAGGACCCGGCUCUUUGUGAGCUCCUCAACGGAGACAUAGCUCCCUUUGUGGGAGUGAACUUCGGUAAACAAAUCUUUUGUCUUGUGUUCUUAUUGUGUUCUUCAAUUUCUUGUUGACCUUGAGCUUGAUUUGUGCCAAUCUACUUUUGGUGAAGUUUCUCUCAUAAAGAUCACCUGUAGUAGUUUUUAUAUAUCAUUGCUGAACUUUUGAUUCAAAUAGAAUCUACUGAAACUUGUUUGUUUUUGAAUUUUGUAGAGUAGUUUUUACUCUAUUGGAAGUUCUGACCUAUUUAAUACCGCUGCGAAGAAUUUUCAGAUCGAGACUAUUCACCCCCCUUUAGGCAUCACACGAUCCUUUCAAAGUAGUUGUGUUUUCUAUCUAGGUUUUCCAUGCAGUACUCAAGAAGUCAUAAUGAACAAAUUGUGCAUGUUUCUUCUAGCUCAAAUUGCAAGUUUGUCUAGGAAGUUGCAGCAAUGGACACCAGAGAAAAGCAUUGUUGCGCCGUGGGGAGAUCAAUAAACGUGCUAUUAUCACUCCCGAUAUUGACUACUUGCUGGGUUCUGUUGACAAGAUGGAAGAAUAACCCAUUCAUUUCUUUUGGGUAAAAAACCAUCAUGGCCAUAUGCCGCAUUGCAAGGGACUAUUUAGUUUUUUUCUUCAUAGAACAAUCCAGAAACUCGGGGGUCGGGGUGUUCUCAGCACAACAAUUUUGAGUUGCAAAAUAAAUAUGGCAAACAAUAAGGAGUCAGAGACAAGGUCUGAAACAAAGGAGGCAAUCACAAAUAGAUUACUGUCUUACGGGAAAACUAAUUAUGGAUCAAAUGUAUCUGCCCUGCUUUAUUGAAAACCACAUGGUCCGAGUUGGGGACACCUACUAACAAAAGCACUUACUAUCUAUGAGAUGUAGAGCUAAAAGGAUUUUUAAAAUAUUAUAUUUUUAUGAUUAUUGCACACUUUUUGCUAGUGAAGUGGAGAUUAAUUUAUUUGCAUUUUGCAAUAAUGCGUUUAACGUACAUUUUUGAGAUUUGGAACUGGAUGUUUGAUCCCAGUUUUCUUGUGACCAAAUGAUCUUGUUUUGCAAGUCUUUUCAUAAAAAAACUCUUAUUUUUUCAAAUUAUGAUAUAAAACCUACGAUAAAACGUGUCACCGUGUGAUUGCUGCUAGUUGAUUUGGUGCUGGCCCAAAAGAAGGCCCAAUAGGCUGGGCCUAGCAAGCCUAAAAUUGCAAUCACGGCCGAAUCAUUGAGUGUGUGUUCUAAUCCUAGAGGCGCAUCUUGAACCAGUUUUUUGAACUUUUUCCUUAAAAAAUAUGAUGUAGUUUCUAUUAAAACUUUCUUUUAAAGACAUGUUUUGUUUAAUCAAGAUAAUGAUUAGUCACAAGAGAUCUACAGCAUUUGGUGCACACAUGCACAAAUUUUUAGCUUUGUAAAUGAAACUAGUUUAAAUAAUUUUGAGAAAAAAUAAUGAAGUACUAGUUCUGGGACUAAAUUGACAUGCAAAUGAAAUUUUAAGCUCAAAAAUCAUUCAAUCCCUGCAAACGUGCACCAAAUUCUAUUUUGUGCCAAUCUAUGUGCAUAUGUGCAGCAAAAAUAUUGACCUGGAUGAUAGUAAUUAGUUUUCUCAAAAUUUUGGGAACUAUAUAUUACUCAUACACAUUUUCUUUUGUCCAAUUUUUGACAAUAGCUUCCUCACUUUUGUCAGUGCUCUUCACGCAAACCAUCCAUACAUGUACUUACUACAUCCGUUUUUAUUUAAAUGACGUCUGGACAAACAAGCUAAGAAUUGAAAUAAAUGUUGACAAUGCAGGUCAGCUACAAACCAUACAUACAUGUACUUACUACCUCCUUUUUUUUUAAAUGACGUCCGAACAAAAACUUUCACGUGUUACGAGUGCAAAUUCUGGUCGGGAGCAUCAGUUAUUCGUGAACGGAGGUAGUACAAUUUAGGAAUUCAAAAUCUAUCUUUUGAAAGAAUUUAAAAGGAGGCAUUAUUUUAUCCUUUAAUUAAUAUACAACAUGCGCCAAACAUGAACCUGCCCGGUUAAACCUUCCCAAUGAUUAAUUCUGCGUCGAUGCAACAGCAGGCAGACCAGCAUACUACAGGCCGAGUCUGAGAACAGAGGACAGGAAAACGAGCAAUCAAGAACCCUAGCCUAGCUUCACAACACGGCAGGCCCAGGACAGAACAGAAUUACCGAAGUGCCCCUCGCCAUUUAACCAUCUCAUCCCCUCACCUCCCCGACGGCGACUCCCCUCGAGCUCGCCCUCCUCCCCCCGACUCGCUACCGUCGCCCGCUCUUCCCCGGCCAGCGAUCCCGAUUCAACUGGUAAGCCCCCGAUUCCGUUGCGCCCUGCGGUUCCCUUACCCAGUUGCCCGCGGGCCGGCCGGUCGGCCUCCCGCGCGGCGCUGGGGUUUGCUGCUGAAUCGGCGAGUCGGAGGAGCCAGGGACAGGAUGGGAGGCGGCCGGCUGCCUUGCGUGGUGUACUGAUGCGGCUGUCACGGCGCUGGCUCGCGGUUUGUUCCUGGUUUAGGUUUUUUUGGGUCUGUAGAGGUGAUUGCUUUUGGCUGGGAGGCCCGGAUUGCAGUCCGGGCGUUGGGCGCACGGGGUGUGGGUAUCACAAAAUCGUUCCUUGACUCGAGGAGAGCUCCAUUUCGGUGCCGUCAAGCGGCCUGAUUGGCGAAAUUCGAGUGGAGUGGACUUUUGAGGUCAAUAGUGAAGAUUAUUUCUCUGGUAGGAGUAUAGGAUUGCAAAUAAUUUUAUUGUUUCAAAUGAUCGAGAGCUGCUGAGCAGGCAGAUUGGUAGAUGAUUGAUUUUAGCGUGCCAUAUUUUUUACGUUGUCCUUUAGUCUUUCUGACAUUUGCUUGUCACUAUUUUGUGGACACACUUGUUGCGCUCUGUUUCACCCUAUGCUUUUGUGUUUCUCUGGCAUGCAACUGCUGUGUAGUCCAAACAAAUACCACUCCACGCAUGAUGGCUGCCAGCUUAUAUGCAUAUUGUUUGUUCCGAUCAACAUGAGAAUAUGAGAUUGGAUUGAAUUGAGAUUUUGGAAUUGGUACUGCAUGAGAGCUCCCAGGAAUACUGUGUGCAGGAAGGUGAAUGUCUAGCUAAUUUUGACUUUUAAAAUCAGGAUGCUUUUGUUUUUAUGUUUCAAUGGGGUUCUAUUGCUUCAUAUUAGAGCCACUGAUUAGGGAAAGUAGCUUUCCAUGCGAUACACGCAUGUAAAUGCCACUAAUCUUUGACGGUGUUUUCAUGAUCAGUUGGGUCCCCUGUCAUUGGGUCGUUUGAUUUUCGUGCAAUGUCGCAAAUCACUAGCAGAAGGCUGGUAGUGAGGUAGGAUUGGAAGAGGGAAGGGAUGAGGAAGCUUAGUCUAGAUAGAAUUUUGGAAGGGAGUGUAGAUUAGGCUCACCCAUUUAUAGUGGUGCCAAGCAGGGCCAGGCCAACGCCGCCGCUGCCGCAUCGCCGUCUUCUCUCCACGCCCCUUUCCAUCAGGUAAUUCUCUCCGGCGGCAUGGGGCACCCAGAUGCCUGUUCUUCCUUGGAUCAAUCCUUCUUUUAAGUCAGUCUUGUGUCUUUGUUUUGGUGGUUAUGUCACCGGACUGAUUGCCUUGCUGCUGGAAUGCUUUACUCCCUCCUGUCCCAUCCUCAUCACGUGGAUACUGAAACUGCGGGGUAACUGAUAAUAAGUUCAUAAGCAAAUGGUUUUUGAGGUCACCUGUGCUCAUGAAUUAGAAAAGAGAUCAAUCCAGAUGGGGAAGGGAGGUAGCAGGGUUCUUGAUCGUGCCCCAGGCGUUUCAGCACUAAUCGCCCCUUUGGGCUCUGGCGCCGCUAGAAUCGGGAGUAUUUGCUUCGUCCUCUUCCUCUAACGCCCUUUUCUUUUGAAGUUUUGAUCAAGGGAAGCAAGUUUUCUGCUGCUAACAAUUGUCUGUUUAUCUUGGUCAAUGGAUUGGGAGCAUGGGCAUUGAUGUUUUUCACUGUGUUGUGGUUUAGAAUACUUCAAUCGAAGUUGAGAAGCAAUUUCGAGUUUCUACUUGCUGUGCAAAUUGUAGUCAACUUCAAUGUUGAAAAGUUGUAAGCGUAACACAUCAGCUCACAGCUUCACUCUUGUAGGUUUUCUGAUUUUAUUAUGGACGACAAGAGUAAAGUCCAGAAGGAAAUGGGUGCUCCUCGAAAGGUUAGUAUCUCUUUUCCUUGGCUGUUCACAAUGCCAGCUUCUUCCAGUUUAUUGCUUACCAUUGUUGUUUCUUGAUGUAAGGGAGGACUAAAAUUUGCACCCAAAGUACCUGUGAAGAAAGCUGCCAAAAUUGUUCCGAAAAAGUAGGUGAUUGGUCCGUGUUACUUUUCUAAAACUUGGAUAGCUUCCAUUUAAAAUUUGCUAGAUUAGCAAUUUCAGUGAUGUGUAAUUUGAUUUACUCUAACUUGACAGGGAACCAGUUGAGGAUAGCAAGGAUGAAACCGUCGAUAAGGAAUUGCUGAUGAAACUUAAGGCAUCACAGGUACUAAUCAUUAUAUUUGGUCCUUCAUUUGUUGUAUCUGCAAUCUUUUCACUUGAUGCUUGGUUGAUGUAUACAAUAAUUUGUUUCAUUUUGCAGAUUACAGAUCCCUUUGCUAGAAGAGUUAAAACUGAGGAUAAGCGUAAGAGUGCUUAUUUAUGUUCAUUCCGUGCUUUAUAGUCUAAACCUCAUCACCACCUAGUAAAUUUGUUACUCCUACCUCUAAAAGAAGUGUUAUCCCUGCAAGCUGAUGUGCUCGCAGCUACUCCUGUGAAUGGUUAUUGAUGUAUGUUGCAUCACGUUGGAUUGUCUUAAAUUUUACAUUGUGUUGUGCAUGCACCGAACUCUUUCUUUCCAAGUCUUGAAUUAGUGUACUAAAAUUUAGUGCAUGUAGUACAAGGUAACCAAGGAUUUGUUACAGAGAAGGUUUAUUCAGAAAAAAAAUCAUUAGUUUCUUUCUAAAUUGAUAGAUCCAAUUGUUAUAAUUAUCAAACUAGUAUCUCAUUGGUGUUUAUAAAUAUACAAUUUUUUUAAUAUUGGUGCGGAUUAUUUAUUUUAUUUCUGAUGCACAUCUAGCUAACGAUGUAUUGCUCUGUUUGCAUAGCAAAAAGCCGGACACAAGUUGCAUUUGGACAAGGAAAUUCUUCUUACGCAAGAUCAUUUUCUAUGCCAAAACGUUCUAAAGGUAUUGGUGGAAGAUAUUUAUCUUCAUUGCUUAUGACUCUAAACCGUUCACUAAGUGUCAUAAUUCUGAAAAAUUGGAUUAGUCUGCUGGCUGGGUUGCAAAUUUUGCUUUUCUCUUUUAAAAGAACAUAGAAUAUAUGUAAUGCUUGUUUGCACAUACAGAUUGCUGUAUUUGGACCUUAAUAACUAUCUUUGUUUCCAUUUCAUAUGCAGAUGAAGAGAAGUUAACAAAAGAAUAUGCAGAGCCAUGGGUGAGUAAAGAUCAGAUUACUAAUUCAGAUCGCUUCCUACUCGGACCUUAUCCAUUGAUUUCCUUUUUUAUUACAGGACUAUAACCAUACUGAUUAUCCUGUUACUCUCCCAUUGAGGAGGCCCUACUCUGGAAAUCCUGGUAUGCUGUUGUCUUUGUAGUGAAAUUGCAAGAAUUUUUCUUCAACCGACCUUUACACCCUUCCCACAUCCCUAAUGCAGAAAUUCUUGAUGAGGAAGAAUUUGGAGAAUCUUCUGCCAGCAGAGCUCAAGAUGCUAAAUUAACCGCAGCGGAAGAGCUUGGAUUAAUCGUAUGUCGCAGAUUCCAACACCAUUUUUUUUUCUGAUUAUAUGUAUUAAUUAUUAAAGCAAAAUCACUUUGUAAGCUCAAUUGUGUACACUAAGAAUCAACAUUGAACUGCUUAAAACUAAUAUAGUUGUACAGACCGUGGCCAUUGCUGCUCUUACACAUGUCCCGUGUUGACAGGAUCGAUCAGAUGAAUCACAAUUGCUCUUCAUCCAGUUGCCGUCUUCUCUUCCUUUACCAGUGCAGCCACAAUCAGUUGCUGAGCCUAAUAAAGGCUCCGAGGAGAGACGUCAGGGCAUGAAGCCAUCAUCGCACUGUGGCUCGAAACUCAAGGAUCUGCCUGGGGGUUAUAUGGGGAAGAUACUUGUAUAUAAGAGUGGUAAAGUGAAGAUGAAGGUCGGAGACACGCUAUUUGAUGUGAGUUUCAAAACUGGAAGUAGUUCUGUUUCCUAUCUAGGUUUUCCAUGCAGUACUCAAGAAGUCACAAUGAACAAAUUGUGCAGGUUUCUUCUGGCUCGAAUUGCAAGUUUGUCCAGGAAGUUGCAGCAAUGGACACCAGAGAAAAGCAUUGUUGCGCAGUGGGGGAGAUUAACAAACGUGCUGUUAUCACCCCCGAUAUUGACUACCUGCUGGGUUCUAUUGACAAGAUGGAAGAAUAGCCCAUUCAUUUCUUUUAGGUAAAACAACCAUCAUGGCCAUAUGCCACAUUGCAAGGGACUACUUAGUUUUGUUUCUUCAGAGAACAAUCUGGAGUUUACUCUUCCAGAAACUGGGGGGGGGGGGGGGGGGGGGGGGGGGGUCUCAGCACAACAAUUUUGAUCAAGAUAAUGAUUAGUCACAAGAGAUCUACAACAUUUGGUGCACACAUGCACAAAAUGGAAAUGAAAAUUUAAGCUCAAAAUUCAUUCAAUCCCUGCAAACGUGCACCAAAAACUAUUUUGUGCCAGUCUAUGUGGUUCUGUGCAUAUGUGCAGCAAAAAUAUUGAUCUGGAUGAUAGUAAGUAGUUUUCUCAAAAUUUUGGGAACUAUAUAUUACUCAUACACAUUCUCUCUUGUCCAAUUUUUGACAAUGGCUUCCUCACUUUUGUCGGUGCUCUUCACGCAAACCAUACAUACAUGUACUUAUUACAUCCGUUUUUAUUUAAAUGACGUCUGGACAAACAAGCUAAGAAUUGAAAUAAAUAUUGACGAUGCAGGUCAGCUAUACCUUUGUUUUUUGUUUAAAUGACGUCCGAACAAAAACUUUCACCUGUUACGAGUGCAAAUUCUGGUCGGGAGCAUCAAUUAUUCGUGAACGGAGGUAGUACAAUUUAGGAAUUCAAAGUCUAUAUCUAGAAAGAAUUUAAAAGGAGGUAUUAUUUUAUCCUUUAAUUAAUAUUCAACAUGUGCCAAACAUGAACCUGCUGGUUACACCUUCCCAAUGAUUAAUUCUGGGCCAAUGGAUUAAGCCUCGUGGAUCAAAAAUUGAAGCUGAAAUUUAGCUGGCGUCGAUGCAACAGCAGGCAGACCAGCAUACUACAGGCCGAGUCUGAGAACAGAGGACAGGAAAACGAGCAAGCAAGAACCCUAGCCUAGCUUCACAACACGGCAGCCCAGGACAGAACAGAAUUACCGAAGUGCCCCUCGCCAUUUAACCAUCUCACCCCCUCACCUCCCCGACGGCGACUCCCCUCGAGCUCGCCCUCCUCCCCCCGCCUCGCUACCGUCGCCCGCUCUUCCCCGGCCAGCGAUCCCGAUUCAACUGGUAAGCCCCCGAUUCCGUUGCGCCCCGCGGUUCCCUUACCCAGUUGCCCGCGGGCCGGCCGGUCGGCCGCCCGCGCGGCGCUGGGGUUUGCUGCUGAAUCGGCGAGUCGGAGGAGCCAGGGACAGGAUGGGAGGCGGCCGGCUGCCUUGCGUGGUGUACUGAUGCGACUGUCACGGCGCUGGCUCGCGGUUUGUUCCUGGUUUAGGUUUUUUGGGUCUGUAGAGGUGAUUGCUUUUGGCUGGGAGGCCCGGAUUGCAGCCCGGGCGUUGGGCGCACGGGGUGUGGGUAGCACAAAAUCGUUCCUUGACUCGAGGAGAGCUCCAUUUCGGUGCCGUCAAGCGGCCUGAUUGGCGAAAUUCGAGUGGAGUGGACUUUUGAGGUCAAUAGUGAAGAUUAUUUCUCUGAGAGGAGUAUAGGAUUGCAAAUAAUUUUAUUGUUUCCAAUGAUCGAGAGCUGCUGAGCAGGCAGAUUGGUAGAUGCUUGAUUUUAGCGUGCCUUAUUUUUUUACGUUGUCCUUUAGUCUUUCUGACAUUUGCUUGUCACUAUUUUGUGGACACACUUGUUGCGCUCUGUUUCACCCUAUGUUUUUGUGUUUCUCUGGCAUGCAACUGCUGUGUAGUCCAAACAAAUACCACUCCACGCAUGAUGGCUGCCAGCUUAUAUGCAUAUUGUUUGUUCCGAUCAACAUGAGAAUAUGAGAUUGGAUUGAAUUGAGAUUUUGGAAUUGGUACUGCAUGAGAGCUCCCAGGAAUACUGUGUGCAGGAAGGUGAAUGUCUAGCUAAUUUUGACUUUUAAAAUCAGGAUGCUUUUGUUUUUAUGUUUCAAUGGGGUUCUAUUGCUUCAUAUUAGAGCCACUGAUUAGGGAAAGUAGCUUUCCAUGCCGAUACACGCAUGUAAAUGCCACUAAUCUUUGACGGUGGUUUCAUGGUCAGUUGGGUCCCCUUAAGGAACAGACAACAUCGUCCGCGAGGAUAUUUUCUCUAUGGAACUUAGUUUCCAGAAGUUGCUCAUCCAUUCGUGUAUCAAAACCAGAUUCUGUUUAUAUUACAAUUUGCCAGUUGUUGCUUUCUUUGCAUCUCAGCAUGGUAAGUCUGCUGGAUUUUUGUCCUUUCAGAUAUUAGGAUGGACGAAGUCACGCAAGCUGUUGAGAAUCUGAAGAAAGAAUGGAACCAAGCGGUUUCACAGCUUGAGGAGAGCAUUGCUGCAAUCAGAUCAUGUGGAAAAACAGGGAAAGGGACAGAGGAAGCAAAUUCUCUUCCAAGGUUGAAUGGUUCUGCACAGGAUGCUCUGCAAUUGCUCAAGUCACUGCAGUUUCGUCUUGAUCUUCUAGCACAGCAGCUUCCCACUUUUGAAGAAGUGCAGUCUGGCCAAGCAACCUUAGAGUCAUGGGAUGAACAAUACAAGAAGUAAGAUAGUCUUGGAAUCUUUCCUUUUGUUCUCCUUUUUAACCUGCUUCGAUUUCUAACAAUUUUGAUUGUGUUGGCAGGCUGCGUGCUAGCCUGAGGAAUGCUAACUUACAAGCGAAAGAGAACAUUAGAAAAGCUGCUCAAGAGGAGGUGUGUGAUUUUGCCUCAAUUUCAUGAUAUUAAUCUGAUUGAUUUGCUGUCUGAGAACUAAUACUUCUUAGAGCAUCACCAAUGCAAGGGAAUUACAAGUGAAAGGUUAUGCCGCAUAAUAAAGAAAUUAUUUUAUGAACCUAUUCUUUAUAUGCAAGCAUCUCUUCUCGUAGGUGUUUAUGGACUCACUUAAGUUCAGAAGCACCAUUGAAUAGUUGCUUUAGUUUUUGCAACUUCUUUUGCAAAAUUGGCAAGAAAACUACCUGUAGGCACCAUGCACCUUUUUAGAGCAUUGUAGGUGCCCUUAUAACUUACGGCUAUCAGUUUCUAAUUGUCUUUUCUCUAGAGGGAGCUUCUUCUCGGGGGUGGAGAAGAGUCUACCAUCCGCAGGCGUAAUCUCCAGUAAGUUGAUUUUCAUGAGGUCAUCUUUCCUUUAAGCCAAUAUAUGGGAUAUUUAAGGAGUUUUCAUAAUUUAGUCAGUUACAUGGGUAUCCCUUCCAUCUGGUUUCAUCAAAUCUGGGUCACUUGAAAUUUUAAGAACCAGAUAAGGGCUAUGACUUUUGAAUUCUAGUUUGUUCUUAUUUCAAACUAAGAAUUAUGGAAUAAUUUGCUGUGUUAAUGCAUUGCACUAAUGAAUGAAACGCCCUUCUACAUUUGUAGUCCAAGUAACAUCCAGUUUUGUCGUAUAAUGUGAUUUGUGACCUGUUGAAUGGUGCAGGACAAAGACUGGGAUGACAUCUGCUGCUGAAAGUAUCACUGAGAGCCUCCGACGGUCUCGCCAGAUGAUGGUUCAGGUUAGCAUGUCCACGUCUUCAAUUGAUAGCUAUUAUGCUGAUGGCUUAUUGCUCGUUAAUUUGAAGCCAAUUAAUAUAAAUGUUUACAGGAAGUGGAAAGAAGUGCAAGUACCUUGGCAACAUUUGGUAUGCAUUCUUAUUUAAGCCUUUAGUCUGUUUAGAAUAUCUUAUUUCACAAUUGUUAUCAUUCCAGAAUGAUUGAGUUUUGUUGGUUGGUUUCCUGAAUCUCCUGUACAAUGGCUUGAUCUUAUUGUAAUUUAUUCAUGUGAUGGGUUGGAGAAAAUAAAACUGCUUGGUGGUACACAUGUAGUGUAUUUAUGUUUUAGGUUUUGUCACGUUAUUCUUUGUAACUUUACUAUAGGAUGUUCUUCUGUUAUGGUUGAAAAAUUAUAGCGCGUUCAUGUACUUCAUGGUGUAUGAAUUAAAACAUUUUCCUUUUUGCCUGCAUUUUUAGGAUCGUCAUAGUAAGAUUGCAACAUGCAAACUAAUUUAUUAAAUUAUGCAGAUGAAUCAACAAGUGUUCUUCGGAAGGCUGAAGGUGAAUAUCAAGGACACCGCUCUUUGCUGUCGCGGACCCGUGGUUUGCUCUCCACGAUGCAACGGCAAGAUGUUCUUGAUAGGUAGGUACCCUCUGGCGUAACUGGUCGUAUAGCCUGCAUUCUUGUUUUACAGUCAAGCCAUUUAACAGAAAGACAUAUCUUUAUAUAAUGUGUACACCUACUAGCAGCUCUAGUCACGUUUUGCACAAUGAAUAUCUACAAAUUGAAACACAUCCAUGGCUCCUUUUGUAGAACUGGCAACGAAUGCUAUAACUGACAGUACUCAACUAUCAUUUGUCAGGAUCCUUCGAGCCAGUGCAUUUUUCAUAUUAAACACAGAACAACUUGCCAGGCUAUCUUCAUAGAGAAGUAGGAAAUACAUGAUUCAUUAUAGCUCAUCAGGCGAAAAAAAAGAGAAGAAAAAAAAAUACUUGCAGGAAACAUGCUAGCAUUUGAUUUGCAUAUUAUCACAAGUUUGAAACUGAACAAAAGUUGUGUGAAUUUAUAAGUUAUUCAAAAGCCUUUAUAAAAAAACAAGUAGUAUGAGUAACACCAAAGGGCACCAUAAUCAUCAGAUUGUCAUCUAAUAAAUAUUGCUACCUUCCUCUAUGAGCUCUGGGGUCUUGUUGAGAUGAUUCCUUAGUCAAUGGUGCAGUCCUGCCAGUUAAAGGUUCAAAGGCACAUAACUUGUGGACUGCUUCAGUAGGGCCUUGCUUCAUACCACGAAUGGAUCAAACAACUCCUAUCCUCAAAGUCCUAUUACUUGUACGUUGCAUCUCCAAGACUCUGUACUAUGAAGCAAGGAUGCAUAUUAUCCUUGUUUGAAGGUGGAUUAGUGCAGUAACAUUCCUGACAUACUAUUUUGUUCCUAAUUCCCAGUGGUUCAGCUGUCAGCCCAAAAUGCUUAGGAAGAAAUUGUUUUGAAGUAUAAGUCUGGUGCUUCUGUGCUAUGCAAUCAGUUCUUUUUAUCCGCUAGACAAUGUCCUUCCUGUCUGGUAACAAUUCCGUGUUUCUGUGUCAAAUGUGCCAUGGCCAAAUGGCUAAUUGCUAAUUGCAUCUGUUUCCCAGGGUCAUCCUAACAGCCGGCUUUAUCAUUUUCUCCUUGGCGGUUCUCUACGUUGUCUCAAGACGCAUUGGUCUGCUGACUCUGCAAAGGAAACUGGCUGAUGCCAUCAGAUCAGGUUCGCUGUCAGCCGAGGACAUCGUAGCGAAAGCCCAGCAGCAUGGACCUGCCGCAGCUGAUGCUGCAGGCCCCGCUCCUCCCAUUUACGAUGAACUGUGACUCGCAUCUGCCCAUGAGUUUUUUUUUUUUUUUGAGAGGGCAUUUGCCCGUGGUUUCUUAUACAUGUGUACCCAGAUUCCCAGAAGCAAUUGUAAGGCAAUAGUUUCACGAAUAAGCUAUUGUUGAGAUAUAUAUCUACAGUGCAGUGAUCUGUGAUCAACUGAUCAUCAAAUCAUGCACCGACCUGUUCGAUUAAAAGUCCAUGAUCUCGGCUCAGCCCACGAGCCCUGGGCUCAAAAGGCCUGUCUUUUUUUUUUUUUGGAUAAGGGGCUCAAAAGGCCUUGGCAUGCGCCCAAUACACUAGUUGUCAGGCACCUAGCAGGAGCCGAGGGGCAUCCCCCGGCCGGCCUCGUCCUUGGAGCGCGGCCAGGCGUUCCAGGUGAGGCGGACGGCGUCGGGGCUGUCCGGGUCGGCAGCCGCCGCGGGCGGCGCCACGGAAGGAUUGGCAGCCGACAUCGGGGUGCGGCGAGUGGCGGUGCGGGCUGAUCGAGCGGUGGUGCGGGCAGAUCGGGCGAGGAGGUGGUGGUGAUGGUGGGAUGCGCUUGCACUCUGCGCGUCCGUGCGGUGGCUUGGCUCGGUUUCGUCGUUCGCCUGUUCGUUCCUCCUCGAUCUUUUUUGUUUUGUGCUUUGAUUAGGGGUAUUUUCAUCUUUUUUUCAUCUUUCUUCAUCUUCAUUAAUGGACUUUAGUCCCUGAAUACAAACGGGGUAGUCCAGGAACUAAAUGAACCAAACAGAGGCUAACACACACACACCAAGAGAGAUGGACUACAGCAUGCCAGGCUCGAAGCACUCGUACUCGCCACAAGGCAAGAUUGUGCUCCUCCGAUACGAUCACUCCAUGCAUGAAUGUUCUUGCAAACUGUUCUAGUUAGUAGUACUGUACUAGGCUUCUUGCAAGGAUCCCUUCAAUCCGCAGGUUCUUCUCUGUAACAUCGGGCAAUAGUUGCGAUGGCUCAAUCAGCUCGUUCCAUGCACCAUGCACGCCAUUCCCCCGGUCCUUCCCCUGCUUCAGCAGCUACUGCCUAUUCCGACGAUGGGCACUUGAUUUCCUCAGCUCGUUUCGUGUCAUGUUACUGAGUACCAGGACUACUCCGGCGGAGCGGAGCAGCCUCCUUACAGCUACGGCCGCUGUUGUGCCACUUUAUUUUUAUUUAUUAUUCCUUCAGUUACCUUUUUCCUUUUUCUUUCUUUAUUACCGUUUCUUUUUCUUUUAGGUAACAAAACUAACUUUUUUUCUUUUUGUGAUUAUUCCUUUUCUAUUACUUUAUUUUUAUUUAUUAUUCAUUUGUUUAUUUUCUUUUUUAAUUUUUUAUAUUCUAGUAUUAACAUUUCUUUUUCUGUAAUUAUUUAUUCCUGAUGUUCAAUUAUUUGCUCGCAGCUGAAAUUAAUUAUUUUGUAUUAAAAAUAUUUUUUAAAAAAAUAUCAUCGAAACAUAGUGAGAUCUUGUUUGAAGAUCUUGUUGUAAGCAAUUCAUUGGUGUGAUCGAAAUUAAAUUUGACUAUACGGUUUAAGAUUUAUAGAUUCUUUUUUGAAAAUUACAUGUUGAUGUUAUCAUCUAUUUCGUCACGUCUUGCAUGCAUGCAACGAAUCUCUAUUUUAUUUCCUAUGAGGUUAGCUGCCCAUAUAUUUCAUCCCUCUACACUACUAUUAACCCAUAAUAUUAAUUAUUAAUUGAUCAUACUGAAGGCGACAAGUGGAGAAUUUAUGAUCUUAAACCCAGGUGGUGCAGCAGGCGAGCGCGUCGCGGAGGAGCACGCGCCUCCCCGAGGUCGCUGUCGAUCCGGAACGUCUCGAGUGCCAGCUUACACCGCCGCAAGGCGAUGCUGCAGCCCGGGAUGGUGGCGUCCAGCAGCGUGCUCGCGCGCCGCCGCCGCUCGAAGCCAUCGUCCACCCGGGCGACAGCUUACGCCACCGCCAUCUCGAUCGGAGUGAGAGUGAGAUGCACGGAUGCCCUCGGGCUCUGGCGGGAUGGAGAUGUAUCUUGGUGCAAUGUGCCUGCCUUGGCAAUCGAUUUAAAGAGGAGGCCAAUCCAGUCGGAUUGCUGCAACGCUACACACAGCACGGCGCCGAGCUUCGAUUCCAAGACGGCGAUCAAUUCUGUUGCCGAAGCGUGCCCUGCGGCCGACUUUGUGUUCUGUGCCGUGUGUUUCCGAUCGCCACGACCGUUGCAAUGCAAACUUUCUCCGUUCUAAAAGAAUACAAUUUUAAUUUUGCCCUAACUUUCUAAGUUAAUAUUUUAGAUUAAUCACGACGUGAACACCACCCUAAUAGUAGCACUUUACUUAAUUCACGAUUUUAAUGGCAUGCUUUAGUUAAUGCAUGGUUGGAAACAUCUUUGUUUUGCCAUGUUUCCAAAGCAUGCAUUGUGCGCCUAGUCAAUAGUCAUACAACCAAAAAACUCAAUAUAGAAUAAACACUAGUGGCAUUGAACCAUACCGAAAGGAUCGAGAUGUCCAAGAAUUAGCUAGUCAUCCAAAAUAUUUUGAACGAAUAAAGUCUACACGUUUGGUCAAAUUCAUCUAUGUGCCUAAGGUUCUAAGGUUCAUUGUAUAGCUAUCUAACGGACAAAGAGUUUUACAACCUGGUUCCUAACAUGACAAUUCUAUAAAGGUAAAUGCGGAAAGUAAUUACAAGAAUUUAAAUGAUGAUUUGUAAAUUGCAUAAUAUAAAGAGAGGUGGGAGGCUCAAUUUUCCAUGAUCACCUUGGCACUCUUCACAGUCCUCAUUAAGCUAGUCUCAGUGAAAAUUUCAUGGAGAGUUUCAUGGGCAUUAAAUUUCAUGCUAUAUCAGCAAUUUUGCUGAUUUGGCAAGAUCUUUAUGAGGAGAGAGAAGGGGAAGUUUCAUCAUAUGUGAGAGGUGUUUCAUCCCCAUGACACUCAACAGGCAUGAUUACCUAGUUCCUAAUCUUAGUAGCAGUGCAAUGAAACUGUGCACUAGGACUGACCUUAGAGCACCCCAUCCAAGGGUAGCCCUCUUGGCACGUGCAAUGACUAAGUGUUCCCUAGUGCAGAGCAUCAAUGGUGUCCAUAGCGGUGGGGGGUGGGGGUAGCGAAGCAGGGUAGCACCGUUGGCCUCAUUAGGCGAAGGAAUGUCCUUUCAGUGGGUGCUAGAGCGACAAUAUCGCUGUGCUAGCUCUAUAAACUCAGGUUAGUGUGCUGAUAGGCUAUAAUGAAUCCGGUGGCUCCUAAUCACCACUAGAGGCGAGGAAGAAGGCGGGGGUGAGGUACAGGCAUGGUUGAGAUUGACUCUUAGAGUUCUUUAAAAAACAAUGAGAUAAUGAGCUCACGGGGGUGCCUCACACGCUUACUGGAGGCAAUGGUGGCAAGCAAUGAGCAGAAGGAUGUUAGGUGGCAGCGCUGUGUCGAAGCGGAGAUGAGUCACAAGCAGUGUUUUAAAUAGCAGGCUAAGGCAUUUAGCGUUCGACCUCCAAAAACAGCUAAUAGCUGGCUAGAUGAAGCUCUAGCGGCAAAUAGCGGCUAAAUUGUACAUAGGAGCAAAUAGCGGUACCCUCCUCAAUCAGCUAUAGCGGAAGAUAGUGGAGGCUAUAGCCGGCUCUUUAAAAUAUUGGUCACAAGAAAGAUAAGAGGGGCUAGGGUUACACGGGAAGUAAUGUGAGCCAUUAGAUCACCUUGAUAGACGACUCCAAAUUAGGUUGGAACUAAAGAUGAUGAGGUGAGAGAUCAACCCUAACUUUUUCUCAAUAGCAGAAUAAGUUUAUAUUUGGUCCAUGGACUCUUCAGACUAUCCAAUUUUAACCCUUAACUUCAUAAGUUUAUUUACGUUUAUUCUAGGUACCCCAAUUUUCAAUUCUGUCUAGUUUUGUCUCUGAGCCCAAUCAAAGCGGUUUAGGGCUUAGUGGCAGCAAUUUUUCUAAUUUUAGUGUGGAAGAUUAUUUAAAUAGGGGAAAAAUACUCAACCACUUCUAAAAGUUCCAGAAAACCUAGAGGUUGGGACACAUGAAAUCGACCAAAAUAACUAGGGCUCAUGAAAGAAGUUCUACAAGCUUAAAAGAUUCAGUACAUCUAAAAAUAAAGAGGGUUAUAAUUAAAAUUUCAAAUAAAAAUGUAUACUCCUUGCCAUCUGAUUGUUCAUUUCUCAAAGUUCCUGAAUCCAGUGCGGUGCAGCAAGUUGUGAUCUUUUUAUCCCGUGAAGGGCAUACAUCUGAUUGUUGCCAAAAUGUGAGUUUCGGCGUAUGGAUGAAUAGGCACAAGCGGUGCCGACGUAGCAAGAAUGGCGCCGCAUGGAGUCAUGGUCGUUGAUCCAAACACCAGCACCGAGAACCCACCCUAGCUUUCUCGUCUUCUUCCUGCAUCCAUCUGCCACAAUAAAGACACGUACACACAGCGGCCUUAGGAAAAUAUUAACACGCACACACCCAAGAGAGAGAUGGACUACAGCAUGCCAGGCUCGAAGGACUCGUACUCGCCACAAGGCAAGAUUGUGCUCCUCCUAUACGAUCACUCCAUGCAUGAAUGUUCUUGCAAACUGUUCUAGUUAGUAGUACUGUACUAGGCUUCUUGCAAGGAUCCCUUCAAUCCGCAGGUUCUUCUCUGUAAAAUCGGGCAAUAGUUGCGAUGGAUCAAUCAGCUCGUUCCAUGCACCAUGCACGCCAUUCCCCCGGUCCUUCCCCUGCUUCAGCAGCUACUGCCUGUUCCGACGAUGGGCACUUGAUUUCCUCAGCUCGUUUCGUGUCAUGUCACUGAAUUCCUUCUCUGAAGAUUAGCCGCCCAGCCUUGAGCCACCAGAAAGAACCUCUGUUGUUCGUUCCACAAAGGCCAAGGUGAUCAUUUGUUAAUUCCUUUUCAGUGCACAACUUGUACCCGCACGCGCAGCCAGGACUGUAUCCUCCUCCGCAGGCGCCGGCGGCGAACCCGCAGGGGGGCUACCAGUACCAGUACCAGGACUACUCCGGCGGAGCGGAGCAGCCUCCUUACAGCUACGGCCGCACCUGGCCGGGGCAGCCGGCUCCGUCCGACGCGGGGCCUUUCUACUACCAGGACGACGCCGACUGCAUCACCUUCCUCGGAGGAUGGUAUGUUCGUUUCUGCUACGCUAAAGUUUUUUCCUUAGAUGAUGGAUGUCUUUUGUUGCAGUAAAGCAUUCACUACCGUAAAACUGAGCAUUCGUUCUAAGGCUCAGUACCGGUUGCAUUUUGGCCCGGUACUAAUGUGAGCAUUAGAUCUUGUUUGGAUACCGGGGCUAAACUUUAGCCCCUAUCACAUCAGAUGUUUGGAUACUAAUUAGGCCUAUUAAUCAUAGGCUAAUUACAAAACUAAUUGCACAGAUGAAGGCUAAUUCGUGAGAUGAAUCUAUUAAGCCUAAUUAGUUCAUGAUUUGACAAUAUGGUGUUACAGUAACCAUUUGCUAAUGAUGGAUUAAUUAGGCUUAAUAGAUUCGUCUCGUGAAUUAGCCCAAGACUUCUGCAAUUAGUUUUAUAAUUAGCUCGUGUUUAGUCCUUCUAAUUAGCAUCCGAACAUUCAAUGUGACACGGGCUAAACUUUAGCCCAAUGAUCCAAACACGUCCUUAGUACCGGGCCUAACGGAUAGUCCCCGAGAUGGCCUGCGUGACCCCCUUUAGUAUUGGAUGGGGGUUCCACCCGGUACUAAUGUGCCUGAGAUUCUUCAGUACCGGGUGGAGGCUCCACCCGGUACUUAAGUGCUCCCGUCCGCCACCCCACCCCACCCCACCACAGCCCCCACCCCCCGCUGCCCGCUCCUUUCUUAUCUCUCUCUCCCCCAGCCCUUCCCCCCUCCUCUAUAUCUCUCUCUCUCACCCGGCUCUUCCCCCCCUCCUCUCUCUCUCACACUCACUUGGCUCUCACACUCCUCGAUUUGCCUCCCCUCCGCUCGCCUCUCACCGGCAGUGAGGAGCAACAGCGGAGCGAGGUGAGGCGGCGGAGGGCGGAGAGUGGCGGGCGGGCGGAGGACGGAGAGUGGUGGGCGGGUGGAGGGCGGAGGCAGGACGGAGGGCGGGUGGCAGGGCUGGGAGGGGACGGGGCAGCGGGCGGAGGCGGAGGGGCGGCGGGCGGAGGCGGAGGGGCGGAGGGACGGAAGGACGGAGGCGGAGGGCGGGGCGGAGGGCGGUGGGGCGGCGAGCAGCGGGGCGUGACGGGGGCGGGCGGUGGGGUCGGGAGGGGUAGGCGGAGGGCGGCAGGGCGGCGGGGGCCGAGGCCGGCAGCGGGGUGGGGACGGGGCCGGAGGAGGGAUUUUUUUUUUUUUAAUUUUUUAAUACACCUUAGGUGCACCAUUUAGUACCGAAUUAGUAGUACCGGUUUCUCAACCGGUAGUAACGGGUGAUUCCUGUUCCUCAGAGAGGUACGGUGAAAUGAAAGCUUGUUAAUGUGGGCUUUUGCCUCACACAGUGCUACUAGCUGUUGUUAGUUACUUGUGUGGUACUUGUCAUGUGAUAUGAACAUAACAUGGGCUGCAGAUGUGCUGUCUGACUGAUCAGUUUGCCAAGUGUGGUUGCAGCCUGGCCGGGCUGUGCUGCUGCUGGUUGCUGGAGCGCUGCUGCAUCUGACACGAGAAGGGAGAUGGGUCGGUUGGAGGAGAGAGCUGGCAAUGCCAUUGCCAAUUUGCCAUACCAAAUGAAGCAGCUUUGAUGGCGGUUUUUUUAUAUAAAAAAAAUGUAGUUCUGAGGUGCAGUUGUAGUGUAAGUCCCUCUGUGUAUGACCUGUACAUGUGCCGAAUAAGCUGUGGUGGUCGUGCGUGGAGCCAAGCCGAUCGAGGCGAUGGUUCUGCAUCGAUCGUGCGUUACCUACUCCACCGGUGGCCAUGUAAAAAGUAACACGGGGGCUCUUGCUCUUGCAUUGCCAUCAUGCAUGGUGUCUCGUCCGUCAGCGUGCAACUCGGAAGGUCCGUAGCUGUGUCUGGCAAAGCCAUCAUCAUCCAAGUCUGAUGGGCAAGGACGCCGCGCUGCUCCAUACAGCCCUUGCGAGCGCUCCAAAGCCAUAAAAAUGCUGCUCUCUCAAGCAAGACAGGCAUAGGAGAUCGACGAGAAGCCCGCACAAGGUGUGCAGGUUGGUUCAGUAGUAUUUCAGUACCGUGAUCGAAACGCCGAGCAUGGCAGCGGACGCAUGGGCCCCUGCACUGGGCUUCCCACUCGCCCAUGUGUCACGCACCAUCGUGCGGCGGUGGCGUCUCAAUCCGUCCACACGCGCGUACACUGACGGCGCUGCCUGUCUCUCAGUGCCAACCGCGGAGAAGAGGAGAAAAACGUGCGCCGCUUCUCCCUCCUGGUGAUCCUUUUCCUCAGACACAAUCACCGCGCUCGCGACGUGGCGAGGCGAGGCGUGCCUUAUCUAGACUUGGCCUUUUUUAUGAUCGCCUUUGCUCGACGAAAGCUAACAGCUUUAAGCUCAAAAAUUCAGACAGAGACUGCCCAUAUGAAAUGAACCCGUCUUGCACCAAAAAACCAUGCUUCAUCAUCCAAGUGAAUAAACCACGGGCACGUAGAAUGUCGGAAAGCUCGUCAGGUAAAAUCAUGAGGAAGGAGAUAAAGGCCCAAACCUAUGACGCACAACCGUUGGUUUCACGAACAAGCCUCGAGCCAAAAUGAAGAUUGGACGAUGACGGCCGCUUCGGCUCUCUAUUUUUAAGGCAGUAAGUAGCACGGUGCAGAAAAGGGAGGAGGGAAAGGGGUCGGCAGUUCCAACAUUGAACGGCACUUGACAAACAAAACUAAGGGCAAGCACAAACAAUUCAAAGCCAUAGAAUGAUAAACCGCGAAUUAUUCCACGCACUGCAUUCACAGGAGCAAGAAGCAAAUCGUCGUCCCCGGAAUGUCCCCAUAACAUAAUUCAGGCUACGAAACAAAACGCUACAGCAGCAGCAGCAGCAGCGGCAACACAACCCACUGUGCCAGUGUCAAAAGCAAAUGGGACACUACAGAUUACAGGGGGGUGAAAAGAAAAGGUUGGUCAGGUCCGGUCCGGCCCAGCCCUCUCUGAGUGAGAAUGCACAAGGAUGAUGAAGGGGGCCUCAGUGGCCAUAUGACCAGGCACUGAAAGUGGUACAGAGGAUGAUGAUGGAUCCCGGCCAUGUUUGCUCC